rnacentral:lncRNA from 1 species
GAAGAGAAAAAUACAAUCAGAAGCAUACACCAACUUGGACUCGGACAUGGAAAACAUACACCAACUUGGACUCGGACAUGGAACCAAUCGGGAACCAUACACCAACUCGGACUGGCAAAGGUUCUAUACUAAUAUAAAUACCCAGCUCUCAGAGAUUGAACGCCCAGAGAAAAAAGUGCCACCAGCUUAGUACACGCCAAGCAAUCUCCAAGCUACAGCGCCAACCAAAACAAAGGAGCCGUCAAGUAUGUUCCUUGUCUCCAGUUUUCGUUCUUCCCAAUGAAUUCUUGAAUCUCACACAUGGUAUUUGAUACUCAUCAGUCCUAAAAAAAUGCAAAAAUCAACCAUGAGAUGUAGGAUUAAGAGAACUGAUUUUUACAUACAUAAAUUUUCUUUUUCAUAACAAAAGCAAUAUUACCUAUGUUUGAUGUCCAGUAAAAAAAUACCAUGUUUCAUGCAUCUCACAUGCCAGGAUGCUCAUCCGAUACAUAUUGACUUCACAUUCCAGGCCAGUCUAGCAACAAAUUAUCUUGUAUUGCAUUAAAAAAAAUUCUUUCCAUCCUGCAGGAAAACAUUUGGACCAUAAUCACAAAUAAUGGAUGCUAAGGAAAAAAGAAGAAAGAGGGACAGAGAGCGGUAUGAACGCAUGACCGAUGAAGAAAGGCAUGAGAAACUCAAAAAACGCCGUGAAGCCUAUCAACGAAACAAAGUAUCAGGAAAGACACCAGAACAGAAGGCGGCAAAAUGUGCACAAGAAAAAAAAAGAUAUGCAAAUAUGCAAACAGAAAAGAAGAAAGCAAGAAUGGAACAAAUUGAAGCUCACCCUCAAUUGAAACGCAACACACCAUCCAAAGAUUCAAUAGCAAUGGAGAACCCUGAAUAUCUCGCAACUGAACAGGAGGAGAGCACUUCUACAUUUACUGUAAAACACAGGGAUCAUGUGGCAGCGGGAGAAAGGCAAGCGUUGCUACACCGUCGUAACGAAGAAUUCACAAGAAGACGUAAGCAAGCUAUUUCCGUAUCAUCAAAAGAAGAUGAAUCCAUGACGGAAACCUGCAACGAAAACACUCAGCCUCUAGAGCAGCCACAAGUCAUGACUUACGGUAAUAAUCUCGAUUUUAUACUUGCAUUCCAAGUAAAUAUAAAUCUGUCUGUACAACUAACCAUCUAUUUUGGACAGACAUCCCCUCCUCAAUGUUUCCAAGCAUCAGAGAAACAGAUACACCGACACAAUCAUUAUACAAUGAUGAUCAUAGUAAAGUAACUAUGUGGAAGGACAUCCCCUGCACAAUGCUUCCAACAAUCAAAGAAGUGCUUGCACGAAUACAAUCACUAUGCAAUGAUGGAAUCAUAUAUGAGCAAGAAGAAACCAUUAAAGAAAUAGAUGCGGCAGCAAAAUCAAUGUGCAACGAGGAUCAAGGUAAGGUUAUCAAUUUCAUAUAUGUUCUUUGGCAAUUCAAACAAAUAUAUAUAUAUAUAUAUAUAUAUAUAUAUAUAUAUAUAUAUAUAUAGGUGUGCUAAAGUGAGCCUGAGCGCAAUACGCUUAUUCUACGCUCCGGCCUAACAGCGUGCAACCAACCAGAAAACAUGCGCGUGGUUAGUGCCUUGGCCUCCAAUUUUUCUUCCACCUACUAGUAAUCAGCCAUGUUGGAUAUAGUAACUGAAUUAAUUCGGUUACUGGCUGCAGCAAUGGUUCACCGCUCCGCCACAACUUUUUUAUUAUAUGCGUCCUCCUGAUUACAUAUAGUAAUCAUCCAUGGAAAAUGUAGUAAAAUAUUAAUUUGGUUACCGUAUGCUUGUGAUGGUUCAUCAUCUCACCACAGUUUUGCUUUAUUACUUGUCUGCUCCAAUCACACAUGGUAAUCAACCAUGUAAAAUAUAGUAACAUAAUUUAUUGGGUUACUGGUUGCAUAAAAGCUAUCAUUUUAUGUCAGAGAAUUAAGGAGUGGUGUAUGGCAUCUCGUAAUAGAUCUAGUCCGUUACCAUAUGUGCCAGUUUCUUUUACCGUGCAUGAGAGCGAAAGUAGUUUUACUACUGGUUACCAUGCAAAACCAUGUAAAUCAUUUGAUAUGCACGGGAAAGAUGUGUGGGCCAGGGGACAGUUAACGAGGAAGGGAGCACUCUGGCAAUUGGUCGUAACUGGCUGGACGUUUUUUACUAGAAUUAGCAAAGGUAUUACGACCAAGUGGAAGAGGAACUGGGUUGCUUGGUCAGACAUGCGCGCCGUUUCCUGGCCGGAGCGUAGAAUUAGGAUUCUGCGCUCAGGCUUAGUUUAGCGCAGCCGUAUAUAUAUAUAUAUAUAUAUAUAUAUAUAUAUAUAUAUAUAUAUAUAUAUAUAUAUAUAUAUAUAAUUUUACAACACAGGUAAUGAUGGAGUAAUAUUUGAAGAAGACACAGACGAAGAUGAAUACAUGUUCACCGGUGAAGGUAUGCUUAAUAACAACAACAACAACAACAAAGCCUUUAGUCCCAAACAAGUUGGGGUAGGCUAGAGGUGAAACCCAUAAGAUCUCGCAACCAACUCAUGGCUCUGGCACAUGGAUAGCAAGCUUCGACGCACCCCUGUCCAUAGCUAGCUCUUUGUCGAUACUCCAAUCCUUCAGGUCUCUCUUAACGGACUCCUGCCAUGUCAAAAUCGGUCGACCCCGCCCUCUCUUGACAUUCUCCGCACGCUUUAGCCGUCCGCUAUGCACUGGAGCUUCUGGAGGCCUGCGCUGGAUAUGCCCAAACCAUCUCAAACGAUGUUGGACAAGCUUCUCCUCAAUUGGUGCUACCCCAACUCUAUCUCGUAUAUCAUCAUUCCGGACUCGAUCCUUCCUCGUGUGGCCACACAUCCAUCUCAACAUACGCAUCUCCGCCACACCUAACUGUUGAACAUGUCGCCUUUUAGUCGGCCAACACUCCGCGCCAUACAACAUUGCGGGUCGAACCGCCGUCCUGUAGAACUUGCCUUUUAGCUUUUGUGGCACUCUCUUGUCACAGAGAAUGCCAGAAGCUUGGCGCCACUUCAUCCAUCCGGCUUUGAUUCGAUGGUUCACAUCUUCAUCAAUACCCCUCGCUUUUGGGUUUCAUCUCCAUAAGAGUGGCUGAGUUUUUACGUUGGCUCGCCAAGCCUAUCACAACCCUCCUCCUUUACCCGGGCUUGGGACCGGCUAUGUUGAGACAACAUAGGCGGAGUUGAAGGUAUGCUUAAUACAAUUAAAAUAAAUUUGCAACAUUACAAUACUACUUACUAAAUUUAAUAUGCUGUAUAUUAAAUCAGAGUGGGGCAGAGAAGUGGAAAUUGAAAUCAUAGAAGGCGAGGAAGACCUCAACCCUGAUCCAUAUGAUCUUGUCUACGGCAACAUACCAACAAGCACAAACGUGCUCGAAAAAGAAGAAGAUUGUUGCUUCUGCCAUGCAACCAAAUUCAAGUAUGAAAGUCAGGGAUUAUGCUGCAAAAAAGGACAGAUAAGACUAGCCAAUCCAAAUACACCACCGGAACUAAUGAGGCUUUGGACAAGCAACGACUCUGAUGCAAGACAUUUUCGGCAAAAUAUAAGAUUUUUCAAUGGGCAUUUCUCGUUUACUACACUAUACUGCCAGCUCGACAGAGACACAACAGACAUGCGAACUGGCCGGUAUUUACACCUUUCGAGCACAUGGUCAAAUAUAUCACAACAUACACUCAUUUGGUAAUAGUCACUCAGAUCCAAAGCAUCUGGAACUAUAUUUCUACGACGAUGAUCCAAGCUUACAGCAUCGAUACCGUCGUUGCCGUGAGGAAAUGUACGAGCAAGACAAGCAUGUGAUUGCAAUAAUAACAGAUAUCCUACGCGGUAACCCGUACUCUCAACAGUUUAGGAGUUUGGGACAAGCCCAAAACCUUGAGGACUACAGACUGAUCUUGAACCUUGACCAGAGAUUGGACCAAAGAACAUACAACGAGCCAAUCAAUUCGGAGGUAGCUGCAGUGUGGAUUGAAGGAAAUGAAAGAAGAGAUACUUAUGACAGAAAUGUAAUAUUACAUGGGAACAACAACGAAAAAGAGCACAUUCGAUCAUAUUACGAGUGCUAUGAUCCGUUAUCGUAUCCUCUAUUCUUUCCAAGAGCUGAACUGGGUUGGCAUAGGAAAAUCCCGAAGAGGGAAACACGAGAGGAAGAUAUUGGUGCUGAAAAUAUCAGUAAUGACGAUGACCCAGGUAAAAAAAAUCAAAUACUAUUAGAUAAAAAUUCAAUUUUCAUAUACUACCACCUAUGCAACUAACUUUUUAUGUUGCAAUAUUUGCACAGAUUCGGCCAAUGGCCUAUGGGUAACAAUGAAAGAAUACUACUGCUAUAAAUUCCAUACAUGACCAGGCAUAUUCAACCCAAUUUUGCAUGGCGGACGCCUUUUCCAGCAGUUUGCUGUAGAUACAUACAUCAAGAUUGAAAGCUCCAGACUGGAUUACAUCUGGCAUAAUCAAAAGAAAAUAAGGGCUGACCUAUACCAAGGCCUUCUAGACAGCAUUCAAGCUGGAGAACAGAAUGGAGAUGCGGUUGGAAAACGGAGUACUUGCCUCGUCAUUUAUUGGAGGACCACGAGAUAAACUUCGUCGAUAUCUCGACGCUAUGGCUUUAGUUAGAAAAUAUGGUAAGCCAGACGUAUUCCUAACAAUGACCUGCAACCCCAACUGGGAGGAGAUAACACGUGAACUAGAGAAUGGACAAACAGCACAAGAUCGCCCAGACAUUGUAGUUCGUGUUUUUAGGGCGAAGCUACAAGAAAUGAAGAAGGAACUAUUUGAGAAGGGCAUUCUUGGAAAGGUUCAGGCAUAUACAUAUGUCGUAGAAUUCCAAAAGAGGGGAUUACCCCAUGCUCACUUUUUGCUCAUCAUGACUCGAAAAUACAAGUACACAUGUCCAGAGCAGUAUGACAGAAUCAUAUCCGCAGAGCUCCCUAACAAGCACAAGUACCCAGAACUAUACAAGAUGGUAAUCAAACAUAUGAUGCAUGGUCCUUGCGGUGCAUUGAACAAAUUUUGUCCAUGCACAAAGAAUCGUCCAUCAUGCAAGAACAAUUAUCCAAGACCAUUUAACGAAACUACGAUUCAAGGCAAGGACUCCUACCCAAUAUACAGGAGACGCAACGACGGCCGGACUGAAACGGUCCGAAAUUGCAAACUAGAUAACAGGUGGGUAGUUCCUUACAAUCCCUAUCUGUUAAGGAUGUUCAACUGCCACAUAAAUGUUGAGAUAUGCUCAAGCAUUAAAGCCGUGAAGUACCUCUUCAAGUACAUCUACAAGGGUCAUGACCGAGCAUCCGUAUCCGUAACAGACAAAGUAGACGAAGAAGAAAUCGACGAGAUUAAGCAGUACAAAGACGCCCGGUGGGUGACACCUCCUGAAGCACUGUGGAGAAUAUAUGGCUUCGAACUAAGUAAAAUGCACCCACCAGUCUUGCAACUGCAGCUACAUCUCCCAAAUAUGCACAUGGUUUCAUAUCAUGGCAUGGAAAAAUUACAGAAUGUUAUCGACCGUGAAGACACGAAAAGAUCAAUGUUGACUGCGUACUUUGAAGCAAACAGAUGGUAUGCAAAAGCACGAGGCAUACUAUACAGAGAGUUUCCGGAACAUUAUACUUGGCAGAGUCAGGGGAAAUUUUGGCAACAGAGGAAGCGAGCCGCUGUGUUCCAGGUUGGCAGGAUCGUCUCAGCACACCCGGCUGAAGGAGAACGAUACUAUCUUCGAGUCCUCCUAAACCACGUGACAGGCGCCACCAGCUACGAAGACCUACGAACAGUCGAUGGACAAGUAAUGCCAACCUUUCGAGAAGCUGCAGAAAAAAGAGGUCUCACUGAGGCAGAUAGCACAUUGGAUGACUGCAUGACAGAAGCGGAGUUGUUUCGGAUGCCAUCAUCGCUACGAAGACUAUUUGCAACAAUCUUGGUUUUUUGCGAGCCCAGCGACGUACGCAGCCUCUGGAACAAACACCUUGAUGCAAUGUCAGAGGACUACAAUAGAAAUUGCAAAUGCAAACACACAGUCGAACAGAUGGUUCUGAAAAAUAUAAGAGACAUGUUGCACUCAAUGGGAAAAGACAUAGAAUCAUUUCCUCUUCCAAAGAUCGAUGAACAGCAUGAGAUGACAGACGACAUACCGAGGGAGAUCAUUGAGGAAACUUCCAUCGAGGUGGAACCCGAGGACACAUCUUUGCAUAAGAACCUAAACAAGGAACAGAAGGAGGCCUACGACGAAAUCCUAUUGACGACCAUAGAGGAGGUAUAUUCUUUGUCGAUGGACCUGGAGGCAUGGGAAAAACUUUUCUUUACAGGGCUCUCUUAGCCACAAUACGCGGACAAGGCAAGAUUGCUGUAGCGACAGCCACUUCCGGUGUUGCUGCUUCAAUAAUGCCCGGAGGGAGGACCGCGCACUCGAGGUUCAAGAUUCCACUAAAAUAGAUGAGGGGGCUGUUUGUGGAUUCACAAAACAGAGUGGGACAGCCAAACUACUGAAAGCAGCAUCACUAAUAAUCUGGGAUGAAGCAUCUAUGACCAAGAGGCAGACAAUGGAGGCGCUAGACAAAAGCAUGCGGGACAUAAUGGACAGGCCAGAACUUCCAUUCGGAGGAAAAACAGUCGUAUUUGGAGGGGAUUUUAGGCAAGUGCUACCUGUUGUCCGAAAGGGAACAAGAGCCCAGAUAGUAGAUUCAUCACUACGCAAGUCUGUCCUAUGGAAUUCAAUGCGUCAACUGAAGCUCGUGCGCAACAUGAGGGCUCAGAAUGACCCGUGGUUCGCAGAAUACCUACUACACAUUGGAAACGGAACCGAGGAGACAAAUGAUGAUGGUGAAAUACAACUACCUACAAGUAUAUGUGUGCCAAAUAAGACGGAUGACAAUAGCCUUGAUAGACUCAUCGACAAUGUCUACAAAACGUGCUUCCCUAAAAGAUCCAAAGUACAUCACAUCAAGAGCAAUUCUAUCAACAGGGAAUGACUCCGUAGACAAAAUCAACCUAAAAAUGAUUGAUCGUUUCUAGGGGGAGGAGAUGGUGUACCACAGCUUCGAUUCGGUAGAAGACGACCCACAUAACUACUAUCCACCAGAAUCCCUAAACACUCUCACCCCAAAUGGACUGCCUCCACAUAUGUUGAAGCUCAAAAUUAAUUGCCCAAUCAUACUACUCAGAAACAUCGACCCUGCUAAUGGACUAUGCAACGGCACGAGGUUGGUCGUACGUGGAUUUCAAAAAAAUACAAUUAACGCAGAGAUUGUGGUGGGACAACACUCUGGAAUGCGAGUUUUCCUGCCCAGGAUACCAUUAUGCCCCUCCGACAAUGACAUGUUUCCGUUCAGUUUCAAGAGGAAACAGUUUCCAGUCAGACUCAGUUUUGCAAUGACAGUAAAUAAAUCACAAGGCCAGACAAUACCAAAUGUCGGCAUCUACCUGCCUGAACCGGUUUUCUCACAUGGUCAACUAUAUGUCGCACUAUCUAGAGCAACCGCGACAUUAAACAUAAAAGUACUAACAGGUACACAUGAUGAGAGCAAGCAGAAGAACAAAAAGACCAGCAUAGACAACACAUACACAAAGGGAGAGAAGAAAAAGAGAAAGAAAAAGACCAGUACAAGCGGGACAUAUACGAAAAAUAUUGUCUACAAGGAGGUCCUAACCAAAUAGGUAAUACAACCUUUCAAUUUCUUCUUCAAAAUUUCAAUUACUACUUGAAAGGAACAUCAUUUAAAAAAACUAAAGUGUUUAUAUUUCAAAUUACAUUCUUCAUUUUCUAACCUUAAACAUACUACUUGGAUUCUACAGAAACAUUGCAGCCAGAUGACAACUUCGCAAUUAGAAUUCAGAACUUCAUCGUCUUCAAGGAGACAAGACUCAUUUGUGUAUAUACAAACAAUUCAUGAUUUCAUUCUCAUGUACAAUGUCCUCAAGAAAAAAAUCAUUCAUAGUUUUAUUAAUCAUGUGUCAACCAAACUCAUAGAUGGUUUUGCUACAACCAACACUUUACUUUCAAUUUAAUUUGUGAUUAUAUCCAACUCCCAAUGCUUAUAUAUAUGUGAUGUACAUAGACUGCUAACCCUGCUCAAACUGAAAUACAUCUAUUUGACAUUUAAAAAUAACCAGAAAGAAUGAAUAUUCAUGCAAAGAGUACCACAAAGCAACAAAACAAAUCACAAAGUAACAAAAGGAGAACAGGAUCAGAUCAAAUUCUAAUUUUUAUGUGAUUCUAAAACGACCCUAAAGCUAACCUAGACUACUGAUAGUUAUUUCACAUAUUAAUUAUUAUCAAACAAAUAUUAAAACUAAAUCUAAUCACACGUGCUUAAGUUGGAUCAAUAUUAAUAGGGGUAGGGGGCUAACACUGCCAAUGCCGGUCCCAAGCCCAGAAAAAAGUGGAAGGGCCAAAAACAAAUUAACACUGCACCUUAAGAUCCCACACAAAGCACAGGCUAGAAUUUUAUAUUAUACUGUCGCUCUGGAUUGUUGUAUCAAUCAGACAGAUAUGAACUUACUCUGUGAAGACAAAGCUGAUGCUUUUGUUUGGUAUACUAACAUUGGUUUAAAAUUUGUUCAAACACUACACGGUGUUAUUCAGAGCUAGAGCAUGAAAAGGAGUUAAUGUGCUUGACACAUGCAGACGGGCCUGAAGAAACUGGUGGAAGAGAAAUGUGUACCUGCUUGAGAUGUAUCCUCUUAGAAAUUACUAUUGGAUAGUAAACAUAAACUGGAACUUCACCAAGCAAUUGAUUUUGGCACAUUGAAGAAAAUGCUCAAAACAAAUUUGGAGCGGAGAGCCUGCAGAUUUGUACCAGGGACAGUUGAACAAUCAAAGAGUAAGGUGAGAUUACAAAAUGUAAUUAAUUAAUCUCCAUUGCAAUCAGAGUGGGGAACAAAAGAGAGAAGAGGGGAAAUGACACGCAUUACCUUUGCAAUAUUGGAGGCGACGUCACGGAAGCAGCGGGGUCGAGGAUGGGUGUGAAGACGAGCUCCCCGUCGCCCUUCUCGAAGAAACUGAGGACGGGGGCCUCCGGUGGUGGGCGACGAAGCGGCGGCUGAAGGAGGGGGCGGUGGCGACGCCUCCGCGUAGCUUGGAGACGAGGGAGGCGCGGAGGAGCGAGGAGGGCAGCGGGGGGACGCGGAGGAGGAUCUCCCCGAGGAGGUCCUCGUCGUCCAGCGGCGCGGCCGUCGACGGGUGGCGGCGGCGGAGUGCUAUCUCGUCGCCGCCGGCCUCGUGGCUCAUCUAUGUGGGGCUCGACUGGAGGGAGACGCUUUUUUCUUUUGAGAAUACUGGAGGGAGACGCAUAGGAGGGGUGAGGAAUACACGGGCUGGCCUCACUUGAAAAGCUCACUGACCCUUGGAUUACGGCCCAACAAACAUAGAAAAAAACCCUAUGCUUUUAUAACCCUAAAAAACAAUUACCUAUGCUUCUUUUGAGGGUGAAAAAAAAGAUGCCUAUAUUUUUUUGUGAGGGUUAAAAAAAUGUCUAUGCUGAUUCAUAAUGUUAGUGUUUCUCUGGAAGAACUAAUGUUACAGUUUUCUCUCUAACUAUCCAGGAGGACGAGCUCUGCAGAGAUCUACGAGGAAGCCGGUGUCGGCGUUCUGGAAACGGGGUCCCCAGACUUGCCUGCCUGCGGCCUGCGGCGUGGCUCAAAGGGGGGCCCAGCGCGGCCCAUCUUCAUCAACACAGACCCAAGACCCUCGCGAGGGGCCAAGCCUCGCGGGGAGGACGACACGGAGCUUACUCAGGCACGGCCUCAUCAGGCUGGCUCGCGAGGAGGCGGAGAAAUCAAGGCGGGGUACCUCACGAGGUGCCCGUGACGCAAGCCAUGACGACCAAGGGUGCCAGGCGGGCGCCAGCCCGCGCAGUGUCCUCCUUUCCUCUUUGGUGCAAAGGGAGCAAGCGCAGGCGAGAGCAUCAAGCAAAGGCACCCGUUUCGGUGCAACGAGACCAAGACCAGCCCAACGGCAGGGAGGAAGUCAUUGUGGAGCCCAAGCCAGCGUCACCACCAGAGUCUUUGGCAGGCGAGGACCAACUUUAGUCAGGACAAGUGUACCCGAUGUUCCCCUUCAAAAUGGCCAAUUGUUGGCGCCCUUCCCGCUCAAUAUUUGGGAAGAGGCCCAGGGCCUUUGCCUAUAAAUAGGACUAGCCAUCCCCAGAUGAGAUAAGAGAGAGAGACCAAGGGGAGAAGAAGAGAUCAUCAGGAAGAGAGAGAGAGAGAGACCAAGGGGAGAAGAAGAGAUCAUCAGGAAGAGAGUGAGAUCAGAUCGGCCAAUCCAGAAACAAGCUGGGAUCGGAUCGAGUAGCAUCACACAGAGAGAAAGAAGGGUAACUGAACUCCUCCUAGCAGUUCAUCGCCCCAGCCAAGAACAGACCCUCGCAAGGCUGUUCUUCCUUGUAUUGCUCAUCAUCAUCAGCCCAAGAGGCAAUCCACCAAACCACACUGGAGUAGGGUAUUACACCACAACGGUGGUCCGAACCAGUAUAAACCCUGUGUCUCUUGUGUUGUUCUUUCCAUAGCUUAGAUCUUGGCGAGGCGGUGGGGUGCAGGUAGGUAGAAGGCGAAAUCUCCGCGUGCACCCCAGUGUUCGAACAUCAAGGGUCUGCCGGAACCCGAAAUCCGACAUUUGGCACCCUAGGUAGGGGUGCGCCGGAAUUCGUCUUCCACCGCCUCGUACUCCUCCGACCAUCGCGUCCAUGUCUGACGCUCGUCGGGCCCGCGCCGAGCGCCGAGCCGCUCUCGCCUCCCGUCGCCCAGACGGCUCCCGUCGGCGGGCGUCCUCGCCGUUCCCCGUCACCUGUCGUCAACGCCUCCACCGGCCCGGCGGGAAACGAGCAGCAAGCAUUGUCUCAGCACCCGUCCGUGCGGCAAGACGGCUGCACCGCUACUCCCUCGCUCAUCCCAGCUGGUUCUUCGUCCCGCGCGCUCCGCGCACCCAUGGAGGCUCGAGCUACGCUCAUCGCGGCAAACGAGCUCCUGCGCUACCGUCCCAUCGACGACGUCUACGAAGAGUGGCUCGACCGCGUCGCCGAGCUCGUCCGUGCCGCAGGAGGCUCUCCUGCGCCGUCCGUUCCGCUGCAUCGCACCCCGUCCUGCGCGGGCGACGAAGCUCCGGGGGCGCCCCAGAUGCCUCCUCCUCAAGAAGGCGCCCAGGCCCCAAGGCGCGUGGCCCCUGGGCGGAACCCGCUCUGUCAAGUGCCAGCGCGGCAAGAGCAGAGCUGCCAAGAAGUCCCUCGCCCGCAAGAAGCUGCCCGGGCGCUCCCUGCUCCAGCACGUUGCGACCAUGCUCCUGCUCCCGCACGUCAAGACCCCGUGCUGCUCCCAGCUGCAGCGCGUGGGGACCUGCAAGACCAAGCUCUCCGUCACCCAAGGCCUCCUGUGGCCACAGCAGGCUGCCGUGCCUUCACCACCGAGCUGCGCAGCGUCGCGUGGCCCGGCAAGUUCAAGCCAGACCUGCCUCCUCGUUACAAUGGCACGACCGACCCUGCGGAGUUCCUCCAGCUCUAUGAGCUGGGCAUCGAAGCUGCCAACGGAGACGAGAAGGUCAUGCCGAACUGGUUUCCCAUGGCGCUCAAGGACGGGGCCUGCACCUGGCUCCUGAACCUAGGUCCAGGCACGAUCUCCUCCUGGGACAAGAUGCGCACCCGCUUCAUCGCCAACUUCCAAGGUACUCGCGACCGGCCACCCACCGUGAGCGACAUGCGCCGCAUCGAGCAACAACCCAGAGAGACCCUGCAGAAGUACAUCCAGCGCUUCAACAACGCACGUCUCAAGAUUCCCAAGGUGACCGAGGAGGCCAUCAUCUCAACCUUCUCCGACGGCAUGCGCGACGUCAAGAUGAAGGAGGAGUUGGCGAUGCAUGAAGACAUGUGCACUUCCUUGGAGCUGUUCAACUUGGCGACCAAGUGCGCCAGGGCUGAGGAAAGGCGUCUCUCCCUCCUCGAGCUGCCUGUCAUAGACCCAGAAGAGAAGAAGCCCAAGGCCAAGGAUGUGAAGCGCAAGGGGGCUGCCGUGCUCGCGGCAGAACCAGACACCAAGCGGGGCAGAGACCAGCCCGAAUCUUCCAAGGGCAUUCGGUACUCAGGGCCGGUCCUGAGAUUUUGGGGGCCCGGGGCGAACAUAAAAUUUGGGGGCCCUUUAAUGUGAACAUCAUAUGCAUAUUAUCUUCAAAUUUUCUUGUAACAUGCUUCAAAGCAAAGUCACUUAUGAUUGUGUCGAUUUCAAUGUGCUCCACUUCUCAAUGGAUAAUGUUGGCUAACGAUUUAAGAUGUUUCAGGUAAUUGUUUAUCCCAAAUGGCUCUAAAAUAAUUUCAAAUCUGAAAAGCUAUUUUUUUAUCUGAGAUGCAACAAUCAUACAUAGUAAACAUGAUUAAAUCUUUAAACACUAUGAUUUUCUUAAAUCCUUUACUUGAGUGAAGCGAUUCAUAUCAACCAAAGCAAACAAAUAUUUAACAUGCAAAUCCUUCACAGCUUCUAGCAUUUUAUUUUGGCAACUACUUUUAUCAAAUUGUUUCUUCUUGAAGCACGAAGUAUUACUUGAAACUGUAGGAAAUAGGAAUAUGAUGUACAAUACCUUAGAUUGAUUAGAUCGGCGUCAAUCAUUGGACGCUCGGCGAUGAUGUGAUCUCAAUUUCUGGUGGCAACCACUCGGUGAUGUACGUGUGCGCCCCACUCCGGCUGGGCGAACUUCGUGUUGCGUGGUCACCGCAUUCAGCGCCUGGAGACCAAUCAGCCCUCCACGACUUGGGAACUAGAGUUUGGAGUCUGCAGAGAACAAAGAAUAUAGGAAAUUACGGAUGAAAUCACGUCACAAGAUCGUUUUUCUUUUGGAGGGACAUUGUCUCACGGUAGUAAGGAAUAAAACGAACGGGGCGACGUGAUUUACGUGUGUUGUGCCAAUUUGUUUCCUCACGACCGUACGCUGAUUUACGUGAUUUCCGUGCGUACGCUACCUUCCGUCUACCUGGGCUACUGCCAUUUUUCCACGUGAAGCUAUGGUCUGGGUUACUUACCUUUAUGCGUACAUUACAGAUUACACCUGGGUGGGGGCCCCAAGAUCAUGGGGGCCCGGGGCGGCCGCCCCCUCUGCCCCCCCUCAGGGCCGGCCAUGUCGGUACUGUGUGUACCACGACCUCCACACCCACAACACCAACGAAUGUUAAGACCUCCGAGCCGUGCAAGAAGGAAGGAUCGGCCAUCGUCCCGACCGCGGUGACCGAGGCUACAAUCGAGGAGGAGGAAGAAACGCAGGACGCUGGGAAGACCGCUGCCCGCGCCAAGGGUGGCGCGAUCGACCUCGCGAGGAUCGCUGGCAAGACCUGCCUCGCGAGGGAGACUGGAGGGAUCAGCCUCGCGAGGAUCGCCCGCAAGGCAACGCAGGCCUCCCUCCACUGCCGCCGCAGCCAAGGAGAAACGAGGACCGCCAUCAGGACGAGGGGGUUGGGGGCUUCCAGGAGCCGCGCGCGAUCGCCUGCAUCCUGGGCGGGGCUCAAGCCCCAGCCUCUCAGCGCAUCUUCAAGUAGUUCGCCCGCGAAGUGAAUGCAGUCCUCCCCAAGCCCGAAGCCACGCGCCCUCUCAGGUGGUCAGCGUGCGCCAUCACGUUCAGCUCAGCGGAUCAGCUUAAGUGUGCGGCCACAGCCGGAGUCCUCCCGAUGCUUUGUUCCCCAAUCAUCAGCAACGUGCUGGUCACCAGGACCCUCAUCGAUAGCGGGGCAGGGCUCAACGUCCUGUCCGUGGAAACAUUCAACAAUCUCCAAGUGCCCUACAACCAGCUUCAGCCAACCAAGCCUUUCUCCGGAGUCACCGAUGGCUCCACGGUCCCGAUUGGGCAGGUCCGCCUCCCUGUCACCUUCGGAGCGCGCAACAACUACCGCUCACAUUCGCCUGCCGUACAACGCCAUCCUUGGGUACCCAGCGCUGGCCAAGUUCAUGGUUGUGACUCACCAUGGCUACAACGUCCUCAAGAUGCCAGGAAGUGGCGGAGUCAUCACGGUGCCCUGUGAAGAGAAGGACGCGGUGUGUUCCCUGGAACGAGCCUUUCAGGCCGCAUCACCAGAAGACCCGGAUCGCGGAAGCAGGAGGCUUCCUGCCAGUGUCAAAACCGGCGGAUCUCGGGUAGGGGGUCCCGAACUGUGCGUCUAGGCGGAUGGUAACAGGAGACAAGGGGCACGAUGUUUUUACCCAGGUUCGGGUCCUCUCGAUGGAGGUAAAACCCUACUCCUGCUUGAUUAAUAUUGAUGAUAUGGGUAGUACAAGAGUAGAUCUACCACAAGAUCAAGGAGGCUAAACCCUAGAAGCUAGCCUAUGGUAUGAUUGUUGUAUAAUGAAGUCGUCCUACGGACUAGAACCCUCCGGUUUAUAUAGACACCGGAUAGGGUUAGGGUUACACAGAGUCGGUUACAAUGGUAGGAGAUCUUGAAUAUCCGCAUCGUCAAGCUUGCCUUCCACGCCAAGGAAAGUCCCAUCCGGACACGGGAUGAAGUCUUCAAUCUUGUAUCUUCAUAGUCCUGGAGUCCGGCUGAAGGUAUAGUCCGGCUACCCGAACACCCCCUAAUCCAGGACUCCCUCAGUAGCCCCUGAACCAGGCUUCAAUGACGAUGAGUCCGGCGCGCAGAUUGUCUUCGGCAUUGCAAGGCGGGUUCCUCCUCCAAGUCCUUCAAGAAGAUUUUAAACACCAAGGAUAGUGUCCGGCUCUGCAAAAUAAGUUUCCCCAUAUUGCCAUAGAGAGAAUAUUAUCAACACAAAUCUAAUCUGGUGACGCAUUCCGCAGCGUGACAUCAUACUACGGCCAAGUCCUUUACUCGAACCGUUUUUACUUUUCCACCUCAGCACGUUUAGCGAGGCGGUUUCCUUGGCACGUCUUGUCAAAGCAGAGAUCGUGUGCCCCCUUUUACGGGAUUCUCAUCAAUACGGAUGUGGGUAACCCAACUGUGCCAUUUAUCACGGUGCUUGGGAGGCAAGCGAGUUUUACUAGGCUGGUGGGGAUGCACAACCGCAUCUGCCCAUAUAAGGGGAUAAGGAUCCACCUUUUUACCUACGCCUUCUUCCUCCUUUGCCUAUUCAUCUCUUGCACACUCGAGCUCUAGCGCCCAAGCCCGCGCUGCCUACCUCAACCUCCUCCAGCAAUGUCUGGAGCGGGAGGCAAGUGGAUGGUCUCCUCCGUCACGAAGGGCCAUGUCAAAAAGCUAAGGAAGGCCGGAUACUUGUCCAAGGACAUCGCGCACCGGCUUCCCGAGGAAGGGCAGCUUCUCCCCACCCCAAGGCCCCAUGAGAGGGUAGUAUUCCUUCCCCACUUCCUCCACGGACUGGGUUUCCCACUCCACCCAUUUGUCCGGGGGCUCAUGUUCUACUAUGGCCUGGAUUUCCACGAUCUGGCCCCGAACUUCGUCCUCAACAUCUCGGCGUUUAUCGUCAUGUGCGAGGCUUUCCUCCGCAUCCGCCCCCAUUUCGGCCUCUGGCUCAAGACCUUCAACGUCAAGCUCAAGGUGGUGUGCGGCAGCCAGGCGGAGUGCGGAGGCGCCAUGGCGGGCAAGAUGGCCAACGUCCUAUGGCUCGAGGGCUCCUUUGUGGAGACCCUGAAGGGGUGGCAAUCAUGGUGGUUUUACAUCACCGAGCCGCGCGAUCCAAAAUGGAUCGCAGCCCCCGAGUUCCGAUUCGGACCCCCCACGCAGCUUAUGUCCUGGAAAGAGACGGGCCUGUCGUGGGGCGAUGAAAAAGAGGUGACCGGAUUGCAGACAUGCAUCCAGUCCCUGGUGAGCAAGCCGAUCAAGCUUGUCAAUGUAGUCCAGGUUAUGCUCAUCCGCCGGAUCCUCCCGUGUCAACAAAGGGGCUUUAAUCUGUGGGAGUUCGACCCGGCGCAGCACCAAACCCUUAACCGGCUCUUCGACACGACGUAUGAAGACGUCUGGAAGGUGCUAACCAAAGGCGCCGAGGCUCCCACAUCCGCUUCCAAGGACCGAGGAUACAGCUCGCAGCUUCAUGCUAGCGAGGUAAGCUAUUUUCACCUUUUACAAGAUGUUAAGUUUCUUCGUAGUUUGACUCUAUGUGGGAUCUAAACUCCCUCACCUUUGACAGGCUUGGCAGGCGCAGUCCGGAUCGAUUAACUGUCCGGCUCCCUUGACCGAAGACCCAGCCCCUGCUCUCCUAGUGAAGCUGCUGGUUCCGGCGCCUUAUGUCAUGCCGGAGAAGAAGGCCAAGAAGAAGAAGGCCACGGGGACUCGAAAGAGUACCCGUAAUGUGGUGGUGUCGGACUUGUCAUCCGACGAGUCCGAGACGCUCUCCUCCCGUGAGAACGAGGAGGAGGAAGAAGAACACUCUCCCCCUCCAACGGGGGGAGGAAAGAAAAGGAAGGCCGCCCCAACGGGGGAGGCCGAAGGGUCCAGGAAGAGGAAGACCCCUCCGCCGAACUACUCCCCCGACGCCGAAGAUGACGAAGAGGAGUGGCCAGAUAGGGCCAAGCAUCCGGCGAAAUCAUAAGUAUUCGGAUAUCAGAGUAACUCAUGACGUUCCUUUGUUGCACAGCCUUCCCUAAUGUCGAACAUAAUUGUGCAGCCCGCCCCGGGCCGAACUCAAGGAGUCGUCGAGCGGCUCCCUGGAUUCAUCGGACAUGAACUAAGUUCCGCCCGCUGCUUCCCCCGCACUGCGGAUGACGCCAAAGUGUCGUCGCAACGAGCUCCGGGGCAGGAGGAGGUGGUCCUGGAGGAGCCGCAAGGCGACCUCCCGGACUCUAGGAGUAAAGGGGACAAGACCCCCCAGGGCUCCAAGUCUGGCUUUGUGCCGGACACCGCGCCGGAAUCUUCAACAGUUCCGGACCGCGAUAGGCGAACUCCUUCCAAGAGGAGCAAGCCUUCUGAGCCGGCAGCCUCCGUCCAACCGAAGGUGCCGGACAAUCUGCUGGAGGUGCUUGACGGCGCCUUCAUCGACGAGGGGCACCGUACUAUUAUGAGUACGGUGAUCCAGAAGGUUCAGUCCGCCAAGAGUGGACUGAGUGAAGCUUGCGCUAGCCUUCUAACAGGCUUCGAGGUAAGUAAAAAAAUAUGUAAGAAUAUAACCGCAUAGACAGUAGCCCCUGAUGCUCUGUUUGGCGUUCGGAAAGAAAAGCCGAAUAGAGGAUCUAUUAAAUUUCGCAGGAGUCUAACAACAAAGAGUCAAUAUGCGUAUGCAGGCUUUGCUGCUAGCCACCGCCGCACUGACUGCGGAGGUGGGUGCCCUGAAACAGGGACUCGAGCGGACCGAACAAGAGCUCGGCCUUGCCAAGCGGCAGCUUGAGGAGAAAGAAGGUAAGAAAUACCUUACAGAAAAAAAUGCCUAUAAAAAGACGUGAUUGAAAAAAAAUAACAGGAUUGUACUGCUUAUUGUAGGGGCCACGACUGAGGUGGCGACCCUCAAGCAGGCGCUGUCCGAGGCUGAAAAGAAAGCGAUCGCGGAGCGCACCGAGCGAGAGAAACUUGAGGCCCGGGUCAGUGAGGUGCAGCAAGAGCUUCAGGCUCUCAUGAAAAAACAUGAGAGUCUAGAGCUUGAGUCAAAGACGCAAGCGUCCGAGCUCGCGGCGGCCCUUGAGACUGCCAAGUCUGCCAAGGCCGAAGCCCAAAAGGCCCUCCAAGAGUUGGAGGAGAUGAAAAAGAUAGCAGCGGGUAAGGAAUUCUUUAUGCAAAGCAGAAAUAUAAAAGUAAACUACUUGUUACUUACCCGAAUCCGGAGCUCUCCAGGGGCAUUCGCAAAUCUUCCCCGCAGCGUAUCCAACGCCGCCGCAUUCUACCGAGCUAAAGAGGGCAGCUCGACGGAGAAGGUGUUCUGGUCUCAGUAUGCUGAGGCCGGACACCCUGUGCCCUUGAGCGACCAGCUGAAACAGCUGGUCGAGCUCCACAAGGUGGCCGAACAGGCUAUGAAGGGCUUCAUAGUUCGGCUGUGGCCCGGAGAGGCCCUGCCUGGGAGCUACUUCGGGCUGGUGCGGCAGCUGGUGGAGGCCUGUCCAAGGCUCGAGGUCAUCAAGCGCUCCGUCUGCAUCGAAGGUGCCCGUAGGGCCCUUGCCCGUGCAAAGGUGCACUGGGGUAAGCUGGACGGUGAGAAGCUUGUUAGGGACGGGCCGCCGCCGGGGAAGGAGCAUCGCAAGCCCGAGAACUACUACAAGGAUGUUCUUGCGGGUGCCCGCCUUGUGGCGGAUGAGUGUACCAAGGAUGUAAUUUUUGAAUGAACUCGCUCGUGUUUAUCCUGUGCGCUGAAAACUUGUUCAUAUGCGCUAAGCAAUGCUUGUUGAAUUUAAAAUAUUACUUUAUGUGCGGCCGUUUAUCAAAUAAUUGAGAGAUGGCCAGUCGUCGGCUUCUGCCCCCAUGCCACUAGUGCUGGGGUGUUCGGGAUAAACCUGAGCGCUCUUUUUCCCAUAGUUGGGUCUUUCGAGGGAGGCGCUUAGCACAACGAACCAGGCAAUCAGACUAUAAUGCUUGAACACUCUCACUUAGUCAUAGAACUCUAUAAUUUUAAAUUUUGGCGAAGCCCCUAGUUCGGAAGACCGAGUUCGGGGCGCUAUCCACACCUUAGCCGGACAAAGCCGGCUCCUCGCUCGAAGCGGCAUAAGUCUUUAGGGACUCGAAAAACCUCUCGAACAGCGACCGGUCUCUCGCCUCAUCAUGACAGUCAGUUUUAGCUUUCUCCACUGAGGUGCUUAACCCAGCUCAAUUGGGGCACAAUCGCAGUGGUUCUCCUAGUGCUACCUUAGCCGAUAUAGCGGAACGUAAGACACCAAAACAUAGGAGCCGGGCAAACCCAUCUAUUGACCCAAAUCAUGAUUCAGAGCCGAUGCAUAUAGUGCUAUAAGUUUGGGGUGCCGCACUUGUGAAAGUGUACGGGCUUCUCACACCAUAUUGAGGGGUACUGAAGCCCCUGGUGUGUUUGUCGUACCAUGGUGUACGGGUGCAACAUGUCAUUUAAUAAACAUAUAUAUGAAAGGAGGAUAAUGCAAAAAAUAGACAAAAAGCUAUGCAUUGUUAAUAGAAAGGCUGCUAUCAAAGUAGAACGAUACAAAUAGUGCGAUAGGCAAAAGAUAUUGGGCUAUUUAACAUGUCCUGGCCAGGAGCAGGCCGCGGAAUUGUAUGCCAAAACAGGUAUACUGCUCGUAACAGAGACCACAUGGGAGUUCCAUAAUGCGGCAUGGCUUGUCUGCGUCCCUGGAUCUUGCAUCGUUUGUGCGGUAGUUGAAUUGCCGAACAGGUCGUCCGAAGUAUGGAGUCCUGAAAGUAAGAGAAAAUUAAAAAAAGAAUUCGCUAGCCCCUAGUACGUUUUAAGUUGUAUUUUGGGUUUGCCGUUAUUGUGCCCCUUCCCCUGCGCCCAUGGUAUUUCAAGAGCGUAGUUAUGUACGCGAGGCACUGGUUUCGCUAUGUCGCGAGGGCUGGGGUUGGGGCCGCAUUGCUACACCUGCUCAGAACGUGCCAGGCGGUCUUGUUGUAGGUUACUCCGAGCGUGCUUGGCAGUGUCUGGCUUUUUAACGGCCGGACUGGAGAAUUGCCUAAGAAGGCUGCUUUGUACUUCCGCUGCGAGGACCGCCGUAUGCUCCUCCGUACGGAGGGAGCGUUCGGUGUUUCCGUUGACCGUGAUUACUCCUCGAGGGCCUGGCAUCUUGAGCUUGAGAUAUGCAUAGUGCGGUACCGCAUUGAACUUUGCAAAUGCGGUUCGCCCGAGCAGGGCGUGAUAGACACUGCGAAACGGGACUAUAUCGAAGAUUAACUCUUCGCUUCGGAAAUUGUCCGGGGACCCGAAGACCACUUCAAGUGUUACUGAGCCUGUACAGUUGGCCUCUACACCUGGUAUAAUGCCUUUAAAGGUCAUUUUUGUGGGCUUAAUCCUCGAGGGAUCUAUGCCCAUUUUCCACACUAUAUCCUGGUAAAGCAGGUUCAGGCUACUUCCGCCGUCCAUGAGGACUCUUGUGAGAUGAAAUCCGUCGAUAAUUGGGUCGAGAACCAAUGCGGCGAAGCCGCCGUGACGGUUGCUAGUGGGGUGGUCCCUUCGAUCAAAAGUGAUCGGGCAGGAGGACCAUGGGUUGAACUUUGGGGCGACUGGCUCCAUCGCGUAUACGUCCCGUAGCGCAUGCUUCCGCUCCCUCUUGGGAAUGUGGGUAGCGUAUAUCAUGUUCACCAUCCGCACUUGUGGGGGAAAACCCUUCUGUCCACUGUUGUUCGGUGGCCUGGGCUCCUCCUCGUCAUUGCUAUGCAACCCCUUGUCUUUAUUUUCGGCUCUUAGCUUGCCUGCCUGCUUGAACACCCAACAAUCCCUGUUGGUGUGAUUGGCCGGCCUUUCGGGGGUGCCAUGUAUCUGGCACAAGCGGUCGAGUAUUCGGUCCAAACUGGACGGGCCCUGAGUAUUCUUUUUGAAUGGCUUUUUCCGUUGACCGGAUUUAUAGCCUCUGAAUCUGGCAUUAACUGUCGUGUCUUCGUUGCUGUUGCUGCUAACGCAGCGCUUUCGCUUAUUCCGACGUGUACUACCACUUUUGUCCUUGGUAUCCGAAUUACCAAGGUUCUUUGCUAAGUUGUUACUGCGAGCUAGCCAGCUGUCUUCUCCCGCGCAAAAGCGGGUCAUGAGUGUCGUGAGGGCUGCCAUGGACUUUGGCUUUUCCUGUCCCAGGUGCCGGGCGAGCCACUCGUCGCGGAUAUUAUGCUUGAAGGCUGCUAGGGCCUCUGCGUCCGGACAGUCGACUAUCUAGUUUUUUUUGUUAGGAACCAUGUCCAGAAUUGUCUGGCCGAUUCCUCUGGCUGCUGAAUUAUGUGGCUUAAGUCAUCGGCAUCCGGUGGUCGCACAUAAGUGCCCUGGAAGUUGUCGAGGAAUGCGGCUUCUAGGUCCUCCCAAGAACCGAUUGAGUCUCCUGGCAAGCUGUUAAGCCAAUGUCGGGCCGGUCCCUUAAGUUUGAGCGGGAGGUAUUUGAUGGCGUGUAGAUCAUCGCCGCGGGCCAUGUGGAUAUGGAGGAGAUAAUCCUCAAUCCAUACCGCAGGAUCUGUUGUUCCAUCAUAUGAUUCGAUGUUUACGGGUUUGAAACCCUCUGGGAUUUUAUGAUCCAUUACUUCGUCUGUGAAGAAUAAUGGGUGUGCGGCGCCUCUAUACUGGGCUAUAUCACGACGCAGCUCGAAGCGGCUAUGUCUGUUGUGUUUGGCCCGGCCGGAUUUGUUGUAUCCGAAAUGAAGAUCACCGUCACGUGCCGUGGGGCGCCUGCUCGAUCCGUAGAUCGAUCUUGUUUGUCUUGCCUUGUCCUCCAGUACGUCUCGCAGGUCUGGUGCAUUUUCCCGUGCCUUGGUUGAACGGCGCCGGGGCAUGGCUUGGGUGGAGGGCCGAGAGGCCUCUCUGUCGCGGCCGUGAGGUGGCCGGUCGGCCAUGUCGUGCACUGGUGAUGUAGGUGCUUCCUCCUCUGAUCGGGGUAGCGGCCUGCGCUUUGGGUAACUCUUGGAGGGGCGUUCGAGUUCAUACUCUUCGGCUGCAAGGACUUCGGUCCAUCUGUCAGCUAGCAAAUCUUGAUCACCUCAUUUGGACUCUCCUAGCUCCCUCUAUGCCUAUUUAUAGCCCCUCCUCCGAAAUCUCGGGUUCAUUUCGUCCCUAACCCUAGAUCCACUCGUCCUCUCGCGCGCCGGACAUAUUCCCGCCGACGGACAUUGUCCGCCCAACACCGCCGCCUCCCUAUCCCGCUGCGCCACGUGGCCUCCGCCACCUACCACUGCCGCCGGCCCGGGAGGCCCGAUCCGGGCCCCCGCGAGCCCGAAGUCCCCGCCGCCAGGCCGCCUCCCUCGGCUCAGGCGGGCGUCNNNNNNNNNNNNNNNNNNNNNNNNNNNNNNNNNNNNNNNNNNNNNNNNNNNNNNNNNNNNNNNNNNNNNNNNNNNNNNNNNNNNNNNNNNNNNNNNNNNNNNNNNNNNNNNNNNNNNNNNNNNNNNNNNNNNNNNNNNNNNNNNNNNNNNNNNNNNNNNNNNNNNNNNNNNNNNNNNNNNNNNNNNNNNNNNNNNNNNNNNNNNNNNNNNNNNNNNNNNNNNNNNNNNNNNNNNNNNNNNNNNNNNNNNNNNNNNNNNNNNNNNNNNNNNNNNNNNNNNNNNNNNNNNNNNNNNNNNNNNNNNNNNNNNNNNNNNNNNNNNNNNNNNNNNNNNNNNNNNNNNNNNNNNNNNNNNNNNNNNNNNNNNNNNNNNNNNNNNNNNNNNNNNNNNNNNNNNNNNNNNNNNNNNNNNNNNNNNNNNNNCGGCCGCGCCGUCCCCGCCGCCUCUUCGACCCCCGCCGGCCGGAUCCGGUGAGGUCCGGGCCCGGGAGACCUCGCCGCCGUUCGUCCCGCUUCGGCCGCCGUCGUCUCCGUCAUCUCCGGCGACCUCCGUGAACAGUGCAGCGCCGCGCCUCGGUUUCCGUGCAACCCUAGAUCUGGGGUUGUUUUUUUCUCUAAGUCUUUAAAUUUUCAGUUCAAGUUGCUCUGUUCGAGGCUCCGUAACUUUGCACCCGUAGCUCCGAUUCAUGCAUAUAGUAUAUCAAAAUGUUCGUCUCGACGAGUAGAUCAUUUCAUUCCAUUGCAUCAUUUUCAUUUGAGUUCAUCUUGAUGCCCGAAAUGCUGUUACAAGAGGGCUUCGUGAGUUAAUUGUCAGAUCUGCUAGUUCAUCUUAGACUUUUGUCAUUUUUGCCAUGAUUAUUGUGUGCAUGAUAUGCCUGUGAGUCCUCAUAUGUUUUGUUAAGCAUCUUGUUAUCUUUCCAGAGGUGCAACCCAUGCAUUUUUAGGAUGUGUGUGGUGACUUGUGUAAGCUUGCAAAGUGAGGCACCCGGUAAAUCUGUUUUCAGGGACUUAGUAGUUUUCACUAAGUCUGGGAUUAUUUAGUUCAUGAUGCCAUAUGUUCAGCUUGUUUCCUAGUGAUCCGUGCCUCUUUUGAGGAUGAUCAGUAAAGGAGUUUUGUUAAUCAUGUUAUGCUCUAUCCAUCCAUGUCUUUUUUUGCAAUUAUGGAGCACCCUAGCUUGAUUCAAUCAAGCUCUACUUUUGCUUCGUUGUGAAUCUGGGCAGAUCGUCAACUUGUUUGCAAUUUUGCCGAUGCUAUUGUAGUUGAUCCGUGCAUGCUAUGCCAUUGUUCUUGCCAUGUCUAGCUAGCAUUUUGUGCCUUCUUAAUGUAUGUAUGCUUGCCUUGCCAUGACUUGCACCGUAGUGAGUGCAUCGAGCUCGUUUACAUGCCUUCGUGAGUUAUAUUUCAGCAUGUCUCAGUUUUCACUAAGUCUGAAAACUGAUUGUGUUUUAGCUAUGUUCGUGUGCCCGUUAGUAUAUUUUGUGAACCCUUUUGGCCCCAGGUCACUAAGGGACUUUUGUUAAGCUUGUUGAAUAGCUCCAUGCCAUGUCUUUCUUUGUCAUGUUCAGGUCCUGUAGCAUGUUGUUUUAUUGCUCCGAAGAGGGCUUCAUGAUCUGAAAUUUCAGACAAGUGUUAAUUUCACUAAGUCUGGAAUCUGUUUUGCAUUUGCGUUUUUGCCAUGCUUGUUUGAACCGCAUAAUGGAUGAAUUGGCCGUGGCUCAGUGCUAGUCUUUUGUUAAGCAUCUUGUGGGAAUCCCUGCCAUGUAUUUUGUUGUCAUGUUUGGUGGUUGUAGCAUGUUCAUUUCGUUGCAUUUAGAUGCCUACUUGCUGUAAAUCGCAGACCGGUGUCAUUUUUGAAACGCUUGCCAUUUCCAAACCGUAACUCCGAUUCCGGCGUUCUUUAUAUCGUUUUCAAGCGAUUUCAUCCCAUAUUUCCAGUGGCACACUUGGUUUUCCAAGUUGAGGCCAGCUUCAUGCAUUUCCUGUCGUAUCUUGCAUUUUGCAUCCCGCGUCGCAUCCCGCAUAGCAUAUCAUCAUUGCAUCAUAUCGCUUGAUCCUUGCACGUGGUUGAUUGUGUCCUUGUUGCUUGUUUGCCUUGUUUGGGUAGAGCCGAGAGACGAGUUUGCUAACGAGGAGCCUGUUGAUUUUGCUUUUGAGGAUCCAGUCAACUCUGACAACUAUGCAGGCAAGAUGAUCAUACCCUCGAAAUCACUACUAUCUUUGCUAUGCUAGUUUGCUCGCUCUUUGCUAUGCCAAUGCUAUGAUGCCUACCAUUUGCUUGUCAGCCUCCCAAAUUGCCAUGUAAAACCUCUAACCCACCAUGUCCUAGCAGACCGUUGAUUGGCUAUGUUACCGCUUUGCUUAGCCCCUCUUAUAGCGUUGCUAGUUGCAGGUGAAGAUUGGAGGCCGUUCCUUGUUGGAACAUUUAUUUACUUGUUGGGAUAUCACUAUAUUGCUAUGUUAUCUUAAUGCAUCUAUAUACUUGGUGAAGGGUGGAAGGCUCGGCCUCUCGCCUAGUGUUUUGUUCCACUCUUGCCGCCCUAGUUUCCGUCAUAUCGGUGUUAUGUUCCCGGAUUUUGCGUUCCUUACGCGGUUGGGUUAUAAUGAACCCCUUGAUAGUUCGCCUUGAUUAAAGAUUUUCCAGCAAUGCCCAACAUUGGUCUUACCAUUUGCCACCUAGGCUUUUCUUUCCCUUGGGUUCUGCAGACUCAAGGGUCAUCUUAUUUUAACCCCCCCCAGGCCAGUGCUCCUCUGAGUGUUGGUCCAAACUAGAGCCCCUUGCAGCGCCACCUCGGGGAAACUCGAGGGCUGGUUUUAGUUGUACGGAUUGCUUAUCUGAGUGUGCCCUGAGAAAGAGAUAUGUGCAGCUCCUAUCGGGAUUUGUCGGCACAUUCGGGCGGUGUUGCUGGUCUUGUUUUAACCUGUCGAAAUGUCUUGUUGUACCGGGAUACCGAGUCUGAUCGGUGUGUCUCGGGUGGAGGUCUAUUCCUUCGUUGACCGUGAGAGCUUGUCAUGGGCUAAGUUGGGACUCCCCUGCAGGGAUUGAAAUUUCGAAAGCCGUGCCAGCGGUUAUGGGCAGAUGGGAAUUUGUUAAUGUCCGGUUGUAGAUAACUUGAACUAAACUUAAUUAAAAUGAAUCAACUGAGUGUGUUACCGUGAUGGCCUCUUCUCGGCGGAGUCCGGGAAGUGGACACGGUGUUGGAGUAAUGUUUGUGCAGGUUGCUCUCUAGAUUCUCGCUCGCGCUUUGCCUCCUCUUCUCGCUCUCUUUUGCAUAUAAGUUAGCCACCACAUAUGUCAGUCGCUUGUUGCAGUUCCACAUGUAUAUUGCCUUACCCUUCUUAUAAGCUUAAAUAGUCUUGAUCGCGAGGGUGCGAGAUUGCUGAGUCCCUGUGGCUCACAGAUUACUAUUACACCAGAUGCAGGGCCUGAUGAUUCUACUCCAGAUGACGCAUAUGAGCUCAAGUGGGAGUUCGACGAAGACUCUCAGCGAUACUACAUUUCCUUUCCCGAUGAUCAGUAGUGGUGCCCAGUUGGGGGUGAUUGGGACCGUGUCGCAUGUUGGGUUCUCUUUAUUUUGGUGCUGUAGUCGGGCCAUGAGUGUUUGGAUGAUGUAAUGUUAUUUAUGUUCUUGAUUGACGUGGCGAGUGUAAGCCAACUAUGUUAUCUCCCCUUUUAUUAUUAUUACAUGGGAUGUUGUGAAGAUUGCCUAACUUGCGACAUAUGCCUUCAAUGCGAUUAUGCCUCUAAGUCAUGCCUCGACACGUGGGAGAUAUAGUCGCAUCGAGGGUGUGACAGUCUAGGCAGAUGGUAACAGGAGACAAGGGACACGAUGUUUUUACCCAGGUUCGGGCCCUCUCGAUGGAGGUAAAACCCUACUCCUGCUUGAUUAAUAUUGAUGAUAUGGGUAGUACAAGAGUAGAUCUACCACGAGAUCAAGGGGGCUAAACCCUAGAAGCUAGCCUAUGGUAUGAUUGUUGUAUAAUGAAGUCGUCCUACGGACUAGAACCCUCCGGUUUAUAUAGACACGGAUAGGGUUAGGGUUACACAGAGUCGGUUACAAUGGUAGGAGAUCUUGAAUAUCCGCAUUGCCAAGCUUGCCUUCCACGCCAAGGAAAGUCCCAUCCGGACACGGGACGGAGUCUUCAAUCUUGUAUCUUCAUAGUCCUGGAGUCCGGCUGAAGGUAUAGUCCGGCUACCCGAACACCCCCUAAUCCAGGACUCCCUCACUUCCCGAGGCCACCCCCAAGAAGAAGACAUCGUCCGGCCCGGCUCCUUAGGAGGCAGGCCCCUCAGGGCCCGCGCCUGCCCAGGGGGAACCUCCUUCCAUCGCAUAGGAAAGCGCACCCGGCGCCCUCCUCGGGCGGGGCUCGGGGGCUCUCCCCUGGAGGGCCACCGACCUGGCUAGGGACACGAGGGAGGCGCUUGGGCACCACAUGGAGGCGUGUUUCGAAGCACGUUUCCCUCAAGAAGGAGUAAGGCAAGGAGGGCCAGACCCUCAGGAGUUCGUCAGCAAGGCCAUUCAGGAGCUACAAGAGUCAAGAGUCACGAGAGGUGACCGCCGCCUACCAGCUGUGGCCCCCCAUCCAGGCAAAGAUGGUGGGCUACGCGUCUGCGUCGACAUACCAGGGCUCAAUUAAGUCGCCUCUCUGGAGCACCUCUGGCCCUCGCGAGUGGGGCGCUGCGUAUGUCCACCCCAUAGCUACGUUCGCAUGCCUUAUGGCUUGCCGGGCGCGGCUGCCACGUACCGGCGCCUCAUGAGGGGCAUCAUGGAGGCUCAAGAGGCCAGGCGUUCCGCAGCCCUGGCGGAGAUGGAGAUGGUCCGCGAGGAGCCACCAGCGCCUCCGGAGCCUCCCGAGGCCCCUGGGCCUGGGGGCUCGUGAGGAUCGGCUUCCGCAGUCCACCGAGUCUGCUACACCAACGCUGCCUCGUCCUCAACAUCAUCAGGUGACAUCUUUCAAGUUUCAUUUCCAGCUGGGAGUGCCCCCCAGGGCUGCAUUAUUUCCAGGCCAUGUGGGUCCGUCCCUGCGGCAUGUAUCCCUUUUAUUUCAUGUUGUUAGCUUACUUUGUUGGGGGCGCCCCUCGGGCUGCAUCAUCCCCAAGUCGCUCGGGCCAGACCCAGCGGCAUGUAUCCCCUUUCGCGUUUAUUUCCGGCUAUGCAUUUGACCCACCAUGCUUGAUUAUUUGAUGUCGGUCCACGACACCUCUUGUUCCCCAUGCCGACCACUUGCACGUUAAAGGGGGGGGGGGUACCUGAGCAUCGCGACUCAGGGCUCUUACUGGAUCUCCAGCCCUCACCCUCUGGCCUUGUCCACGGCAUCGCGACCUGGCAUACCAGCGACGGCUGAGACCAGCUCGAGGGCCGGGACCCGAGGACGUAGAGUGCCGGCAUCUAACCAAAUUGCAGGAACACAUCACAAGAUAAGGCCUAGUGCCAGGCGCAACCCGCCUAGAGGUAGGGCCCCGUGAGUCCCGCGCUGGCUCACUGGUGCCCAGAUACACCUCGCCAGGCCCUACCGUGCCAGCCACGUGUCAGGACGGGGCUGUACACGCCCCGGGGGCUCCUCCCGGAGGGGAGCCCCCUCCCACGUACCAGUGGAAGCACCAUGCUCCGCGCUGGCUGACGACACUGCCGAGGAGCGGCUAUGCCCGUACACAUACGGAAGCGCUAUGCUCCGCGCUGGUGAUAAACAACUGAGGGUGGCCCCCGGGCCGCAUUAACCUCAGGGAACCCAGAGCUCAGUGUCUAGCCUCAUCGUAACGCCUCCCCUCGGGAGUGCCGUGCGAGGGGGCUGCGCACGGGGGCUGCGCCUGGGUCACGCCCAGACGCACGCCACCCAGCCAGCCCCCCCAGGCCUGGUUCGUCGCACGUCUCUCCCCGAGCGGAGCCAAGGUACGAAGGCCGUUUGAGCGUCAAGGGGGACUCCUGAGCAUCGCGACUCAGGAGCCUAACUGGUCACGUAGCCCCUCACUCCUUGGUCCCGUCCUGGUUUCCGGUCAGGGCUAACGGCGGCUGAGGUAUGCGCAGGGCCGGGCUCUGCAGACGUAGGAUGGUAGAUCCACCCACAUCUCACCUCCCUACUUGCUGUUCAUGCGCCAAGGGUGACUCCUGAGCAUCACGACUCAGGAGCCUAACUUGUCACGUAGCCCCUCACUCCUUGGUCCCGUCCUGGUUUCCGGUCGGGGCUAACGGCGGCUGAGGUAUGCGCGGGGCCGAGCUCUGCCGGCGUAGAACAUAAGCAAGUAGGAAGGAAAAGUGCAAAUUGCAAGGAAUUCAAAAGCAAAUAUUACAGUCCACACUGUUAUCUCAAUGCCAAACGCAAGUUUAAACGCCUCCCCGAGGCUUGAUACAUGUGUAGGAAUUGAAGGCAGGACAGGAGCCACAACGGAGUCACUUGUCGGUGGCGGAGCAGCGCAGAGUGGCUUCGCCUCAUGGAGCAGCAGGGUCGGCAGCGCCUCGCUUCGGCUUGGUGCUGAAGGCCCAGAACUUCCCCAACAGAGCCUCCGCGCGACCCUUCAUGGCCUCAGCAGCGGCACGCUCGCCGCUUGCUGGCUCCAACAGGCUGUCGAGGUCGACGUUGGGAUCGCGAAGGUAGAUGUGGGUGAGGACCCGCGUCAGCACUACAGAAGACAGGACACGCGCCUCGGCCUCGGCCGUGGGGCCAAGGCCAAAGGCGACAUCUUCAAGAGCGCGAACCAGGAAGGGAAGCAGCUUGGCGGGCCCGUCCUCGGCGCCAGCCAGCGGGCUCUCCAUGCUGCUGUCGUGAAGAGUCCUCAGCGAGGAGCGAGCCUUCGCCUCCAUCUCCGUGAAGGCCACGCGGUCCUCGGCAAGAACCUGGGCCUUGUCGUCCAUCUCGACCUUACUUUCCCCCAACUCCCGCUUCAGCGCGCCUAGGCGGUCAUGGCGCCUCCUGAGCUUGGCCUCCCGGCCCUUGACGGCCGCCUCGCGAGCCUUCGCGCCUUUUUCCUGCUCUUGGCGAAGGCGGGCCUCUUUCACGAGUUGGUCCCGCAGGCCUUGCAGCCCGUCCUCCAGCACCUUGCAGCGACUACGGACGUCGACCACCUCCCCCAGGGCUGCAUCACGAGUAGCCUUCGCCUCAAGGACGGCCUGCCUCUCCUCAUCACAAGCCGUCGAGGCUUGGACCAGCGCCGCCCGAAUCGAAGCCUCGGAGCGAAUCCAUCCUGAAGCCAGCUCCAAGCGCCUGGCCACUAAGUGAGGGUCGACGCCAAGAAGAUCUUGCCGCAGCCGGUCCAGCUCAGCAGCAGCACGAUCCAAAACGGCAAGAGGAGUCGGAGAGAUAGCAGUCGGUGGAGUAGGAGGAGAAGGCGGCAGCGCGACCACAACAUCCUGAGGCGGAGCCUGCUGCGCCCCAACGGCUGUGGUGGCGGCAGCAGGCAAAGGCACCUCGGGAGUCGCUUGGGCCAUGGGGGCUGAGCUCGCCCCAGCCGGCUCAGCCAGGCCUCGCGAGGACGACCGGGCAGGAGAGGCCCGUGCAUCGCGGUCACCUUCCUUCGUGGGCAGAGGCGCUGCCCUGGAUGGAACCUCAGGAGCUCCCUUCGGCUUCUUUGCUGCGGGCGCCAGCCUAUCCAAGAGAUGCAGACGUCAAGCCUCAGCAGCAGAACAAGAAAUAAAGAUAAGAAUCAAGUGCUUACGGGUUGUCGCCAGUGAGCUCAGGCAGCCUCCGACACAUUCGGCGAAUCCAGGGCAGACGAGUACCAAGCUCCGGCCGGGGACUGACGAGGCGCCAUGGCUUCCUAGGUCACGCGGUCGAAGUAGAUCUAGAAAUUUUGGAGGAAGGAAGGAGAGGCGCAGGAAAGGGGAUCUGAGCAGCAACCGGAGAAAGCAAAACCUAGGAAGAUGCCGCUCCUUUAUCAACAUGCGCGGUUGCUAAGGCGCCCAUGCCCAAUCAACCGCCACGCGGCGCCCAAGGCUGCAGGCUGUUAGGGCCCGUGGCGCUUCGCUCUUGCCCUUUCGCCUCCCUGCACGGCCAAGUCCGGGCGCGCCUUGGGCCCGGGGGCUACUGUCGGCGUUCUGGGAAUGGGGGUCCCCAGACUUGCCUGCCUGCGGCCUGCGGCGUGGCUCAAAGGGGGGCCCAGCGCGGCCCAUCUUCAUCAACACAGACCCAAGACCCUCGCGAGGGGCGAAGCCUCGCGGGGAGGAUGACACGGAGCUUCCUCAGGCACGGCCUCAUCAGGCUGGCUCGCGAGGAGGCGGAGAAAUCAAGGCGGGGUACCUCACGAGGUGCCCGUGACGCAAGCCAUGAUGACCAAGGGUGCCAGGCGGGCGCCAGCCCGCGUAGUGUCCUCCUUUCAUCUUUGGUGCAAAGGGAGCAAGCGCAGGCGAGAGCAUCAAGCAAAGGCACCCGUUUCGGUGCAACGAGACCAAGACCAGCCCAACGGCAGGGAGGAAGUCAUUGUGGAGCCCAAGCCAGCGUCACCACCAGAGUCUUUGGCAGGCGAGGACCAACUUUAGUCAGGAUAAGUGUACCCGAUGUUACCCUUCAAAAUGGCCAAUUGUUGGCGCCCUUCCCGCUCAAUAUUUGGGAAGAGGCCCAGGGCCUUUGCCUAUAAAUAGGACUAGCCACCCCCAGAUGAGAUAAAAGAGAGAGACCAAGGGGAGAAGAAGAGAUCAUCAGGAAGAGAGAGAGAUCAGAUCGGCCAAUCCAGAAACAAGCUGGGAUCGGAUCGAGUAGCAUCACACAGAGAGAGAGAAGGGUGACUGAACUCCUCCUAGCAGUUCAUCGCCCCAGCCAAGAACAGACCCUCGCGAGGCUGUUCUUCCUUGUAUUGCUCAUCAUCAUCAGCCCAAGAGGCUAUCCACCAAACCACACUAGAGUAGGGUAUUACACCACAACGGUGGCCCGAACCAGUAUAAACCCUGUGUCUCUUGUGUUGUUCUUUCCAUAGCUUACAUCUUGGCGAGGCGGUGGGGUGCAGGUAGGUAGAAGGCGAAAUCUCCGCGCGCACCCCAGUGUUCGAACCUCAAGGGUCUGCCAGAACCUGAAAUCCGACAGCCGGCGCUAUAAUCCAUCGAGAAACGAAACCGGCAGAACCACACCCCAGUGAAGGCGAGCCUCGGCAUCGGCCGGCGGCGUCGGUGACGCUAGAGCCCUAGACGGGUCUAAUGCAUCUGUUUUUUAAGACAAUACUGCGUCUGGUGCUGUGGAAGUGAGGAGACGGAAAAGCAACAGGAAGUGCUCGUGGGCUGGAACGGCCAGAUGGAUUCAAUUAGGCCUUUACAUUUUGUCCAAUCACUAUUCUAAUAGACCGGGAAGACCAAAGUGGGCCUAGCAAAUGUAAAUAUCGCAUCGAGCAACCUUUAGGGUACGCUCAAAUGUCAAAGUCCAAAAUAAAAUACUGAGUGUAACCUUAUUUCUAACAUUUACAAUAAUUAAUUAAAAAAAGUCUUACAUAAUGGCAUAUGGAUCAGGUUAUAUCUAAAUUUUCCCCCGGUGCAACGCACGGGCAUUUGUACUAGUAAUAUAACUAAAUUAGUAGUGUGCCAAAAUAAUUGUGGCACUGGCCUAAUUAGUAAUACUAAUUUAGGUGCUAAUUUGGUUUUAGUAAAACUAAAAUAAAAGAAACUAUAAAUGAAAAGAGUAAAGAAAUAAAGAAAAACAGAAAAGGAAAAAAAAGAAAACAAAACAAAACAAAAAAGGGGGGGAGGCCCCAACCCCCACCCGGACCUCGACCACCCGAUAGGCCCAACCCACCAGCGCCCUCUCGUCCCCCCCCCUGUUCACGCGAGCUUGUUGGCCGCUCAAGCAUCGUUCAUGUUGGGGAUACACCACGUGUCGGCCAUCCCGUUCUUGCCCGCAUUGGAUGAAAGGACCCUCGCCCCCGGAUGAACCCUAGCCCCCCUCUUUUCCCCCANNNNNNNNNNNNNNNNNNNNNNNNNNNNNNNNNNNNNNNNNNNNNNNNNNNNNNNNNNNNNNNNNNNNNNNNNNNNNNNNNNNNNNNNNNNNNNNNNNNNNNNNNNNNNNNNNNNNNNNNNNNNNNNNNNNNNNNNNNNNNNNNNNNNNNNNNNNNNNNNNNNNNNNNNNNNNNNNNNNNNNNNNNNNNNNNNNNNNNNNNNNNNNNNNNNNNNNNNNNNNNNNNNNNNNNNNNNNNNNNNNNNNNNNNNNNNNNNNNNUCGAGCACUGUUGCCACCAUGGCCAUCGCCGCCGCUACGGCCACUAACCUCCCCGCUCCCUAAGAAGACACCUAGGAGCUUUGUCGUGUUCUUCUUCAUCCUCUACGCUCACGGGUCGAGGACGAGAGGCCACCAAGCCGAUGCACGCAGCAGCAUCUCUGUCUGCCUCCACCGCAGCCUCGUCGUCGAUCCUCACCAUCGCGCCUCCCCGAGGUCCCGAGCUCGUCCUUGACACCCCUCGCAGUGAGCCACGCCCAUUCCCCAUCCUCUCCCCCUCGGUCUUCCACCGUAGACCAUCGUCCACGUUGUCCAAGCUUCAGCCAAUGGCCACGGUCACUACGACCGUGACCAUGACCGUGCCCAGCCCCGCGCUCCCGAACUCCCCCUGCCUGUUCUCUACCACGCCCGACCGCACCCGACAGCGCGUGCUCGCGCCCACACUCUCCGCUGCCGCUCUCGCUUGUGCAUCCGCCCGCUGCUGCGCUCGCCGGCGCCGUCGCUUAGCUCCACUCCUGCCCUCCGCGUGAGCGCCUGCUCUCGCCCAGACCGGUCGUCGUCUACAUCACCGUCUCUCCGCUGUCGCACACACCCGCCCGCGCAGCUGCUGCCGCCCAUGCUAUUCCCUAGAGCUACCCCUCUCUUCAUCGGCCGGCCUCCCGUGCUUGUGCCGCCCGCACCUCCAUGCUUGCGCCCUAGCCCCGACACCUGUUGUUGUUGCGCCCGGCCGCCCAGCUCCGCCAGCCCGUGCCCGGCCGCAGCCGUCCAUGCUCCGCCGCCCCCACUUCGUCCGCCGCCCGCGGCUACGGCCCCCCAGGUCGGAGUCCCCUCCCCUAGUAGCCUCGAGCGCAUGCCCGCAACCCUUCGCCCGUUAGCCCGCGUGCCCGAUAGGCCCCCUAUGCCUAUGACAAUUGGGCCCCGCCCUAGAGAACAAAAAAGAUUAAAAAAUAUAAUAUAAAAAUGUAAUUAAUUAACUUAAUUAAUCUGGUUUAAUUAAACUAAUUAAACUUAAUGAACCUAAAUAUCUGAUUAAAACUAACUAAUCUGUUAGUUAGGGUAAUGUGUCUAUGACAGACGGGACCCACGUGUCAGUUUGACCAAUCAAUUGUCAGAGUUGACCACUGACGUCAUGCUAACGUCAUGGUGAUGUCAUAAUUGUAUUUUCUAAUUUAAUUAAAUCUAUUAAUUAUGAAAAUGAAUUUAAACUUUAAAAAUUAAUAUAAAAUAAUCCGUAGCUCGGAUGAAAAAACUUUGUACAUGAAAGUUGCUUAGAACGAUGAGACGAAUCUGAAUACGCAGCCCGUUCAUCCGCCACACAUGCCUAGCUUAGCGAACACACAACUUUUCCCCUCCGGUUAGACUGUCCGGAAAUGCCAAACACUAGGAAUACUUUCCCGGAUGUUUCCCCCUUCACCAGUAUCACCUAUUACCGUGUUAGGGCACACCUAGCACCGCUCAUUGUCAUGUCAUGCUUAUGUUUGCAUUAUAUUUAUUGUUUCUUCCCCCUCUUCUCUUCGGUAGACUACGAGACCGACGCCGCUGCUGCCCCGAUCGACUAUGGUGUUGACGACCCCUCCUUCUUGCCAGAGUAACCAGGCAAGCCCCCCUUGAUCAACCUGAUAUCGCAUAUUCCUUCUCUCUAUUGCUUGCAUUAGAGUAGUGUAGCAUGUUACUGCUUUUGAUUAAUCCUAUUCUGCUGCAUAGCCUAUCUUUGCUACUAUUGUUGUUACCUUUACCUACAAUCCUAAAUGCUUAGUGUAGCAUGCUAGUUUAUCAUCAGUGGCCCUACAUUCUUGUCCGUCUGCCAUGCUAUACUAUCGUGCCAUGAUCACUCGGGAGGUGAUCACGGGUAUAUACUUAUAUACAUAAUAUAUGAUACAUGUGCUGACUAAAGUCGGGUCGGCUCGUAGAGUACCCGCGAGUGAUUUAGGGAUUGGGGGAUGAAAGGACAUUUGUCCCGACGACCCUCUGGCUGGAUCUUUGUGGCGGAGCGACAGGGCAGGUUGAGACCACCUAGGUGAGAGGUGGGACUGGCCCUGGUCGGCGUCCAUGGUUACAUCAAUUAACACGCUUAAUGAGAUCUUGGUAUUUGAUCUGAGUCUGGCCAUUGGCCUAUACACACUAACCAACUAUGCGGGAACAGUUAUGGGCAGUCGAUGUCGUGGUAUCAGUCGAAGCCUUCUUGACGUCAGCGACUGAGCAGCAUGCGCCGGGUUGGACAGUGUAACGCAACUUCCUUUGUAAUGGAGGUUGCUAGGUAUGGUCACCGGUCGCGUACGUAAUGUGCAUGUGUGUAAUGGGUGAUGCGCCCAGACCCCUGUGCAUAGGAUUUAGACUGGCGUGUUGACCUCUCUGUUGUGCCUAUGUAGGGCUGCGACGUGUUGAUCUUACGAGGUUAGGCAUGACCCAGGAAAGUGUGUCUAGCCAAAAAGGAUCGAGCGUGUUGGGAAAUGUGGUGCACCCCUCUAGGGAAGUUUAUCUAUUCGAAUAGCCGUGUCCCUCGGUAAAAGGAUGACCCAGAGUUGUACGUCGCCUUAUGACAACUAGAACUGGAUACUUAAUAAAACACACCCUUUCAAUUGCCAGAUACAAUCCGGUGAUCACUCUCUCACAUGGCGACGAGGAGAGGAUCGCCGGGUAGGAUUAUGAUAUGCGAUGAUUCCUGGUUAACUUACCAUCUACUCUCUUCUACCACUUCAAGAUGGAGGCUGCCAGAAGCGUAGUCUUCGAUAGGACUAGCUAUCCCCCUCUUAUUCUGGCAUUCUGCAGUUCAGUCCAUAGAUACUAUCCAUUUCAUUGAUACCAAUGAAUAUGUAGUGUAGAUCCUUGCUUGUGAGUUCUUUGGAUGAGUACUCACGGUUGCUUUGCUAUCCCCCCCCCCUUUCCCAGUUAUUGCGAUCAUAUGAUGGAGUCCAGGAGCCAGAGGAUCCCGAGGAUGAUUCUACGUGGAGUUCGACUAUGAGGAGUGGUUAGGAGGUCCCAGGCAGGAGGCCUUGCCUUUUCGAUCGUUACUACUUUUGUGCUAGCCUUCUUAAGGCAAACUUGUUUAAAUUAUGUCUGUACUAAGAUAUUAUUGCUUCCCCUGACUCUGGUGUAUUCGAGCCCUCGAGGCUCCUGGCUUGUAAUAUGAAGCUUGUAUUAUUUUAGUUGGUGUCUAGAGUUGUGUUGUGAUAUCUUCCCGUGAGUCCCUGAUCUUGAUCGUACACAUUUGCAUGUGUGAUUAGUGUACGGUCGAAUCAGGGGCGUCACAAUGAGUACACGCCCAUGUCUUUUGGUUUGACUAACGCCCCUGCCUACUUUAUGUGUAUGAUGAAUAAGGUGUUCAUGGAGUUCUUGGAUAAGUUUGUCGUGGUGUUCAUUGAUGAUAUAUUGGUGUACUCGAAGAAUGGAGAAGAACACAAGGAACAUUUGUGCUUGGUUCUCGAGAAGCUCAGGGAACCUCAGCUAUAUGCCAAGUUCAGCAAAUGUGAGUUUUGGUUGAAGGAAGUCGGAUUCCUCGGACAUGUUAUAUCAGGAGAAGGUAUAAUAGUAUACCCCUCCAAGGUACAAUCUGUCACCGAAUGGAUGGCACCCACCUCAGAGGGAGAGAUACGCGGUUUCCUUGGACUCGCAGGAUAUUACCAGAGAUUCGUUGAGAAUUUUUCCAAGAUUGUGAAGCCCAUGACGGAGUUAUUAAAGAAGGACACCAAGUUCAAAUGGAUAGAGGAUUGUGAGGCCUGUUUUCAGGAAUUGAAGAAACAUUUGGUUACAGCCCCAGUACUAAUUCUUCCGUAUAUAGGCAAGGAUUUCCAAGUAUAUUGCAACGCUUCACGACAGGGGCUUGGAGGCGUUCUUAUGCAAGAAGGAAGAGUUGUUUCAUAUGCCUCACGUAGCUUCGACCUCAUGAGUUGAAUUAUGCCAUGCAUGAUUUGGAUUUAGCAGCCAUAGUGCAUGCGCUCAAGACCUGGAGACAUUUUCUUAUCGGAAAUCGUUGUGAUGUUUACACGGAUCAUAAAAGUUUGAAGUACAUUUUCACGCAGAAGGAGUUGAACCUCAGGCAGAGGAGAUGGGUUGGAGCUCAUAAAGGAUUAUGACAUGAAACUACAUUAUCACCCAAGAAAGGCCCAUGUUGUGGGAGAUGCUUUGAGCCGCAAGGGUAAUGUAAAUACUCUCAUAACCGGAGGAUUACCUCAGGAGUUAGCCGAUGAUCUCCGAGAACUUCGCUUGGAGAUAGUUCCAAGAUGUUUUGUUGCAGCGUUGGAAGUUCAUUCCACUUUGUUGGGGAAAAUCUGAUAAGCCCAGAAGAUUGAUAAGGAAAUUGCAGAGAUAAAAGAAAAGAUGAGUAAAGGAAAGGCCAAAGCUUUUCAUGAGGAUGAACAUGGAACUUUAUGGUUUGAAGAUCGCAUCUAUGUGCCCAAUGACCCAGAGAUCAGGAAGUUAAUUCUUCAGGAGGCUCAUGAUGCGCCUUACUCGAUUCACCCAGGCAACACUAAGAUGUAUCUGGAUUUGAAGGAAUGUUUUUGGUGGACAGGUAUGAAGAAUGAUAUUGCCGAGUAUGUAGCAGUAUGUGACAUGUGUCAGAGAGUUAAGGUAGAGCAUCAGAAACCAACAGGAUUACUUCAGCCCUUGCCGAUACCCGAAUGGAAGUGGGAUAAGCUUGGCAUGAAUUUCAUCAUCGGAUUACCCAGGACUCGUUCAGGAUAUGACUCCAUUUGGGUUGUAGUUGAUUGCUUGACCAAAGUGGCUAACUUCAUCCCCGUGAAAACCACUUAUACGAGUGCUAAGUUGGCCAAGAUAAAUAUGACCAGGAUCGUAUGUCUGUAUGGACUUCCGAGGACCAUAGUAUCAGAUAGGGGAACACGGUUUACUUCGAAGUUUUGGAAUCAGUUACACCAAACUUUGGGUACCAGGCUAGAGUUCAGUACAGCCUUUCAUCCGCAGACAGAUGGGCAGACCGAGAGAGUCAAUCAGAUUCUGGAAGACAUGUUGAGAGCUUGUGCGCUAGAUUAUGGAUCUAGUUGGGAUGAUAAUUUGCCUUACGUUGAGUUCUCGUAUAACAAUAGAUACCAAGCUAGUUUGAAGAUGGCCCCUUUUGAAGCUUUAUAUGGAAGGAGGUGCAGUACACCAUUGACGUGGGAUGAAGUUGGUGACCGUCAAUUGUUCAGACCAGAUUUAAUCAGAGAGUCUGAGGAGAAGGUCAAGUUGAUUCAUGAUAGACUCAAGAUAGCCUAGUCUAGGCAGAAGAGUUAUGCCGAUACUAAACGCAAGGAGGUAACCUAUGAAGUCGAAGACAGAGCAUAUAUUCGUGUGUCUCCACUUCAAUGAGUUAAACGGUUUGGAGUCAAAGGAAAGUUGGCACCACGAUUUGUGGGACCAUACAGAGUCUUGGAACAUAUGGGUGAAGUUGCCUACAAGUUGGAAUAACCUGAACGUUUGUCAGGAGUUCAUGAUGUGUUUCACGUUUCCCAGUUGAAGAAGUGCCAUGCAGAGAUGGCCGAUAUUCUUAUGAGAGAUACGGUGCCCUAGAAGCAAUUCGGUUGGAGAGUGACCUGACUUAUGAGGAGAAACCCAUCAAGAUUCUCGAGUUCACCAACCGAGUUACUCGCAUCAAGGUUAUUAAGUUUUGCAAGGUUCAGUGGAGUCACCAUACCGAGGAGGAAUGAUGCGGAGCAUCCCGAGGUCAUCCCCAUGGACCUACCAUCGUCUCAUCAAGUGCCUAGUGGACCCAUGACUCGAUCACGUGCAAGAGCUCUUGAAACCGAGGUGACAUCUCUCCUCUCACAAUUCCACUCCGAUGAACAUGAAGCAUGGCUACUACCUCAUAUGGACACUUAGUGCAUACGUAGGCACCAUUGAGAAGCUAAGGAGCAAGGACAAGAAGAAGAGGAAGAUGGACGAGAAGACGGAGAAGAAGGAGGGCUGAAGGAAAAGUCCCAGCCACCGGACGUCCGGCGCCUGAAGCCUCAGACGAACCCCAGCGAGCGGACAUCCGGCCCAGACCGGACGACCGGUGCCCCUGCACCCGAAGCAAACAAGCGGACGUCUGGUCCGGACCGGACGACCGGCGCACCAGCACCCGAGCCAACAUCAGCAGAAGUCCGGAGCUACCGGACGUCUGGCACCCCCAUCAUAGAGCAGAACCAGCGGACGACCGGAGGACACCGGACAUCCGGCAGCUCCUGAGACACCGGACGACUGGUCCCCAGCGGACAUCCAGUACCUGGCUGCGUCCAGAUUCAGGCCUGAGGCCCAUGUACCCCUACUUUCGCCCCCAUUUGCACUUAGACUAUAAAUAGACCUCUCCCACCUCCUUUCUAGGGUUAGCAUUGGUUUAGCUCAUUUUAGAGAUAGAGCAUUGCUCAUCCAUAUCGGAUCUACUCCACGAGAUAGACCGCGGCCCCUCUACGGAGAAGAUCCACCUUGGAUUAAAGACCCCUUUACUGCAAGAUCCCCUUGUGGAUUCAAGACCUCCUCACGGAGAAGAACCGGUUACCGUGUAUCGUCCCUAGUUGUCCGUGGAUUCGUGUAUCGUUCUAUGUACUCGAGGAUCUAGCCCAUGUGUGACUUAUUCGUGUCGGUUUAGUGAUUUCUUCUUGUGUUUUCCUUCCAUUCUCCCCCGUGUUCUUCAUGUUUUCCCUGGGAUCCGCUCCUUUCGUGAAAGAUCGGGCGAUUAGGGUCUCUACCCUACAUCAUCUUGGUAUCUAGAGCAAAGUUGAUCACGAUUUCGGAGCCCCCUCUUCUUUUUAUAGCUUGAUUUUGUUGUUUUUCGUCCUAAUCCGAAAAUCCCCACAAAAAUAGCCCCAAAUUUUUUUCUUGUGUUUUGUGAGUUUUGAUGAUGUUUUGUUGGUUUUGAUCCGUGAAUUUGUUGUGUUGCAAGUGGAUCUAGCCUUCCCCCACCAUCUCCACCUCGAAAUCCAUCCAAAAUCCAUGAAACUCUAGCAAUUUCGCGUUGACCCCGACCCACCGGACGACCGCAACUUACCGGACGUCCGGCGACCCAGGAACCACCGGACGUCCGACCAUUACCGGACGACCGGAACCUCUACACCGAGCUGAAAAUAGCGGUUUUCCGACCCUACCGGACGUCCGGCGACCGAACAUCCGUCCAUUUCUGGACGACCGCUACUGUGAAACUGAUUUCGCUCAAAUUUUGUUUCGGCUUCCACCACAUCAUCCGCUACACCACCACCGACUUCCGCAAACAUUGCCAAUAUCCCAACCCAUACCACCACUUACCCGCUACCUACUCCGACGAUUUUGCUCACACUUGGUUUUGAGAAUUUGAGUUGCGGUGUCGUAUCCUUUUGUGUUUCGGCUAUCUAGGUACGGUUUGACAUCGACAUCACCGCCGCUCAUCUUUGCCACGGAUGCGUCAUUAACAACGACCACCUCGACUACAACUUGGUAUUCGUGCCACCAUUUUGACACCAUACCGGAAGCAAGACAGGUAACCUCAUCUUGGUAUUGGACAUAUCACUCUUGCCAUCACAUUGAUAGCCAUCAUAGCCUUACUCCUUUGCGUUGCUUACCCAUCGAGACUAGCCAUUGAGUAUUGCCGGCAACGAGACUUGUGCACAUUAGUGAUCAUACUUCCCAUAGCAUACAUACAUACAUCAUUGUUGCCUAUAUUGGUAUCAUCUCUUGUGUCACAAAGUUGUCAUCGCAUACUCACUUGCUAUUUUGGUUCGUCAAGCAUUGCAUGAGAAAAGAGCUCAAACAUCAAAGAGCCAACCAAGCUUUUAAGCAAAGAGGAAAGAUAAGCAAAGACCUUUUAAGCAAGAACCAUAGCAUCAUACAACAUUAAGAUUGUCAUACUCGAUCAUCUUCGAUCAUAUCAUAGCAACACCUUGCAUAGAACAUAUUUGGGAUAGAAGUCGUUGCAAUUUUGCUAAGUAGUUUGUGCACAAGUUCUUGUAUCCGCCUAUCGUGCAAUCGUGCUAGCGUCUCUCUAGUGUUGUGCAACAAGAGCAUUUUUUGUGGAUUCCACAUUUUGGCUCACCCUUGGUUGCACAACCCCACUUAUCUAUUUGCGCAUGUGUUUCCGUGUACCGUAUAUGCUUGGUCUACUUGUUACAUUGCAUCUUGCGAAUCUUUUCCAACAUUAUUGAAUCUUACUUACAUUCACAUUAAAAAUUGUGCCACCAUCCUAACCAAGCUCCACCAUAAGCUUUUACUUAUGUAGGUGUGAGAAACCGCCGAGAAUACCAAUUGGGCUAUUUCCUUGUCCUACAUUGGAGUGAUCAUCGAUUCACAUUCAACUUCGGUCAAGGUACAUUUGGUAUUCGUUCUUCUCUUUCUACCACUCACAUUCUUCUUGGAAUGAUGGAUAGGCCAAGUACUUCUACCAACCCACUCUUCAUGGAGCAAGACGACGACAUGAACUCCUUCGUCACCAAGAGUAACCUCUUUGGUGCACAACGUGCUUUGCAUCAAGAGCAACAAGCUAUGAGUGAACACAUCGACAACCUUGCCGUCGACUUGCGACUUUCCGAGCAACGUACAAGGGACUACUUCGACCACAAGCUCGAUAAUCACAAGCAAGAGAAUGAUGCAAGGAUGGACGACAUUCGCGCUUUGUUGCUCCAUCGUUCUUCUUCCACUUCAAGAAGGAGCCGUUCAAGUCACCAUUCCGACUUUACCCUCUCUGGCUCAAGUACACCGACAUCAAACAAUCUUCGUCGAGCCACGCGGACCGACCGUCAAGAAAACCUUAAUCCACUUCGAGACACCGACUCUCAAGAGCGCCGACGACGUCAAGCCGAAGAAGCCUUUGCGCUAGUGUCAGGACCCCGAUUCCAAGCCACAUCGAUCUAGCCGGUAACACCUCAUAUCACUUUGCGGCCUCACGCACGGUAUCCCACGGGUGUCGCCUUACCAUGGCCCGAGACCGUUUGCGCCUUUUGGCUCACGUAUAUGAUAGUGUCGCUAGCAUCCAUAUGACAAAGAACCCGUGCCGACAUGGCUAGUGAUGAGGACAUCAAUAUCAUUGUUACACCCACAGCCCCUACUGUUACAUAUACUGGACCAAUUACUAGAGCUCGCGCACGGCAAUUAAAUUACUAGGUACUUUCGUUUCUUGGUAAUGAUUCUAAUGUUCAUGAGAUUAUGAUGCUGCCUAAAUUGGAUACAUUUGUUUUGCUUACAAAUGAAGGGCCUAGCUUGGAGAAGGAUGAACAUUGGAGCAAGAACACGCAUGGAGUUGAUGGCAUGUGCAAGGGGAUCAAGAACGGAGUUACAAGUGAUGAUUUCAGGACUUUGAAGCCGCCAUAAGGAGUGCAUGAAGCCUUGGACGAAAUAUACAAGAUGCCACUUCAUAAUAUUCGUCCGUAGGCUAUUCUAGGUGCUGCGUCACCUUAUUAAUGGGCCAGGCCCAUGUAAUUUCGAAAUACUUAAGUAUAGGCUAUUUUUAGAGUCCGUAUGUGUGGGGAAACAAGAGUUAGGGUUGGUUUCGGACCCCACCCUCAAGGGCCACGAAAUUCCCCCCUCUUCCUCCAUAUAUACAGCCCUUAGGGCGUCGUUUAGACUUUGGGUUUUGUUUAGAUUAAAAGUUCGCCAUAGCUGCAACUUCGCAUACUUCGUUUGUGUCCAACGACCAGACCAAGACGUCACAGAACCCCACCUUGAUCAAUAAAGCUUUCAUCUUAUAUUCGCAAUAUCCCGAUUGCAAUCUCAGUUUCUUGCUUGUUCUUCGUUUGCUCGCAGGAAACAGACACUCGUGGUCAGGUUGAUCGUGCUCCGGCGUGGUCAAUAACCCUCGGAAGUUGGUUUAGCGAUUGCUAAGGCUCGACGUCUCGCACGUUCGUAGUCGGAUCGUCAAGGUCGACUCCCACAGAAAACGAUAUCCACCAUCUCAUCGAAACAUCAGGACACCUUAGCCUCUAUCAAGUGCUAUCAGAUUUCCAGGUUGCUCGGUGAGAUUUUACACUUUUUCAUAGAUUAGAUCGAGUCUGUUCUUCAUACCUACAGUCCACGAAAAAGCCAGAAAAAAAUUAGGGUUAGUUGAUCAUAUCCGAACCAAUCUGAGCCUUUGCAUAAUCUUUUUAGGGUUUUUGCUUUGUUGAAUUUGCGGUUGCAUCGUCGUGUCAAGUUGCUGGUCUUAGAGUCUAGUCUUUUAGAGUUUCGAGUUCUGGUCAUAAGUUGUCACGCCGCCGCCGCACCAUCAUCAUCGCCCAUCUACCACUUUUGCUUAUCCGCCACCGCUCUGAAUCCAUAUCCAUAUACCACCACCAAUCCGUAUCCAUAUACCACCACCAAUCUGUAUCCAUAUACCAGCACCGCUACCAUAUACCACCACCGCUCCCAUAUACCACAACCUAUAUCCACCACCAAUCCGAGUUCUUCUCAUAUUAGGUUUGUUCUUGAGAUCAAUCUAAAUUCCGUUUUGUGUUUCCUUGCCUGCGUAGGUCUCGAAAAAAAAAAUUUAGGCCAAAAAUUUCACGGACAAAUUUUUUCCCUAUCCUAUUUUUAGGCUUUUCUGAGUCUUUUGAGCCACGUGCCAUCAUAGUGAUUUUUUGUCGCACUUUUUCGUCGUCGCUGCCCUGAUUUCCGAAAAAAAAGUGAAAAAAAAAUAUCAUGCCCAUCCUAUCAGUUUGACAAGGGAAGAGUUUUGAGACACUCGCCAUUAUAGUGAUUUUUCGCAAAAAAAAGAGGAGCGCAAAAAAAGGAGCGCAAAAAAAAGAGCGAAAAAAAAGAGUUCCAGAGUGUGCUUUUCCCUUAUUUACGUGCAGCGCCGUGAUUUUGUUAGUGUUCUAGGCUCGCGUCUCUAGCACGGUCUAGCCUAGGACCAGCACAGUACCGUCGUUGAGCGUUUAUUCAACUUUGCAUCUCUGAAUUGAUUAUUGCUGACCCUUUUUGCUACCAUACUAUAAGCCUUCCCAGCUCCACAUACAUCUACGUCGUGUGUUUGACUCUCCCUGGCAAUCGCUCUAUCCAAGCUUUUGAGAGUUUUGACUACAACGGUUGCCAAUCACCGCCUGCUGCUGGGUAAGAACUGGUAAGAAUUUGAGAUUUGCUUGACGGAUUUGUGACACCCGCCACCACCACCACUUGUUAGUAGUCUGUAGGAUCAUAUUCUUGUGUGUUUCUAUUGCUGCUAACCAUGCCAGGAUCACAAGCCGACGAGACUGACUAGGAGAACUUGACGAACAAGGAGCUUCAUGAUACGUUUCAGCAAAUGAUGAGUGGACAGGUGCACGAUGUGAUAAACAGAUUUGAAGAGGCCAUGGAGAAGAUAGAUGGCAUGGAGAAGACGUUUGAAACAAAGCUCGAUAACAAGUUUGCUGAAUUGCUUUCGCGUUUUCCACCACCACCAUCGGUUGCUCCUGCCGCACCUCUGCAACAACAGCAACAACAUCGACUACCUCCACGUCGGGAAACAGCCCUCCGCCGAGCGAGCCGUGUCCCUCUUCAGUCGGGCCAAACUGUUGGUGCUGCUGUUGAUACUUCUGUGGCUCCUACUGCUGAUGUGGAGGAGGAUGAUUAUGUGGGAGAUUAUGAGGAUGAGGUUGAACACAAUCACUAGCACAGCAACCACCAGGUCGUCCACAUGCAAAUAAUGGCAAUGGUAGGGCUCACCCUUAGGUACGAGAUCAUGACCAUCUCCCUAAACUAAAAUUGAAUAUUCCACCAUUUGAGGGUAGAUAUGUUCCUGAUAUAUAUCUUACUUGGGAGUUAGAAACUGAACAACGAUUUACAUGUUUACAAUAUCCCGAGGAGAGACGUGUUCCUGCUGCUGUUUGUGCAUUCACUAGUUUUGCAUGUGUUUGGUGGUCUGAGCAUUGUAGAUUAUAUCCUAUUCCGGCUACUUGGGCUGCUUUGAAAACUGCUAUGCGUACUCGUUGGGUUCCACCAUAUUAUCAACGUGAAUUACUUCAAAAAUUGCAGCGCUUAAGACAGGGGAAAAAUUCUGUAGAAGAAUAUUAUCAGGAAUUACAAACUGGCAUGAUUAGAUGUGGUAUUGUUGAGGAGAAUGAAGCUAUGCUUGCACGUUUUAUGGGUGGAUUAAAUAGAGAGAUUCAGACGAUUCUAGAGUAUAAGGAGUAUACUAAUAUCACUCGUUUAUUCCAUCUUGCUUGUAAAGCUGAACGUGAAGUGCAGGAUCGACAGGCAUUGGCGCGGACUAACUUUUCUGCAGGUCGACCUUCAUCAUGGACACCACGUGCAUCAUCUACUUCCACACGUUCUGCUACACCAGUGCCUCCGUCGGCUGCCACCUCCAACCGUGAUACAAUAAAGCAGGCACAAUCACCAAUAUCUGCCAAGAGCACACCUUCUGGGCCUGCAAAGAGCUCUUCUUCAUCCAUGGCAUCAACAGGGCAAACACAUGAUAUUAUUUGUCGACGUUGCAAGGGUGGAGGUCAUUAUGCGAGAGAAUGCUCAUCUAAGCGUGUGAUGAUUGUUACUGAGGAUGGUGGGUAUGAGUCCGCUAGUGACUAUGAUGAGGAGACCUUGGCUCUUAUUACACGUGAAGAACAUGGUGGAGACGAUUCUGAUCAUGAGACGCAAUACAUGGCUCUUGAAGAUGCUAACAGGUAUGAAUGUUUAGUUGCUCAACGUGUUUUGAGUGUGCAGGUUACACAAGCUAAGCAAAAUCAGAGGCAUAAUUUGUUCCAUACAAAGGGAGUUGUGAAGGAACGUUCUGUUCGCGUGAUCAUAGAUGGAGGGAGCUGCAAUAACUUGGCUAGCGUGGAGAUGGUGGAGAAGCUAUCUCUCACCACAAGACCACAUCCACAUCCUUACUACAUCCAAUGGUUCAACAACAGCGGCAAGGUUAAGGUAACACGUACUGUUCGUGUGCAUUUUAGUAUAUCUACAUAUGCUGAUUAUGUUGAUUGUGAUGUGGUACCUAUGCAAGCAUGUUCCUUAUUACUUGGUAGACCAUGGCAAUUUGAUAAAAAUUCUGUACACCAUGGUAGAAAUAAUCAGUAUACUCUUGUUCAUAACGAUAAGAAUAUUACUUUGCUUCCUAUCACUCCUGAUUCCAUUUUGAAAGAUGAUAUUAAUAGAGCUAAUAAAGCAAAACAGGAGACAAAUAAGAGUGAAAAUCAGAUUGUGGCAAAAGAAUUUGAGCACCAAAUGAAGCCUAAUAAUAAACCAUCUACUGUUGUUUCUGAAAUUAAAUUGAAAAGUGCAUGUUUACUUGCCACCAAAUCUGAUAUUGAUGAGCUAGAUUUUAGCAAAUCUGUUUGCUAUGCUUUUGUGUGCAAAGAGGCAUUAUUUUCAUUCGAGGACGUGCCUUCCUCUUUGCCCCCUGCUGUCACUAACAUUUUGCAGGAGUUCACUGACGUCUUUCCACAAGAUGUGCCACCGGGAUUACCACCUAUUCGAGGGAUUGAGCAUCAAAUUGACUUAAUUCCCGGUGCUUCGCUACCCAACCGUGCACCAUACCGUACCAAUCCAGAGGAGACGAAGGAGAUUAUGCGUCAAGUACAAGAACUGCUCGACAAAGGUUAUAUACGCGAAUCCCUUAGUCCUUGUGCUGUUCCUAUCAUUUUAGUGCCGAAAAAGGAUGGCACGUCACGUAUGUGCGUUGAUUGUAGAGGCAUUAAUAAUAUUACUAUUCGUUAUCGUCAUCCUAUUCCUAGGCUAGAUGAUUUGCUUGAUGAAUUGAGUGGCUCUACAAUAUUCUCCAAAGUUGAUUUGCGUAGUGGAUACCAUCAAAUUCGUAUGAAAUUGGGUGAUGAAUGGAAAACAGCAUUUAAAACUAAGUUUGGAUUAUAUGAGUGGUUAGUCAUGCCUUUUGGGUUAACUAAUGCACCUAGUACUUUCAUGAGGUUAAUGAACGAAGUUUUACGUGCUUUCAUUGGACGAUUUGUGGUAGUUUACUUUGAUGACAUAUUGAUUUAUAGCAAAUCUUUGGAGGAACAUUUGGAACAUUUACGUGCUGUUUUUAUUGCUCUACGUGAUGCACGUUUGUUUGGAAACCUUGGAAAGUGCACCUUUUGCACCGACCGAGUAUCUUUUCUUGGCUAUGUUGUUACUCCACAGGGAAUUGAAGUUGAUAAAGCCAAGAUUGAAGCUAUUGAGAGUUGGCCGCAGCCCAAAACGGUCACACAAGUGAGGAGUUUCCUUGGCCUCGCUGGUUUCUAUAGGCGUUUUAUGAGAGAUUUCGGCACCAUUGCUGCACCUCUCAACGAGCUUACAAAGAAGGAUGUGCCUUUUGUUUGGGGUACCGCACAGGAAGAAGCUUUCACGGUAUUGAAAGAUAAGUUGACACAUGCUCCUUUACUCCAACUUCCUAAUUUCAAUAAGACUUUUGAGCUUGAAUGUGAUGCUAGUGGAAUUGGAUUAGGAGGUGUGUUAUUACAAGAUGGAAAACCUGUUGCAUACUUUUCUAAAAAAUUGAGUGGGCCUAGUCUGAACUAUUCUACUUAUGAUAAAGAAUUAUAUGCUCUUGUUCGGACCUUAAAAACAUGGCAACAUUAUUUAUGGCCCAAGGAAUUUGUUAUACAUUCUGAUCAUGAAUCUUUGAAACACAUUAAAAGUCAAGCAAAACUGAACCGUAGACAUGCUAAAUGGGUUGAAUUCAUUGAGACUUUCCCUUAUGUCAUUAAACACAAGAAGGGUAAAGAAAAUGUUAUUGCUGAUGCCUUGUCUCGUCGUUAUACUAUGCUUUCACAACUUGACUUUAAAAUAUUUGGUUUGGAGACCAUCAAAGAUCAAUAUGUUCAUGAUGCUGAAUUUAAAGAUAUAUUGCAGAAUUGUAAGGAAGGGAGAACUUGGAACAAGUUCGUUCUUAAUGAUGGAUUUGUGUUUCGUGCUAACAAGCUAUGCAUUCCAGCUAGCUCCGUUCGUCUUUUGUUGUUGCAGGAGGCGCAUGGAGGAGGAUUAAUGGGACACUUUGGCAUCAAGAAGACGGAGGAUAUACUUGCUACACAUUUCUUUUGGCCAAAGAUGAGACGGGAUGUUGAGCGUUUUGUUGCUCGCUGCACUACAUGUCAAAGAGCUAAGUCACGACUCAAUCCUCAUGGUUUAUAUAUGCCUUUGCCUGUACCUAGUGUUCCUUGGGAGGAUAUAUCUAUGGACUUUGUUUUAGGUUUACCUCGAACAAAGAAGGGGAGGGAUAGCAUAUUUGUUGUCGUGGAUAGGUUCUCGAAAAUGGCACACUUUAUACCAUGUCAUAAAAAGCGAUGAUGCUGUUAAUGUUGCUGAUUUGUUCUUUCGUGAAAUUAUUCGCUUACAUGGUGUGCCAAAUACUAUUGUUUCAGAUCGUGAUACUAAAUUUCUUAGCCACUUUUGGAGAUGUUUAUGGGCUAAGUUGGGGACUAAGCUGCUUUUUAGUACUACUUGUCACCCCCAAACUGAUGGACAAACUAAAGUAGUCAAUAGAACAUUGUCUACUAUUCUUAGGGCUGUUUUGAAGAAUAACAAGAAAAUGUGGGAAGAAUGCUUGCCUCAUAUUGAAUUUGCUUAUAAUCGUUCAUUGCAUUCUACUACUAAGAUGUGCCCUUUUGAAAUUGUGUAUGGUUUCCUACCUCGUGCACCUAUUGAUUUGUUGCCUCUUCCAUCUUCAGAGAAGGUUAAUUUUGAUGCUAAAGAACGUUCUGAAUUGAUUUUAAAAAUGCAUGAGUUAACUAAGGAAAACAUUGAGCAUAUGAAUGCCAAAUAUAAACUUGCUGGAGAUAAGGGUAGAAAACAUGUUGUGUUUGCGCCUGGAGAUCUUGUUUGGUUACAUUUGCGUAAAGAUAGAUUUCAUAAUCUGCGCAAAUCAAAGCUAAUGCCACGUGCUGAUGGUCCUUUUAAGGUGUUAGAGAAAAUAAAUGAUAAUGCAUAUAAACUUGAGCUACCUGUAGAUUUUGGGGUUAGUCCCACUUUUAACAUUGCAGAUUUGAAGCCUUAUUUGGGUGAGGAAGAUGCGCUUCCGUCGAGGACGACUUCAUUUCAAGAAGGGGAGGAUGAUGAGGACAUCAAUACCAUUGUUACACCCACAGCCCCUACUGUUACAUAUACUGGACCAAUUACUAGAGCUCGCGCACGCCAAUUAAAUUACCAGGUACUUUCGUUUCUUGGUAAUGAUUCUAAUGUUCAUGAGAUUAUGAUGUUGCCUAAAUUGGAUACAUUUGUUUUGCUUACAAAUGAAGGGCCUAGCUUGGAGAAGGAUGAACAUUGGAGCAAGAACAGGCAUGGAGUUGAUGGCAUGCGCAAGGGGAUCAAGAACGGAGUUACAAGUGAUGAUUUCAGGACUUUGAAGCCGCCAUAAGGAGUGCAUGAAGCCUUGGACGAAAUAUACAAGAUGCCACUUCAUAAUAUUCGUCCAUAGGCUAUUCUAGGUGCUGCGUCACCUUAUUAAUGGGCCAGGCCCAUGUAAUUUCGAAAUACUUAAGUAUAGGCUAUUUUUAGAGUCCGUAUGUGUGGGGAAACAAGAGUUAGGGUUGGUUUCGGACCCCACCCUCAAGGGCCACGAAAUUCCCCACUCUUCCUCCAUAUAUACAACCCUUAGGGCGUCGUUUAGACUUUGGGUUUUGUUUAGAUUAAAAGUUCGCCAUAGAUGCAACUUCACGUACUUCGUUUGUGUCCAACGACCAGACCAAGACGUCACAGAACCCCACCUUGAUCAAUAAAGCUUUCAUCUUAUAUUCGCAAUAUCCCAAUUGCAAUCUCAGUUUCUUGCUUGUUCUUCGUUUGCUCGCAGGAAACAGACCCUCGUGGUCAGGUUGAUCGUGCUCCGGCGUGGUCAAUAACCCUCAGAAGUUGGUUUAGCGAUUGCUAGGGCACGACGUCUCGCACGUUCGUAGUCGGAUCGUCAAGGUCGACUCCCACAGAAAACGAUAGCCACCAUCUCAUCGAAACAUCAGGACACCUUAGCCUCUAUCAGCUAGUCGUGAACCCAAAGCGGCACAGACCUAUGGAGAGAUGCAUACAUGAAUCACAUCGAGCAUGUCGGUCAUCAGCGAGUGAUUCUGGGCUGUAGCACUGGGCUAACAGGACUCCGGGGAACCCGGGCUGUAGUAGGCUAGGCAGGACUCCGGAAGUCACCGUGUGACAUUUCCUCGAAGGGACAGACAUAGGAACGAAGUGAAACACAUGCCGGCCAGUCAAGUGUCCUGAACAGUAGUGCUGGGCUAGCAGGACUCCGGUGAACCGGGCUGUAGCGGACUACUAUGGCUCGAGGAACACUAGACUACAUUUCCCCAUAAGAAAGGCUGCCAAGGAUAAACAACUAGAUUGUCGGAUCCCACUCAUACCAAGCAUUUCAAUCAUACACACAAUAUGCCCGAUAUGAGUACAUACAACAUUGCAUCACAACAAAACUCUACAACUCAAGUACUUUAUUUAAAGGCUCCAGAGAGCCAUACAUAACAUGUUCAUACAGAUAGGGGUCACAUGACCCGACACUCAAGUCAUACAAUCAUACAAGCACAUGCGGAAGCAACUAGUCUGAGUACAGACACUAGAAAGAAAGAAGGCUUCUCGAAGCCUGUCUAUCUACAUAGGGCCCUCCAUGGCCAGGAUCACCACCUGGGUGGCUAGUCACUCGUCGACGCCAAGGUCUACGUAGAACCCAUCGGAGGGGGCGGUGUUGUCGUCUAAAAAUAGUAAUUAAGCAAACAUGAGUACAAGGGUACUCAUCAAGUCUUACAACAGAACCUACUAUACAUGCUUAUUCUCAAGAAGGUGGUGGGGUUAUUGCAGCAAGCCAGCUUUCACUCUUGGCUAAGCUAUCCUACGGAACUCCACCAGUAAAAUAGUUUUCGCACACGAGUCCACUACUCACCAACACAAUACUCCAUCGAGGAUCCUCCCUCGUCAUCCUACGAGAGGGCCAUCCUUGGUACUCACACUUAUCUUGAGUCUUUUAGUAGUAUCCAUUAACUUGUCUAUGAACUGUAUAGGCAACCAAGUAGUCCUUUACCGCGGACACGGCUAUUUGAAUAGUUUUAUACCCUGCAGGGGUGUACUUCGUCAUACAUGUUUCCACCACUUAGCGUCUGCACACGACAUGUGCUCGGCAGACUUCAAGCGAAAACCGAUGUGGGUGUAGACCACGACCUGACUAACCUCACAAGUCUCUAGUCCAGGUUUAUCGCCUAUUCAGGUUCCAUCUGCAAGGAAAUCCGGCCGGGGUGUCCUCAACGGCCCCAAACAAUGUGUACAGGGCCCCGAGACGCCAAACGGGCGCCCGGCAUACCCGGCCACAGUGUAUCUACCGCAUCAUAGCCCACCCCUAGGGUCAGCGCUACGCACGGCCGCCAACACAUAUCCUACAAACACCAGAAACUAGUUGCAACUCCUGGACAGAGGGCGAGAGGGGUCAGUAAGUUGAGCGGGGUCAUAUUUCAGGGCCCAAUGUGUGGUAGUAGCUGAAUCUUAAAUCACGCAUACAGAUCUCAGUUCUUAUGGACGGUCUCAAUGAAACAACCCACCAUGUACUCCUACAUGGCCUCUCAUCGAUACCUUUACCAAAACAUGUUCAACACAUUCCUCACAUUACCGACAUAUCAUAUCACUCUAGCCCAUCACCCAGAUGAACCAGACCUGACACAACUCUAAGCAUAGCAGGCAUAGCAAGGUAGGAAUCACAUACAUGGCUCAAUCAACUCCUGCACAUGCUAGUGGGUUUCAUCUAGUUACUGUGGCAAUGACAGGUCAUGCAAAGGAUAAGGGUUCAACUACCGUAACACACAGCAGUUUGAAUCGCGUUGUCUUAAUGCAGUAAACAAGAGCAGAAGCGAGAACAUGGUUUUGUAUCGGAAUGAUCAAUGGGUUGCUUGCCUGUUGUAGUGGUAGUAGGGUACUGCCCUUCAGACGGAUACUCGGGGUUAUCCUCGGAGGCAGAACCUACCACGAAAGACACACCGAAACAUAAUCAACACAUGGCAAUAUGCAACAAUAUGAUGCAUUCUAUGACAUGGCAAGAUGAAGGUGUCUUGGCCUAAUGCAAGCUAAAACAGACAGGGAUGAACUCAUUUGAGUCAAAGAUUCAGUUAUUAGCUUAUUAAACAUGGCUUUAUUAGUGCAUUACCUCAUUCUGCUUAAACAGCAAGGUUAACUUGUUUUGUCAUGCAUGAAACCAUUACAGAUGGAUAGAUUGAUUUUUUCUGAUCAUUUUUCAUAUAUAAAUCUUUGCAUUUGGAGCUAUGGUUGAUUUUCUAUGAUUUUUAGAAGUUUUGAUUAUUUUCUGGAAUUUCCUAUUAAAGAAUAAAUCCAGAAAUUGAAUUAAUGCGUCAACACUGUGUCACUGUGACGUCAGCGGGUCAAAGGCGCCAGCCCAGGUCAAACCUGACUGGUGGGCCCCUUCUGUCAGUCUCUCAGCUAACUAACAGAGUUCGUUAGUGUUUAGUUAGCACUAAACUGGGUUAGUUAGGCUCUGGGCCCACAUGUCAGUGAGAGAGGGGUAGUUAACGGCGUCAUUAACCUCUACAGAGUGAUUAGCUGUAAUUUAAACUAAUCUAAAUUAGUUAGAAGCCGGCCCCACAUGUCAGUGUCUCAGAUGGAGUCAAACUGGGGUCAAACCCCUGGUCAGCGGGGCUAAUCCCGCCGGCGUUGAGUCGCCGGCGAGGCCGAGACGGCGGAGAGCUUCGGAUUUGGUCCUCCGGUGACCAAAUCGCCGGUGGAGACGUGCUACGCGUAGCUGGGGAGCUGCCGCAUCUUGUGGUGCAAGUGGUUGGACACGGGGACGCCGGAAACGACGCCGGCGAGCUCGACAGCGGCGGCCGGAGUUCGGACAGGGUUGGGUUCGACGCUAUGGUGCACGAGAGAAGGAGCUGGUGGUGGCUACGGGCUCCUGGUGCUGCGCUGAGCACAAGGUGAGCUUGGCUUCGAGCCACUGUGGCUCUAGCCACGACAGUGCCAUGGCCGGCGGCGGGGAGCUUUCGGGUGCGGUGGAAGUGUCGACUACAGAGGCCAAACAAGCACGGGAGCUAGGGGAAGAGGAAGAGGAGCUCACAGCGGGGUCGGAGAGGGGGUCAGCGAGCUCGGGGAGGUCCUGGCGGCGACGAAUCGACCGGAGACGGCUCGGGUGCCCGAGGUUGAAGACGAGGGCGAAGACGGCGUUCGGCGGCGUUUGGAGUCGCGUGGGUCAGCGGAGAGGUCCAGGGCGACGAGGCGGAGCUAUUGGGCUUGUCGGAGGGGCGAGGGGGUGGCUCUAGUGACGUCUACGGCGAACGGCGGCGAGGAUCGCGCUCGGCCAUCGCGGGAGAGGGUGAGGGAGACAAGGGGGAGAGUGAGGGAGGAUGAGAGGGGGACGUGGGGGUCGGCGUGGCAUCCCUGGACGUCUCCAGGGCGUCGGCAGAAGCAGGAGGUGGCCGGCGUGUGGCCGCAGGCGCCGGCCACGCGCUCCUCGUCCUCCUGGCGGGAGGAGGACGACGACUGGCAAGGCCAGUCGGCUGGGCCGAGCCAGGUGGGCUGGGCCAGCACAGGUAAGGCCCAGGUGGGCUUCCCUCUCUCUCUCUUUUUGAUUUGUUUCUGUUUUUCUAUUUAACUGCAACUGUUAGGCUUUAUUAAAAAAUACUAAAACAUUGCCAAAAAUCCUGAAAAUAAUUGUGGGCUCUGUUUAGAAUAUUUCCAACGGCAAACAUUUAUUUCCAGAAUUAUUUGAGCAUUUAAAUUAUUUUAUAGCAUUUAAAUGCCCAAAAUCAAAUACUUAUGAUUUAAUUCAAUGACCUUCUAUUGACCUAGAAAAUUGUGCACCAAUUUUGCCAGGGGUUCUAACCCAAGACAAAGAGGGUGAACUUUUUAGAAGGGCAUUUUAGGUUCAUUGAAAAAUAAUUUUAGUAAACCCUAGUUGUUUCGAGGGGGGUUGGGGGUUCUGUCUUCCCCAUUUCAAAUUUAAGAGGAAUUUAAACAUGAUGCACACUCUAAUGAUUGAACUAACUAGGGUGUGACAGCUAGCUCGAGAACGACAACGACAACACCAACAUGAAGAGGAAGAACGCGCGCGUCUACACCAAAAUGCACAAGAUGCCGAGGCUCAACGUCAAGAACAACAACUCCGUGAUGCUCAAGCACUUGAGGCGCAACAAGCUCUACUCGAUGCGAGUCGAGCCGUUGCCGACCAAGGCCGACAAGCCCGUGAAGAAGAGGAAGCACUUCGCGAAGAAAUUCACGAACGACGAUUUCAAGCUAGCAUGCAUCGUCUAGUUCCUCCUCAAGCUCGACGCGCUCCUCCACAAGCUCGCCAAGACCAUGAAGUUCAUCAAGAGCAGGAAGACAAUGGGAAUCCUCCGCGACAAGAGCAACACGAGGUUGACAACCCUCUGCGUCAAGAACACCAUGAGUUGAACAAUCAUCUACAACUUGGGCGUCAUCAUCCCUGACCCCAACACAAUGAAGAACAAUGCUACGACAAGCUCAAGUUCACCAUGCCCAAGUUCAACGAAAACAAUGAUCCCGAAGAAUACCUUUCAUGGGCAUUGAAAGUUGACAAAUCUUCCGUUUGCACAAUUAUGAAGAAGAGAAGAAGAUCGCGAUGGCAUCCCUUGAGUUCCAAGACUAUGUCCUCAUUUGGUGGGAACAAAUCAUAGAGCGCCGCGAGGCAAGAGGUGAACCACCCAUCACUACUUGGGCACAAAUGAAGGAUGUCAUGAGAGCACGCUUCGUGCCUACCUACUACAACCGCGACCUCUUCAAGAAACUCCAACAACUCAAGCAAGGAACCAAGAGCGUUGAAGAAUACUACAAGGACAUGGAGAUUGCAAUGAUAAGAGCCAAUGUCACGGAAGACGAUGAACAAACAAUGGCACGCUUCUUGAAUGGCCUCAACCAUCCCAUCAAGAAGAUCGCCGACUUCCAACCAUACUCAAACCUCAUAGAUCUAGUGCACCAAGCCACCAAAGCGGAACGCCAAGUGCAAGAUGAUUUCAAGUAUGCCAAAUUCUCGUCCAAGACCUACGGCUCCUCUUAUCAAGCUCCCAUGACUUCGGCAACUCCUACCUCAACUAGAGAAUUACCAGGUACCGGCGGCAAGUCAAGUUCCAAGAAAGCUUCAUCAACUACAAGCCAUCGUCCUACGAGCAACUUCAAGCCGAUAGCUUCUUCAUCAUCUACCCCGACCGAUGAGACUGUCAAGACGAGUUCCUUCGAGUGUUUCACUUGCAGAGGCCGAGGCCACAAGUCCUACGAGUGCACCAACAAGCGAACCAUGGUCUUCAAUGACGAUGGCACUUAUGACUCCAUGAGCGAAGGCGAAAUGGAAGCCCACGAGCAAGUCGCCAUGCAUGACUAAGUAAACAAUAAAGAAGAACAAGUCUUUUGUGAUGAAGACUCAAGUCCCGCACUUGUUGUCUCCAAAGUCUUGACCCUCCAACAUCACCAAGAAGAAGACCAAAGAUGCAACAUAUUCCACACCAAGGCCGGCAUCAAUGGACGAUCUGUCAAGGUCAUCAUCGAUGGAGGAAGUUGUCAUAAUCUCGCAAGUGAAGAACUUUGCUCCAAGCUCCAAUUGCCAAAGACGAAGCAUCCACACCCAUAUAAAGUGCAAUGGCUUAGCGACUCCGACACUAUCCAAGUCGAGCACUGAGUACACGUCUCCUUCAAGAUCGGCGCCUACUAAGACACCUUGGAGUGCGACAUCGUGCCAAUGACCGUUUGUCAUCUUCUCCUUGGACGGCCAUGGCAAUUCGAUAGAGGAGUCGUACACAACAGCCUAACGAACCACUACAUCUUCAAGAUGAAGGGCAAGGAGUACGUCCUCCGUCCAAUGUCGCCAAGUCAAGUGGUCGCCGAUAAGCACGCCACCCAUCGUGGAGAUCAUAGUGAGAGAGCGAGCCACCAAAAAGAGAGUGAGCGCCACAAGCCAAAAUCGAGUGCCUCCACGAUGAGCAAAAACAAGAACCUAUUUCUAUUGGCCACCAAACGUGAGAUGAGAGAAGUGUGUGAGAACCCAUCUAGUAUCCUACACUAUGUCCUCGUGUGCAAGGACAAUGCACCACAAACUAACACUUCUUACACUCUUCCUCUAGUGUUGUCUUCUCUUUUGCAAGAAUUCCAAGAUGUUUUCCCCGAUGAGCUACCUCCGGGACUACCUCCACUACGAGGCAUUGAGCACCGCAUCCACAUCAUCCCCGGAGCACCGCUUCCGAACAACGCUCCCUACCGCGUCAAGUUCUUGAGUUACUUUUGGAAGACCUUAUGCGCCAAGCUCGGAAUCAAGUUACUCUUCUCCACGACGUUCCACCCUCAAACCGAUAGCCAAACGAAGGUGACGAACCGUACACUCUCCACUUUACUACGAGUCUUAAUCAAGAAGAACAUCAAGGAGAGGGAGGAGUACGCCUACAACCGCACAAGACACUCAACAACCGGCAAGUCUCCUUUCGAGGUCAUUUACGGAUUCAACCCAUUGUCACCAUUGGACAUUCUUCCUCUCCCACUCCAAGAGCGCAUCAAUUUGGACACAAGUGCGCGUGUGACACAUCUCAAGACGGUGCAUGAAGAUAGAAGAAACACCAUCGAGCGCCAAGUUCAACGCCUUGCGACCAAGCUCAACUUCAACAAGCAACCUAUGUUCUUCAUCAUUGGUGACCGUGUGUGGCUACACCUUCGCAAGGACCGCUUCCCACAAGAACGCAAAUCCAAGCUUCGACCAUGAGCGGAUGGACCCUUCAAGGUGAUUGCACGCUACAACGACAACGCUUACAAGAUCGACCUCCCGCACGACAAGUACAACGUGAGCAACAUCUUCAACGUCAAAGAUCUCUCUCCCUUCCAUGGUGAUGAAGAAUUUGAUCCGAGGACGGAUCUUCCCAAAGGGAGGGGAGAUGAUGCAGAGCAUCCCAAGGUCAUCCCCAUGGACCUACCAUCGUCCCAUCAAGUGCUUAGUGGACCCAUGACUCGAUCACUUGCAAGAGCUCUUGAAACUGAGGUGACAUCUCUCCUCUCACAAUUCCACUUCGAUGAACAUGAAGCAUGGCUACUACCUCAUAUGGACUCUUUGUGCAUAGGCACCAUGGAGAAGCUAAGGAGCAAGGACAAGAAGAAGAGGAAGAUGGACGAGAAGACGGAGAAGAAGGAGGGCUGAAGGAAAAGUCCCAGCCACCGGACGACCGGCCGGGACCGGACGUCCGGCACCUGAAGCCUCAGCCGAACCCCAGCGAGCGGAUGUCCGGCCCAGACCGGACGACCGGUGCCCCUGCACCUGAAGCAAACGAGCGGAUGUCCGGUCCGGACCGGACGACCGGUGCACCAGCACCCGAGCCAACAUCAGCGGAAGCCCGGAGCUACCGGACGCCCGACACCCCAUCACAGAGCAGAACCAGCGGACGACCGGAGGACACCGGACGUCCGACAGCUCCUGAGACACCGGACGACCAGUCCCCAGCGGAAGUCCGGUACCUGGCUGCGUCCAGAUUCGGGCCCGAGGCCCAUGUACCCCUACUUUCGCCCCCAUUUGCACUUAGACUAUAAAUAGACCUCUCCCACCUCCUUUCUAGGGUUAGCAUUAGUUUAGCUCAUUUUAGAGAUAGAGCAUUGCUCAUCCAUAUCGGAUCUACUCCACGAGAGAGACUGCGACCCCUCUACGAAGAAGAUCCACCUUGGAUUCAAGCCCCUUUAUGGGAAGAUCCCCUUGUGGAUUCAAGACCUCCUCACGGAGAAGAACCGGUUACCGUGUAUCAUCCCUAGUUGUCCAUGGAUUCGUGUAUUGUUCUAUGUACUCGAGGAUCUAUCCCAUGUGUGACUUAUUCGUGUCGGUUUAGUGAUUUCCUCUUGUGUUUUCCUUCCGUUCUUCCCCGUGUUCUUCGUGUUUUCCCCGGGAUCCGCUCCUUUCAUGAAAGACCGGGCGAUUAGGGUGUCUACCCUACAUCAAGGAAGCCACCUGGGAGCGAGAAGAAGACCUCCGGAAGGACCACCCAUACCUUUUUGCUAGCCAAUCCGAAUCUCGAGGGCGAGAUUCAUCUUAAGGGGGGUAGGUUUGUAACAUCCCAAUUUUCAAUCUGGAUGUUAAUUAGAUCAUUCAUAUGCAUUCAUCAUUUGAGAAUUUGGGAAUUCUAUUUUAUUUGAAUUUUGAUCCUAGAAACCUUAAGCAACUCAAGGACCAAUUGAGAGAGUUGCAGGUUUUCUCAAAAAUCCAUUUUUGAAUUUUCAAAAAUUGGCAAAUUGGAUCAAAAAUUAUUUAUUCAAAAUAUUUUCCAAUAAUUUCAAAUAAAUAAAAUAAUGAGAGAAGAUAAUAUGACUUCUUCAAAAAUAGUAAAGAAAUGUUGGAAAUUUAUUUUUGAAUCAAAAUAUAUUUUAUUUGAUUUUAUUUACGUGUUUAAUUAUUUUUGUUAGUGCAAAAAUUUUAUUUUAUUUUUAGGCAUUUAGGUCCAGAAAAAUGUUCACCUAGCCCAUUUAAUUAGGAGGGAAUUGUGUGAUUUUUUGUGGAAUUUCUAAAAGUAUUUUUAUUAGGUUUUUACUAUUUUUCAUAUUUUCAGAAAAUGUUUAAAAAAACUUCUGGGCCGCCGAACUGGGCCGGAGCCGAGCCGACAACCGCCUUCGUACCCGUGCCCGACCGGGACUCCUCCCGGAAUCGUGAGCCGACAUGGCCUCGGCCGCCCCCUCCCGCAAGCCGACGCCCCUGCCUUUAUAAACCGCCGCCCCCUCGCCCCACCACCGCCGCCAGCCACCGCCUCCUCUCGCAGCCGCCGCCGCCGCGGCACCGAACCAUGCCACCGCUUGCCUCGCUGUCGUGCCACCGACGCCGCCGCGACGCUGCCAGUAGCCCCGCACCGCCCGUCGCCGGAUCCCGCCGCCCGAUCCGCCGACCCGACCCGCUGGUUUUUUUGGUUUGGUAAUAAACUGUCCCCGGUUCGCCGGUUUUCUUUUAGGGUUCUAUUUUUGUUUCGGUUUUUUGGUUCGAUCUAUCUAGCUAACGUUCGUUCGUUUAGAUCUGUUAAUGAUCCGUUUCAUUCGUUAAUCUCUCGUAGCGGACGUUCGUCCGAUAGAUUUUUCCUUUUCUGUUUAUUUUCGGCCAGGGACCUAUCUGUAACUAUUUUCUUCACAGAUUAGCCCCUGAUCUUUAAACCCUCGUAACUUUUUGCUCGUUUAUCCAAAUCCAUUGAAACCAACGCCAAAUUCUUUGUUAUGAUCCCCUCUGUCCAAAUAACCAACUUCGUGCUUGACCUAAACUUUCAAACGGAUUUGAAUUUGAACUUCUUUUAAUUGUAACUUGAGUUUCGUAUUUCCGAUUUGAUUGAUUCUUUUUGCAUAUCGAAGUUCUCGGCCUAAACUUUCUGUUAAGAUCUUUUUCUUUGAUUUUCUUUGCAUCUUCGUGCUCGAGUGCUUAUGUAUGCUAUUGUUUGUCUACGAUGGAUUUUCUGGAGUGCGAAGCUUGCUACUACGAAUUUCUAGGGUUUUCUGAUCGUCAACAAGGCAAGUUACACUUUGAUCAUACCGUUUAUUACCCAGUUUUUAUGCAUUAGUUACACCCUCAAACAUUACAUGAGUAGGAUUGGGAACAUGUGGUUAUUGUUAUGUAGUUGAUGAGGUAGGAACCUAAUAUCUUUGAUCACCCCGGGAAUAUACGUUGUGCUCAUAUUGCUUAGCCAUGCUCGUAGAUGGGGAUUGGUAUGUGAGAAUCAUGCAAGUUGUGACAGAUACUAACCAAGGGAAACUUAAGGUGGCUACUUUAAUACACAUCUGGGUGGAUUGGUUGUGGGCACCUGGGGAGUCCAGUGUUGUCCUAGGAGAUCUCGAGGUAUCCGUGUGAUCAUCCUAUGGAAUGCCACCUAGGCUCAAAGGGAUCAUAAGAUUAUUCAUGCUCAGAAACUUCUGUGUGCAGCCACAAGCCAUUAUGGGCUCUGACAUAGUUAAGUAAGUUGUGGGAAACCUUUCCAUGAUGGGCUAGCAGAUGUAGGGGAAUUGUAGUUGUACCGGCCUAUCUAUCGGUUAAGGGGACUUCUUCAGAAAGGCUAUGUCUCAAACAUCCAAUCAUGGAUGCGGUCGAGUCUUGCGGGGAAACGUGUGCAAACCUCUGCAGAGUGUAUAAACUAAUCAUGAUUAGUCGUGUCCCCAGUUAUGGACAUCUUGAGUAUCUGGUAUUUGAGUUAUUGGUUGAUCUCAUCACUUUACUUAAUAAAUUUUGUUGGGAUAUUAUUAUUACUAUUGUUACUUGAUAAUUUUGGGAUUGAGUUGGGGAUACUUUCUCUAUAAUGGCAUAAACAUGGUAGUAAAUAAAAUAUAUUCCUUUGUUGUAGGAAAAAAUAGCUUUAUGCAAAUGUUAGACUUAGAGCCUCCACCAGCCAAAUAUGCAUCUAGUGAUAGUCAUUAUUCAUCAUUGCUCUAUAGUGUGAUCUUUCCAGCAUAUUCCAUGUGCUGACCUACACGGCUGCAACGCCUCAUGUUGCAGAAUUUUCAGACGAGGAUUAAGGUGCGAUUGGUCAUUGUCUUGCACUCGGUUUUGCUGUGGAGUUGUAUGGACUGAUUUUCCUUCGAAGCUUCCGCAGUUAUUUUAUUAGAUGGCCUUCAGCCAUAUUAUUGUAAUAUUCACUCUUUAUGAGGACCUCAAUGUAAUAAGUGUGUGAUUGAACUCUGUUAUAAUUUCCUCGAGUACUGUGUGUGUCAGCAUACCAAUCUAGUGAUGACACUUAAGCACAGAGACUACGGUCCAUUGGGAUCGGGUCGCUACAUUAGGGUAAUGACUAGAGGAGGUAAGAUGACUCAGGAUCCUCUAUAUCUUGAAGGUUAUCCUAAGAGAAUUGAGCAAGGUUCCCGAAGAAUUAAUAUUGAUGCACCUAGUUCAUCUAAGAAGAAAAAGAAAAAGAAAAAUGAUAGAACUUCGCAUGCUUUUAGUGAACCUGUGGUAGAAAAUCCUUCUAAGAAUCAUAAUGAUGUUUCUAUUUGUGAUGUUGAGACACAAUCUGGUAAUGAACAUCCACCUAGUGAUAAUGAUAAUGAUGAUGUUCAUGUUGAUGCUCAACCAGAUAAUGAUAAAGAAAUGGAUACGGAUGUAGAAAUAAAACUUGUUGUUGAUCUUGAUAACCCACCACUUCAAAAAAAGACACAUCUGUGACAUUUUGGGCCGAACAAAAAAAAUUGUCAUGCUUAUGACACUUCUAUGAUGAUAAUUGUGACAAAACCCGGUAUCAUCAUAGAUGUGGUGGGGUCCUACUUCUAUGACAAAAAAUCAUGACAGAAAAUGGGCUUUUCAUCCUGGGCGGGCCGGAGACGCAGCUGCAAGACAUUCUUUGGGUCGUCCAUGACGGAAAAAAACCGUGGUAGAAGCGAGGGUGAGGAAAAUAUCGGGGGAGUUCCCGGUUACGGUGGGUGGUCUGGGGUCGAGCGAUGCGUGUUUUUAUCAUACGUAUGCGUGUGUGUGCGAGGCAUUGCGCUCUAACUGAACCCGAGCGAGGCGUUGGCCUCUAACUGAACCGAAGCGAGUGCACUGCAGGCUACGCGUUACUGAACCCGAGCGAUCGAUCGAUCCCUUGCUGUUAACUGAACCCAAGUGAUUCCUUCGCUACUGCUGCUAACUGAAGCUGAUCGAUGCUGCCUCUGGAUGAACANNNNNNNNNNNNNNNNNNNNNNNNNNNNNNNNNNNNNNNNNNNNNNNNNNNNNNNNNNNNNNNNNNNNNNNNNNNNNNNNNNNNNNNNNNNNNNNNNNNNNNNNNNNNNNNNNNNNNNNNNNNNNNNNNNNNNNNNNNNNNNNNNNNNNNNNNNNNNNNNNNNNNNNNNNNNNNNNNNNNNNNNNNNNNNNNNNNNNNNNNNNNNNNNNNNNNNNNNNNNNNNNNNNNNNNNNNNNNNNNNNNNNNNNNNNNNNNNNNNNNNNNNNNNNNNNNNNNNNNNNNNNNNNNNNNNNNNNNNNNNNNNUUGGAUGAACAAGACCCCGUGGUAGUAGAGGCCGUUGCCGCUGGAUUAACAGGACCCCGAUCGAGCCGGUUGGGGGUGGAUGAACAGGACCCCGUGGAGGGAUGGAUGAACAGGACCCCGUGGAGGGCUGGUUGAACAAUAGCUGGUGGAGGGCUAGAUGAACAGUAGCCCUUGGAGGGGUGAUUGAACAGGAACCCGUCGAGAGGGCUGGUUAAACAGUAGCCGGUGGAGGAGCAUGCGGUGGAGGCUGGAUGAGCAGGAGCCCGUGGAUGAACGGUCGUAGGUGGAGGCUGGAGGAGGUCAACGGUGCAUGAACAGUAGCCCGUGGAGGCAGUCGACGAUGGAGAUGAACAGUAUUCCGUGGAGUCCCAUUUUGCGGUAUGCCACACCCCUCCUGAUGAAGAGGACCCUCGUUUCGACCGUAGUGCUCCAACACAAGUCUGUUUCCUCCGUUUUGCGAUACGCCACACCCCUCCCGAUCAACAGGGCCCCGUUUUGACCGUAGGAGGUCUGUUUCCUCCGUUUUGCGGUACGCUAGACCCCUCCUGAUGAACAGGAUCACAUUUCGACCGUGGCCGGUCGAACACAAGGCCGUUUCCUCCAUUCUGUGAUAUGCCAGGCCUCGUUUCCAUCGGCUGUUCUGUCCAAGCCAGUUGGCUCCCAAUGAACACGACGUAUUCCGACCCAGUCGAUUGCCUCCCGAUGAAUAGGACACUGUUUCUCUGUUUCGACCCAGCCGGUCCACUGCCCGAUGAACAGGACGUCAUCGCUGUCGUCCGUUACCUCUCCAUGUACACAAGCGCUAGCCGUCCAUAUAUAUAUAUAUAUAUAUAUAUAUAUAUAUAUAUAUAUAUAUAUAUAUAUAUGCGCGAGUAGGCGUUCGAGACCCCGCCCGUAUGUACGUACGUGGCCGUAUUUAAUUUCUUGCACCCUGGCCGCUCUACGUACGUGUAUAUGCUACGUGUGCGCCUCUACUACGACACGUGCGCACCUCUACUACGACACGUGCCCUUCCUUACACGGCCACGGUUCAUCACUACAGCCUGUAGACACGUUCACAACCAGAAUGACAACGCUACGUACGCUUCGACUAGGUGGGUCCCGACUGUCACGCACUUCCUUGUGUGCGAAGAUGUAGCUGGUGGGUCCCAGCAGUCAGCGGGGCGAAUCAUUUUUUACCGGUAAUAUGGAUGUACUUCAUUGCGUGCAAAGAUGUAGCUAGUGGGUCCCAGUAGUCAGGGGUGAAACUUUUUUUCGCAAAAUCGAUGGGUCCCUGCUGUCAGGUGGAGGAAUAAUUAUUUUGCGCGUAAUAAGGAGGCACAUCCUUGCUACGGCCAUGGACCUAGCUGUCAGCCUCUCCACAUACAGUACUCCUCCGAUGGAAGUCGUUCGUUGACCACAUUGACCAUGCUGCGCCGAGAGCACCAAGGCGGUGGACGACGGCGAGGCCUAGGAUGGGGACGACACGGAGCCGGGGAAGACGCGGCAGUGGAUGCCCACGCGGAGAGGAUUACGAGGGUUCACUGGUUCGGCUGCGGUGUGAGGUUGCCAUCGCCACAGGGCUGGCCAGCGGUGGGAGUAGUAGGGGGCGGUGAGGCCUCUGCGGUAGCACAGUGUAGGGGAACUUAGUAAUUUCAAAAAAAUUCCUACGCACACGCAAGAUCAUGGUGAUGCAUAGCAAUGAGAGGGGAGAGUGUUGUCUACGUACCCUCGUAGACCGGAAGCGGAAGCGUUAGCACAACGCGGUUGAUGUAGUCAUAUGUCUUCACGGCCAGACCGAUCAAGCACCGAAACUACGACACCUCCGAGUUUUAGCACACGUUCAGCUCGAUGACGAUCCCCGGACUCCGAUCCAGCAAAGUGUCGGGGAUGAGUUCCGUUAGCACGACGGCAUGGUGACGAUCUUGAUGUUUUACCGUCGCAGGGCUUCGCCUAAGCACCGCUACAAUAUUAUCGAGGACAAUGGUGGAGGGGGGCACCGCACACGGCUAAGAGAUCAAUGAUCAACUGUUGUCCAUGGGGUGCCCCCCUGCCCCCGUAUAUAAAGGAGUGGAGGAGGGGGCCGGCCAAGGAGGGUGGCGCGCCCUAAGGGGGAGUCCAACUCCCACAGGGAGUAGGACUCCCCUUUUUCCUAUUAGGAGUAGGAGAGGGAAGGAAGAGGAAGGAGGGAGGAAGGAAAGGGGGGGCCUGCCCCCUCCCAAUUCGGAUUGGGCUUGGGGGGGGGCGCCCCCUCCUUUCCACUAAGGCCCAAUAAGGCCCAUAUACCUCCCAUGUAACAUCCCAAAUUUUCAAUUUGGAAUGUUAUACAUUAGAUCAUCAUUGCAUAUCAUAUUUUAUUUUUGCAUUUUGGUUGAUCCUAGAAAAUUCUACGCAACUCAAGGACCCAUGGAGAGAGUUGGGGAUUUCGUUAUUUUCAUAUUUGAGUUUUCUCAAAUUUUGAGAAUAGGAUCAUUUGGUUUUAUUUAUUUUAUCAUCAAUUAUUUCUAUUACAAAAAUAUGAGAGAGGCAAUAAAAUGACUUUCCCAAAAUAGAGAAAUAUUGAGGAUUUAAUAAUAAAAUCAAACAAGAUUUUAUUUCGGAGUUUUUCGGUGUUUUAUUUGAAUUUAGGAAAAAUGUGCGUUUUUCAAAAUUGCAUUUAAGCCCCAAAUAAAUGUUCGCUUUGUCGGGCUUGAUUUUAGAAGCCCGGGAAAAUUUAUUUCGGGAUUUUUGGAGUCCGUUUAGUAUUUCGUUUUUUUUUUCUGAGCGGAAAUAAUUUUAAAAAAAAUGAACCGACCUAACGGGCCGUGUCCGACUAGGACUCUGGCCCGACUAGGCUUUAUAAGCCGAGNNNNNNNNNNNNNNNNNNNNNNNNNNNNNNNNNNNNNNNNNNNNNNNNNNNNNNNNNNNNNNNNNNNNNNNNNNNNNNNNNNNNNNNNNNNNNNNNNNNNNNNNNNNNNNNNNNNNNNNNNNNNNNNNNNNNNNNNNNNNNNNNNNNNNNNNNNNNNNNNNNNNNNNNNNNNNNNNNNNNNNNNNNNNNNNNNNNNNNNNNNNNNNNNNNNNNNNNNNNNNNNNNNNNNNNNNNNNNNNNNNNNNNNNNNNNNNNNNNNNNNNNNNNNNNNNNNNNNNNNNNNNNNNNNNNNNNNNNNNNNNNNNNNNNNNNNNNNNNNNNNNNNNNNNNNNNNNNNNNNNNNNNNNNNNNNNNNNNNNNNNNNNNNNNNNNNNNNNNNNNNNNNNNNNNNNNNNNNNNNNNNNNNNNNNNNNNNNNNNNNNNNNNNNNNNNNNNNNNNNNNNNNNNNNNNNNNNNNNNNNNNNNNNNNNNNNNNNNNNNNNNNNNNNNNNNNNNNNNNNNNNNNNNNNNNNNNNNNNNNNNNNNNNNNNNNNNNNNNNNNNNNNNNNNNNNNNNNNNNNNNNNNNNNNNNNNNNNNNNNNNNNNNNNNNNNNNNNNNNNNNNNNNNNNNNNNNNNNNNNNNNNNNNNNNNNNNNNNNNNNNNNNNNNNNNNNNNNNNNNNNNNNNNNNNNNNNNNNNNNNNNNNNNNNNNNNNNNNCGCCGCCGCCGCCGAGGUUCGCCGUCGCGCCUCGUUUUUCAUGCCUUCGGUUUAAAAAAAAACGAUCGGUUUUCGUCGGUUUAAUAGAUUCGUUUUUUUAAAUAGAUCGGUUUUUCCGGUUUAUUUAUUUUAGCGAGCGUUCGUCGUUUUUCUUUUUCUCGGAUUAAAUCGGCGAUUUUUCUGAUCGUGAUUCCUGAUCCGAUUUUUGUUUUAGUUUAACUUUUCGCUCGUUUAUCGGAAUCAGGCGAUUCAAGCGCCUAGAGUUUCGUCUCGAAACCCUCUAUCCGUUUAACCAACUUAAACAAGAUUUUGCUACUAUAAAAUUUGCCCUAGACCCAGAUUACUAGAACGAAGUUGUUUUCUUCCGCUGUUUGACUUUCGUUGCUUCGUUCGAUUUGAUUCUUUUUGCCAACCGGAGUUCUUAAGUUGAACCUUCUGGUUAGAUCUCUUAUUUGAGUUUUACCUGUGCAUUAGUUGAGUACUUAUUGUAUGCUUGUUUGUUUGUCUGCGAUAGAGUAUCCGGAGUGCGCCGCCUGUUACUUCGAAUCGCUAGGUUUCCCGGAUCAUCAUCAAGGCAAGUAACACUUUGAUCAUACCUUUUCUACUACCCAGUUUUAUUGCAUUAGAUCAAUCCUCACACAUUGCAUGAUUAGGAUCUAAUUAAAUUGUGGGAUGGGAAGUAGAUGAGGUAGUACCUAUUAUCUGUUUAUUAUCAAACCUUUGGGAGUUACUUCUACGUUUGCUUAUUAUGCCAUGCUAUGCUAGUAGACGUGGAUUGGGUGAGUGAUAUCCAUGACAGAUGUGAGAUUGAUAAUUAAUGGUUUAUCUAAGGUGGCAACUUAAACACACAUCUGGGUGGAUUGAGGCACCUGGGUAUUCCAGGACUUGCCUGUUUUCUUUUGGACCGCCACCCAGGCUCAAAGGGAUCAUGAGACUAUUCAUACUAGAAACUUCCGUGUGCAGCCACAAGCUAUUAUGGGCUCUAGCAUAGUUGACUAAGUUGUGCGAACUCUUACAGUGGUAGACUAGCAGAUGUAGGGGAUGUAGGUGGUACGGUCUACCUGAUCGUAAGGUGCUAGCGCUUCUGAAAGACUAUGUCUCGGUCAUCCGUCUUCUCAAACACCAUGUAGUGCGAGAAAACAAACGGAGGCGAUCGAGUCUUGUGGGGGAAAGUGCGCAAACCUCUGCAGAGUGUAACAAACUAAUCAUGGUUAGCCGUGUCCCCGGUUAUGGACAUCUUGAGUAUCUAGUACUUGGAUUAUCAUGUGAAUCUCAACAUGUUACUCUAAAUUAAUUUUGUUGGGUUAUGUUUAAUGAUGAUGCUUAAUUGGGAUUGAGAAUGCUGUCAACCAUUCUCAAUGUUUAACAACCACCUUGAUAGUAAUUAAAAUUUUAUUCCUUUGAAGUAGGGAAAAAUUGGCUUUACGCAAAACUGUAACCAUAGAGCUUUCCACCAGCCAAAUAUGCAUAUAGUAUAGUUGUUUCAUUCCAUUACUCUCUAUGUGUUACCUUGCCAGCAUAUUCCAUGUGCUGACCCAUUUUCGGGCUGCAACGUUAAUGUUGCAGACUUUUCAGACGACGAUUAAGGAGUUUUUAGGUCGUGGUUCUAUACUCAGUGAUGCCGUUGGAGUUGAUGGACUCACUUAUCUUCCAAGACUUCCGCUGUUAUCGUUAUUAGAUGGCCUUAAGCCAUAUUUAUUGUAAUAAGUUCUCUUUUGAGACAUUCGAUGUAAUAAGUGUGUGAUUGCUACUCUGCUAUAAAUCCUCCGAGUACUGUGUGGUGUCAGCAUUACUGAUCCAGGGAUGACACUGGAGCACAGAGAUCAGACUGUUUGAGGUCUAGUCGCUACAUCCCGGGGGGUUCCGGUAACCUCCAGGUGAUCCGGUAUUGUCCCAAUCUCACCCGGAACCUUUCCGGUGUCCAAAUAUAGUCGUCCAAUAUAUCGAUCUUUAUGUCUCGACCAUUUCGAUACUCCUCGUCAAGUCAGUGAUCACAUCUGGGACUCUGAACAACCUUCGGUACAUCAAAAUAUAUAAACUCAUAAUGAAAUUGUCAUCAUAACGUUUAGCGUGCGGACCCUACGGGUUCGAGAACAAUGUAGACAUGACCGAGACACGUCUCCGGUCAGUAACCAAUAGCGGAACCUGGAUGCUCAUAUUGGCUCCUACAUAUUCUAAGAAGUUCUUUAUCGGUCAGACCACAUAACAACAUACGUUUGUUCCCUUUGUCAUCGGUAUGUUACUUGCCCGAGAUUCGAUCGUCGGUAUCUCAAUACCUAGUUCAAUCUCGUUACCGGCAAGUCUCUUUACUCGUUCUGUAAUACAUCAUCUUGCAACUAACUUAUUAGUUGCAUUGCUUGCAAGGCUUAAGUGAUGUGUAUUACCGAGAGGGCCCAGAGAUACCUUUCCGACAAUCGGAGUGACAAAUACUAAUCUUGAAAUACGCCAACCCAACAUGUACCUUUGGAGACACAUGUAGAGCACCUUUAUAAUCACUCAGUUGCGUUGUGAUGUUUGGUAGCACACAAAGUGUUCCUCCGGUAAAUGGGAGUUGCAUAAUCUCAUAGUCAUAGGAACAUGUAUAAGUCAUGAAGAAAGCAAUAGCAACAUACUAAAUGAUCAAGUGCUAUGCUAACGGAAUGGGUCAAGUCAAUCACAUCAUUCUCCUAAUGAUGUGAUCCCGUUAAUCAAAUGACAACUCAUGUCUAUGGUUAGGAAACAUAACCAUCUUUGAUCAACGAGCUAGUCAUGUAGAGGCAUACUAGUGUCACUCUGUUUGUCUAUGUAUUCACACAUGUAUUAUGUUUCCGGUUAAUACAAUUCUAGCAUGAAUAAGAAACAUUUAUCAUGAUAUAAGGAAAUAAAUAAUAACUUUAUUAUUGCCUCUAGGGCAUAUUUCCUUCAGUCUCCCACUUGCACUAGAGUCAAUAAUCUAGUUCACAUCGCCAUGUGAUUUAACAUCAAUAGUUCACAUCACCAUGUGAUUAACACCCAUAGUUCACAUCGACAUGUGACCAACACCCUAAGGGUUUACUAGAGUCAAUAAUCUAGUUCACAUCGCUAUGUGCUUAAGUUUAGUCAAUGGGUCUGCCACAUUCAGAUCCGUAAGUAUUUUGCAAAUUUCUAUGUCAAGAAUGCUCUGCACAGAGCUACUCUAGCUAAUUGUUCCCACUUUCAAUCUAUACCCAGAUUGAGAUUUAGAUUCAUCUGGAUCAGUGUCAAAAUUUGCAUUGACGUAACCCUUUACGACGAACCUUUUGUCACUUCCAUAAUCGAGAAACAUAUCCUUAUUCCACUAAGGAUAAUUUUGACCAAUGUCCAGUGAUCUACUCGUAGAUCACUAUUGUACUCCUUUGCCAAACUCAGGGCAGGGUAUACAAUAGGUCUGGUACACAGCAUGGCAUACUUUAUAGAACCUAUGGCUAAGGCAUAGGGAAUGACUUUCAUUCUCUCUCUAUCUUCUGUCGUGGUCGGGUUUUGUGUCUUACUCAACUUCACACCUUGUAACACAGGCAAGAACUCCUUCUUUGACUGUUCCAUUUUGAACUACUUCAAAAUCUUGUCAAGGUAUGUACUCAUUGAAAAAACUUAUCAAGCAUCUUGAUCUAUCUCUAUAGAUCUUGAUGCUCAAUAUGUAAGCAGCUUCACCGAGGUCUUUCUUUGAAAAACUCCUUUCAAAUAUUCCUUUAUGCUUUGCAGAAUAAUUCUACAUUAUCUCCGAUCAACAAUAUGUCUUUCACAUAUACUUAUCCAAAAUGCUGUAGUGCUCCCACUCACUUCCUUGUAAAUACAUGCUUCACCGUAAGUCUGUAUAAAACUAUAUGCUUUGAUAAACUUAUCAAAGCGUAUAUUCCAACUCCGAAAUGCUUGCACCAGUCCAUAGAUGGAUCACUGGAGCUUGCAUAUUUUGUUAGUACCUUUAGGAUUGACAAAACCUUCUGGUUGCAUCAUAUACAACUCUUCUUUAAUAAAUCCAUUAAGGAAUGCAGUUUUGUUUAUCCAUCUGCCAGAUUUCAUAAAAUGCGGCAAUUGCUAACAUGAUUCGGACAGACUUAAGCAUAGAUACGAGUGAGAAACUCUCAUUGUAGUCAACACCUUGAACUUGUCGAAAACCUUUUUGCGACAAUUCUAGCUUUUGUAGAUAGUAACACUACUAUCAGCGUCCGUCUUCCUCUUGAAGAUCCAUUUAAUCUCAAUGGCUCACCGAUCAUUGGGCAAGUCAAUCAAAGUCCAUACUUUGUUCUCAUACAUGGAUCUCAUCUCAGAUUUUAUGGCCUCAAGCCAUUUCGCGGAAUCUGGGCUCAUCAUCGCUUCCUCAUAGAUCGUAGGCUCGUCAUGGUCAAGUAACAUGACCUCCAGAACAGGAUUACCGUACCACUAUGGUGCGGAUCUCACUCUGGUUUACCUAUGAGGUUUGGUAGUAACUUGAUCUAAAGUUACAUGAUCAUCAUCAUUAACUUCCUCACUAAUCGGUGUAGUAGUCAUAGGAACAGAUAUCUGUGAUGAACUACUUUCCAAUAAGGGAGCAGGUACAGUUACCUCAUCGAGUUCUACUUUCCUCCCACUCACUUCUUUCGAGAGAAACUCCUUUUCUAGAAAGGAUCCAUUCAAAGCAACGAAUAUAUUGCCUUCGGAUCUGUGAUAGAAGGUGUACCCAACAUUUUAUUUUGGGUAUCCUAUGAAGAUUUACUUCUCCGAUCUGGGUUCGAGCUUAUCAAGUUGAAACUUUUUCACAGAAGCAUCGCAGUCCCAAACUUUAAGAAACGACAGCUUAGGUUUCUCGCCAAACCAAAGUUCAUACGGCAUCGUCUCAACGGAUUUAGAUGGUGCCCUAUUUAACGUGAAUGUAGCUGUCUCUAAUGCAUAACCCCAAAACGAUAGUGGUAAUCGGUAAGAGACAUCAUAGAUUGCACCAUAUCUAAUAAAGCACGGUUACGAUGUUCGGACACACCAUUACACUGUGGUGUUCCAGGUGGCGUGAGUAGUGAAACUAUUUCACAUUGUUUUAACUGAAGGCCAAACUCGUAACUCAAAUAUUUUACUUCCGCGAUCAUAUCGUAGAAAUUUUUAUUUUUGUUACGAUGAUUCUCCACUUCACUCUGAAAUUCUUUGAACUUUUCAAAUAUUUCAGACUUGUGUUUCAUCAAGUAGAUAUACUCAUAUCUGCUCAAAUCAUCUGUGAAGAUCAUAAAAUAAUGAUACCUGUCGCGAGCCUCAAUAUUCAUUGGACCACAUACAUCAGUAUGUAUGAUUUCCAACAAAUAUGUUGCUCGCUCCAUUGUUCCGGAGAACGGAGUCUUAGUCAUCUUGCCCAUGAGGCAUGGUUCACAAGCAUCAACUGAUUCAUAAUCAAGUGAUUCCAAAAGCCCAUUAGCAUGGAUUUUCUUCAUGCGCUUUACACAAAUAUGACCUAAACGGCAGUGCCACAAAUAAGUUGCACUAUCAUUAUUAACUUUGCAUCUUUUGGCUUCAAUAUUAUGAGAAUGUGUAUCACCACAAUCGAGAUCCAACAAACCAUUUUUAUCGGGUGUAUGCCCAUAGAAGGUUUUAUUCAUGUAAACAGAACAACAAUUUAUUCUCUUACUUAAAUGAAUAAUCGUAUUGCAAUAAACAUGAUCAAAUCAUAUUCAUGCUCAAUGCAAACACCAAAUAACACUUAUUUAGGUUCAACACUAAUCCCGAAAGUAUAGGGAGUGUGCGAUGAUGAUCAUAUCAAUCUUGGAACCACUUCCAACACACAUCGUCACUUCACCCUUAACUAGUCUCUGUUCAUUCUGCAACUCCCGUUUCGAGUUACUACUCUUAGCAACUGAACCAGUAUCAAAUACCGAGGGGUUGCUACGAACACUAGUAAAAUACACAUCAAUAAUCUGUAUAUCAAAUAUACCUUUGUUCACUUUCCAUCCUUCUUAUCCGCCAAAUACUUGGGGUAGUUCCGCUUCCAGUGACCAGUCCCUUUGCAGUAGAAGCACUUAGUCUCAGGCUUAGGACCAGACUUGGGCUUCUUCACUUGAGCAGCAACUUUCUUGCCGUUCUUCUUGAAGUUCCCCUUCUUCCCCUUGCCCUUUUCUUGAAACUAGUGGUCUUGUCUACCAUCAACACUUGAUAUUUUUCUUGAUUUCUACCUUCGUCGAUUUCAGCAUUACGAAGAGCUUGGGAAUCGUUUCCGUUAUCCCUUGCAUAUCAUAGUUCAUCACGAAGUUCUACUAACUUGGUGAUGGUGACUAGAGAAUUCUGUCAAUCACUAUUUUAUCUGGAAGAUUAACUCCCACUUGAUUCAAGCGAUUGUAGUACCCAAACAAUCUGAGCACAUGCUCACUGCUUGAGCUAUUCUCCUCCAUCAUUUAGCUAUAGAACUUGUUGGAGACUUCAUAUCUCUCAACUCGGGUAUUUGCUUGAAAUAUUAACUUCAACUCCUGGAACAUCUCAUAUGGUCCAUGACGUUCAAAACUUCUUUGAAGUCCCGAUUCUAAGCCGUUUAAGCAUGGUGCACUAAACUAUCAAGUAGUCAUCAUAUUGAGCUAGCCAAAUGUUCAUAACAUUUGCAUCUGCUCCUGCAAUAGGUUUGUCACCUAGCGGUACAUCAAAGACAUAAUUCUUCUAUGCAGCAAUGAGGAUAAACCUCAGAUCACGAAUCCAAUCCGCAUCAUUGCUACUAACAUCUUUCAACUUAGUUUUCUCUAGGAACAUAUCAAAAAUAAAACAGGGGAGCUAAACGCGAGCUAUUGAUCUACAACAUAGAUAUGCUAAUACUACCAGGACUAACUUCAUGAUAAAUUAAAGUUCAAUUAAUCAUAUUACUUAAGAACUCCCACUUAGAUAGACAUCCCUCUAAUCCUCUAAGUGAUCACGUGAUCCAAAUCAACUAAACCAUGUCCGAUCAUCACGUGAGAUGGAGUAGUUUCAAUGGUGAACAUCACUAUGUUGAUCAUAUCUACUAUAUGAUUCAUGCUUGACCUUUCGGUCUCCGUGUUUCGAGGCCAUAUCUGUUAUAUGCUAGGCUCGUCAAGUUUAACCUGAGUAUUCCGCGUGUGCAACUGUUUUGCACCCGUUGUAUUUGAACGUAGAGCCUAUCACACCCGAUCAUCACGUGGUGUCUCAGCACGAAGAACUUUCGCAAUGGUUCAUACUCAGGGAGAACACUUAUACUUUGAUAAUUUAGUGAGGGAUCAUCUUAUAAUGCUACCGUCAAUCAAAGCAAGAUAAGAUGCAUAAAAGAUAAACAUCACAUGCAAUCAAUAUAAUUGAUAUGAUAUGUCCAUCAUCAUCUUGUACUUGUGAUCUCCAUCUCCGAAGUACCGUCAUGAUCACCAUCGUCACCGGCGCGACACCUUGAUCUCCAUCGUAGCAUCGUUGUCGUCUCGCCAAUCUUAUGCUUCCACGACUAUCUCUACCGCUUAGUGAUAAAGUAAAGCAUUAUAGCGCGAUUGCAUUGCAUAGAAUAAAGCGACAACCAUAUGGCUCCUGCCAGUUGCCGAUAACUCAGUUCAAAACAUGAUCAUCUCAUACAAUAAAAUUUAGCAUCAUGUCUUGACCAUAUCACAUCACAACAUGCCCUGCAAAAACAAGUUAGACGUCCUCUACUUUGUUGUUGCAAGUUUUACGUGGCUGCUACGGGCUUAGCAAGAACCGUUCUUACCUACACAUUAAAACCACAACGAUAAUCAACAACUCUUAGAGACUUAUCCUUCUUCUCAACCAAAAGAACUGGGGCUCCCCAUAGUGAUGAACUGCUUCAAAUAUAACCUUUCUCCAACAACUCCUUAAUAUGCUUCUUGAUCUCUUCUAGAUCGUUUGCGGGCAUUCGGUAGGGUCUCUUUGAUAUCGGCCCGGUACCUGGCAAUAGCUCUAUCAAAAACUCGAUGUCUCGAUCUGGUGGCAUGCCUGGUAACUCCUCUGGAAAAACAUGUGGGUAAUCCUUCACUACAGGCACUUCCUACUGAACAACUCCCGUGAGGGUAUUUACUUGGCUCCUCCUAGGCGCAUGCCUAGAUACAUACUUGAUCCUUUUUCCCUCUAGGGUGGUGAGCAAAAUUGACUUACUCGCGCAAUCGAUGUUUCCCACAUACAUCGAUAGGCAAUCCAUUCCCAGCAUCACAUCCAAUCCUUGUGACUACAAAAUUAUCAAGUCUAAGGGGAAACAUGGCUUCCAAUGGCUAAUGGCAUCUUAAAACAUCCACUGCUUGCCAUAUACUCAGCUCUGGGUGAGGUUACUAGCAUAGCUGUCCUAAGAACUUUAGUGGGCAGUUUAUACUUAUCCACGAAUCCCCUUGAUAUGUAUGAAUGCGAUGCACAAGUAUCAAAAAUAACGAUUACAGUAAAUGACUUAACCAAAAACUUACCGAUAGCGGCAUCAGGCUGCUCCUCAACCUCCUCCAUGUUCACGUGGUUCACUUGUCCCCUAUUGAAAGGGUUGGGCUUCUUCCCAGCGCUUCCAUUGCCAUUUCCAUUCUUUGCAUCAGGGCACUCAGUGGCGUAAUGUCCUGUCUUCCCGCACUUGAAACAAGUAAUGUGACAUAGGUCCUUCUUGGCGGGUGUGGCUGUGUUAGAGCGGUUCCGAUUACUACCUGCUCUGUUCCUGUUUCCAUUCUUAGGGCCACUAUGGUUGUGAGAACUCCCUCCAUUUUGGUUGUGACCUCCAUGGUUAUGGACAAGUCCUCCCGAGUUUGGGGUUAAUUGAGGCUUCUGCUGAGCUCCUGAGUUGUACCUUCCUUGUCCAUACUUCCUUUUGCGGCUCUCAAUUUGCUGCGGUUUCCCUUCAAUCAUAAGAGCCUUGUCUACAAACUCCUGGUAGUUGUUGAAUGUUGCCACCAUCAACUGCAUGCUCAUCUCAUCAUUUAGCCCUUCCAUAAACUUCUCCUGCUUUAGGGCAUCUGUGGCCACAUCAUCAGGGGCAUAACGAGAUAGCUUACUAAAUUCAUCCACGUACUGCUCCACAGUACGGCUCCCUUGGCGUAAGUUGUGAAACUCAAACUUCUUCAUGCUCAUAGCUCCAGUUGAGACAGGGAUGUGUGGAAUGCUUGCUGAAACUGAUCCCAUGUAAUAGUGGCUAUAGGAUAGGUGACAGUGUAAUUCUCCCACCAUGAGGCUGCUGGUCCAUCCAACUGAUGUUGAUGAGGACAUCAAUACCAUUGUUACACCCACAGCCCCUGCUGCUAUACAUACUGGACCAAUUACUAGAGCUCGCGCACGCCAAUUGAAUUAUCAGGUACUUUCGUUUCUUGGUAACGAUUCUAAUGUUCAUGAGAAUAUGAUGCUGCUUAAAUUGGAUGUAUUUGUCUUGCUUACAAAUGAAGGGCCUAGCUUGGACAAGAAAGAUGAACCUUGGAACAAGUUCAAGCGUGGAGAUGAUGGCAUGCGCAAGGGGAACAAGAAUGGAGUUACAAGAGAUGAUUCCAGGACUCUGAAGCCACCAUAAUGAGUGCAUGAAGCAUGGGACGAAAUAUACAAGAUGCCACUUCAUAAAUUUCGUCCAGAGGCUAUUUUAGGUGCUGCGUCACCUUAUUAUUGGGCCAGGCCCAUGUAUUUUCGAAAUACUUAAGUAUAGGCUGUUUUUAGAGUCCGUAUGUGUGGGGAAACAAGAGUUAGGAUUGGUUUCGGACCCCUCCACCAAGGGCCACGAAAUUCGCCCUCUCUCCUCCAUAUAUACAGCCCUUAGGGCAUCGUUUAGGCUUUGGGUUUUGUUUAGAUUAAAAGUUUUCCAUAGCUGCAACUUCGCGUACUUCGUUGUGUUCAACGACCAGACCAAGGCGUCACAGAACCCCACCUUGAUCAAUAAAGCUUUCAUCUUAUAUUCGCAAUAUCCAGAUUGCAAUCUUAGUUUCUUGCUUGUUCUUCAUUUGCUUGCAGGAAAUAGACCCUCGUGGUCAGUUUGAUCGUGCUCCGACGUGGUCAAUAACCCUCGGAAGUUGGCUUAGCGAUUGCUAAGGCGCGACGUCUCGCACGUUCGUAGUUGGAUCGUCAAGGUCGACUCCCACAGAAAACGAUAGCCACCAUAUCAUCGAAACAUUGGGACACCUUUGCCUCUAUCAAGGCCGAGCCUUUCACCCUUUACCAAGUAUAUAGAUGCAUUAAAGUAAGCAAGCUAUAAUAAUGAUAUCCCAAAAAUAUCCAUGUUCCAACAUGGAAUAAACUUCAUCUCCACCUGCAACUAACAACACUAUAAGAGGGGCUGAGCAAACCGGUAACAUAGCCAAGCAACGGUUUGCUAGGAAAGGUGGGUUAGAGGCUUGACAUGGAAAUAUAGGAGGCAUGAUAUAGCAAGUGGUAGAUAUCGCGGCAUAGCAAAAGAGCGAGCAACUAGCAAGCAAAGAUAGGAGUGAUUUCGAGGGUAUGGUCAUCUUGCCUGCAAAGCUCUUCGAGUUGACGAAAGUUUGAUCCUCGUAAGCGAACUCAACGGGUUCCUCGAUCACGUACUCGCCUCCCGGCUCUACCCAAGGCAAGAACACAAGCAAAGGAAACCACAAUCAACCACGAUGCAAUGCGCAAGCAACAUGAUGCAAAACAUGACAUGACAUGUGGGAUGUGAUAUGCAAUGCAUUGUGUGCUCCGGAAGGAAAAGAUUGAUCAAGGAAUCAACAUGGCAAUCCAAGAGUGCCGCUGGAAAAAUGAGAUGAUUUCGGUCGAAAUCGAUAUAAAGAUCACCAGAAUCGGAUGCACGGUUUGCAAAUGGCAAGCAAAACAAGAAUGGCACAAUUCUACUAUUAACACCACGAUGACAUCUAGAAUGCAACAAGAAACUAAGCUACUGCACUCCAACAUAGAAACAAAGCACAUGGCAGUGAUCUACUCAAGAUGCUUGACAAAAUAUGAACAAUGAGCUACGGCUAAAACACACAAGAACAAGUUCAAACAAGCAUGGAAAAAGUGCAAAAGAUAUCAGCUUCACAGACUUGGUGAAAAUACUAACAUGUCAGGAAUUAACAUCAGGAAGACAUGUUUAGAGCAAGCUAACAACAUGCUAUAGGAACAUAUCAUAGCAAAACAAGGCAUGGCAUGAAACUACUCAAAGCAUAGAACAAAAUUCCCUUACUGACCAUAAGCCAAAAAGGAUCAGAAGAUAUGAUGGCACCCAUGUAAACAUUGCAAGUUUCGUUAACAGAUUCAGACUUAGCAGAAAACUGGGCAUGGCAUAAAUAGAAUUAUGAAGGCAUCUUUGCGAGCUCGAUUCACCCAACACAAGACAUUGCAUGACAAGAUAAUCAUAGCAUCAGCAAGAAGACAUGUUCAUAAGGCUAACCAUGUCAAGAACAAGUUUAUAGCAGGCAUGGAUCAACUACAACAACCAUGGCAAAAUUGAUUAACAUGUAAACAAUCUGCCAGGAACAUUUUAUAGCAAAAGUAGAGCAAGAUUAAGUAAUGCUAGGGCACUCCAUAAAUGCAAACAGGGGCAUAGAUGGAUAGAGCACAACCAUAUUUCCAAAUCAUCCUUACCGAAGCAACUCAAAUAAAGCAUGGAUCUCACUGUAGCACCAUGAAUACAUGGCAUAAAAAUAACAGCAGAGCAAUGACUUAGUGAAAUUCUAAGUCUCUGAAAUCAGCAAUAUCACGAGAGCUACUUUGCAUGCUUGUGCUAGUUACCACAAAGAUCAAGAAAAAUACAUGGCAUACACCCCUGUAAACAUGGUAUGGCAUAGACCAAAAUACAUGUAGAGCUCAUGCCCAUAUGCAGCAAACAAUAAUUGUAGCAAAAAUGACAAAUCCCCAUACUCUGAUAAGAAUCAACACCUAACAAUUUAUAGCACUCUUGCAUCAAUGAUAAAGGCAUCAAGAUGGACUCAAACAAGCAUGCAACAAUGGAGUGAAAUGAAGAGCAUCUCCCAGUGAACAUUUUGACAUAUCAUGCGCAUAAAACGGAGCACCGAGCACGAAGUUACAGGAGGUCAAAGAUAGCACUAGAAUGUUAGAAAACAGGGACUUGGCCAAAAGAUCACCUCGCAGUAAACAGGACAGAGGGAUCCGGGGAUGCUGUUUGGAUGGGUGGCCCGGUGGAUCUCAUCCACUCGGGAUGGAUCUAGGACGGGGCCAUCCUGGCGGCGACAGAGGUGGUCGGAGGCCGGCCGGACAUGGUGGCGCGGGCGCGGCUUCGGCGAGCACGCGAGCGGCGGGGAGGGGACAGCUCGGGCCGGAUCCGCCUGGACCCGCGGCAGAAGGCGGCGGAGGGCACCUCCGGCGAGGAGGCGGCGCGAGAUGCCGGCGCGGGCGGCCGGUGGCGCACGUCGGAGCAGGCGGCGGUGUAGAGGGAGGACGGUGGCGGCGGCCAUGCGGGGAGGUGUGGAGGCACGCGCAUAGGGCGGAGCACGGCGGCGGGCGCGGUCGGGCCCGGAUCGGUCCGGGGCGGGCCCGAUAUGGACCGAGCGGGCCGCGGCGAUGGGAGCGGGGCGUGGGGAUGUGUGGCGCCGUCUCAUUGGCCCGGGGCGGCAGCUGCAGCGGCGGAGCCCGUUUGACGGCGAUAAGUGGCAGCGUGAGGGUGGCUAGGCGCGGAUUUCAAGGCGAGAGGUGGAAGAAGAGCUAGGGAUACCAGAUUUAUACGGGGAGGACGUUUUUAUAGGUAGGAGGAGUUUGGAGUGUCCAAAUGAUGCAGAGCAUCCCAAGGUCAUCCCCAUGGACCUACCAUCGUCACAUCAAGUGCCUAGUGGACCCAUGACUCGACCACGUGCAAGAGCUCUCGAGACCGAGGUGACAUCUCUCCUCUCACAAUUCCACUUGAUGACCAUGAGACAUGGCUACUACCUCAAAUGGAGACAUUGUGCAUACUCAGGUAUCAAGGAGUUAGCCAUGGAGACGCCAAGGAGCGAGGAGAAUCCGAAGAGGAAGAUGGACGUGAAGACGGAGAAGAAAAAGGGCUAAGUCAGCAGAAGUCUGGACGAUCCGGACCACCGUCCGGACGAUCCGGCCUCAGCCUGGAUGAUACGAACCCCGGCCCGGACGAUCCGGAUAAUGUGCCCAACGACACCCGAGGCAUCAUCUUGGAGCUGGGGCAUCCGGACCCAGGCCCGGAUCAUCCGGCCACGCCCGGACAUCCGUACCAGGUCCCGGACAUCCGUCCAACCCGCAGCUGCUCCAACACAGCCGGAUCAUCCGGACGCCAACCCGGAUUAUCCGAACCCCCCGAAGCCCGGAUCAUCCGGCCACCGCCUGCGUGCGUGACUUGGGCCGAGGCCCGUGUACCCGUUUCGUCCCCUCACAUACCCAUUCGCCCCUUUGGCAUUUUUAGGGUUAGCAAAUGUUUAGCUCAUGUUUGUGAGAGAGCUUUGCUCAUCCACUUGGUAAUCUUCUCUACGGAGAUUCGAGCCUCCACCGGAGAAGAUCCCCCAAGCGGAUUAAAGACCCCUUUUAAGGGAAGAACUCAAGACCUCCUCACGGAGAAGACCGGCUACCCUUGUAUCGUCCUUAGUUGUCUGUGGAUCGUGUAUCUUUCCUUAUGUACUCGAGGAUCUAGCCCAUGUGUGACUUAUUCGUGUCGGUUUGGUGUUUCCUCUCGUGUUUCUCAUUGUGAUUUCUCUCCGUUCUUCCCCAUGUUCUUCGUGAUUUUCGCGAGAUCCGCUCUACAUCACCAAAUGAGGUGUAGUUUUCGGCCACGUGAUCGUGAUCCGACGACGGAGGACAUGGGAGAGGUUUGGAUGGGUUAUUGGGCCAUUUUGGAGGGGUGUUGGGCUGCAACACACACGAGACCUUCAUGGUUACCCGGUUAACCGUUGGAGUAUCAAACGGACUCCAAAUGGCACAAAACUUGACAGGCGGUCUACUAGUGGUGUACCAAGGCCGCUUGGCAAAUCUCGGUCCAUUCCGAGAAAGUUUAACACCCACUCACGAAAAGAGACAAAAGGGGGCGCCGGAGGACGUAGGAGUGUCGGAUUGCAAAACGGACAAUGGGGAAAAAUCUCGGACGCAUGAGACGAACACAUAUGCAAAUGCGAUGCACAUGAUGACAUGGUAUGAAAUGCAUGACAUGAACAAAAUGCAAAAUGAGAACAAAACCCAACCACGAAGGGAAAAACAUAUCGCAUCUCCGGAAAAGGCAAGAGUCAGAGUUAUGAAUAUGGAAAGUUACAUCCGGGGUGUUACAACACUCCACCACUACAAGAGGAUCUCAUCCCGAGAUCUAGGAUGGCACCGGAGGAAAAAAAGAAAGAGGACGAUAAGAGGUAAAACUAAGUUGCUUCUUUGACAAACGAGUGAAACCAUAGAACCUUGAAAGGUUAAACCAUCUUCGAGAAAAAAAUACAACGAAGAUGAACAAAGUUUAAAACACUCCGUUAGAAAAGAGGAACGAGGAAGAACAAAUUCGGACGGCACUCCGGUUGAAAAGAGAUGCAAGACUUGAUAAGGUGAAAAGAACUUGAGCAGAGGACACAACACUCAGGAUAAAUGGAUAAGCACGAAAAGAACACGAACCUCACAUUUCGAGAUGAUGAGUGAAGAGAGCAACAUCACAAUGCCUCCAGAAGAGGGAAUAGAAGAUAGAUCAUUGGAAUGAAAGAAUGGAGAAGAAAAUGCCAACUUUUGCCACAAAUGAGCUUGGAGAGUACCCUUCCAAGAAGGUUAUAAUGCAGUUGUUGGAAAACCAGCAACGAAACGAAUAACUUGUAGUGGGGUUAUGGAAAACAUCUCGAAAUCUUGAGGUGAAAUUCUGCCACUAACGGAAACGAAAGAUUGGAUUGAUAUGAACAAGGAGAUGACUACUCCUUUCGCCGAGAGGAUAGGAGAAAAACUUGGAUCAUUGAUAGACACCACAAUAAGCAACAUUCCUUAAGGAAGGCUUUAGGUGAAAUAUAACCCAAGAUAACUCCAACGAAGAGAUUGAUGGAUUUAAAAUACCCCAUUCUUGAUAACUUGUGAAACAUGAAACACGAAGGGAAAUUAUCAAGAAUGACAUAACACCACCUGAAAAGAUAAGGUAGAAAGAAUUUCACUUCGGAAUGCAAGAUGAAGAAUGAUUGAACUCCUCUAAAAAGAAUCUUGAAGAACACUUCGAGAAGGAAUUAAAUCCUUCUUGAACCAUCAUGUAGAGCCUCGAUGAAGAACUCCGGUAAUAAAAGAAUGAUCAAACGAAAUGAAGGAUAAAAAGAAUAAGGUUGAAGCCUUGCAAUGAUUAGCUGGAUCUUCGUGAUGAUGAGAGCUUGGAACUCCGGGAAAAGAAAAGAUGAAACACUAGAAACCAAGAAUUUGAUGAACCUCCAGAAUAAGGAAUUAAUCACUUGGAUGAAACAAGAAUACGAAUUACAUUAUGCUUAUCCUUCAUCAAUUAAAUUGAUGACAAGCAAUAGAUUUGGCAUACUACUUAAUCUCGUAGAAAGGAUUAAGCUAGAUAUGGCACAAGCUUGGGAAGGUCUUGAAACAACGAAUGAAUUAAUAUAAUAAAGAAGGAAGAUGAUAGAGGCAAAGGUGUCCCGUCUUUCGAUGAGAUGGUAGUUAUCGUUUUGGAGGAAGUCGACUUUGACAAUCCGACUACAAACAUGCGAGGACGUCGCUCCUUAGCAAUCGCUAAACCAACUCCGAGAGGUUAUUGACCAUGUCGGAGCACGAUCAACCUGACCAAGAAGGUCUGUUUCCUACAGGCAAAUGAAGAACAAGCAAGAAACUAAUGCGGAGCAUCCCAAGGUCAUCCCCAUGGACCUACCAUCGUCUCAUCAAGUGCCUAGUGGACCCAUGACUCGAUCACGUGCAAGAGCUCUUGAAACCGAGGUGACAUCUCUCCUCUCACAAUUCCACUUCGAUGCACAUGAAGCAUGGCCACUAUCUCAUAUGGAUACUUUGUGCAUACUUAGGUACCAUGGAGAAGCUAAGGAGCAAGGACAAGAAGAAGAGGAAGAUGGACGAGAAGAAGGAGAAGAAGGAGGGCUGAAGGAAAAGUCCCAUCCACCGGACGACCGGCUGAGACCGGACGUCCGGCGCCUGAAGCAUCAGCCGAGCCCCAACGGGGGGAGUCCGGUGCCCCUGCACCCGAAGCAAACGAGUGGACGUCUGGUCCGGACCGGACGACUGGCGCACCGGCAUCCGAAGCAGCAUCAGCGGAAGUCCGACGUUUCCGGACGUCCGGCACCCCCAUCACAGAGCAGAACCAGCGGACGUCCGGAGGACACUGGACGACCGGCCGCUCCUGAGACACCGGACGACCGGCCACCAGCGGACGCCCGGUACCUGGCUGCGUCCAGAUUCGGUCCCGAGGCCCAUGUACCCCUACUUUCGCCCCCAUUUGCACUUAAACUAUACAUAGACCUCUCCCACCUCCUUUCUAGGGUUAGCAAAUGUUUAGCUCAUAUUUGUGAGAGAGCUUUGCUCAUCCACUUGGUUACCUUCUCCUCCGAGAUUCGAGCCUCCACCGGAGAAGAUCCCCUAAGCGGAUUCAAGACCUCCUUGUGGAGAACAACAUCAAGAUCCCCUCUUGGGCGGCCCCAUCAAGACCUCCUCAUGGAACAAUGCAUGUUUUAUGACGAACGGGAGAUAGUUUCCUCUUACGGCCUUAAAAAAUUUUCUACGUUUAACGUGCACUACUACAACUGUCAUGUGAAAAAUUGGAAAAUUCUAGGGGUUAAUUGACCUUUUAAAGACAUUUAAGUGAUUUUCUAGCCUUAAUGACCAUAAUUCAAACUUGAACUACAUCUACAUGCAACGGCUAACCAUAACGGUUUGAAAAAUCAUAUUUUUGUGUAGUUGUGUGUGAAAAUCAUUAGACGAUGUAAAAUAUCUGGUGUUCAAAAAAAAUAAUGUAAAGAUCUGGCAAGACAACCGGCCCCUACACGAUUGGCGUUCUAUUUUGUGGCUCGAAGUUUGGUAGGUGAGUGGCGGGGGUCAUUAAUCAACAUGGUUAUGUAUUGGAAACCGUCAGGUAUUAAGAUCACACACGGAAUUUGCUACGAGAAUCAUAUGUAAUUCAAACUACAAUACUCGUAAAUACCGGUGACUAGCGUGUGUACUGUUCCCAUCGAUCUAGAUUCCGUCCGCCAAUAAAUACUACCUUGCUCACGUCGUCCCGCUUGCAUUCGAAUCUACAUCCUCCCCUCGCCGUCUCUCUCUCUCACUCUCUCUCUCUCUAUCUCUCUCUCUCAAAUCUCUGCCAUGGCGUCGCCGGUCUACCCACACGCCGACAAGGAAUCGCCGCCCCCCAGAGGAUGCUCACUCGAAUAGCGGCGAUGAGGACCCCUACGCGCCGCCAGACGAGGUUGCGCCGGACCCCCAACCUUUGAUUGGUUUUGGGGCUAGUACAAUCUUUGUCUGUGGAAGUCGCUGCCGCUGGCUGAGAAGGCCAGGCAAGUGGCGUUCAAGAAGGAUAUGGAGGAGGAGGAAGCCAGGUACCAGGCUGCAUGUGAAGCCCAUGAUGCCGCCUGGAAAAAGGAGCGUCUGAGCUUUGGGGGCAGCCGUGUCAUCGUGCGGAGGAGGUGUACAAAUACGGGUACUUAGCGAGGAAGGUCAAAGGCGCUGGGUGCCUCAUCGCUGCAUGGAGGUGGGUUGAUAAGCUCUAGCGUGCCACCGACGAGGAGCUCCGAUGGGCGCCCAAUGAAAUGGCAAGAUCAUUCGCGCUCGUCCUCCAGCAAGAGGUAGAUCGGUAUGUCAAGCGCUGCGAGGCGGAGGAGGUGGAGUACUACCUCUGCACUGGGAAGAUGCCGUGCACCAGGGAGCUGCUGGUGAGGGGCUGCCGGAAUACUGGCCCCAGGAGGGAUUAUUAGUUUUAGUAUUGUUCAUUUUCAAUUUUAUGCAUUGUACGUAGUAGUUAAGUAUCAUCACGUAUAUGUGAUGAUAUUAUAUAUAUAUAUUCUAUGAUGAACUAGUGAACAUUUAAUAUAUAUAUAUAUAUAUUAUGAAUUCCAUUUUCUAUCUAUUUUUUGUAUACUAAUUUGAGUCUAGUUGUUAUCAUCCACAUAUACAGAAUGGAAAGCGUAUAUACACACAUUGAAACAGAACAUAUAAGAAUAGAAAACAGAGUACACACAUUGAAACAGAGCAAUAAACAAAGCAAUACUAUGAUUGUUGUGAAUACAUAGCUAUCCACAUCGGAACGACUCAACAAAAUAAAACGCGUCCAUGAGACCAUGACUAGCAGCCCUUGCCUAUGCUAGCUCUUGGCUUUGCCUGAACCCAUGCAGGUGUUCGUCCAGGUGGUCGACACGCUCGUUGUACAUCUGGAGCGCGAUCUUGAGCUCCAAGUUGGCUAUUUCAUCGGAGAUCACAAGCUCGAGGAUACGACGGCCAUGCUCCUCUACUGCGCCCAGGUGGACACUUGGGCCAAGGAGGCGGUCGAGCCUACUAACCAGCGCGUUGGCAUCGAGUGGGCUGCGGACAUGCCUAUCUUGAUCCGCAGUGCUAAAGUGCCAUGCUCCAAGGGUCUGCUCAACCCUGGCGAUGAUGCGCAUCACGGCGUCGUCCAUCGCGUUGCCGAGGAGCGCCUCCGCCUCGACGGGUCGUGGCGCCUGCUCAUUUUCCUCGUCAAUGAGGCUGAUGGCGAAGGCGGCGCUUUGGUGGGCUGGCAUGCUUGGGAAAGGUGGAUGUGCUACAGGCUGCACUUGUUGCCUCCGUGUGUCGCGCGCCACCUAGGUUUAUGCGCAAUAUCACUUGGUGGCGGGGAAUAGGUGAGGAAAUGGCGGGAAACGGUGGCGUGUUCAUAAAAUGCCAUCAAUUAAUGGAAAUUUAACAUAUAAGGAACAUCGAGCUAGCACAAGAAGUAGAUGAUGAUCAGAUGAACACGGACCACACUAGGGAACCCGUCGGUAAUUAAUUCAUCAAUUGCAAACGGCUGUAUACUAGCAAGCGUUUGCCACAACACACACGGCUUAUUCCAUCACAAACAGGUCAGAUGGAUCUGUAUGCCAUGUACCACACAUUGUCAAAAAGUGAUGUGGUAGACCUUCUUUAACAUGUGUUAAAAAAACAAGGACCUCGAGGUUAAAUUAACUGAUGGGAUGGAUCAUAGAGGUCAUUUAAUUUGACCUAUAUGACUGAUCUCAUCAGUUAAUUUAACAUCGCAACAACUUCCCAUACAGUCACCCAUCUGAUGGCUGCUCCAGCCUGAGCAUAGUUAACUUGAGAGUUCUCUUAGGGCAUCCCUAAUGGUUGUAAGAUAGUUGUUGGUAAACUUUGCCACAUAGGAUUUUUGAUGAUGUGUCAUCUAAUAAAUGAGGGAAGAGAGGAAGUGAUAUAGGAUGAAAUCCUAGAGGGGGAUCAUUUCACACUUGGAGGGGGAAAAGGGCUAACUCUCAAGAACACAAAGAGGAAAACACUCAAACAAUUCCCCAAUCACACAUCCACUAGGAUAGCAACAUAGGAUCCACAAGUCACAAACACAAUCAAAGGAAAGAUACAAUGGCAAAGUUCUUCCCACUCCUAGGAGAUGAGGUCUUGAAGAUAGUCUUCUCCUAGAGGAGGUCUUGAAAUCCACUAGGAUUCUUCCCAAGAGGGGCCUUGAUACAACAAAUGGGAAGGUAGAAGGAGCAAAGCUCACAAAUACCUCAUCUCAUACUUUGCUAACCCUAAACAUAGCCCUAGGUACGGUUUAUAUAGUCUUGGGGUCGAGAGAGAUGAAGAGGGGCUCGGUUUGGGGAUCUCAGCCGUCCAUCCUGGGAGGCCCGUGCGCACGGGGUAAGUUGGGCACGUGUGCAUGGGGGUCCCGUGGGCAUGGUACAGGCCCGUGUGCACGGGGUGCUCCAGCACCAACUUCCUGGAUAGCCCGUGGGCACGGGGUCUCGGGGGCCCAUGCGCACGGGGUCACCUAGGACUUCCAGUUUUGCUGGUGUUGCACUCCAUCUUGGUCCGCGUGGCCUUGGGGUGGUUCCUCUUCUCCUUGGGGGUGCUCCUGAGCCUCUUGGUGGUGUUCCUCUUCGUACCUAGUGAGACAUAGCAUAUCUUGGUGAGGUACAACAAUGUUCCAUUCGUAUCCAUAUGCAAGCUAAGUAGGAAGGAGUUCACCUCGGUUUCCAAAGCACGUGUUCUCGCUCUUGUCAUAGGUCCACGUGGGGCUUGAUGUGUCGGUAUAGAGUCCAUGGGGAUGAUGGAAGGAUGCUCCGCAUCAUCUCCCCCCCUUGGGAGAGAUCCGUCCACGGAUCAUGAUCUUCAUCACCAUGGUAUUUGGCCAAGUCUUUGACGUUGAAUGUGUCGCUCACAUUGUACUUGUCUCGUGGUAUGUCGACCUUGUAGGCAUUGUCGUUGUAGCGUGCGGGUACCUUGAAUGGGCCAUCGACUCUUGGAAGUAGCUUGGACUUUCGCUCCUUGGGAAGCGAUCCUUGCAGAGAUGUACCCAAACUAGGUCACCCGGUUGGAACACCAUUGGGGACUUGUUGGAGUUGCGCUUGGUCGCGAGUCGUUGUACUUGGCGCUCUAUGGUGUGCCAUGUAUCUUCAUGCAUCUUCUUGAGGUGGUUCACUUGGUCGCUCGCGUCCAUGUUGAUGCGCUCUUGUAGUGGUAGAGGAAGAAUGUCCAAUGAGGACAAUGGGUUGAAUCCAUAGACGACCUCGAAAGGGGACUUGCUGGUAGUUGAAUGUCUUGCAUGGUUGUAGGCGAACUCGGCUAUUGGUAGACACUCCUCCCACUCCUUGAUGUGCUUCUUGAUCAAGACUCAUAGUAGAGUGGAGAGUGUAUGGUUCGUCACCUCCGUUUGGCCGUCGGUUUGAGGGUGGUACACCAUGGAGAAUAGUAACUUCAUUCCGAGCUUGGCGCAUAAGGUCUUCCAAAAGUAACUCAAGAACUUGACGUCGCGGUCCGAGGCAAUUGUCCUUGGCAUUCCAUGAAGACGUAAUAUUUCCCUUUGAAUUCCUUUGGUUUCUUCGGGGUUGACGCGGUAGGGAGCUUCGUUCGGAAGCGGUGCUCCGGGGAUGAGGUCAAUGCGUUGCUCAAUGCCUCGUAGUGGAGGUAGUCCCGGAGGUAGCUCAUUGGGGAAAACAUCUUGAAAUUCUUGCAAUAGAGAAGAUAACACCAAAGGUAGAUUGUGAGAGGUGUUAGUUUUUGGUGCCUCAUCCUUGCACAAUAGUACAUAGUGUAGGACACUUGAUGGGUUCUCACACACUUCUCUCAUCUCACAUUUGGUGGAAAAUAGGACUAAGUUUUUCUUGUCGCUCAUCGUGGAGGCACUCAAUUUGGGCUUGUGGCGCUCACUCUCUUUUUGGUGGCUCACUCUCUCACUAUUCUCUGCACGAUGGGUGUUUUGCUUGUCGGCGAGCACUUGGCUUGGAGACAUGGGACGUGGUACAAACUCUCUCCCUUUCAUUUUGAAGCUAUAGUGAUUGGUACGCACAUUGUGAAUGACACCUCGGUCAAAUUGCCAUUUCCGAUGAUGCGGAGCAUCCCAAGGUCAUCCCCAUGGACCUACCAUCGUCUCAUCAAGUGCCUACCGGACCCAUGACUUGAUCACGUGCAAGAGCCCUUGAAACUGAGGUGACAUCUCUCCUCUCACAAUUCCACUUUGAUGCACAUGAAGCAUGGCUACUACCUCAUAUGGAUACCUUGUGCAUACUCAGGUACAAUGGAGAAGCUAAGGAGCAAGGACAAGAAGAAGAAGAAGAUGGACGAGAAGACGGAGAAGAAGAAGGGCUGUAGGAAAAGUCCCAGCCACCAGACGACCGGCCGGGACCGGACGUCCGGCACCUGAAGCGUCAGCCGAGCCCCAGCCAGCAGACAUCCGGUCCGGACCGGACGACCGGUGCCCCUGCACCCGAGGCCAAUGAGCGGACGUCCGGCCCCGACCGGAUGACCGGCGCGACCGCACCCGAGCCGAAGUCAGCGGAAGUCCGGAGCCUCCGGACGUCCGGCACCCCCAUCACAGAGCGGAACCAGCGGACGACCGGAGGACACCGGACGUCCGGCAGCUCCUGAGACACCGGACGACCGGUCCCCAGCGGACGUCCGAUACCUGUCUGCGCACAGAGUUCAGGCCCGAGGCCCAUGUACCCCUUCACUUCGCCCCCAUUUGCACUUAGACUAUAAAUAGACCCCCCAUUCAUCCUAGCUAGGGUUAGCGUUGGUUUAGCUCAUACUCAGAGAUAGAGCUUCGCUGUUCCUCAUCGGAUCUACUCCUCGUGAGAGACCGCGGCCUGUUCGGAGAAGAUCCCUUUGGGUUCAAGGCCCCUUUCUAAGGGAAGAUCCCCUUGCGGAUUCAAGUCCUCCUCACGGAGAAGAACCGGUUACCGUGUAUCAUCCGUAGUUGUCUGUGGAUUCGUGUAUCGUUCUAUGUACUCGAGGAUCUAGCCCAUGUGUGACUUAUUCGUGUCGGUUUAGUGAUUUCCUCUUGUGUUUCCCGUCCGUUCAUCCUUGUGUUCUUCGUGUUUUUCCCGGGAUCCACUCCUUUCAUGAAAGAUCGGGCGAUUAGGGUCUCUACCCUACAUAAGCCGCCCAAGAAGAAGGUGGCAAAUGGUCAUCGGAAGGACAUCACACUCCAAAGUGUCUUCAUAGGCGCCGAUCUUGAAAGAGACUUGUACUCGAUGCUCGACUUGUAUGGUGCCGGUGUCACUUAGCCAUUGAACCUUGUAGGGGCGAGGGUGCUUCGUCUUGACCAAUUGGAGUUUGGAGCAUAGGUCUUCACUUGCUAAGUUGUGGCAACUACCUCCAUCGAUGAUGACCUUGACGGACCGUCCGUUGAUGCCGGCCUUUGUGUGGAAGAUAUGGCAUCUUUGAUCUUCGUCUUGUUGAUGUUGAAGAGUUAAGACCUUGGAGACAACAAGAGCGGGACUUGAAUCUUCAUCACAAAAGACAUGAUCAUCUUCGUCUUUGUUGUUCACUUGUCGGUGCAUGGCCACUUGCUCAAGGGCUUCCAUUUCUCCUUCACUCAUGGAGUCGUAGGUUCCGUCGUCGUUGAGGAUCAUGGUGCGCUUGUUUGUGCACUCGAAGGACUUCUGGCCUCGGCCUCCGCAUGUGAAACAUUUGACGGAACUUGUCUUGAUGGUCUCAUCGGUUGGAGUAGAUGUUGAUGAAGCUUUCGGCUUGAAGUUGCUUGUACUAGGAGGACAACUUGCACUUGUCAAAGUCUUCUUGUAACUUGACUUGUCGUCGGUACUUGGUGAUGCUCUAGUUGAGGUAGGAGUUGCCGAAGUCGCGGGAGCUUGAUAAGAGGAGCCGUAGGUCUUGGACGAGAACAUGGCAUACUUGAAAUCAUCUUGCACUUGGCGUUCCGCUUUGGUGGCUUGGUGCACAAGCUCGAUGAGAUUUGAGUAUGGUUGGAAGUCGACGAUCUUCUUGAUGGGAUGGUUGAGGCCAUUCAAGAAGCGUGCCAUUAUUUCUCAUCAUCUUCUGUGACAUUGGCUCUUAUCAUUGCAAUCUCCAUCUCCUUGUAAUAUUCUUCAACGCUCUAAGUUCCUUGUUUGAGUUGUUGGAGUUUCUUGAAGAGGUCGCGGUUGUAGUAGGUAGGCACGAAGCGUGCUCUCAUGACAUCCUUCAUUUGUGCCCAAGUAGUGAUGGGUGGUUCACCUCUUGCCUCGCGGCGCUCUAUGAUUUGUUCCCACCAAAUGAGGACAUAGUCUUGGAACUCAAGGGAUGCCAUCGCGAUCUUCUUCUCUUCUUCAUAAUUGUGCAAACGGAAGAUCUUGUCAACAUUCAAUGCCCAUGAAAGAUAUUCUUCGGGAUCAUUGUUUUCGUUGAACUUGGGCAUGGUGAACUUGAGCUUGCCGUAGCGUUGUUCUUCAUUGUGUUGGGGUCAGGGAUGAUGACGCCCAUGUUGUAGAUGAUUGUUCAACUCGUGGUGUUCUUGACGCAGAGGGUUGUCAACCUCGUGUUGCUCUUGUCACGGAGGAUUCCCAUUGAUAGGGGCAAAGGUGUCCCGAUGUUUCGAUGAGAUGGUGGCUAUCGUUUCUGUGAGAGUCGACCUUGACGAUCCGACUACGAACGUGCGAGACGUCGCGCCUUAGCAAUCGCUAAACCAACUUCUGAGGGGUUAUUGACCACGUCGGAGCACGAUCAACCUGACCACGAGGGUCUGUUUCCUGCGAGCAAACGAAUAACAAGAAAGAAACUGAGAUUGCAAUCUGGAUACCGCGAAUAUAAGAUGAAAGCUUUAUUGAUCAAGGUGGGGUUCUGUGACGUCUUGGUCUAGUCGUUGGACACAAACGAAGUACGCGAACUUGCAGCUAUGGCGAACUUUUAAUCUAAACAAAACCCAAAGUCUAAACGAUGCCCUAAGGGCUUUAUAUAUGGAGGAGAGAGGGGGAAUUUCGUGGCCCUUGGUGGAGGGGUCCGAAACCAACCCUAAGUCUUGUUUCCCCACACAUACGGACUCUAAAAACAGCCUAUACUUAAGUACUUCGAAAAUACAUGGGCCUGGCCCAAUAAUAAGGUGACGCAGCACCUAGAAUAGCCUCUGGACGAAAUUUAUGACGUGUCAUGUUGUAUAUUUCAUCCCAUGCUUCAUGCACUCAUUAUGGUGGCUUCAGAGUCCUGGAAUCAUCACUUGUAACUCCGUUCUUGUUGUCCUUGCGUAUGCCAUCAUCUCCAUGCUUGAACUUGCUCCAAGGUUCAUCUUUCUUGUCCAAGCUAGGCCCUUCAUUUGUAAGCAAAACAAAUGUAUCCAAUUUAGGCAGCAUCAUAUUCUCAUGAACAUUAUAAUCGUUACCAAGAAACGAAAGAACCUGAUAAUUCAAUUGGCGUGCGCGAGCUCUAGUAAUUGGUCUAGUAUGUAUAGUAGCAGGGGUUGUGGGUGUAACAAUGGUAUUGAUGUCCUCAUCAUCCUCCCCUUCUUGAAAUGAAGUCGUCCUCGAUGAAAGUUCAUCGUCCUCACCCAAAUGAGGCUUCAAAUCUACAAUGUUAAAAGUGGGACUAACCCCAAAAUCUGCAGGCAGCUCAAGUUUAUAUGCAUUAUCAUUUAUUUUCUCUAACACCUUAAAAUCUAUCCUUACGCAAAUGUAACCAAACAAGAUCUCCCGGUGAAAACACAACAUGUUUUCUACCCUUAUCUCCAGCAAGUUUAUAUUUAGCAUUCAUACGCUCAAUGUUUUCCUUAGUUAACUCAUGCAUUUUUAAAAUCAAUUCAGCACGUUCUUUAGCAUCAAAAUUAACCUUCUCCGAAGAUGGAAGAGGCAAUAAAUCAAUAGGUGCACGAGGUAGGAAACCAUACACAAUUUCAAAAGGGCACAUCUUAGUAGUAGAAUGCAAUGAACGAUUAUAAGACAAUUCAAUAUGAGGCAAGCAUUCUUCCCACAUUUUUCUUGUUAUUCUUCAAAACAGCCCUAAGCAUAGUAGACAAUGUUCUAUUGACUACUUCAGUUUGUCCAUCAGUUUGGGAGUGACAAGUAGUACUAAAAAACAAUUUAGUCCCCAACUUAGCCCAUAAACAUCUCCAAAAGUGGCUAAGAAAUUUAGUAUCACGAUCUGAAACAAUAGUAUUUUGCACACCAUGCAAGCGAAUAAUUUCAUGAAAAAACAAAUCAGCAACAUUAACAACAUCAUCGCUUUUAUGACAUGGUAUAAAGUGUGUCAUUUUCGAGAACCUAUCCACGACAACAAAUAUGCUAUCCCUCCCCUUCUUUGUUAGAGUUAAACCUAAAACAAAGUCCAUAGAUAUAUCCUCCCAAGGAACACUAGGUACAGGCAAAGGCAUAUAUAAACCAUGAGGAUUGAGUCAUGACUUAGCUUUUUGACAUGUAGUGCAGUGAGCAACAAAACGCUCAACAUCCCGUCUCAUCUUUGGCCAAAAGAAAUGUGUAGCAAGUAUAUCCUCCGUCUUCUUGACGCCAAAGUGUCCCAUUAAUCCUCCUCCAUGCGCCUCCAGCAACAACAAAAGACGAACAGAGCUAGCUGGAAUGCAUAGCUUGUUAGCACGAAACACAAAUCCAUCGUUAAGAACGAACUUGUUCCAAGUUCUCCUUCCUUAAAAUUCUGCAAUACAUCUUUAAAUUCAGCAUCAUGUACAUAUUGAUCUUUGAUGGUCUCCAAACCAAAUAUUUUAAAGUCAAGUUGUGAAAUCAUAGUAUAACGACGAGACAAUGCAUCAGCAAUAACAUUUUCUUUACCCUUCUUGUGUUUAAUGACAUAAGGAAAAGUCUCAAUGAAUUCAACCCAUUUAGCAUGUCUACGGUUCAGUUUUGCUUCACUUUUAAUGUGUUUCAAAGAUUCAUGAUCAGAAUGUAUAACAAAUUCCUUGGGCCAUAAAUAAUGUUGCCAUGUUUCUAAGGUCCGAAGAAGAGCAUAUAAUUGAUGAGGACAUGACAACCUUGCAUACGACCAAAACUAUUGUAUACAUGCAUAUUUGUCACGUGAUUUCGAAUGCAAACUAUUCAAUAAUCUAUUUAUGUUAUCCAGAACAAAAAUACUUCACACACUUUUGUGUUUUGUCUAAUUGCAGGUGCAUGGGACAUUUGUACAAUCCACAUAUAAAGAUAAGGGAAAAGGAGAAGUUUAGGUUCUGUUCAAAAAGUCCUCUCACGUCACUUUUGGGCCGAGAGAAGAUAGAGUCCAAGUCUCUCACGUUCUGGAUUCAGAUUCAGACUGCACAGACAUACCUGACUCAAAACGCCAACAACUUUUUCAUACGGACUCCGAAUUGGGUGAUUCUUUUUUUGUUGGAAACUAGAUUUCGUGCACUUUCCAACCCAAUUGGGUUCACCUUCAAAUUCGUCCGAAGCGUUGAGUUAUGGACGAAACAAUCUGACGUUGUAGCAGAAUCUGAGUCAAACUACAAGCCCAAAGGUGUUGCAUCACCUUCACUUGGGCCCAUGAGCCUUGUACGACUUAGGGUUAGUUUUAAGAUGCUUUGGGACGUCCUCUCACCUCCUUGGCCGCCACCCCUUGCUCCUAUAUAAGUAGAUCCAUCUAGUAGCUUUUUCCUUGGGAUUUCUUUAGUUAAAAGUUAGCCAUUGCAACUUCGUGUACUUUGUUUGUGUCCAACGACCAGACCAAGACCGCUUUCGGAUCCCCACCAUUAUUGGUACUUCAUAUAUAUUUGCAAUAUUCAUAUUGAUUUAUCAUAUUCUUGCUUGUUCUUCGAUUGCUUGCAGGAAUAGACCGGAUUCGUCAGUAACUCAGAAGAUUAGUUUAGCGAUUGCUAAGGUGCAACAUCGUGCACGUUUGUAGUCGGAUCGUCAAAGUCGUCUUCACCAAAUCGAUAGUUAUCGUCUCAUCGAAAGAUCAGGACACCCUCGCCUCUAUCAAGUGGUAUCAGUUUUCAGGACACCCUCGCCUCUAUCAAGUGGUAUCAGAUUUCCCGGUUGCUCGGUGAGAUUUUACAGUUUUUCGUAGUUUAUAUCGAGUCUGUUCUUCGUACCUAUAGUCCACGAAAAAGCCAAAAAAAUCAGGGUUAGUUCAUCCUAUCUGAACCAAUCUGAGCCUUUGCAAUUUUCUUUUCAUUGCUUGCAUAGUUGAAUUAUCGGUUGCAUCAUCGUGUCGAGUUGCUGGUUUUAGUGUCUAGUUUGUUUAGAGUUUUGAGUUCUGUUCACAUUAGUCACGCCGCCGCUGCAUCGUUAUGCCUUCCGCUGUCCACCACCCAUCUAUCAAUUUCCACCACAUGCUACCCAUCGUUCAUUGUCACAAUCAUAGUUGAGGUCGUUCACAUCUUCGCUAGAUCCAAUCUGUAUCUUAUCUAGUUUGUUUGGAAAGAGGGAGAGAGAAAAAAAGAAAAAAAGUCAAAGAAAAAAAAGAGAAAGAAAAAAAAGUGUGAAAAAAAAGAGAGAAGAAAAAAAAACAAAAUUCGGAUCUAUAGACUCAAUCUCGUAGUUGAAUUCGGAUUGGAAUCUGUUUUGUGCACUGUUCAGUAAAACAGACGUAACUUCCUCAUACGAAGUCCGUUUUGCCUCCGCGAGUACUCAAAUGAAAGCUAGCGACGAGCCGCAUCUAAAUAGUUACAGAAACUAGUUCAAUAUUUGGCACCUCAAAAUCGUCUUCUAAAUAGGUCUUUUUGCCCUCCGAAGCUCACAAACACAACUUAUUCCAGUUUUUCAGGCCAGUUUUAGGAUUUUUUUGACUCCUCAUAUCAACUCGGAAUUGAGUGAUUCCUUUUGCGUUUGAAAGCUUAAGUCAAUACCAUUCUUGAAAAAUUAUUAAACAAAUUGGCACAAACUUUUCCAUAGGAAAGUUGGAGAGAAAGUUGUUGAUAUAUCCUGCUUGGCUGUUGUUUCACAUCAUUAUCUUUACAGGUAUUGUGAUUGUUCACACUUCCAAGUAGUUCAUAGGAACAUGUUUUUGGAUUCUGUUUCUUGUUUCUACUAAUUAUGACAAGAUCCAGAGUUAAUUCAUGGGCUUUGUUGAUCGUGGGAGACGUGCCACCACCUUUGCAAAUACCACAACCGUCACAAGAGGUGCACAAACAUCCAAAUGCACAUGAUCAGGUUAACGUAUCUAUACCACCAUUUAAUGGUCGUUUUAGACCUGCUUUAUAUAUUGAAUGGGAGUUCAACCUGAAAAAUAUAUUUUCUUCCCAUAAUUUUGAUGAACAUAAAAAGGUUAAGGUUACGGUUGGUUCUUUCACUGGUUAUGCUUUGGUUUGGUGAAGUGAAUAUUGGCGGUUACAUCCUGAUUAUAUACCUACUACUUUGGAUGAUUUGAAACUUGCCAUGCAACAUACUUCCGUUCCCGCUUAUUAUACUCACGACAUGAUUAAGAAGUUGCAACAUUUAAAACAAGGUAGUGACACUGUAACAAAAUAUUAUGAUGAUUUACAAACUACCUUGUUGCAUUCCUCUUUAGAAGAAAGUGAAGAUGAUUUUAUGGAUAGAUUUUGGGGAGGAUUAAACCGUGAUAUUCAAGAGAUAUUAAUUCAUAAAGAGUGUUAUCCUAUGGACCAUUUGUUUCGUCUUGCUUGCAAAGCUGAACAUGAAAUAAAACGACGUGUUGCCCACGAGGAGAACAAGCGCACGAUGCACAUUCCAAGAGUUGAUAUGAUUGUUCCUUCAACUACUAGGCAUACUAUGACAACCACAUCCAUUGUUGUGAGGACUACAUCACCUCCACCAUGUGACACAUCGCUCUCGAGAGUCGCUACAUCAUCUGAGUUGAUCAUAAGAGGUAAUGACAAAGGUACUGAUCUUCCAUCUCUACAUGAGAAUGAUGAAUGCCUUGUCAAUUUGAAUGCACCAUCUGAUGAGCUACCCACUACUUUGAUCGUACCACCUAUUUUAGAGGACUAUGUUGAUAAUUUGACUUUGCCAUGUGAUCAAACAACUGAAAUACCAACAAUUUUGAGUGCACCCAUUGAAUUAACUGUUGAUGCAAAAGAACCAAUGUGUAAUCAUUUUGAUAUGACCUCUAAUAUUGGUGAUGAUUCUGUGUCCAAUGACUUAUUGCAUGUUUGCUUAUUUAAGCAAGUUGUCGCAUGUAAAUUUGAUGCAAGUAAGAUUUAUUCACCAAUGUUGGGAUGGUUUAAUGAUGAAUGUUGUCAAUCUUUUGAUACGAAUAAGAGCUUCACUUAUAUGUGCAAACUGAGUUGCAAUAUUUUCAUGCCUUCUACUUGUGAUAAUUUUUUGGCUUUAGAUUUUAUGAACUAUGAAAGUUACUCAUGUAUACAUGUGUCAUAUGUGCAAAAAUCAAGGGAAGUAAAAAUGGAUGACAUAUACAUAUACAACAUGUACACCUUGUCUCUUUUGUUAGCCACAUUUCAGAUUAAGCAACGCCGAGGACGGCUUUGUUUUCAAAAAGGGGAGGAUGAUGAGGACAUGACUACCUUGGAUACGACCAAAAAUAUUGCAUACAUGCAUAUUUGUCAGGUGAUUUCUAAUGCAAACUAUUCAAUAAUCUAUUUAUGUUAUCCAGAACAAAAAUAGUUCACACACUUUUGUGUUUUGUCUAAUUACAGGUGUAUGGAACAUUUGUACAAUCCACAUAUGAAGAUAAGGGAAAAGGAGAAGUUUAGGUUAUGUUCAAAAAGUCUACUCACGUCACUUUUGGGCCAAGAGAAGAUAGAGUCCAAGUCUCUCACGUUCUGGAUUCAUAUUUGGACUGCACAGACAUACCUGACUCAAAACGCCAACAACUUUUUCAUACGGACUCCGAAUUGGGUGAUUCUUUUUUUGUUGGAAACUAGAUUUCGUGCUCUUUCCAACCCAAUUGGGUUCACCUUCAAAUUCGUCCAGAGUGUUGAGCUAUGGACGAAACAAUCUGACGUUGCACCAGAAUCCGAGUCAAACUACAAGCCCAAAGGUGUUGCAUCACCUCCACUUGGGCCCAUGAGCCUUGUACGACCUAGGGUUAGUUUUAAGCUGCCUUGGGACGUCCUCCCACCUCCUUGGCCGCCACCCCUUGCUCCUAUAUAAGUAGAUCCAUCUAUUAGCUUUUUCCUUGAGAUUUGUUUACUUAAAAGUUAGCCAUUGCAACUUCGUGUACUUCGUUUGUGUCCAACGACCAGACCAAGACCGCUUACGGAUCCCCACCAUUAUCAAUACUUCAUAUAUAUUUUCAAUAUUCAGAUUGAUUUAUCAUAUUCUUGCUCGUUCUUCGAUUGCUUGCAGGAAUAGACCUUCGUGGUUAGGCUGACCGUGCUUCCGGCAUCGCCAGUAACCUCAGAAGAUUGGUUUAGUGAUUGCUAAGGCGCAACGUCGUGCACAUUUGUAGUCGGAUCGUCAAAGUUGUCUCCACCAAAUCGAUAGUUAUCAUCUCAUCGAAAGAUCGGGACACCCUCGCCUCUAUCAAUAAUUCUUUGUCAUAAGUAGAAUAGUUCAGACUAGGCCCACUCAAUUUUUUAGAAAAGUAUGCAACAGGUUUGCCAUCUUGUAAUAACACACCUCCUAAUCCAAUUCCACUAGCAUCACAUUCAAGCUCAAAAGUCUUAUUAAAAUUAGGAAGUUGGAGUAAAGGAGCAUGUGUCAACUUAUCUUUCAAUACCGUGAAGGCUUCUUCCUGUGCGGUACCCCAAACAAAAGGCACAUCCUUCUUUGUAAGCUCGUUGAGAGGUGCAGCAGUGGUGCUGAAAUCUCUCACAAAACGCCUACAGAAACCAGCGAGGCCAAGGAAACUCCUCACUUGUGUGACCGUUUUGGGCUGCGGCCAACUCUCAAUAGCUUCAAUCUUGGCUUUAUCAACUUCAAUUCCCUAUGGAGUAACAACAUAGCCAAGAAAAGAUACUCGGUCGGUGCAAAAGGUGCACUUUCCAAGGUUACCAAACAAACGUGCAUCACGUAGAGCAAUAAAAACAUCACGUAAAUGUUCCAAAUGUUCCUCCAAAGAUUUGCUAUAAAUCAAUAUGUCAUCAAAGUAAACUACCACAAAUCAUCCAAUGAAAGCACGUAAAACUUCGUUCAUUAACCUCAUGAAAGUACUAGGUGCAUUAGUUAACCCAAAAGGCAUGACUAACCACUCAUAUAAUCGAAACUUAGUUUUAAAUGCUGUUUUCCAUUCAUCUCCUAAUUUCAUACGAAUUUGAUGGUAUCCACUAUGCAAAUCAACUUUGGAGAAUAUUGUAGAGCCACUCAAUUCAUCAAGCAUAUCAUCUAGCCUAGGAAUAGGAUGAUGAUAACGAAUAGUAAUAUUAUUAAUGCCUCUACAAUCAACACACAUACGCGACGUACCAUCCUUUUUCGGCACUAAAAUGAUAGGAACAGCACAAGGACUAAGGGAUUCGCGUAUAUAACCUUUGUCGAGCAGUUCUUGUACUUGACGCAUAAUCUCCUUCGUCUCUUCUGGAUUGGUACGGUAUGGUGCACGGUUGGGUAAUGAUGCACCGGGAAUUAAGUCAAUUUGAUGCUCAAUCCCUCGAAUAGGUGGUAAUCCCGGUGGCACGUCUUCUGGAAAGACGCCAGCGAACUCCUGCAAAAUGUUAGUGACAGCAGGAGGCAAAGAGGAAGGCACGUCCUUGAAUGAAAAUAAUGCCUCUUUGCACACAAAAGCAUAGCAAACAGAUUUGCUGAAAUCUAGAUUAUCAAUAUCAGAUUUUGUGGCAAGUAAACAUGCACUUUUCAAUUUAAUUUCAGAAGCAACACUAGAUGGUUUAUUAUUAGGUUUCAUUUGUUGCUCAAAUUCUUUUGCCACAAUCUGAUUUUCACUCUUAUUUUUCUCCUGUUUUGCUUUAUUAUCUCUAUUAAUAUCAUCUUUGAAAAUGGAUUCAGGAGUCAUAGGAAGCAAAGUAAUAUUUUUAUCCUUAUGAACAAGAGUAUACUGAUAGUUUCUACCAUGGUGUAUAGAAUUUUUAUCAAACUGCCAUGGUCUACCAAGUAAUAAGGAACAUGCUUGCAUAGGUACCACAUCACAAUCAACAUAAUCAGCAUAUGUAGAGAUACUAAAAUGCACACGAACAAUAUGUGUUACCUUAACCUUGCCGCUGUUGUUGAACCAUUGGAUGUAGUAAGGAUGUGGAUGUGGUCUUGUGGUGAGAGAUAGCUUCUCCACCAUCUCCAUGCUAGCCAAGUUAUUGCAGAUCCCUCCAUCUAUGAUGACGUGAACAGAACGUUCCUUCACAACACCCUUUGUAUGGAACAAAUUAUGACUCUGAUUUUGCUCAGCUUGUGUAACCUGCACACUCAAAACACGUUGAGCAACUAAACAUUCAUACCUGUCAGCAUCUUCAGCAGCCAUGUAUUGCGUUUCAUGAUCAGAAUCCUCUCCACCGUGUUCUUCAUGUGUAAUAAGUGCCAAAGUCUCCUCAUCAUAGUCACUAGCGGACUCAUACCCACCAUCCUCAGUAGCAAUCAUCACACGCUAAGAUUGGCAUUCUCUCGCAAAAUGUCCUCUUCCCUUACAACGACGACAAAUAAUAUCACUUGUGUGCCCUGUUGAUGCCAUGGAAGAAGAAGAGCUCUGCGCAGGUCCGGCAGGUGUGCUCUUGGCAGAUAGUGGUGGUUGUGCCUGCUUUCUUGUAUCACGACUGGAGGUGGCACCUGAUGGAGGUGCUGGUGGAGUGGAAGUAGAGGAUGCACGUGGUGUCCAUGAUGAAGAAAAGUUAGUUCGCGCCAAUGCCUGUUGAUCCAGCACUUCACGUUCAGCUUUACAAGCUAGAUGGAAUAAACGAGUGAUAUUAGUAUACUCCUUAUACUCUAGAAUGGUCUGAAUUUCUCUAUUUAAUCCACCCAUAAAACGUGCAAGCAUAGCUUCAUUCUCCUCAACAAUACCACAUCUAAUCAUGCCAGUUUGUAAUUCCUAAUAAUAUUCUUCUACAGAAUUUUUUCCUUGUCUUAAAUGCUGCAAUUUUUGAAGUAAUUCACGUUGAUAAUAUGGUGGAACCCGACGAGUACGCAUAGCAGUUUUCGAAGUAGCCCAAGUAGCUGGAAUAGGAUAUAAUCUUCAAUGUUCAGACCACCAAACACAUGCAAAGCUAGUGAAAGCACAAACAACAGCAGUAACACGUCUCUCCUCAAGAUAUUGUAAACAUGUAAACCGUUGUUCAGUUUCUAACUCCCAAGUAAGAUAUAUAUCAGGAACAUAUCUACCCUCAAAUGGUGAAAUAUUCAAUUUUAGUUUAGGAAGAUGGCCAUGUACCUCAGGUGGUGGUGCAGCCCUACCGUUGCGAUGAUAUGCAUGAGGACGACCUGGUGGUGGUGGUGCUGGUGGUUGCAAGUAGUUCUGAUUUUGGUCAACCUCAUCCUCGUAAUGGUCCUCCACCUCUGCAGUAGCAGCAGGAGCAGCAGAAGCAUCAACAGUGGCACCAGAAUUUUUCCCAGGGUCAAUGGGAAUGCGCUGUGCUCGUCCCACUUGAUUUGGAAAGUGACGUUGUUGUUGUUGUAGAGGUGCGUUAGGGGCAGCCGGUGGUGGUGGUGGAAGACGCGCGAGCAAUUCAUUAAACCUGUUAUCGAGCUUUGUUUCGAACGUCUUCUCCAUGCCAUCUAUCUUCUCCAUGGCCUCUUCAAAUCUAUUUAGCACAUCUUGCACCUGUCCACUCAUCAUUUGCUGAAAUUUAUCAUGCAACUCCUUAUUCGUCAGGUUCUCCCAGUCAGUCUCGUCGGCUUGUGAUCCUGCCAUGGUUAGCAGCAACAGAAACACACAAGAUUGAUCCUACAGACUGCUAACAAGAGGUGGUGGUGGAUGUCACAAAUCCGUCAAGCAAAUCUUAAAUUCUUACCAGUUCUUACCCAGCAGCAGGCGGUGAUCGGCAAUCAUCGUAGAGAGUCAAGCGCAUGAGUAGAUGUAUGUGGAGCUGGGAAGGCUUAUAAUAUGGUAGCAAAAAGGGUCAGCAAUAAUCAAUUCAGAGAUGCAAAGUUGAAUAAACGCUCAACGACGGUACUGUGCUGGUCCUAGGCUAGACCGUGCUAGAGAUGCGAGCCUAGAACACUAACAAAAUCACGGCGCUGCAUGUAAACAAGGUAAAAGCACACUCUGGAUCUUUUUUUCCCUUUUUUUUGCACUCCUCUUUUUUUUUGCGAAAAAUCACCAUAAUGGCGAGUGUCUCAAAACUCUUCCCUCGUCAAACUGAUAGGAUGGGCAUGAAAUUUUUUUUGACUUUUUUUUGGAAAUCAGGGCAGCGACGACGAAGAAGUGCGACAAAAAAUCACUAUGAUGGCACGUGGCUCAAAAGACUCAGAAAAGCCUAAAAAUUGGAUAGGGAAAAAAAUUUGCCUGUGAAAAUUUUGGCCUAAAAACUGCCCGGGGGUCUCCAGACUUUUUUUUCCGAGACCUACUCAGGCAAGGAAAGACGAAUCGGAAAUUUGACGGACCUCGAAAACAAACCUAAUAUGAAAGGAACUCGAAUUGGUAGUGGAUAUAUGAUGGUAGGAUAUGGCAACGGUGGUGGUAUAUGGAGACGGAUUGGUGGUGGUAUAUGGAUACGGAUCGAUGGCGGAUAAGCGGUGGUGGUAGAUGGAAGGAGCGAAGAUGAUGGUGCGGCGGCAGCGUGACAACUUAUGACCAGAACUUGAAACUCUAAAAGACUAGACUCUAAGACCAGCAACUAGACAUGACGAUGCAACCGCAAAUUCAACAAAGCAAAAUACUGAAAAGACUAUGCAAAGGCUCAGAUUGGUUCGGAUAUGAUGAACUAACCCUAUUUUUUUUGGCUUUUUUUGUGGACUGUAGGUAUGAAGAACAGACUCGAUCUACACUAUGAAAAAUUGGAAAAUCUCACCGAGCAACCUGAAAAUCUGAUACCACUUGAUAGGGGCAAAGGUGUCUCGAUGUUUCGAUGAGAUGGUGGCUAUCGUUUCUGUGGGAGUCGACCUUGACGAUCCGACUACGAACGUGCGAGACGUCGCGCCUUAGCAAUCGCUAAACCAACUUCCGAGGGGUUAUUGACCACGCCGGAGCACGAUCAACCUGACCACGAGGGUCUGUUUCCUGCGAGCAAACGAAGAACAAGCAAGAAACUGAGAUUGCAAUAUGGAUACUGCGAAUAUAAGAUGAAAGCUUUAUUGAUCAAGGUGGGGUUCUGUGACAUCUUGGUCUGGUCAUUGGAGACAAACGAAGUACGCGAAGUUGCAGCUAUGGCGAACUUUUAAUCUAAACAAAACCCAAAGUCUAAACGAUGCCCUAAGGGCUGUAUAUAUGGAGGAGAGAGGGGUAAUUACGUGGCCCUUGGUGGAGGGGUCCGAAACCAACCCUAACUCUUGUUUCCCCACAUAUACAGACUCUAAAAACAGCCUAUACUUAAGUACUUCGAAAAUACAUGGGCCUGGCCCAAUAAUAAGGUGACGCAGCACCUAGAAUAGCCUCUGGUCGAAAUUUAUGAAGUGGCAUCUUGUAUAUUUCGUCCCAUGCUUCAUGCACUCAUUAUGGUGGCUUCAGAUUCCUGGAAUCAUCACUUGUAACUCCGUUCUUGUUCCCCUUGCGCAUGCCAUCAUCUCCAUGCUUGAACUUGCUCCAAGGUUCAUCUUUCUUGUCCAAGCCAGGCCCUUCAUUUGUAAGCAAAACAAAUGUAUCCAAUUUAGGCAGCAUCAUAUUCUCAUGAACAUUAGAAUCGUUACCAAGAAACGAGAGUACCUGAUAAUUCAAUUGGCGUGCACGAGCUCUAGUAAUUGGUCCAGUAUGUAUAGCAGCAGGGGCUGUGGGUGUAAGAAUGGUAUUGAUGUCCUCAUCAUCCAUUGUCUUCAUGCUCUUAAUGAACUUAAUGGUGUUGGCGAGCUUGUGGGGGAGCUUUGCGAGCUCGAGGAGGAACUUGACAAUGCGCGCGAGCUUGAAAUCGUUGUUCUUGAAUUUCUUCGCGAAGUGCUUCAUCUUGUUCACGGGCUUGACAGCUUCGGUUGACAGUGGCUCGACUCAAAUCGCGUAGAGCUUGUUGCGGCCCAAGUGCUUGAGCGUCACGGGGUUUUUGUUCUUGAUGUUGUGUCUCAGCAUCUUGUGCAAGUUGGUUUAGACGCGCACGUUCUUCCUCUUCAUGUUGGCAUUGUUGUUGCCAUUCUCGUGCUAGCGCAAAGGCCUCUUGAGUUUGAUGUUGUCGGCGCUCUUGAGAGUUAGUGUCUCGAAGUGGAUUGAGGCUUGCUUGAUGGUCGGUGCGCGCGGCUCGACGAAGAGUGUUCGAUGUCAGUGUACUUGAGCCAGAGAGGGUGAAGUUGGAGUGGCGGCUUGAACGGCUCCUUAUUGAAGUGGAAGACGAGCGGUUGAGCAACAAAGCACGAAUUUCGUCCAUCCUUGCGUCAUUCUCUUGCUUGUGAUUGUCGAGCUUGUGGUCGAAGUAGUCCCUUGUACAUUGCUAGGAAAGUCACAAGUCGGCGGCAAGGUUGUCGAUGCGAUCACUCAUAGCUUGUUGCUCUUGAUGCAAAGCACGUUGUGCACCAAAGAGGUGACUCUUGGUGACGAAGGAGUUCAUGUCGUCGUCUUGCUCCAUGAAGAGUGGUUUGAUAGAAGUACUUGGCCUAUCCAUCAUGAGAUAGUGGUGGUGAGUAGGAAAAAUGAGAGAACAAAACCAAAGUUACCUUUUCCGAAGAUUGUGGAUGUAACAAGUACGAUCUCACGAUGCUAUAAUAGGGGAAUUGGUACCGGGAAUUGUUUCUCACACCUACAAGUAAAAGGCUUAUGGAGGAGCUCGGUUAGGAUGGUGGCAAAAAUUUCAAGCAAAUGUUAGUCAAGAUAUCGAUAAGGUUGAGAAGAUUCACAAAAAUGCAAGUAAAAACAAAUAGAUCAAACCCAAUGAUAUCACUAGAAACACACGCACGGAAGAUAGAUGGGAUCCGCACAACCAAGGGGUGAGCUCAAAAUGUGCAACCACGGAAAAUGCUCUUGUUGUGCGAAUACUAGAGAGACGCUAGCUCGAUUGCUCAAAUGGGCUAGAUACGCGUGUGCACCAACCUAUAAGAGAAACGUGCCGUCUUCAAUCCCAACUAUGCUACGUAUGAGGUGUCGAAGAUGAUAUGCAAAAUGGCUCGAUGCUAUUGCUUACAAGCUCUUUGUUGCUCCUCUUUUGCUUAAAAGCUUUUCUUGUUUUUUUGUGAAGCGAGAGCCAAGUAUGAUGAGACAAGUAUGUAAGAUAUGCACGGGAGAGACUUAUGGCACUAAGAUGGUAACGAGAUCACUACAGUGCACAAUAGCGUGGCUCGGCAAUUCUCAACUUGCUAGUCUUGAUGGGUAAGCUACACGAAAUGGCUCGAGUUAUCAAUGUAAAGCAAGGGUGAGAUGUCGUCGAGGUUACCGUCUGAUCCUACGGUAAGAAUGUAGUUGCUGAAGCCGGUGUGGUGUACAAGUUGUUGAUCGAGUGGCGGUGAUGAUGAUGUCCAAAUGUGCCUAAGUAGUCGAAACACCUUAGGACACAAGAGAAACCGCGGUCCGAAACUCAAACAACCACGAGAAAUGUGCGGAAGAACACGAGUGUUGGUAUGGAAAAAAAAUGGUGUAAACAAAAGAUGGACGAAAGUUUCUGGAUGGUCCGUGUGCACGGGGUAAGUGAGGCCCGUGUGCAUGGGGUCCUGUGUGCACGGGGUCUCGAGGGCCCGUGUGCAUGGGGUGUGCUGGGAGCGGAUGAACAGCUCUGGAUCCGAGGGGAUUUGCCAAGAUAAGGACAAUUUCGAGGAUUUGGAUGGUGGGGAAGAAGGAAGAUGGGUAGAUCCACUUGCCAAACUCCAAAUUCGUGGAUCAAAACAACCAAAUCUCACAAGAUCUAACAUAUUGCAAGAAAAAAAUUUGGGCUAUUUUUGUGGGGAUUUUCGAAUUUGGACGAAAAACAACAAAAUCAAGCUAGAAACUGGGGGGAUGGGGCUCCAAGAUGUGAAUCAACCUUGCUCAUGAUACCAAAAUGAUAUAGGAUGAAAUCCUAGAGGGGGAUCUUUUCACACUUGGAGGGGGAAAAGGGCUAACUCUCAAGAACACAAAGAGGAAAACACUCAGACAAUUCCCCAAUCACACAUCCACUAGGAUAGGAACAUAAGAUCCACAAGUCACAAACACAAUCAAAGGAAAGAUACAAUGGCAAAGUUCUUCCCACUCCUAGGAGAUGAGGUCUAGAAGUUAGUCUUCUCCUAGAGGAGGUCUUGAAAUCCACUAGGAUUCUUCCCAAGAGGGGCCUUGAUUCCACAAAUGGGAAGGUAGAAGGAGCAAAGCUCACAAAUAUCUCACCUCAUACUUUGCUCAUACUUUGAUAGCCCUAAACAUAGCCCUAGGUACGGUUUAUAUAGUCUUAGGGUCGAGAGAGAUGAAGAGGGGCUCGGUUUGGGGAUCUCAGUCGUCCAUCCUGGGAGGCCCGUGCGCACGGGGUAAGUUGGGCCCGUGCGCACGGGGGUCCCGUGGGCACAGUACAGGCCCGUGCACACGGGGUGCUCCAGCGCCAACUUCCUGGAUAGCCCGUGGGCACGGGGUCUCGGGGGCCCGUGCGCACGGGGUCACCUAGGACUUCCAGUUUUGUUGGUGUUGCAUUCCGUCUUGGUCCGCGUGGCCUUGGGGUGGUUCCUCUUCUCCUUGGGGGGUGCUCCUGAGCCUCUUGGUGGUGUUCCUCUUCGUACCUAAUGAGACAUAGAAUAUCUUGGUGAGGUAGCAACAAUGUUCCAUUCGUAUCCAUAUGCAAGCUAAGUAGGAAGGAGUUCACCUCGGUUUCCAAAGCACGUGUUCUCGCUCUUGUCAUAGGUCCACGUGGGGCUUGAUGUGUCGGUGUAGAGUCCAUGGGGAUGAUGGAAGGAUGCUCCGCAUUAAGAAGGUUGUAUGUACAUGAAAAAACACCCCUUGCACAAACUCCAAUGUAGAAUGAGAGAGCAUCUUAUUUAUUAUUUCACAUCCUAUUGGGCAAACUAGAUACAACCCAUUGGAGUUGUUGUAUGUUAAGGUGUUGGUUGAUGACAUGGCAUAUUUUACGAACAAGCUAACAUACAAACUGUUGAAGAUGCCCUUAGAUGAUGAUGUAGGGUAGAACCCUAGUGGCCCGAUCUUUCAUGAAAGGAGCGGAUCCCACGAAGAACGCGAAGAACACGAGGAAGGAAAUGAGGGGAAAAUCACGAGGGGGACACAAGAGAACACUCAAACCAACAAGUAUGAUCACACAUGUGCUAGAUCCUUGAAACACAAAGAGAGAUACAAGAUCCAAAGUCAACAACGGACGAUACAAGAGGUAACCGGUUCUUCUCCGUGAGGAGGUCUUGAAUCCACAAGGGGAUCUUCCCUUAGAAAGGGGGCUUGAAUCCAAAGGGAUCUUCUCCGAAGAGGUCGCGGUCUCUCGCAAGGAGGAGAUCCGAUAUGGAUGAGCGUAGCUCUAUCUCUCAAAUGAGCUAAACCAAUGCUAACCUUCAAAUGGUGGAGGUGGAGGAUUAUAUAUAGUCUAGGGCCACGAAGGGGUAAGUGAAGGGGUACAUGGGCCUCAGCCUGCAACUGGACACGGCCAGGUACCGGACGUCCGCUGGGGACCGGUCGUCCGGUGGCUCGUGGGCGGCCGGACGUCCGGUAGGGGCCGGUCGUCCGCUCGUUCUGGCUCGGAUGCUGGUGUAGAGGAUUUCCGGUCUGGACCGGUCGUCCGGUCGCCUGUUGUCCGGUGGCGUCGGACGUACGCUCGUUUGGCUCUGGUGCAGGGACACCGGUCGUCCGAUGGAUCUUCAGGCGCCGGACGUCCGGACCCGACCGGUUGUCCGGUGGCUCGAGCUUCUUCGACAGCUCUUCUUCUUGCGUCUUCGUUUCAACGCUUCCCUCGCAGAUGGUGUAGGUGUUCCAUGGCACUUGCACUCCUCCACAUCGUCUGCAGCGUUCCAACAAUAUCUAUGCAUGCACACGGGAGAAGUGUCAAGUAGUAUACCAUCCUCGAAGGGGUCAAGUGAGCACGUGUAAAGGAUAUGAUUCACCUUUGUGUAUGUGAAGUAGAGGUCGCAUGUGUCACUUGCCAAACAGACUCUUGACAUGGUGAUGUCCGUAGGAUGCUCCGCGUCAUCUCCCCUCCCCUGGGAAAGAUCCGACCUCGGAUCGAAAACCAAAUCACCAUGGGAAAGAGAUGGCUUCGCCGUGUAGGAGUGGACGUUCACCAAGUAGUCGUCAUCUUCAAGCUUGAAGUGGGCACUCUCCAAUGUCACACCAUCUUGGGAUUCCUUCAAAAUAAGCAAGGACAACAAACACUUGGAAAAAUGAAUUUGGUUAGCGUUAGUGCAAAACCAAGCAUUCAAGAGGCGAUUCACCAAACAAGUGUCGUCAUCAUGCAAAGCAUAUGGUGUGACAAAGGGUUUUGACAUGGCAUAUAAGCGCAUAAAUUGAGCAUAAUCAAGGAUAUCAUGGGGAAAACAUGUAAAUGUGAGGUAUUGAUGCAAAUAUGUUGGACAAGUGAAGAAGCAUCUACCUCCAGUUCAUAGCAAGCUUUCACAAAUUGCUCAAUGAAAAGUCUAUGGUAGGCAUAUGAAUCAUUCACAACACCAAAUAAAAUGAAGUGUCUAAACACAUGUGUCAAGUGCAAGACAAUCCAAGCAUAAUGUGAAUUGGGUGUAGUGAAUAUCGUGUGUCACUCAACACAAUAGAAAGAGCAAUUGUUCAUCAUGUGUGAGGCAAUCCAGUCAAGCAUAGUAAUCAAGUCAUGCAAGCUAGUAGUGCGAAGAUGCAACAUACUAGAGGAAAUCAUGGCAAUCAUGUCAUGUGAGCAAAUAAUAGACAUAGACAAUGCACAUGACAUAUCGCAAGCAUGGACAUAAAGCGAGAUGAAAGUAUCAUCUUAUGCAUGGGGCACAAAGCAAACAUGGGAAUAACAAGCAAUAUCUCCACCAAGCUUGCAAAUACACAUACAAGUAUGAGAAUCAAUCAUCAUGUGUAAUGCAAAGCAUGGGUCACGAAUGCAUGGCAAAAGCAUAGUAAUGAGCAUAACAAGCAAAGUGAACAUGGCAAGAUGGGCACAGAAUAUGUAGUGGACAAUAACCCAUAGCCAAGUGAGGGUCAUGUAGAAGAAAUGUGCGAAGACUUCGCGUGAAGAGAGCAGCGGGAAAUGCAAUCCAUGGGAUCCCAAGUCAUCAUUGCUCUCAAGAGCUCAUUUUGUCAGCUCGUGGGAUUGCGAGGUUGACAAGAAUUCAUGGGUACCUACACAAAAGAGACACAAACCAAAGAAAUUGUGCGCGUGGUAAAUGUACACAUCAUCCAUCAUGAUGUGUAUGUGUACGUGUGAGUUAGCACAAGAUAAGCAUCGCUCAAAGAAAUUUGAUGCAUGGUAUAAGAACAUGACGUCCAUCAUGAAAGAAUAGUUAUUAUGUAUAACAUGAUGGGGAUGAAAAUUGAGCAUACAAGUAUAUGGCACAUCAAUAGCAUGUUUAUUCAUGGGAAGCAUAUUGUGCACAUAAUUAUUGGGAUCAUGCAAUGGAUGGGAGUGAUCAAAAUCUCCAAACAUGUAUGAGGAAACUAUGGGGGUCUCCUCAUGAGAAAUGUUGGAAACAUCAUAUGGAGAAAAUGGACAACAUCAAAAACAAUGCAUAUCCGAAGCUAGGUGGUUAUGGCAUGGCAUAUGAGAUAAAUGAUGCAAAGGUAGCAUGUCAAUAUCAUCACAAGAGAAACAAAUGCCAAUAACCAUAGGCUUGUCAUCUAUGCCAUAUGUGCAAAUUGGGUUCAUUUUAAUAGCAUAUGCAUAGUCACUAUGAAGAGAUUGCAAAUAUGACAUAUGAUUGAUCUCAUGCAUAGCAUAUGACAAGUCAAGCGGAUUGGCAAACAUGAUGUGACCGAGAGAAUUAGCACAAGAAAUCCUAUGUAACAUGGCAUCACAACUAAGAGAUUCCACAUGGCAAUCAUCAUACUCAUCAUAAAUGGGUAAAUCAACGCAUGGGGAAAUCAUACUAGCAUGAAGCAUGUCAAUAGGGGGAUCAACAUCAUGAAAGCAAUCAAUGUCAAGAAUGUCCACUAGUGGGACUAGAGCAUCACCGUCACCUAUGUUACCAUUUUCAUUCCACUCAAAUGGUGUAGGUGAGGUGGGAAAGACCAAAUGGUGGUCAUCUUCAUCUUGAUGGAACCAUGUGGGGGGUGCAUCAUAUUCCACCAUGGCCAUCGUCUUGUCCAAAGGGAGGACGAAGUCAUCGCAAAUCGACGCGUCAUCAUAGGUGGGACCUAGCACCAAAUGAGAAGACACAAUAGAGGUAGAGGUUAAGUUGUUAGAAAUCGAAGAGGCCUCACAUGAACUAUCAACUAUCACUCUCUCUCUAUGUGGUGUUUCACUCACUCCCUCAAAAUAGGUGCGGUCAAACUCACAUAUGGUGGAGUCACUCAUCUCACUCAAUAGGUGGGGGUUGUGGCUCUCCUCACAUGGGAAUUGUGGAAACACAUCAUAUAUGGGGCUAGUGAUGAAGUCAAUCUCACUCUCAAUAUGGUGGCAAAAGUCACUCAAGUCAUCAUACGUCACCGUGGUCGAAGGGAAAAUCCCAUGCUCAACCAUCUCGUUGUCAUCACCGUGUAUGAAGGCCGAAGAUGGCACAUCAUCACUCUCGCCUCCUAAGAUGGAAGCAUCAUCCUUGCUCGCCACCUUGUCGCUCGCCUCCAAAGCUUGGUCCUUGAGGGUCUCCGCAAUCGUACUCAUUGCCGCACCGUCUUGAAAAAGAGUCAUGGAGGACUCGACUUCAUCAAUGCCACAAAGAGGAAUGUCGGUGAAGUCGACCUUGGGAGCAUUGUCUUGGAGCUCGUCGGGAUUGGACAUCUUGGUGGUACUAUCCUCAUGCUCGUUCUCAUGGAGCUUGGUCGUUGCGAAGUGAGCUUGGGGUCGAGAAGCCUUGACCUUCAUGAGUUCUUGUUCCGCCUUGAGAGCACCAAUGUAGUUGUUGUCGAGGGACUUAUAGUUGUCGAGGAAGAUCGUCUUGGAGAUGUCGUUGUGCAAUCCCAUCAUGAAGUGGAACUUCAUAGAAAUGGGGUCAUCCACACCGGCUCGUCGCAAGGCAAUCUUCAACUCCUUGAAGUAGUCGUCGAUGGAUUUGGAUCCUUGGAUGGUUUUCUCCAAUUGGCGUUGAAGUUGUUCCGUGUAGGUUGGAGGCACAAACUCUCACCGCAAAGCUCUCUUCGUCUUGGGCCAACUCAUGUCGUAGCUCUCCGAAGGUGUGUGAAGCCACCAUGUGGACGCGUAGUCAUGCACUUCACUUGAUCUUCGGGAGGGACUUGAUGUAUCUUGAGGUAGUCGUCCAUCAAACGCUCCCACUCGAGAUACUCCUCGGGUUCUUGAGUCCCAUAGAAAGGAAUCGUGUGGUCAAUGUCGAGGUCGUAGUAGCUCAUGGAAGUCGCGGACUUGAGCUUGGGGAGCUUCUCUUAAGCAUAGUCUUGAGGUGCUUGUUGGCGAAGAUGCCAUAUAUCCAAAGGCGAAGAUGCCUUGUAGUCGCUUGGCGAAGAUGCCAAAGUGGUUGGUGUAGCAGUAGCUCCAUCUUGGUGGUGCUUGUCUCGCGGUCUUCUCUUGUGGUCAUGAAGUUUGGACUUGGCGUGAAGUAGGGCUUGUUGCGACUUGUAGGUAGGCGCAUCUCGAGCAUCUUCAUGAUGAUGUUGUCGUUGUCAUGCUUGAGCUUGAUGUAGAUGUCAUUCGUCGUCGUCGUGCACAUGUUGCUUGGAGGUGACUUGCCCUUCAUGACGAGGUGGAUCAUGAACGUGAUGGUGGUCGCCAUGGAGAUGUAGACGAGGACGACUUGCGCUUGCAUCCUUUUUGCGCUUCGAAGACUUGUGACUUGAACGCCGCCGCCUUGAGGAUGACGAAGUGGAAGAAUGGAUGAUCAACAAGGUCCGAAUCUCUUCCAUCCUUGCAUCUUGCUCCUCCUUUUAUGCGGAAAGCUUGUUGUUGAUGUAGUUGUAUACGCCGUCGUUGUUGUGGAAGACCGGAGAUGAAAUGCCUUGCCUAUCCAUCACAAGAUUUGAGACAAUAUGAGUGGAGAAAGAGAAGAACGAAUACCAAAUGUACCUUGACCUAAGUUGAAAGUGGAUCAAUGAUCACUCCAAUGUGGACAAGGAAAUAGCACAAUUGGUACCAAUUCUUAUCCGUUUCUCACACCUACACAAGUAAGGCUUAUGGUGGAGCUCGGUGAGGAUAGUGGAACAAAAAUUUGAUGUAAAGUGUUAGCAAGAGUCAAUAAUGUUGAAAGAGAUUCACAAAUUCGCAAGUGUAACAAGUAGAUCAAUAGCAAUAUGUGGCACACGGAAACACGCACACGGAUAGAUAAAUGGGGUCGUGCAACCAAGGAUGAGCACAAAAUGUGGAAUCCACGGAAAACGCUCGUGUUGCACAGCUCAAGAGAGACGCUAGCACGAUUUCUCUAUAGGCGGAUACGACACUUGUGCACAACCUAUAAGAUGUGAAAUGUAUAACUUUCUAUCCCAAGUAUGCUAUGUGUAUGAUGUUCCGGUGGUAUGAUCCAAGAUGAUCGGAUAUGACAAUCUUAUGUGUAAUGUGGGAUGAUGCUAUGGCACUUGCUUACAAGCUCUUUGUUCACUCUUUUGCUUAAAAGCUUGUUCUCUUUUUUUUGUUGGCCACUUUGCGAAAUGCACAAACCAAGAUAGCAAUUGUAUAUAUGUGGGAACAAUCUUGAGGCACAAGGGAUGAUAUGAUGAUACCAAUAUGAUAUGGUAUGUAUGCAAUGGAAGGAUGGAUCACUAAUGUGCACAAGUAACGUUGCCGGCAAUACUCAAAUGGCUAGUCUCGAUAGGCAAGUAACGCAAAAUGUGCUAGGGGUUAACAAUGCAAUUGCAAGGGGAAUGUACAAUGGAGGGGUACCACGAUACCAAGAUGAUAUGGAGGUUACCGUCCGUGUCGAUGAUGAGUGGCGGUGAUCUUGAUGGAGAUACAAAGAUGAUGGAGACUCGUCCCUAAGUAGUCGAAACACCAUAGGAAACGGAAAAACCGCUAACUCAAAAUCUCAAACGUCAAAUGGUGGUAGCGGGAAGUGGUGGUGUUGCACUAGGCAAUGCGGAAGUGGUGGUGGACUAUACACGGUGUCGGAGUUGAAAGCACGGUCCCUAAGUAGCCGAAACACCUUAGGAGACACAACUCACAACACAAACAAAAUUGGUUUAAGUUGAGGUGGCGGAAGUGUAUGGUGGGCAAGGUUAUGCGGAAGUGGUGGUGGUGGUUGAUGAAGAAGCGACCAUCCCUAAGUAGCCUAGAAACCUUAGGAGACUCAAAUCACUCCUCAAGCAACCACUAAUGCGAUGGGUAACAAAAUUGAUUAGGUUGCGGAAGUCGGUGGUGGUGUAGUGGAUGAUGUGGUGGAAGCCCUAGGCAAACUUGCCAAAUUUCAGAAAAUUUGAUGGAGUCAAAUGAUGUUGGUGGUAUUUUUGUGGGAAGGAGGAUGUCAAGAGCUUUCCAACGAGCUAAAGAACGCGAAAAUCGGACUCCGGAUGAAUUAGUUAUGGCCGAAACAAAAACCAGCCGAAGUUGAUAUCUACAGGUAGCGGACGUCCGAAAAAAACGGUCGUCCGGUCGCCGGACGUCAGGUCGGGUCGGAAAUCCGCUGAUUCUGCUCGGGUUAGGGGGUUCCGGUCGUCCGGUAAGGUCAGACGUCCGGUGGUUCCUGUGGCUCCGAACGUCCGGUAAAGUGACGGUCGUCCGGUGGUCGGGGUCAACGCGAAAUUUCAAAUCCGGGACACGAUUUUGGGCGGAAAAUGGAGAUUUUGGGGUCAAAAUUGAUGAGAUUUCGUGGAUGAAAGAUGGGGAAACUUGGGGAGAUUCUAGAUCAACUCGAAACCAAGCAAAUCCAUGGAUCAAAAUCAACAAAACAUCAUCAAACCAACAAAUCACAAAAAAUGGGGCUAUGUGGGGAUUUUCGAAUUUAGGACGAAAUCAAGCAAAAGAAGGCUAGAAAAUGGUGGGGGAGGCUCCGAAAUCGUGAUCAACGUGGCUCAUGAUACCAAGAUGAUGUAGGGUAGAACCCUAGUGGCCCAAUCUUUCAUGAAAGGAGCGGAUCCCGCGAAGAACACAAGGAAGGAAACGAGGGGAAAAUCACGAGGGGGGCACAAGAGAACACUCAAACCAACAAGUAUGAUCACACAUGUGCUAGAUCCUCGAAACACAAAGAGAGAUACAAGAUCCAAAGUCAACAACGGACGAUACAAGAGGUAACCGGUUCUUCUCCGUGAGGAGGUCUUGAAUCCACAAGGGGAUCUUCCCUUAGAAAGGGGGCUUGAAUCCAAAGGGAUCUUCUCCGAAGAGGCCGCGGUCUCUCGCAAGGAGGAGAUCCGAUAUGGAUGAGCAUAGCUCUAUCUCUCAAAUGAGUUAAACCAAUGCUAACCUUCAAAUGGUGGAGGUGGAGGAGUAUAUAUAGUCUAGGGCCACGAAGGGGUAAGUGAAGGGGUACAUGGGCCUCAGCCCGCAACUGGACACAGCCAGGUACCGGACGUCCGCUGGGGACCGGUCGUCCGGUGGCUCGUGGGCGGCGGGACGUCCGGUAGGGGCCGGUCGUCUGCUCGUUCUGGCUCGGAUGCUGGUGUAGCGGAUUUCUGGUCUGGACCGGUCGUCCGGUCGCCGGUCGUCCGGUGGCGUCGGACAUCCGCUCGUUUGGCUCGGGUGCAGGGACACCGGUCGUCCGGUCUGGACCGGUCGUCCGGUGGAUCUUCAGGCGCCAGACGUCCGGACCCGACCGGUCGUCCGGUGGCUCGAGCUUCUUCGACAUAUCUUCUUCUUGCGUCUUCGUUUCCAUGCUUCCCUCGCGGAUGGUGUAGGUGUUCCUUGGCGCUUGCACUCCUCCACGUCGUUCGCAGCGUUCCGACAAUACCUAUGCAUGCACACGGGAGAAGUGUCAAGUAGUAUACCAUCCUCGAAGGGGUCAAGUGAGCACGUGUAAAGGAUAUGAUUCACCUUUGUGUAUGUGAAGUAGAGGUCGCACGUGUCACCUGCCAAACGGACUCUUGACAUGGUGAUGUCCCGUAGGAUGCUCCGCAUCAGAUGAGCUAUUGGUGGAACAACUAGUCCUUGAUAUAGGAUGCCUCUUCGCAUCCUUAUUGCGUACCCGGAUGACCACACGUCGCCCAAUGGCCAAUAGAUAUUGUGUAGACAGAGCAUAUCACCUACGUCUUAUUAGCAGCAAUCGUCUGUGUUAUUAUCGGUCUUCACACACAUUUAUGAUUAUAGACCUGUUUGCCGCGUAUCACACACAUCUUGUUAUAUUUAAUCGUUUUUCUUCUCUUGUCUCAACACAAAUAGUUCAUCCGAGUGAACCGCUGAUGUCUACUACGCAAAUUUAUUCUUGUAGACACGUGUUGGGCCCCCAAGCGUGGAGUUUUGUAGGACAGUAGCAAUUUUCCCUCAAGUGGAUGACCUAAGGUUUAUCAACCCGUGAGAGGUGUAGGAUGAAGAUGGUCUCUCUCAAACGACCCUGCAACCAAAUACAACAAAUCUCUUGUGUCCCCAACACACCCAAUACAAUGGCAAAUUGUAUAGGUGCACUAGUUCGGCAAACAGAUGGUGAUAACAGUGUAAUAUGGAUGGUAGAAAUAUAUUUUUAUAAUCUGAAUAAAUAAAAACAGCAAGGUAAAAAAAUAGUAAACGAGCACAAAAACGGUAUUGCAAUGCUUGAAAAUGAGGCCUAAGGUCCGUACUUUCGGUAGUGCAAUCUCUCAACAGUGCUAACAUAGUUGGAUCAUAUGAUUAUCCCUCAAAGUACAAUAAAGAAUCACUCUCGAGUUCCUGUUAGGCAAGAACAAAAGAUAGGAAUUGUUUACAGGGUACUAAACCACCUCAAAUCUAUUCUUUCCAUUCGAUUUAUUCAAGAGUUCGUACUAAAAUAACGCAAAGCUAUUUUUUCCAUUCGAUCUAUCCUAGAGUUUGUACUGGAAUAACACCAAAGCAUAUUCAUGUUCAUAAUACUCAAUCCACACAAAGAACUACAAGAGUGCCCCAAGAUUUCUACCGGAGAAACAAGGACAAGAACGUGCAUCAACCCCUAUGCAUAGAUUACGCCAAUGUCACCGCAGGAAUCCGCAAGUUGAGCGCCAAAACAUAUAUCAAGUGAAUCAAUACGAUACCCCAUUGUCACCACGAGUAUUCAAUUGCAAGACAUAUAUCAAGUGUUCUCAAAUCCAUAAAACUAUUCAAUCUGAUAACCACGAAAUCUCAAAGGGAAAAACUCAAUUCAUCCCAACAAGAUAGAGAGGGGAAAACACCAUAUGAUCUGACUACAUUAACAUAGCCCGCGAUACAUCAAGAUCGUGACAUCUCAAGAACAUGAGAGAGAGAGAGAGAUUAAACACAUAGCUACUGGUACAAACCCUCAGCCCCGAGGGUGGACUACUCCCUCCUCAGCAUGGUGGCCUCCGGGAUGAUGAAGAUGGCCACCGGAGAUGAUUCCCCCAUCCGGCAGGGUGCCGGAACGGGUCUAGAUUGGUUUUAGGUGGCUACAGAGCUCUACGGCGGCAGAACUUCUGAUCUAGGUUAACCCUGAUGGGUUUCGUAAUAUUUGGGAAUUUAUAGUGCAAAGUGGGGUGCGGAAGGCCACCGAGGUGGGCACAACCCACCUGGGCGCGCCAGGGGUCCUUGGUGUGCCCUGGUAGGUUGUCCCCCCCCUUGAGGCACCGCCCCCAGGUCCAGCUCUGGCCCAUCGGGUUCGUUUUGGUCCAAAAAGAUCUCCAAAAAGUUUCGCGGUGUUUGGACUCCGUUUGAUAUUGAUUUUCUGCGAUGUAAAAAACAAGCAAAAAACAGGAAGUUGCACUUGGCACUAGGUCAAUAGGUUAGUCCCAAAAAAUGAUAUAAAAUUGCUAUAAAAUGAUUGUAAAACAUCCAAGAAUGAUAAUAUAUUGGCGUGAAUACUUCAUAAAUUAUAGUCACGUUGGAGACGUAUCAGCAUCCCCAAGCUUAAUUCCUACUCGUCCUCGAGUAGGUAAAUGAUAAAAGAAAUAAUUUAUGAAGUGUAAAUGCUAGCAGAGUGCAUAGGUUUGAUUAAUGAUAAUUUCAAUCACUUUUCCUAGCAUCAUAACAAUAAUUCUUUCUUAUGAAACUACUCAUGUUAUAGUGGCAACCAAUUCAUGUGUUAAGGUUCAAACAAUGAAUUCUCUUGAAACCCAACAACCUAUGUUCUUAGUCACCAAGCAAUUGCAAUUCAACAUAUUCAAUGGAGUUUAAGUCCACAUACUCAACCAUCAUAUAGUCUUAUAUGAUUGCUAACACUCACCUUGUACACAUGAGCAAAACAUUUCAACCGGACACAUAGAAAGAUAGGGGCUUAUAAUUUCUCCUCCAAACGUAUUCACCUCAAGGUGAUGUUAACAAUAAUAACUCAUGCUACCCAUAUUCAACUGGACAUAUGCGCCUAGAUCUUUCCUCACCACAUUAUGCUUGCCAAAAGAGAAAAAUGAAAAGGAAUAAAGAGAAAAACUUUGACUCUUGCAUAAAAGUAAAUACUGAAAAGUAAAAGAUAGGCCCUUCGCAGAGGGAAGUAGGGAUUUGUAGACGUGCCAGAGCUCAAAGCGAAAAUUGAGAGAUAAAAACAUUUUGAGAGGCAUACUUUUCCCACCAACGAAAACGACUUAGAGCUCCCAAGACUUUCCAUGCUUGAUAUAUCAUAGGCAGUUCUCAAACAGAAAAUAAAGUUUAUUCCUUUUUCCACCAUACUUUCACUUUCCAUGGCUAACCGUAUCCACGGGUGCCCUCCAUACCAACACUUUUUAAGGAAUUUACUAUUUCACAAUAUAAAGUAAAUUCAUUUUUCAUUUCAGGACUGGGCAUCCCUAAUACCUUUGCCUUACUCUCGUGCAAUGACAAGUGAAUAAACACUCAUCGUGAGAAUAACACAUCUAGCAUGGAAAAUAUUGUCCACCCCUCACUGCCACGUGAGCGGUACGAGCACACAAAAGAGAAAUUUAUUUUGAAAAUUAGAGAUGACACAUACAAAUUUGCUUAGAACGGCAAAAGAAUACCACAUAUAGGCAGGUAUGGUGGACUCUUGAAAAUGAGAUUUGGGUUUAAGGGUUUUUGGAUGCACAAGUAGUAUCUCUACUUGGUGCGGAAUUUUUGGAAAGCAAAGAUGGGGGCAAGCACCACAUGUUGAAGGAUCUAUGACAAUAUAACUUCUAUGUGAAUAUGAACAAACAUAAACCUUUACAUUGUCUUCCUUGUCCAACAUCAACAAUUGUGGCAUAUAAUAUUUCGAUGGGGGCCCACAAUCACAAAAGAUUUCCAUGAUAGGGUAUUUGCAUGUGAAAGUUCUCUUCCUUAUAUUGUGAUUGUCAAGCCUCAAAAGACUUCACUUUCUAAACCCAAUGUGAAGCUACCAUUAGGCAUGAUAUGAUUUCAACUUCAUGAUAUUCAAUUCAUUCAACAAUUUACUCAUAGGAUAUAAGUGAAGCACGAGAGUAAUUCCGAAAAGAGCUUCAUUGACGGGAUGUAAAUGCCGCUUACUUAGCCUCCCUGGCAACUUGAUGCGGAGCAUCCCAUGAUCAUCCCCAUGGACGCACCUACACCUCCAAUGACACCAUUUGGACCAAUGACACGAGCCCAAGCCAAAGCUAUCGAAGAUAAGGUGAACUCACUCCUCUCCGAACUUCCACUUUCUAUGCGUGAGACAUGGCUACUACCUAAAGUCCGAGGUGUUGUGCAUGAUUAGGCACCAAGUGGACCCUCCCGAAGAUGCGCAUGAAGAUGUACAAGUCCCCAAGUCCACGGAUGAGGAGAACCAACGGAAGGAGCCAAGAGCAUCUCCCAGGCCCCGGACGUCCGGCCCCUGGAGCGUCUUCCACUAUAGAAACAUAGCCGCCGGAAGCUACACGCCCCGGACAUCCGUCCCCGGCAACCCGGACAUCCGGCCUCUCCCGAGCCCCCGAACAUCCGACCACUGACCCGGAAAUCCGGAUCCUCCGAACCCGAAGCAACAAAUGCCACCACUCCAGCCUAGACAUCCGGCCCCCCAGCCUGGACAUCCAACGUCUCCUGAAAGCCCGGACAUCCGGCCCGACCAGCCCGGACAUCCGGCCUCCCCUGUCUGCGUAGAGUGAAGGGUCGAGGCCCGUGUAUCCCUUCUCCCCCUAGACUAUAUAUACUCCACCCCAUACAACUUUCUAGGGUUAGCAAAGGAUUAGCUCAUAUUUUGUGUGAGAGCUUUGCUCAUCCACUUGGUUACCUUCUCCUUGGAGAUUCAAGCCUCCGUUGGAGAAGAUCUCCCAAGAGGAUUCAAGACUCCUCUUUAGGGAAGAACAUCAAUACCUCCUCACGGAGAAGAACCGGUUACCCUUUUGUAUCAUCCCUAGUUGAUCGUGGAUCGUGUAUCUUACUUUAUGUACUCAAGGAUCUAGCCCAUGUGUGACUUUUUCUUGUUAGUUUGAGUGUUCCUCUCGUGUUUCCCCUUGUGUUUCCCUCAUUCCCCUCUUUGUGUUCCUCGUGUUCUUCGUAGGAUCUGCUCCUUUCGUGAAAGAUCGGGCGAUUUGGGUUCUACCCUACAUCAUCUUGGUAUCAGAGCCACGUUGAUCACGAUUUCGGAGCCUCCCCAUUGUGUUUCUAGCCUAAUUUUUUUAUUUUUCAUCCUAAUCAAGAAAAUCCCCACCAAAAAUAGCCCCCAAUUUUUUUUGUGAUUUCUUGGUGUGUUGAGAUUUUGUUGGUUUGGAUCCGUGGAUUUGCUUUGUUUUGAGUGGAUCUAGCUUCCCAUCCAUUUUCCCCCAAUUUCCACCCACAAAUUCCUCCGAAUUUCUCCCGGAUUUAACCUCUCCACGCGGUGUUCAUCCACUCGUCCCCGGAUCUAGAGCCCGGAUAUCUGGCCCGUCAAGCCCGGACAUCCGGCCCCCGGACAUCCGGCCUUCCACCCGGACAUCCGACCCCUGGCAGCAACAUCUCCGUCCACCGCCCCGUUUUCCGCCCAAUUUCCACCAAAUUUUGUUCCGGUGCCCUCCAUAUACCAUAUACACUUCUGCAUACCUCCACCACUUCCGCAUAACCCAAUCAUUUUUGGACCGUUUCGCUCUCCGACUCAAUUGCUACUUUGAGGUUUGAGAAUUUGAGUUGUGGUCCGUAUCUUUUUUUUGUUUCAGCUUUCUAGGUACGGUUCGACAUCGAUAUCACCACCGCUCAUCUUCGCCACGGACGUGUCCUACAUCGUCAUCAAAAAUGACCACCUCGACUACACCUUGGUAUUCAUGCCACCAUUUUGACACCAUAUCGGAAGCAAGACCGGUAACCUCAUCUUGGUAUUGGACAUAUCACUCUUGCCAUUACAUUGAUAGCCAUCAUAGCCUUACUCAUUUGCGUUGCUUACCCAUCGAGACUAGCCAUUGAGUAUUGUCGGCAACAAGACUUGUGCACAUUAGUGAUCAUACUUCCCAUAGCAUACAUACAUCAUUGUUGCAUAUAUUGGUAUCAUCUCUUGUGUCACAAAGUUGUCAUCGCAUACUCAUUUGCUAUCUUGGUUCAUCAAGCAUUGCAUGAGAAAAGAGCUCAAACAUCAAAGAGCCAAACAAGCUUUUAAGCAAAGAGAAAAGAUAAGCAAAGAGCUUUUAAGCAAGAACCAUAGCAUCUUACAACAUUAAGAUUGUCAUACUCUAUCAUCUUGGAUCAUAUCAUAGCAACACCUUGUAUGGAACAUAUUUGGGAUAGAAGUCGUUGCAUUUUUGCUAAGUAGGUUGUGCACAAGUUCUUGUAUCCGCCUAUUGUGCAAUCGUGCUAGCGUCUCUCUAGUGUUGUGCAACAAAAGCAUUUUUGUGGAUUCCACAUUUUGGCUCACCCUUGGUUGCACAACCCCACUUAUCUUUUUGCGUGUGUAUUUCCGUGGACCUUAUAUGCUUGGUCUACUUGUUACAUUGCAUCUUGCGAAUCUUUUCCAACAUUAUUGAAGCUCACUUACAAUUGCAUCAAAUUUUUGUGCCACUGAUGAGGACAUCGAUACCAUUGUUACACCCACAUCCCCUGUUGCUAUACAUACUGGACCAAUUACUAGAGCUCGCGCACGCCAAUUGAAUUAUCAUGUACUUUCGUUUCUUGGUAACGAUUCUAAUGUUCAUGAGAAUAUGAUGCUGCCUAAAUUGGAUACAUUUGUGUUGCUUACAAAUGAAGGGCCUAGCUUGGACAAGAAAGAUGAACCUUGGAACAAGUUCAAGCAUGGAGAUGAUGGCAUGCGCAAGGGGAUCAAGAACGGAGUUACAAGUGAUGAUUUCAGGACUUUGAAGCCACCAUAAGGAGUGCAUGAAGACUUGGACGAAAUAUACAAGAUGCCACUUCAUAAAUUUUGUUCAGAGGCUAUUUUAGGUGCUGUGUCACCUUAUUAUUGGGCCAGGCCCAUGUAUUUUCGAAAAUACUUAAGUAUAGGCUGCUUUUAGAGUCCGUAUGUGUGGAGAAACAAGAGUUAGGGUUGGUUUCGGAUCCCUCCUCCAAGGGCCACAAAAUCCCCCCUCUUCCUCCAUAUAUACAGCCCUUAGGGCGUCGUUUAGACUUUGGUUUUGUUUAGAUUAAAAGUUCUCCAUAGCUGCAACUUCGCUUACUUCGUUUGUGUCCAACGACCAGACCAAGACGUCACAGAACCCCACCUUGAUCAAUAAAGCUUUCAUCUUAUAUUCGCAAUAUCCAUAUUGCAAUCUCAGUUUCUUGCUUGUUCUUUGUUUGCUCGCAGGAAACAGACCCUCGUGGUCAGGUUGAUCAUGCUCUGGCGUGGUCAAUAACCCCUCGGAAGUUGGUUUAGCGAUUUCUAAGGCGCGAUGUCUCACACGUUCGUAGUCGGAUCGUCAAGGUCGACUCCCACAGAAACGAUAGCCACCAUCUCAUCGAAAUAUCGAGACACCCUCGCAUCUAUCAAGUGGUAUCAGAUUUCCAGGUUGCUCGGUGAGAUUUUACAGUUUUUCGUAGUUUAGAUCGAGUCUGUUCUUCAUACCUACAGCCCAUGAAAAAAAGCCAACAAAAAUUAGGGUUUGUUCAUCAUAUCCGAACCAAUCUGAGCCUUUGCAUAAUCUUUUCAGUAUUUUGCUUUGAUGAAUUUGCGGUUGCAUCAUCGUGUCUAGUUGCUGGUCUUAGAGUCUAGUAUUUUAGAGUUUCGAGUUCUGGUCAUAAGUUGUCACGCCGCCGCCGCACCAUCAUCAUCGCCCCUUCCAUAUACCACCACCAAUCCAUCUCCAUAUACCAUCACCAAUCCGUAUCCAUAUACCACCACCGCUGCCAUAUCCUACCAUCAUAUACCCACCACCAAUCCAAGUUCCUUUCGUAUUAGGUUUGUUUUCGAGGUCCGUCUAAUUUCCGAUUCGUCUUUCCUUGCCUGAGUAGGUUUCGGAAGAAAAAGAGGAGUGCCAAAAAUUUUAGGCCAAAAUUUUCACAGGCAAAUAUAUUUUUUCCCUAUCCUAUUUUUAGGUUUUUCUGAGUCUUUUGAGCCACGUGCCAUCAUAGUGAUUUUUUAUUGCACUUUUUCAUCGUCACUGCCCUGAUUUUGAAAAAAAAAGUUUUAAAAAAAAUUCGUGCCCAUCUUGUCAGUUUGACGAGGGAAGAGUUUUGAGACACUCGCCAUUAUAGUGAUUUUUCGCAAAAAAAAGAGGAGCGCCAAAAAAGAGCGAAAACAAAGAUCCAGAGUGUGCUUUUCCCUUGUUUACGUGCAGCGCCGUGAUUUUUGUUAGUGUUCUAGGCUCGCGUCUCUAGCACGGUCUAGCCUAGGACCAGCACAGUACCAUCAUUGAGAGUUUGCUCAACUUUGCAUCUCUGAAUUGAUUAUUGCUGACCCUUUUUGCUACCAUAUUAUAAGCCUUCCCAGCUCCACAUACAUCUACGCCGUGCAUUUGACUCUCCCUGGUAAUCGCUCUAUCCAUGCUUUAAGAGUUUUGACUACGACGGUUGCCGAUCGCCGCCUGCUGCUGGGUAAGAACCAGUAAGAAUUUGAGAUUUUCUUGACGGAUUUGUGACAUCCACCACCACCUCUUGUUAGUAGUCUGUAGGAUCAUAUUCUUGUGUGUUUCUAUUGCUGCUAACCAUGGCAGGAUCACAAGUCAACGAGACUGACUAGGAGAACAUGGCAAAUAAGGAGUUGCAUGACAAAUUUCAGCAAAUGAUGAGUGGACAGGUGCAAGAUGUGCUAAACAGAUUUGAAGAGGCCAUGGAGAAGAUAGAUGGCAUGGAGAAGACGUUCGAAACAAAGCUCGAUAACAAGUUUAAUGAAUUUCUCGCGCGUCUUCCACCACCACCACCGGCUGCCCCUAACACACCUCUACAACAACAACAACAACAACAACAAUAACAACGUCGCUUUCCAAAUCAAGUGGGACGAGCACAACGCGUUCCCAUUAACCCUGGGCACAAUUCUGGUGCCACUGUUGAUGCUUCUGCCACUCCUGCUGCUACUGCAGAGGUGGAGGACCAUUACGAGGAUGAGGUUGACCAAAAUCAGAACUACGUGCAACCACCAGCACCACCACCAGCAGGUCGUCCUCAUGAAUAUCAUCGCAACGGUAGGUCUGCACCACCACCUGAGGUACAUGACCAUCUUCCUAAACUAAAAUUGAAUAUUUCACCAUUUGAGGGUAGAUAUGUUCCUGAUAUAUAUCUUAAUUGGGAGUUAGAAACUGAACAACGAUUUACAUGUUUACAAUAUCCUGAGGAGAGACGUGUUCCUGCUGUUGUUUGUGCUUUCACUAGCUUUGCAUGUGUUUGGUGGUCUGAACAUUGUAGAUUAUAUCAUAUUCCAGCUACUUGGGAUGCUUUGAAAACUGCUAUGCGUACUCGUUGGGUUCCACCAUAUUAUCAAUGUGAAUUACUUCAAAAAUUGUAGCGUUUAAGACAAGGAAAAAUUCUGUAGAAGAAUAUUAUCAGGAAUUACAAACUGGCAUGAUUAGAUGUGGUAUUGUUGAGGAGAAUGAAACUAUGCUUGCACAUUUUAUGGGUGGAUUAAAUAGAGAGAUUCAGACCAUUCUAGAGUAUAAGGAGUAUACUAAUAUCACUCAUUUAUUCCAUCUUGCUUGUAAAGCUGAACGUGAAGUGCAGGAUCGACAGGCAUUGGCACGAACUAACUUUUCUGCAGGUCGAUCUUCAUCAUGGACACCACGUGCAUCCUCUACUUCCACUCCACCAGCACCUCCAUCAGGUGCCACCUCCAGCCGUGAUACAAGAAAGCAGGCACAACCACCACUAUCUGCCAAGAGCACACCUGCCGGACCUGCGCAGAGCUCUUCUUCUUCCAUGGCAUCAACAGGGCACACAAGUGAUAUUGUUUGUCGUCGUUGUAAGGGAAGAGGACAUUUUGCGAGAGAAUGCCAAUCUCAGCGUGUGGUGAUUGCUACUGAGGAUGGUGGGUAUGAGUCCGCUAGUGACUAUGAUGAGGAGACUUUGGCUCUUAUUACACAUGAAGAACACAGUGGAGAGGAUUCUGAUCAUGAGACACAAUACAUGGCUGCUGAAGAUGCUGACAGGUAUGAAUAUUUCGUUGCUAAACGUGUUUUGAGUGUGCAUGUUACACAAGCUGAGCAAAAUCAGAGGCAUAAUCUGUUCCAUACAAAGGGAGUUGUGAAGGAACGUUCUGUUCACGUCAUCAUAUAUGGAGGGAGCUGCAAUAACUUGGCUAGCAUGGAGAUGGUGGAGAAGCAAUCUCUCACCACAAGACCACAUCCACAUCCUUACUACAUCCAAUGGUUCAACAACAGCGGCAAGGUUAAGGUAACACAUACUGUUCGUGUGCAUUUUAGUAUCUCUACAUAUGUUGAUUAUGUUGAUUGUGAUGUGGUACCUAUGCAAGCAUGUUCCUUAUUACUUGGUAGACCAUGGCAAUUUGAUAAAAAUUCUGUACACCAUGGUAGAAACAAUCAGUAUACUCUUGUUCAUAAGGAUAAAAAUAUUACUUUUCUUUCUAUGAGUCCUGAUUCCAUUUUGAAAGAUGAUAUUAAUAGAGCUAAUAAGGCAAAACAAGAGAAAAAUGAAAGUGAAAAUUAGAUUGUGGCAAAAGAAUUUGAGCAACAAAGGCAGCCUAAUAAUAAACCAUCUAGUGUUGCUUCUGAAAUUAAAUUGAAAAGUGCAUGUUUACUUGCCACCAAAUUUGAUAUUGAUGACUUAGAUUUUAGCAAAUCUGUUUGCUAUGCUUUUGUGUGCAAAGUGGCAUUAUUUUCAUUCGAGGACAUGCCUUCCUCUUUGCCUCCUGCUGUAACUAACAUUUUGCAGGAGUUCGCUGAUGUCUUUCCACAAGACGUGCCACCAGGAUUACCGCCUAUUCGGGGGAUUAAGCAUCAAAUUGACUUAAUUCCCGAUGCAUCAUUACCCAACCGUGCACCAUACCGUACCAAUCCAGAGGAGACGAAGGAGAUUAUGCGUCAAGUACAAGAAUUGCUCGACAAAGGUUAUAUACGUGAUUCCCUUAGUCCUUGUGUUGUUCCUAUCAUUUUAGUGCCGAAAAAGGAUGGUACGUCACGUAUGUGUGUUGAUUGUAGAGGCAUUAAUAAUAUUACUAUUCGUUAUCGUCAUCCUAUUCCUAGGCUAGAUGAUAUGCUUGAUGAAUUGAGUGGCUCUACAAUAUUCUCCAAAUUUGAUUUGCGUAGUGGAUACCAUCAAAUUCGUAUGAAAUUUGGAGAUGAAUGGAAAACAACAUUUAAAACUAAGUUUGGAUUAUAUGAGUGGUUAGUCAUGCCUUUUGGGUUAACUAAUGCACCUAGUACUUUCAUGAGGUUAAUGAACGAAGUUUUACGUGCUUUCAUUGGAUGAUUUGUGGUAGUUUACUUUGAUGAACUAUUGAUUUAUAGCAAAUCUUUGGAGGAACAUUUGGAACAUUUACGUGCUGUUUUUAUUGCUCUACGUGAUGCAUGUUUGUUUGGUAACCUUGGAAAGUGCACCUUUUGCACCGACCGAGUAUCUUUUGUUGGCUAUGUUGUUACUCCAUAGGGAAUUGAAGUUGAUAAAGCCAAGAUUGAAGCUAUUGAUAGUUGGCCGCAGCCCAAAACGGUCACACAAGUGAGGAGUUUCCUUGGCCUCGCUGGUUUCUAUAGGUGUUUUGUGAGAGAUUUCAGCACCAUUGCUGCACCUCUCAACGAGCUUAUAAAGAAGGAUGUGCCUUUUGUUUGGGGUACCGCAUAGGAAGAAGCCUUCACGGUAUUGAAAGAUAAGUUGACACAUGCUCCUUUACUCCAAAUUCCUAAUUUUAAUAAGACUUUUGAGCUUGAAUGUGAUGCUAGUGGAAUUGGAUUAGGAGGUGUGUUAUUACAACAUGGCAAACUUGUUGCAUACUUUUCUGAAAAAUUGAGUGGGCCUAGUCUGAACUAUUCUACUUAUGAUAAAGAAUUAUAUGCUCUUGUUCGGACCUUAGGAACAUGGCAACAUUAUUUAUGGCCAUAGGAAUUUGUUAUACAUUCUGAUCAUGAAUCUUCGAAACACAUUAAAAGUCAAGCAAAACUGAACCGUAGACAUGCUAAAUGGGUUGAAUUCAUUGAGACUUUCCCUUAUUUCAUUAAACACAAGAAGGGUAAAGAAAAUGUUAUUGCUGAUGCAUUGUCUCGUCGUUAUACUAUGCUUUCACAACAUGAAUUUAAAAUAUUUGGUUUGGAGACCAUCAAAGAUCAAUAUGUGCAUGAUGCUGAAUUUAAAGAUGUAUUGCAGAAUUGUAAGGAAGGGAUAACUUGGAACAAGUUCGUUCUUAACGAUGGAUUUGUGUUUCGUGCUAAUAAGCUAUGCAUUCCAGCUAGCUCCGUUCGUCUUUUGUUGUUGCAGGAGGCGCAUGGAGGACGAUUAAUGGGACACUUUGGCGUCAAGAAGAAAGAGGAUAUACUUGAUACACAUUUCUUUUGGCCAAAGAUGAGACGAGAUGUUGAGCAUUUUGUUGUUCGCUCGACUACAUGUCGAAAAGCUAAGUCACGACUCAAUCCUCAUGGUUUAUAUAUGCCUUUGCCUGUACCUAGUGUUCCUUGGGAGGAUAUAUCUAUGGACUUUGUUUUAGAUUUACCUCGAACAAAGAAGGGGAUGGAUAGCAUAUUUGUUGUCGUGGAUAGGUUCUCGAAAAUGGCACACUUUAUACCAUGUCAUAAAAGCGAUGAUGCUGUUAAUGUUGCUGAUUUGUUCUUUCGUGAAAUUAUUCGCUUGCAUGGUGUGCCAAAUACUAUUUUUUUUCAGAUCGUGAUACUAAAUUUCUUAGCCACUUUUGGAGAUGUUUAUGGGCUAAGUUGAGGACUAAACUGCUUUUUAGUACUGCUUGUCACCCCCAAACUGAUGGACAAACUGAAGUAGUCAAUAGAACAUUGUCUACUAUGCUUAGGGAUGUUUUGAAGAAUAACAAGAAAAUGUGGGAAGAAUGCUUGCCUCAUAUUGAAUUUUCUUAUAAUAGUUCAUUGCAUUCUAUUACUAAGAUGUGCCCUUUUGAAAUUGUGUAUGGUUUCCUACCUCGUGCAUCUAUUGAUUUGUUGCCUCUUCCAUCUUCGGAGAAGGUUAAUUUUGAUGCUAAAGAACGUGCUGAAUUGAUUUUAAAAAUGCAUGAUUUAACUAAGGAAAACAUUGAGCGUAUGAAUGCUAAAUAUAAACUUGCUAGAGAUAAGCGUAGAAAACAUGUUGUGUUUGCACCUAGAGAUCUUGUUUGGUUACAUUUGCGUAAGGAUAGAUUUCCUAAUUUGCACAAAUCAAAGCUAAUGCCACGUGUUGAUGGUACUUUUAAGGUGUUAGAGAAAAUAAAUGAUAAUGCAUAUAAACUUGAGCUGCCUGCAGAUUUUGGGGUUAGUCCCACUUUUAACAUUGCAGAUUUGAAGCCUUAUUUGGGUGAGGAUGAUGAACUUUCGUCGAGGACGACUUCAUUUCAAGAAGGGGAGGAUGAUGAGGACAUCGAUACCAUUGUUACACCCACAUCCCCUGCUGCUAUGCAUACUGGACCAAUUACUUGAGCUCGCGCACGCCAAUUGAAUUAUCAGGUACUUUCGUUUCUUGGUAAUGAUUCUAAUGUUCAUGAGAAUAUGAUGCUGCCUAAAUUGGAUACAUUAGUUUUGCUUACAAAUGAAGGGCCUAGCUUGGACAAGAAAGAUGAACCUUGGAACAAGUUCAAGCAUGGAGAUGAUGGCAUGCGCAAGGGGAUCAAGAACGGGGUUACAAGUGAUGAUUUCAGGACUUUGAAGCCACCAUAAGGAGUGCAUGAAGCCUUGGACGAAUAUACAACAUGCCACUUCAUAAAUUUCGUUCACAGGCUAUUUUUGGUGCUGCGUCACCUUAUUAUUGGGCCAGGCCCAUGUAUUUUCGAAAUACUUAAGUAUAGGCUGUUUUUAUAGUCCAUAUGUGUGGGGAAACAAGAGUUAGGGUUGGUUUCGGACCCCUCCUCCAAGGGCCACGAAAUCCCCCCCCCUCUUCCUCCAUAUAUACAGCCCUUAGGGCGUCGUUUAGACUUUGGGUUUUGUUUAGAAUAAAAGUUCGCCAUGGCUGCAACUUCACGUACUUCGUUUGUGUCCAACGACCAGACCAAGAUGUCACAGAACCCCACCUUGAUCAAUACAGCUUUCAUCUUAUAUUCGCAAUAUCCAGAUUACAAUCUCAGUUUCUUGCUUGUUCUUCAUUUGCUCGCAGGAAACAGGCCCUCGUGGUCAGGUUGAUCAUGGUCCGGCGUGGUCAAUAACCCCUCGGAGUUGGUUUAGCGAUUGCUAUGGCGCGACGUCCUCACACGUUCAUAGUCGGAUCGUCAAAGUCAACUUCCUCUAAAAUGAUAGCCACCAUCUCAUCGAAAGACGGGACACCUUUGCCUCUAUCAAGUGGUAUCAGAUUUCCAGGUUGCUCGGUGAGAUUUUACAGUUUUUCGUAGUUUAGAUUGAGUCUGUUCUUCGUACCUAUAGUCCACGAAAAAGCCAAAAAAAAUUUAGGGUUAGUUCAUCCUAUCCGAACCAAUAUGAGCCUUUGCGUAAUAUUUUCUGUAUUUGCUUUGUUGAAUUUGCGGUUGCAUCAUCGUGUCAAGUUGUUGGUCUUAGCGUCUAGUCCUUUAGAGUUUCGAGUUCUGUUCACAGGUUGUCAGGUCGCCGCUGCCAUAUAUCACCACCGCAUCAUCAUCAUCGCUGCUGCCACAUGUCACCACUGCAUUAUCAUCAUCGCUGCUGCCAUAUACCACCACCACACCAACUUCAUCGUUGCUGCCAUAUUCACCACCACAUAUUCACCACCAAUACGAGUCCACCUGCAACAUAUAUCCGCCACCAGUCUGAUUUCCACCAGAUUCAUCGCUGCAACCAGUCCGAGAUUCCACCAGAUUCAUCUCCGCCACCAGUCCUAGUCCGAGUCCAGUAUUUGUUGCUUUGUUUUCGAGUUCCAGAUCACGCCAUACUCCAAGUCGUGACAAAGUAGGACUCCUGAGUUUCCGUGCUACCCGCAGUAGAAAAAUAGUUCCAAACUCCAAAAAAACUAAGUCUGGAAAAUUCUGGCUAGGCAGUUUUUAGACCAUUUGUAGACUUUCUCGAAAAAAAUUUGUUGCAGAGCAAAACAAACAAAAAAAGAGGAAAAAUUGCAAAAAAAAAGUGAAAAAAAGAAGAAGAAAAAAUUCAGAGCGUGCUCCUCCCUUGUUUACGUGUAGUGCCGUGAUUUUGUUAGUGUUCUAGGCUCGCGUCUCUAGUACGGUCUAGCCUAGGAGCAGCAUAGUAUCGUUGUUGACCGUUUAUUCAACUUUGCAUCUCUGAAUUGAUUAUUGCUGACCCUUUUUGCUACCAUAUUAUAAGCCUUCCCAGCUCCACAUACAUCUACGUCAUGCGUUCGACUCUCCCUGGUAAUCGCUCUAUCCAAGCUUUGAGAGUUGUGACUAUGACGGUUGCCGAUCAUCGCCUGCUGCUGGGUAAGAACUGGUAAGAAUUUGAGAUUUGCUUGAUAGACUUGUGACAUCCACCACCACCUCUUGUUAGUAGUCUGUAGGAUCAUAUUCUUGUGUGUUUCUAUUGCUGCUAACCAUGGCAAGAUCACAAGCCGACGAGGCUGACUGGGAGAACAUGACGAAUAAGGAGUUGCAUGAUAAAUUUCAGCAAAUGAUCAGUGGAUAGGUGCAAGAUGUGCUAAACAUAUUUGAAGAGGCCAUGGAGACGAUAUAUGGCAUGGAGAAGACGUUCGAAACAAAGAUCGAUAACAAGUUUAAUGAAUUGCUCGCGCGUCUUCCACCACCACCAUCGGCUGCCCCUAACGCACCUCUACAACAACAACAAUGUCGCUUUCUAAACCAAGUGGGACGAGCACAGUGCAUUCCCAUUGACCCUGGGCAAAAUUCUGGUGCCGCUGUUGAUGCUUCUGCCGCUCCUGCUGCUACUGUAGAGGUGGAGUACCAUUACGAGGAUGAGGUUGACCAAAAUCAGAACUAUGUGCAACCACCAGCACCACCACCACCAGGUUGUCCUCAUGCAUAUCAUCGCAACGGUAGGGCUGCACCACCACCUGAGGUACAUGGCCAUCUUCCUAAACUAAAAUUGAAUAUUUCACCAUUUGAGGGUAGAUAUGUUCCUGAUAUAUAUCUUACUUGGGAGUUAGAAACUGAACAACAAUUUAUAUGUUUACAAUAUCCCGAGGAGAGACGUGUUCCUGCUGCUGUUUGUGCUUUCACUAGCUUUGCAUGUGUUUGGUGGUCUAAACAUUGUAGAUUAUAUCCUAUUCCAGCUACUUGGGCUGCUUUGAAAACUACUAUGCAUACUCGUUGGGUUCCACCAUAUUAUCAACGUGAAUUACUUCAAAAAUUGCAGUGUUUACGACAAGGAAAAAUUCUGUAGAAGAAUAUUAUCAGGAAUUACAAACUGGCAUUAUUAUAUGUGGUAUUGUUGAGGAUAAUGAAGCUAUGCUUGCAUGUUUUAUGGGUGGAUUAAAUAGAGAUAUUCAUACCAUUCUAGAGUAUAAGGAGUAUACUAAUAUCACUCGUUUAUUCCAUCUUGCUUGUAAAGUUGAACGUGAAGUGCAGGAUCGACAGGCAUUGGCGAGAACUAACUUUUCUGCAGGUCGAUCUUCAUCAUGGACACCACGUGCAUCCUCUACUUCCACUCCACCAGCACCUCCAUCAGGUGCCACCUCCAGCCGUGAUACAAGCAAGCAUGCUCAACCACCACUAUCUGCCAAGAGCACACCUGCUGGACCACGAUAACAACCCUCCGCACCAAGAGCACCACGAGUUGCACAAUCAUCAAAAACAGGGGCAUCAUCAUCCCCCACCCCAACACAAUGAAGAGCAACGUUAUGGCAAACUCAAGUUCACCAUGCCCAAGUUCAACGGAAGCACCGAUCCCGAAGAGUACCUUUCAUGGGCAUUGAAGGUUGACAAGAUCUUCCGUUUGCACAAUUAUGAAGAAGAGAAGAAGAUCGUGAUGGCAUCCCUUGAGUUCCAAGACUAUGUCCUCAUUUGGUGGGAACAAAUCAUAGAGCGCCGAGAGGCAAGAGGUGAACCAUCCAUCACUACUUGGGCGCAAAUGAAGGAUGUCAUGAGAGCACGCUUUGUGCCUACCUACUACAACCGCGACCUCUUCAAGAAACUCCAACAACUCAAGCAAGGAACAAAGAGUGUUGAAGAAUAUUACAAGGAUAUGUAGAUUGCAAUGAUAAGAGCCAAUGUCACGGAAGAUGAUGAGCAAACAAUGGCACAUUUAUUGAAUGGACUCAAUCAUCCCAUCAAGAAGAUCGCCUACUUCCAACCAUACUCAAAUCUCAUCGAGCUAGUGCACCAAGCUACCAAAGCGGAACGCCAAGUGCAAGAUGAUUUUUCAAGUAUGCCAAGUUCUCAUCCAAGUUCUACGGCUUCUCAAACAACCAAGCUUCAACGACUCCAACACCGACUACAAAGCCUUCUACUUCCAACAUCGACAAGUCGACUUCCAACAAAGCUUCGUCAACUACAAGCCAUCCUACCACAGGCAACUUCAAGCCGAGAGCUUCAUCAUCAUCAACCCCAACCGAUGAGACCAUCAAGACGAGUUCCUUCAAGUGUUUCACUUGCGGAGGCCGAGGCCACAAGUCCUAUGAGUGCACCAACAAGCGAACCAUGGUCUUCAAUGACGAUGGCACUUAUGACUCCAUGAGCGAAGGCGAAAUGGAAGCCCUCGAGAAAGUCGCCAUGCACCACCAAGUGAACAAUGAAUAAGAACAAGUCUUUUGUGAUGAAGACUCAAGUCCCGCACUUGUUGUCUCCAAAGUCUUGACUCUCCAACAUCACCAAGAAGAAGACCAACGAUGCCACAUAUUCCACACCAAGGCUGGCAUCAAUGGACGAUCCGCCAAAGUCAUCAUCGAUGGAGGGAGUUUUCAUAAUCUCACAAGUGAAGAACUUUGAUCCAAGCUCCAAUUGCCCAAGAUGAAGCAUCCUUAUCCAUACAAAGUGCAAUGGCUCAGUGACUCUGGCACCAUCCAAGUCGAGCACCGAGUACAAGUCUCCUUCAAAAUUGGCGCCUACAAAGACACCUUGGAGUGCGACGUCGUUCCUAUGACCGUUUGUCAUCUUCUCCUUGGACGGCCAUGGCAAUUCGAUAGAGGAGUCGUCCACAAUGGCCCAAUGAACCACUACAUCUUCAAGAUAAAGGGCAAGGAGUACGUCCUCCGUCCAAUGUCGCCAAGUCAAGUGAUCGCCAACAAGCAAGCCACCCAUCGUGGAGAUCAUAGUGAGAGAGCGAGCCACCAAAAAGAGAGUGAGCGCCACAAGCCAAAAUUGAGUGCCUCCAUGAUGAACGAAAACAAGAAACUAGUUCUUUUUGCCACCAAACGUGAGAUAAGAGAAGUGUGUGAGAACCCAUCUAGUGUCCUACACUUCGUCCUCGUAUGCAAGGACAAUGCACCACAAACUAACACUUCUCACACUCUUCCUCUAGUGUUGUCUUCUCUUUUGCAGGAAUUUCAAGAUGUUUUCCCCGAUGAGCUACGUCCGGGUCUACCUCCUCUACGAGGCAUUGAGCACCGAAUCGACCUCAUCCCCGAAGCACCUCUUCCGAACAAAGCUCCAUACCGUGUCAAUCCCGACUAAACAAAAGAAAUAAAAAGACAAGUAAAGCAUCUCAUAGACCAUGGACAUGUGUGUGAAAGUUUGAGCCCUUGUGCCAUUCCGGUCAUUCUUGUGCCAAAACGUGAUGGUAGUUUUCGCAUGUGCUCCGAUUGUAGACCUAUCAAUGCUAUCACCAUUCUCUAUAGGUAUCCCAUUCCACGCCUAGAUGAUAUGCUUGAUGAGCUUAGCGGUGCCACUAUAUUUUCAAAAAUUUAUCUUAAGAGCGGUUACUAUCAAAUCCGCAUACAAGAGGGUGAUGAGUGGAAAACCGCCUUCAAAACCAAGUUUGGUUUGUAUGAGUGGUUAGUCAUGCCUAUGGGUCUUUCGAAAGCACCGAGCACUUUUAUGCGCCUUAUGAAUCAUGUCUUUCGCCCUUACAUUGGUAUAUUUGUUGUGGUCUACUUUGAUGACAUUCUUGUGUUUAGCAAAUCUAUCAAAGAGCAUGUCACCCAUGUCCGCACCAUUUUGCAAACUCGUAGAAAAGAGCGCCUCUAUGCUAAUAUGGAGAAAUGCCUUUUUGGUGUUGAUAAGCUCGUUUUCUUGGGUUUUGUUGUUUCUUCUAAGGGUGUUCAUGUUGAUGAGUCCAAGAUCAAUCCUAUUAAGACUUGGCCGCAACCAACCAACUUGCAUCAAGUGUGUAGUUUUCUUGGCCUUGCAGGUUUCUACCGUCACUUUCUGAAGGAUUUUAGCACCAUUGCUUCGCCUUUGCAUGCUUUGAGCAAGAAGAAUGCGCCUUUUGUUUGGGGACCAUCCCAAGAUACCGCUUCCAAUGAGCUUAAGAACUUGCUUACUCAUGCUCCCGUGCUUGCCUUACCCAACUUUGACAAACCUUUUGAGAUUCAUUGCGAUGCUAGUGGUAAUGGCAUAGGGGGUGUGUUAACGCAAGAGAAGCGCCCCAUAGCUUACUUUAGUGAGAAACUUUCCGGAGCGCAACUCAAUUACCCCAUAUAUGACAAAGAGCUAUAUGCUUUAGUCCGCAUUUUGCAUGAAUGGGAACAUUACCUUCGUCCCCAUGAGUUUAUCAUUCAUACCGAUCAUGAGACCCUCAAGUAUCUUACGGGUCAAACCAAGUUGAACAAGCGUCAUGCUAAAUGGAGUGAAUUUAUUGAGUCUUUUCCUUAUGUCAUCAAGUACGUCAAGGGUAAAGAAAACAUCGUAGCGGAUGCUCUUUCCCGCAUAUGCAUGCUUGUCAUGCAACUUGAGUUAGAUGUCAUUGGCUUCGAGCAUCUCAAAGACUUGUAUGAGCAUGAUGCAACUUUUGCUACUCCUUAUGCCAAGUGUUUGUCGAAUACAUCUUGGGAACGCUAUUACAUUAAAGACGGAUAUCUUAUGAGAGCUAACAAACUUUGAUUCCCGAGUCCUCUCUCCGUUUGUUGAUUUUGCAGGAACCUCAUGGAGGAGGCUUAAUGGGACAUUUCGGACGCGACAAGACAUUCGCCACGCUCUUGAAGAACUACUUUUGGCCCAAGAUGUUUAGGGACAUCAAUCGUUUUACCAACCGAUGUUCUACAUGUCGCAAAGCUAAGUCCAAAGCUCAAUCUCAUGGCCUCUAUAUGCCCCUACCAAUUCCAUACCAACCAUGGGAAGACAUUAGCAUGGACUUUGUACUUGGUUUGCCUAGGACUCGAAAUGGGAAAGAUUCCAUAUUUGUCGUUGUGGACCGUUUCUCAAAAAUGGCACAUUUUAUUCCUUGCAACAAGAUAGACGAUGCUUCACAUGUUGCUAAUAUCUUUUGUAGGGAAAUAUUGCGUCUCCAUGGCGUUCCAAAGACUAUCGUCUCGGACCGCGACGUCAAGUUCCUUAGCUAAUUUUGGAAGACCCUGUGCGCCAAGGUCGAUAUCAAGCUACUCUUCUCCAUGGUGUACCAUCCUCAAACCGACCAAAUGGAAGUGACAAACCACACACUCUUCGCUCUCCUUCGAGUACUCAUCAAGAAAAACAUCAAGGAGUGGGAGGAGUGUCUACCCAUCGUCGAGUUCAACCGAGCGAGACACUCAACAACCGGCAAGUACCCUUUCGAGGUCGUCUACGGAUUCAACCCUUUGUCACCAAUGGAUAUUCUCCCUCUACUACUCCAAGAGCGCAUCAAUUUGGACGCAAGUGCACGAGCGACCCAUCUCAAGAAGGUGCAUGAAGAUACAAGAAACACCAUCGAGCGCCAAGUACAAUGCCUUGCGACCAAGCUCAACAUCUACAAGCACCCUAUGAUAUUCAACAUUGGAGACCUUGUGUGGCUACACCUCCGCAAGGACCGCUUUCCCCAAGAACGCAAGUCCAAACUUCGACCAUGCACGGAUGGACCAUUCAAGGUGCUUGCACGCUAUAACAACAACGCAUACAAGAUCGACAUCCCUCGUGACAAGUACUCCGUGAGUGACAUCUUCAACAUCAAAGAUCUCUCGCCCUACCAUGGUGAUGAGGAUUUCGAUCCGAGGACGGAUCUUCCCCAAGGGAGGGGAGAUGAUGCGGAGCAUUCCAUGAUCAUCCCCAUGGACGCACCUACACCUCUAAUGACACCAUUUGGACCAAUGACACGAGCCCGAGCCAAAGCUAUCGAAGAUAAGGUGAACUCACUCCUCUCUGAACUUCCACUUUCUAUGCAUGAGACAUGGCUACUACCUAAGUCUGAGGUGUUGUGCCUGAUUAGGCACCAAGAGGACCCUCCUGAAGAUGCUCAUGAAGAUGUACAAGUCCCCAAGUCCACGGAUGAGGAGAACCAACGAAAGGAGCCAAGAGCAUCUCCCAGGCCCCGGACAUCCGGCCAAGUCCCCGGACGUCCGGCCCCUGGAGCGUCUUCCACUACAGCAUCAUAGCCGCCGGAAGCUACAGGCCCCGAAUAUCCGGCCCCGGCAACCCGGACAUCCGGCCUCUCUCGAGCCCCCGGACAUCUGGCCACCGGCCCAGAAAUCUGGCUCCUCCGAACCUGAGAGCAACAAAUGCCACCACUCCAGCCCGGACAUCUGCCCCCCCAGCCCGGACAUCCGGCGUAGCCUGAAAGCCCAGACAUCCGGCCUGACCAGCCUGGACAUCCGGCCUCCCUGUCUGCGUACAGUGAAGGGUUGAGGCCCGUGUAUCCCAUCUCCCCCCUAGACUAUAUAUACUCCACCCCGUACAACUUUCUAGGGUUAGCAAAGGAUUAGCUCAUAUUUUGUGUGAGAGCUUUGCUCAUCCACUUGGUUACCUUCUCCUCGGAGAUUCGAGCCUCCACCGAAGAAGAUCCCCCAAGCGGAUUCAAGACCCCACUUUAGGGAAGAACAUCAAGACCUCCUCACGGAGAAGAACAGGUUACCCUUUUGUAUCGUCCCUAGUUGAUUGUGGAUCAUGUAUCUUACUUUAUGUACUCGAGGAUCUAGCCCAUGUGUGACUUGUUCUUGUUAGUUUGAGUGUUCCUCUCGUGUUUCCCCUUGUGUUUUCCCUCGUUCCCCUCUUUGUGUUCCUUGUGUUCUUCACGGGAUCCGCUCCUUUCGUGAAAGAUCGGGCGAUUAGGGUUCUACCCUACAUCACAACUAUUCGAGGACUAUAUUUUAUUUAAAGAUUUUCAGAUCUAAGUACUUUAUUAAAAUAGCAAGUAAAACAAAAUAAAUGACAUUCCAAGAAUAGCACACAUCAUGUGAAGAAGCAAAAACUUAGGCUCAACCGGGGUGUGACGCCCCCGAUUUGACCAUACACUAAUCAUACACGCAAAUGUGUACGACCAAGAUCAGGGACUCACGAGAAGAUAUCACAACACAACUCUAGACACAAAUAAAAUAAUACAAGCUUUAUAUUACAAGCUAGGGGCCUCAAAGGCUCGAAUACAUAAGCUCGAAAACGCAGGAGUCAGCGGAAACAACAAUAUCUGAGUACAGACAUAAGUUAAACAAGUUUGCCUUAAGAAGGCUAGGAUAAAAGUAGCAACGAUCGAAAAGGCAAGGCCUCCUGCCUGGGACCUCCUAACUACUCCUUGAAGCUGAACUCCAUGUAGAAUCAUCCUCGGGAUCCUCUGGCUCCUGGACUCCAUCAUAAAAUCGCAGUAACCGAGAAAAGGGGAAAAAGAAGUAGGAAAGCAAUCGUGAGUACUCAUCCAAAGUACUCGCAAGCAAGGAUCUACACUACAUAUGCAUUGGUAUCAAUGAAAUGGGUAGUAUAUGUGGACUGAACUGCAGAAUGGCAGAAUAAGAGGGAGGUAGCUAGUCCUAUCAAAGACUACGCUUCUGGUAACCUCCAUCUUACAGCAGAAGAAGAGAGUAGAUGGUAAGUUCACCAAGUAUCACCGCAUAGCAUAAUCCUACCCAGUGAUCCUCCCCUUGUCGCCCUAUGAGAGAGCGAUCACCGAGUUCUAUCUGGCACUUGGAAGGGUGUGUUUUAUUAAUUAUCCAGUUCUACUUCUCAUAAGGUCAAGGUACAACUCCGGGUCGUCCUUUUACCGAGGGACACGGCUAUUCGAAUAGAUAAACUUCCCUGCAGGGGUGCACCACAUUUCCCAACACGCUCGAUCCCCUUUGUUUGGACACACUUUUCUGGGUCAUGCUCGGCCUCGAAAGAUCAACACGUCGUAGCCCUACCUAUGCACAACAGAGAGGUCAGCACGCCGGUCUAAAUCCUAUGGCGCAGGGGUCUGGGCCAAUCGCCCAUUGCACACCUGCACGUUACGUACGCGGCCGACGAGCAGACAAAGCCUCCCUUAUACAAGAGCAGGCGUUCCAGUCCAACCCGGCGCGUGCCGCUCAGUCGCUGACGUCACGAAGGCUUCGGCUGAUACGACGAUGUCGAGUGCCCAUAACUUAUCCCGCGUAGUUGGUUAGUGCGUAUAGGCCAGUGGCCAGACUCAGAUCAAAUACCCAAAUCUCGUUAAGCGUGUUAUUUUGAAAUAUCCGCGGACGCCGACCAGAACCAGGCCCACCUCUCUCCUAGGUGGUCUUAACCUACCCUGUCGCGCCGCCACAUAGAUCCACUCAGAGGGCCGUCGGGACAAAUGUCCUUUCGGACCCAAUCCAUGAAUCACUCGCGGGUACUCUACGAGCCGACCCAACUUUAGUCAGCACAAGUAUCAUAUAAUAUGUAUAUAAGUAUAUGCACGUGAUCACCUCCCGAGUGAUCACGGCCCGAUAGUAUAGCAUGGCAGACAGACAAGAAUGUAGGGCCACUGAUGAUAAACUAGCAUCGUAUACUAAGCAUUUAGGAUUGCAGGUAAGGUAUCAAUAACUUUAGCAACAAUAGCAGGCUAUGCAACAGAAUAGGAUUAUCGAAAAGAAGUAACAUGCUACAUUACUCUAAUGCAAGCAGUAGAGAGAAGAAUAGGCGAUACCGGAUUGAUCAAGGGGGGGGGGGCUUGCCUGGUUGCUCUGGCAAGAAGGACGUGUCGUCAACACCGUAGUCAAACUGGGGGUUGCCAGCAGUCUCGGGGACUAUCGGAAAGAAGUAACGGAGGGGGAACACAAUAAAUAGCAGAGCAAUCAAAGUAUCACAAAGCGAGACGCGUCAAUACGUUGUGCUAGGGGUGACCUAACGCACGGAUAGGUGAUACCGGCAAAGGGGAAAACAUCCAGGAAAGUAUUCCCGACGUUUCACGUUUUCGGACAGACAGAUCGGAGGGGGAAAGUUGCGGGUUUGCUAUGCUAGGGAUGUGUGGCGGACGAACGGGCUGCGUAUUCGGAUUUGUCUCAUCGUUGUGAGCAACUUUCAUGUAUAAAGUAUUUUCAUCUGACUUACGAUUUAUUUUAUAUGAAUUUCAAAGUUUUAUUGCAUUUAGUGAAUUUAUUAACAAAUUGGAAAUAAUAGCAAAAUGCUAGAUGCACCCAUUGGGUACACAGCCAGAGAGACUGACUGGUGGGCCUGGUCAACUGUUGACUCAGCAGUCAACAGUUGACCGGUCAACUGUCAACAGAACAUGGUGGGGUCCCGCAUGUCAUAUGCUAUACCUAUAAACAAAUAAAUAAAACAAAUCUAAUUAAUAGGGGACCAAACAUCAUCUAUUGUUAGACUAAUUUACCACUAACUAACCAAGCUCUAAUAAACAAGGGUCGUCCUAAUUGCACAGCUAGCCUUAUGGGUGUGCACACAAACGCACACAUAGCGCAUGACCAUGCUUGGACGGGGCAAGCUCUCUGCUAGUCAUGGGUUUCUUCGGUACCUUAUAAGCCAGUUCAGUUUCGUUAGUUAUUUGUUCAGCAAACAACUUUGCAGAUAUGCGCUAGGAAGACCAGCAAACAGCAGCGGCAGCAGUUAAGGAAUAGCGGCGGCGGCAGUAGCUAUGCAUCCAUAGUAGUAACAAGAAGCAGCAUGCAUCCGUAGUAGUAACAAGAAGCAGCAGUAGGAAGCAAGCAACAGCAGCAGAGUUUCAACGACAAUAGCGGUAAAGGUAGUAGGCAGCGGGCGCGCACAGGCAAGGGCGGUUGCGGGCGCAACGCACGACGAAGAAAGCGACAGGGUGCGGCCAGGGGAUGGCCAGUGCGCGGCCGAACGCGGCUUGGGGGCGCAGCAGGGCGCGUACAAGGCAUCGCGACACGAGGCACGGGCGCGGACCGCGGCCAACGGCCGGAGCUUGGGCGGCGCGGGGCGGCGGCAAACGGCGUUGGAGAGAGGGGAAAAAGAGGGAACGGGCGGAGGCUCACCCCGGGGAGGCCCUCGAUGAGCUUGCUGAGGCCGGGAGGCGCAGGCGUAGGAGAUCAACGGCGAAUGGCGGGCGGCCGUGCACGGAGAAGAUAGUCGAUGGCGGCGCACGGGGCACUCCUAGCUUGAGACCUUAGUCUCGGGCGAAGGAGACGGCGAUGGAGGAGCCCCUGGACGUAUUAUAAAGCGUCGGGGAGGCCAGUGGCCAUGACGACGACAGCCACCAUGGCGAGCAGCUCGGGCACGAAUAAAUUUUGAGGGAGAGUGAGGAAGCGAGGGGAUAGCGAGGGCUAGGGCUCUGUAAAGCCCCAUGACCGAUGUGCCAGGUGUCGUCCAGUUAUUUGAUGUUGUCUCCUUGUCUUUUGCUUGCGUGUCAUGCAUUUCAUAUCAUGUCAUCAUGUGCAUCACAUUUGCAUACAUGUUCGUCUCAUGCAUCCGAGCAUUUUCCCCGUUGUCCGUUUUGCAUUCCGGCGCUCCUAUGUCAUCCGGUGUCCCUUUCUACCUCUUUUCGUGUGCGGGUGUUAAACGUUUUCGGAUUGGACCGAGACUUGUCAUGCGGCCUUGGUUCACUACCGGUAGACCGCCUGUCCAGUUUCGUGCCAUUUGGACUUCUUUAAUACUCCAACGGUUAACCGAGGAACCGUAAAGGCCUCGUUUGUGUUGCAGCCCAACACCCCUCCAAAGUGGCCCAAAACCCACCUAAACCCCCUCCAUCAUCUUGGUCGUUCAAUCACGAUCGCGUGGCCAAAAACCGGACCUCAUUUGGACUCUCCUACCUCCCUCUACCUAUAAAUAUGUGCCUCUCUCCGAAAUUCUCGCGCAGACAAACCCUAGAUCCAACUCCCUCCGCGCCGGCAGAAAUUUCUUCCCGCGCCGGACAUGUCCGCUCACCGCCGCCACCUCACUCCGACCAAUCAGAGCAUGACACGNNNNNNNNNNNNNNNNNNNNNNNNNNNNNNNNNNNNNNNNNNNNNNNNNNNNNNNNNNNNNNNNNNNNNNNNNNNNNNNNNNNNNNNNNNNNNNNNNNNNNNNNNNNNNNNNNNNNNNNNNNNNNNNNNNNNNNNNNNNNNNNNNNNNNNNNNNNNNNNNNNNNNNNNNNNNNNNNNNNNNNNNNNNNNNNNNNNNNNNNNNNNNNNNNNNNNNNNNNNNNNNNNNNNNNNNNNNNNNNNNNNNNNNNNNNNNNNNNNNNNNNNNNNNNNNNNNNNNNNNNNNNNNNNNNNNNNNNNNNNNNNNNNNNNNNNNNNNNNNNNNNNNNNNNNNNNNNNNNNNNNNNNNNNNNNNNNNNNNNNNNNNNNNNNNNNNNNNNNNNNNNNNNNNNNNNNCCGGAACCCGUGCGCCGCUCGCCGCCUCCAUCGCCGGCGCCCGCGUGUACCAUCCGCCGGCGUCUCGUCGAGCUCCGCUGCCAUGCGCCUCCCUCGCCGGCCGCCGUUACGCCUCGCCACGCCGCCGACCUCUGCUUCCGCAUGCGCGCCGCCGUAGAGCGCCUCGCCGGAGCUCGCCGGCCACCGCAUCUCCGUCGCCACCGCGCCGGCUGCCCGUGCCGCCCCGACCUCACCCGGCCUCCUCCACUCCUUCCCCGACUCCGGCCACCGCAGCUUUCCUCUCUGGUGAUCCCCGUUGCACGUGCCACCCUGAUCUGGAUCUGGAUCUAAAAAACCCUAGCGGUUGACUUUUUGCCCUAAUCUCCGUAAUUUUCAGCAUACUUCAUUGCAUCAUAACUUCAUCACCGUUGCUCUGAUUUGGGCGUGUAGCAUAUCAAAUUGUUCGUCUCAACGAGUACUUCAUUUCAUUCCAUUGCACUGAUUUGGGUGAGUAGUUCAUUUGAGUUCAUCUUGAUGCCCUAAAUGUUGUUGCAAGAGUGCUAGUUUAUAUUAGAUUCAGAUUCAUAUCAGUAAUUGUACUUUUGUCAUAUUUGCCAUGAUUGAUGUGUGCCUCCUAUGAUGUUGAGCCCUACAUGAGUUUUGAAGUAUGCCAUGCCAUCUUUACAGGGGUGUAUGCCAUGUAUUUUUGUGAUCUUUGUGGUGACUAGCACAAGCAUGGAAAGUAUCCCUCGUAAUGUUGCUAUUUUCAGGGACUUAGAAAUAUUCUAAGUCAUUGCCCUGAUAAUAUUUUUAUGCCAUGUUUCCUUGUUGCUACAGAGUGAUCCAUGCCUCUUUUGAGCAUGAUCAGUAAGGAUGUUUUGUAUAUGUUGUUAUGCUCUAUCCAUCCAUGUCUUUGUUUACAAUUUUUGAGCACCCUAGCUUGACUCAAUCGAGCUCUACUUUUGCUAUAAAAUGUUCCUGGCAGAUUGUUUACAUGUUAAGCAUCUUUGCCGAUGUUAUUGUAGUUGAUCCAUGCAUGCUAUGAUGUUGUUCUUGCCAUGUUUAGCUUCUAUGCCAUGUCUACUUGCUGGGUGUAUGCUUAGCUUGUCAUGCAAUGCUUUGUGGUGAGUGCGUCGAGCUCGUAAACAUGCCUACUUUAUAUUUGUUUUGCCAUGUUCCAGUUUUCUGCUAAGUCUGAAUCUGUUAACAAUAAUUGCUAUGUUCACAUGAUUGUCAUUGUAUCUUCUGAUCCCUUUUGGCUUAUGGUCAGUAAGGGACUUUCGUUGUAUGCUUUGAGUAGCUUCAUGCCAUGCCUUGGUUUGCCAUGAUAUGUUCCUGUAGCAUGUUGUUAUCAUGCUCUAAACAUUGCUACCUCAUGUUAAAUUCCUGACAUGUUAUUUUCACUAAGUCUGUAACCUGAUAUCUUUUGCACUUUUGCCAUGCUUGUUUGAACCUGCUAUUGAGUGAAUUAGCCGUAGCUCAGUGUUCAUCUUUUGUCAAGCAUCUUGAGUGGAUCCCUGCCAUAUUCUUUGUUGCUAUGUUAGAGUGUUGUAGCUUGUUGUUCUUGAUGCAUUUAGAUGGUCUCGUGCUGUUAAUCGCAGAUCGGUGCCAUAUUUGUUUUGCUUGCCAUUUGCAAACCGUGCAUCCGAUUCCGGUGAUCUUUAUAUCGAUUUCGACCAAAAUCAACUCCUCUUUCCAGUGGCACUCUGGUUUUCCAAGUUGAGGCCAGGUUCAAUCUUUCCUUUCCAAAGCAUGCAUAUGCAUUGCAUAUCGCAUCCCGCAUAUCAUGCCAUGUUUUGCAUCAUGUUGCUUGUGCGUUGCACGUGGUUGAUUGUCUCCCUUUGCUUGUGUUCUUGCUUGGGUAGAGCCAGGAGGCGAGUUCGUGUUCGAGGUACCCGUUGAGUACGUUUUCGAGGAUCAAGCUUUCGUCUUCUCGGAGAUCUUUGCAGGCAAGAUGACCAUACCCUCGAAAUCACUUCUAUGUUUGCUUGCUAGAUGCUCGCUCUAUUGCUAUGCCUAUGCUACAAUACCUACCACUUGCUUAUCAUGCCUCCCAUAUUGCCAAGUCAAACCUCUAACCCACCUUGUCCUAGCAAACCAUUGUUUGGCUAUGUUACCACUUUGCUCAGCCCCUCUUAUAGCGUUGCUAGUUGCAGGUGAAGAUUGGAGUUUGUUCCUUGUUGGAACAUGAUUUAUAUGUUGGGAUAUCACAAUAUAUCUUAUUUAAUUAAUGCAUCUAUAUACUUGGUAAAGGGUGGAAGGCUCGGCCUUAUGCCUGGUGUUUUGUUCCACUCUUGCCGCCCUAGUUUCCAUCAUACCAGUGUUAUGUUCCUUGAUUUUGCGUUCCUUAUGCGGUUGGGUUAUAAUGGGAACCCCUUGAUAGUUCGCCUUGAAUAAAACUCCUCCAGCAAGGCCCAACCUUGGUUUUACCAUUUGCACUAACAACCUACCACCUUCCCUUCAGUUCUGCAGACUCAAGGGUCAUCUUUAUUUUAACCCCCCGGGCCAGUGCUUCUCUAAAUGUUGGUCCGAACUGAGUAGACUGCGGGGCCACCUCGGGGAAACUUGAGGGUUGGUUUUACUCGUAGGAUGUCUCAUCCGGUGUUGCCCUAAGAACGAGAUAUGUGCAGCUCCUAUCGGGAUUGUCGGCACAUCGGGCGGCUUUGCUGGUCUUGUUUUACCAUUGUCGAAAUGUCUUGUAACCGGGAUUCCAAGCCCGAUCGGGUCUUCCUGGAGAAGGAAUAUCCUUCGUUGACCGUGAGAGCUUGUGAUGGGCUAAGUUGGGACACCCCUGCAGGGUUUUGAAUUUUCGAAAGCCGUGCCCGCGGUUAUGGGCAGAUGGGAAUUUCUUAAUGUCCGGUUGUAGAAAACUUGAAACUUAUCUUAAUUAAAAUGCAUCAACCGCUUGUCUAGCCGUGAUGGUCUCUUUCCGGUGGGUCCGGGAAGUGAACACGGUGUUGGAGUUAUGCUUGAACAUAAGUAGUCUAGUAUCACUUCUUGAUCAUAGAUUCUCGAACGUGCUUUGCCUUCUCUUCUCGCUCUCUUUUGCGUAAGGUAGCCACCAUAUAUGCUAGUGCUUGCUGCAGCCCCAGCUCAUACCUUUUCCCUACAUAUAAGCUUAAAUAGUCUUGAUCGCGAGGGUGUGAGAUUGUUGAGUCCCUGUGACUCACAUAUUACUUCAAAACAAGCUUGCAGCUGCCGAUGAUAUCGUGCAGGUGACACAACCAAGCUCAUGAGGAGUUCAAUGAAGAUCGUGUUCGUUAUGUUGUUCCGUUUCCAGUUGAUCAGUAGUGGAGCCCAGUUGGGGCGAUCGGGGAUCUGUAGCAUUAGGGGUGGUCUUCUUUAUUUUGGUUCCGUAGUCGGACCUUGAUUGUAUCUGGAUGAUGUAAUGCUAUAUUCAUGUAUUGUGUGAAGUGGCGAUUGUAAGCCAACUAUGUACCUCUUUCCUUAUUCAGUACAUGGGAUGUGUAAAGAUUACCCCUCUUGCGACAUUGCCUACAAUGCGUCUAUGCCACUAAGUCGUGCUCCGACACGUGGGAGAUAUAGCCGCAUCGUGGGUGUUACAGGUUCGUCCACUGGGUCAGGCUCCAGCUUAACUAGGUCAAGGGUGCAGGCGGAUGGUUGACACGCGCCCAUCGGCGACGUGGACGGGCGCGCCAGCUCCACGCCAUGGCUCCGCCUCUCUCUCGGUACAGUGGUUGAGGAAAGGCCCUGGUGGUGGGCUGGGCCUGGUACAGUAGAAGGGAUGGGCUAAGUGCACAGGGAGGGUUUUCCUUUAAUUCCUUUCCUUUCUUUUAAUGUUUCCUAUAUUCUUUACUGUUUUGCAAAUUGUUAGGCCACAAAAAUAGUUUUGUAAAAUAUCUAAUGGUGCCACAUAAACACUUUUCAAUAUUUAGCACUGCCAUAAAAAGGUUUUGAGGCAAGAUAAUUUCAUUUGAAUUUUGUUCAAAAGAAAUUGGAUUAAAAAGGGCUCUUUAGGUACAAUUUUUGGGUGACAACUUUUAAUUAAGCAAACAAGUGACAUAGUUUUUCUCCACCACAAUUAACUAUGGUUUAUUUUCAACAUUGGGAACAAUUUAGUUUUAUUGUUUGAAGAAUAAUGUAUUUAACUUUAUUUUAAAUUUGAAAUUGGCUUUGAUUUUUAUCAAGUGGAAAUUGUCUUAGUUAAACGUGAUGACACAGCACCAUUAGUGUGAGGUCACUGUAGCUUAAAUAUCCGGGCAUCACAAUUCUCCUCCACUACAAGAAAUCUCGUCCCGAGAUUUAAGAGGCAGAGUAAAGGGGGAGGGUUCUGGUUACAAAAUUCUAGCGAGCGUUCUCAGUCUUAGUUGCCCUUCUCGAAGAGGUCGAUCUAUUACGUUGAUGUUUUUAUUUCUCUGCGUUAGGUCAUCAUGAUGAAGCCAGCAUUCUUUCUUUAGGAUCUCCAUCGUACUUACGGAAAAUUUAAGUGGAAAAACUCAGGAAGGACGGAGUUUAACACAUGUUAGGUACCUAGGGGCUAUCUCAGUGUACGAGGUAUAGAGGCAUCUCUCGAGUUGACAUUCAAGAAAGUCGUCGAGAGUAAAGUAAGAAGGUGCAAUAGGAAGAUUCAAGCAGAUAGGCAAUCAUUCGUUGCCUAAAACAGAAUGAGAGAGCGGUUCAGACCAAUGGGAAUAAGUGUUGUCUCCGAUACCAGAUUAGAUCAUCUCUGGGAAGGUGACCCGUGAAUUACAUACGGAUUCAAAUGCGAGGAGUCAAUUUGGCAAUAGGGGUGUACAUGAGAGUUAGGUUUCGAUCCUUUGGAACUGUGGGUUAUGGGCCCACCAUGCGGUAAAAGUAGAAAGGGUGGUGAUAUUUUGCACAACCAUGAUAACAAGGCAUGUCAAAGGAUAGUCUAUCAAUUAUGUCGGCAACGUCGGUACCAAGAGCGAGGGACGAAGAGAACCAUCUUCCUGCUCGUUGAAUGAAGCGGGCCAAUAGGUAAACUUCUCGUCCAUCGGUGGUUACCGAAAUGUUAUCAACAAUAUUAACAGGGUCUUACUGACAGAGUGGUUCAACGAGGUGCUUACCUAAGCAGGAGAAUAUUACUACUUAGAUCAUACUGAUCACCAGUAAGGUUAAACAAAACAAUGGAAAGGAAAAGGUGAUCAUCAGAUUAAACAAAUAAUGGAAAGGAAAAUAUGUUUAAACACAUGUUUUAAGGAUAUAUCCUUCCCAAGGACAAGCAGAGCAUGAUAUCCAUGACAGGAUAGAAAGUAUAAAACCAUUUAGGUAAGGGGAGAGGAAUUUCAUGACAUAACCCAAACAACGGUGUUUGGAUAAUGGACAAAGAAGAUUUAGCAUUGUUCUUCAAAUGCUCUUAUUGAAAAUCGGAGUACCACCGACAUGCUUCGAGAUCGCAUUGACAAGGUCUUCAAGCAAAGGUCACACCUUGAUACACAAAGGAUCCAUGAGGAAAAACUUACUAAACAAGUCAUUCAAUUUUCUCAUGGAAGAAUGGUUAACCUUGCUAAAAAGGAAACUAUAACAGCAGGUCCUCCGGCCAGGUGUGCUAGGCAUGACAUCACCUUACCGGGUGACAUGAAGACCAAUGUUAUAACUCUUGGAAAUAUGUCCCAACCAUCAUAUCUGACCGAGAUUCAGAUCCGAUUGGUGUCAAAUUACCUCAGACUCAGGAUGCCUGAGAAGAAAAGGUGCAACACAAAUUGACGAGAUGAUAUUGUAAGAUUCUCGGGAAAUGAACUAUGGAGGCGAGUUUUGAAUCAAGAGUUCAUCAUUAAACCAUGGAGAGGACGAAGAGGUGAUUGAGGGACUCAGGGACAAUUCAUCAAGAUUUCUGAUAAGAUGGAUUUCCACAAUUAUGUGAACAAGGAGAUAACUUUUGUCGGAUCAAUGAUACAAUGAUGUAUGCUUGAGGAAAACAUACACAAUUAAACAUUGAUUGAAAGGUGCACCCAAAAUAUGGGCUUAGGUAGCAUGAUCAAUGUUAGAAUGGUGAUUCGAUAACCAAUGGUCUAAGAAUGAAAUAUCGACCAUUAACUUGAAAGCAAUAGGGUUGCUAGAACUUUUGAAGUCGCACAUCAUAGUUCAAUUGUCGGUUUUCCGGUUAGAAACAACAGGGGACUAAGGAGUGAACGGAUAUGGCAAGGAGUAUCACCUGUAUCAAGAAUUCUUAAGAGGUGGUGAAAUUCUCACGACAUUCUUGUCAUAAAAGAUGGUAAUACUUCAAGGUAAAGAACAAAUGCUGGAUAGCAAGGAUCUCAAGGUAUAACACGAAACACGAACAAGUUUGUGUUUAACGGAAGGUAAUAAAGUGGUCGAUGAUAACACAAAUCAUCGAGGGUCGGGAUGGUACUUAUCAUCAUGAACUCAAUUGAUAUCCUAGAAGGAGUCAAAAUAUUGAUGAUGAUCACGACACAUUUGUCGAGAGAUUUCAUGAAGAUGUAAUCGAUCAGCGAUGGCAUCAAUUCAAAGGAAUGAUGAAGCGCAAGUUUAUUGGAACCACGGGUAUGACACAAACUCGGAAUCAAGAUUGUUGUUCAAGGCGAAAUGAUAUGACGAGGAAAGUUGACGUAAGCUUAGCUUAUUGUCGAAAGAUGUGCUCUCGUAAUAAGGAACGGGUGGCAGAGUUAAAAUUUAGCACGAUAAUGAUAUAGCCAAUAAGGCUAGGAAUGACUUGAAGGGUUAUUAAGCUCAUAAGCAAUGAAGAUUACUUAGAGUUAUUGAAUCGGAGUACGGAAUCGAUUCACUUAUCGGUGUUCUCGAGUGACUAUUAACACAUAACCCUCGGGGGCCAUUGGAUUCGGCGAGAAUAAUAGUUGAUGAAGAACUCAUAAGUUAUGUAGUUCCGUGAUAUUCUCGAGAUACCAGAGGGUAUACUCGAAGAUAGGACAGAAUAGAGGUUGGAUAGGUAUAUUGAUCUCCAGAAGACAAGUACUCCAAUUUGUCCGAGAUAUGGUAUUAAGGAGAAAAUAUGAUCGGAACCAUGGUUGCAAAGGACCAAGCAUAGAUACAAGAUGAACUUAUAAUAGGGGGAUUAUUAUUAUUACAAGAAACUUCCAUGAUAAGUUCCACAUCGGGUCCAUGGGCAUGAACACAAAGUUCAAGGUCAACUCCCACUUCUGCAAUGCAUAACCUUUCAUUCACUUCUCGUUUAUGAAAAGUUGUAGUGUUGAAAUUUUAUCUGGCAAAGCACCAGAAGAAUAUGACUCGUGAAAACCUUCGGGUUCACACGGAUGAGGAAGGCAUAGGUUCAACCCGUCAGGGUAUCGUGGAAACAUAUACCACAAGCUUCAAUAGUAAAUUAUACAAGCUCGAAAGUAGAGCAUGGUUGACAAAAGCAGAGGAUACAAUUUACCAAAGGCCUUAUGUAUCCUAGGAAAGGCUCACAAGCUUAUUGAAUAUGAAGGACGUUGUCGGAUAAAGUUCCGACAAAGGGUCUGGUGGUCCACAAAGGAUCUGAUGUGAGCAUUGGUACUCAACCAGAGGAAGAGAGAAUGCAAGGAGAUUAGAAUAUAGAAACAACUGACUAACUCAAAGCUCAAAUGCAAAGGAAUUAUGAAUUCCAAGACAAGGGUUCAUAAGCAAACCUCUGAUUAGGGAAGGAUAAGUAGAAUAGCCUUAGGGGUACAAUCGAUGGCAAUUUGAUUGGACGAGAUCCAGCUCAUGUUUAAAAUGACAUCUGAGCCGGAAGGAUAAUUUAUAAGGGUCAACUAAUGAUUGCGUGCAUUCACAGACAAUAAUUCAUUUGGCUCAAAAUGGCAAGGACAAGGGAUGUCAAUGAAGGCUACUAGGCAUUUGGAAUUAAACAUAAUGCAAGCAGGCAAGAAUUUCAAGAGCAAAAGUCUGCUGAGGAUUUUCGAAAGACCGAAUAGCAUUCAAAGAAUUUUGUGAAACACAUGAUCAGCUGGGGAUGAAUGAAUCCUCGAUAAGUGUGAGGGAUUAUCCAUAGGGGUAUUUCUGUGGCAAAGAGCUGCAAAGCGGUGAGCACAAAGGAUUCUUUAAUUAUCGAAGAAAUUUUUAGGGUAUCAAGUAAUAACAGGGGCAACUGGGAACAAAGGUAAGAACGACAAGUGUAAGCAAUUAUCCAUAAAGAUUUAUCGAUGGAUGGGAAUAGCAAAAGUGGUGGGCACCAGGUCUCGAGAGAAUAACAGAGAUUAUCAUCGAAAUCUUCUGGUGAAGCAGGCCAUCAUCUGGAAUGAAGGGGCUCUCCGGGAGAAAGUAUUUACGAGAACCUAGAGUUAGAGUUAGCAAAAUCAUUUAACCCGAAUAGAAGAGAGAUCAGAGUCCCAGAGUAUAGACGAGGAAUAAAAGAUCCUAAUACCACCCAAUGGCGACGUGGGCCAAUGGGCCGCACAGCCAUGUUAGUAAAAUAGUUUUCAUUGACUAGACUCAACUUCGGACAAAGAGUGUGGAAGGGGGAUUCCUACAGGAAGUCGGCUCUGAUACCAACUUGUGACGCCCCCGAUUUGACCGUACACUAAUCAUACACGCAAAUGUGUACGACCAAGAUCAGGGACUCACGGGAAGAUAUCACAACACAACUCUAGACACAAAUAAAAUAAUACAAGCUUUAUAUUACAAGCCAGGGGCGUCGAAGGCUUGAAUACAUAAGCACGAAAACAAAGGAGUCAGCGGAAACAACAAUAUCUGAGUACAGACAUAAGUUAAACAAGUUUGCCUUAAGAAGGCUAGCACAAAAGUAGCAACGAUCGAAAAGGCAAGGCCUCUUGCCUGGGACCUCCUAACUACUCCUCGAAGCCGAACUCCAUGUAGAAUCAUCCUCGGGAUCGUCUGGCUCCUGGACUCCAUCAUAAGAUCGCAGUAACCGGGAAAAGGGGAAAAAGAAGUAGGAAAGCAACCGUGAGUACUCAUCCAAAGUACUCGCAAGCAAGGAUCUACACUACAUAUGCAUUGGAAUCAAUGAAACGGGUAGUAUAUGUGGACUGAACUGCAGAAUGCCAGAAUAAGAUGGGGGUAGCUAGUGCUAUCAAAGACAAUGCUUCUGGUAACCUUCAUCUUGCAGUAGAAGAAGAGAGUAGAUGGUAAGUUCACCAAGUAUCAUCGCAUAGCAUAAUCCUACCCGGUGAUCCUCCCCUCGUCGCCCUGUGAGAGAGCGAUCACCGAGUUCUAUCUGGCACUUGGAAGGGUGUGUUCUAUUUAGUAUAUGGUUCUAGUUUUCAUAAGGUCAAGGUACCACUCCGGGUCGUCCUUUUACCGAGGGACACGGCUAUUCGAAUAGACAAACUUCCCUGCAGGGGUGCGCCACAUUUCCCAACACGCUCGAUCCCCUUUGUCCGAACACACUUUUCUGGGUCAUGCCCGGCCUCGGAAGAUCAACACGUCGCAGCCCUACCUAGGCACAAUAGAGAGGUCAACACGCCGGUCUAAAUCCUAUGGCGCAGGGGUCUGGGCCCAUCGCCCAUUGCACACCUGCACGUUGCGUACAUGGCCGGCGAGUAGACCUAGCCUCCCUUAUACAUGCGUUCUAGUCCAACCCGGCGCGCGCCGCUCAGUCGCUGACAUCACGAACACUUCGGUUGAUACCACGACGUCGAGUGCCCAUAACUGUUCCCGCGUAGUUGGUUAGAGCGUAUAGGCCAGUGGGCAGAUUCAGAUCAAAUACCUAGAUCUCAUUAAGCGUUUUAUUUUGAAAUAUCCAUGGACACCGACCAGGGCCAGGCCCACCUCUCUCCUAGGUGGUCUCAACCUACCCUGUCGCUCCGCCACAAAGAUCCACCCAGAGGGCCGUCGGGACAAACGUCCUUUCGGACCCAAUCCGUGAAUCACUCGCGGGUACUCUACGAGUCGACCCGACUUUACUGACCGCAAGUAUUGUACAAUAUGUAUAUAAGUAUAUGCACGUGAUCACCUCCCGAGUGAUCACGGCCCGAUAGUAUAGCAUGGCAGACAGACAAGAAUGUAGGGCCACUGAUGAUAAACGAGCAUCCUAUACUAAGCAUUUAGGAUUGCAGGUAAGGUAUCAAUAACUGUAGCAACAAUGACAGGCUAUGCAACAGAAUAGGAUUAUCGGAAAGCAGUAACAUGCUACGCUACUCUAAUGCAAGUAGUAGAGAGAAGAAUAGGCGAUAUCGGGUUGAUUAAGGGGGGGCUUGAUACGGAGCAUCCAACGGACAUCACCAUGUCAAGAGACCAUUUGUCAAGUCACACGUGCGACAUCUACUUCACAUACACAAAGGUGAAUCAUCUCCUUUACACAUGCUCACUUGAUCCUCUCAACGAUGGUAUACUAGUUGACACUCCUUCCGUGUGCAUGCAUAGGUAUUGUCGGAACAUCACGGGUGUCGAGGAGGAGUGUGAGCGCAAGUGUAUGUCUACACCAUCCGCGAGGGAAGCGUGGAAGGGAAGACGGAAGAAAGGAGAAGAAGAAGAAGACGGUGGCUGCUGAAGACUAGCGGGACAUCCGGACGCAGAGCCGGAUCAUCCGGGCCCAGCCAGAUCAUCUGGACCGACCCCCAGAUCAUCCGGGUAAUCCAUACACCGGAAAGAAUCUGCUCGGCGAAGCCGGAUCAUCCGGACGAGGACCCGGAUCAUUCGGACGACGCCCGGAUCAUCCGGACCCCCAUCCUGAUCAUCCGGCCUUGCCUGCGUGCAUGCCUUCGGGCCGAGGCCCAUGUACCUGUUUCGCCCCCUCACUUACCCUUUUGCCCACUAGACUAUAAAUAGACCUCCUCCACCUCCUUUCUAGGGUUAGCAAAGGUUUAGCUCAUGUUUGUGUGAGAGCUUUACUCAUCCACUUGGUUACCUUCUCCAUGGAGAUUCGAGCCUCCACCGGAGAAGAUCCUCCAAGCGGAUUCAAGACCCCCUCUUGGGCGGCCCCCUUCAAGACCUCCUCAUGGAGAUGAACCUUACCUUGUAUCUUUCCCUUUGUUGUUAUGUACCUUGUGGAUCUUGUGUGUUUGAUUGUCUAGUGGAUGUGUGAUUGGAUUUGUUCUUGAGUGUUUCCCCUUGUGAUUUCUCUCCGUUCUUCCCCUUAUUCUUCGUGUUCUUCGCAGGAUCCGCUCCUUUCGUGAAAGAUCGGCCCCUAGGGUUCCUACCCUACAUCAUCUUGGAUCAGAGCAAGGUUGAUCACGAAUUUGGAGCCCCCACACCUCUUUUUCUAGCCUUCUUUUGCUUGAUUUUGUCCUAAAUUCAAAAAUCCCCACCAAAAAUAGCCCCAAUUUUUUUGUGAUUUGUUGGUUUGAUGAUGUUUUGUUGAUUUUGAUCCUUGGAUUUGCUUGGUUUCGAGUGGAUCUAGCAUCUCCCCAAGUUUCCCCACCUUCCAUCCAUGAAAUCUCAUCAAUUUUGACCCUGAAAUCAUCCAAUUUCCGCCCAAAAAUUUGUCCCCGAGAGAAAAUCCCGAGCAGUUUGACCUGCCUGGAUCAUCCGGAAGUGCUCCGGGAUCAUCCGGAUCCACCCGGAUCAGCUGGACCUACUCCCGGAUGUCCGGCUAACCCUGAAACUGACACGGUAAAUUUUUGUUUUGGCCACAUCUAAUUCAUCCGAACUCCGUUUUUGACAUUCUUUAGCUCGUUUUGAAGCUCUUGACAUCCCCCUUCCCACAAAAAUACCACCAACAUCAUUUGACUCCAUCAAAUUUUCUGAAAUUUGGCAAGUUUGCCUAGGCCCUCCACCAUAUCAUCCGCAUUACCACCACCGACUUCCGCAACCUAACCCAUUUCGAUCCCCAUUGUAUAUGUGGUUGUUUGAGUUGUGACUUGAGUCUCCUAAGGUGUUUCGGCUACUUAGGGACGGUUGCUUCUUCAUCGACCACCACCACCACUUCCGCAUAACCUUGCCCACCAUACACUUCCGCCACCUCAACUUAACCCAAUUUUGUUUGUGUUGUGAGUUGUGUCUUCUAAGGUGUUUAGGCUACUUAGGGACCGUGCUUUCAACUCCGACACCGUGUAUAGUCCACCACCAUAACCUCCACUUCUGCAUUGCCUACCCCAAAACCCAUCAUUGCAUUUCCGCAAACACCACCGCAUUCCGCUACCACCAUUUGACUUUUGCCCUUGAGAUUUUGAGUUGUGGUUUUUCCGUUUCCUAAGGUGUUUCGGCUACUUAGGGACGAGUCUCCAUCAUCUUGGUAUCUCCAUCAAGAUCACCGCCACUCGUCAUCACCGCGGACGGUAACCUCCAUAUCAUCUUGGUAUCGUGGUACCCCUCCAUUGUAUAUUCCCUUGCAAUUGCAUUGUUAACCCCUAGCCCAUUUUGCUUUACUUGCCUAUCGAGACUAGCCAUUUGAGUAUUGCCGGCAACGUUACUUGCACACAUUAGUGAUCUACACCAUACAUUGCAUACAUACCAUAUCAUAUUGGUAUGAUAUCAUCUUGUGAGCCUCAAGUUUGUUCCCGCAUAUACACAAAUACUAUCUUGGUUUGUGCAUUUCGCAAAGUGGACAUAUAAAAAAAGAAUAAACUUUUAAGCAAAAGAGAAAGAGCAAAGAGCUUGUAAGCAAGUGCCAUAGCAUCAUACCACAUUGCAUAAGAUUGUCAUAUCCGAUCAUCUUGGAUCAAACACCGGGAACCAUACAUAAUAGCAUACUUGGGAUAGAAAGUUGAUAUAUCUUUGCAUCUUAUAGGUUGUGCACAAGUGUCGUAUCCGCCUAUUGAGCAAUCGUGCUAGCAUCUCUCUUGAGUUGUGCAACAUGAGUGUUUUCCAUGGAUUCCACAUUUUGUGCUCAUCCUUGGUUGCACGACCCCAUUUAUCUAUCUGUGUGUGUGUGUUUCCGCGUGCCACAUAUUGCUAUUGGUCUACUUGUUACACCUGCGAAUUUGUAAAUCUCUUUCAACAUUAUUGACUCUUGCUAACAUUUUGCAUUAAAUUUGUGUGCCACUAUCCUCACCGAGCUACUCCAUAAGCUUUAGUUUGUAGGUGUGAGUGAACAAGUCCGAUACCAAUUCCAUUAUUCUUUCAUCUCACAUUGUGUGAAACGAGAUACAUCCUCAACUUUGGGAAAAGGUAACUUGGUAUUAUUCAUCUCAUUUCCUACUCACCUCUACUCGAGUCUUGUCAUGGAUAGGAAAGGUAUUUAAUCUUCGGUCUACAAAAACAACGAUGAGUUCGAUGCCACGAAAAACUCCAACGACGCCAAGAUGCAAUCUCAAAUGGAGGAGAUCAAAGCCCUGAUCAAGUCCUACAAGCGAUCUUCCUCAUCUUCGAGAAGACGCUCAAGUACACAUGCUUCCAAGCUACCAUCUCCGGCAAGGUUUCAUCGGCAUCAACACCAUCACCACCAUGAACGUGAAGGUCAAGAGCUCAACACCAACAAUCGCUCAAUGACUUCACCAUCUCCCUUGGCAUAUUCGCGAAGCGACUUCAAGGCAUCUUCGCCUAUGGACAUACGUCAUCUUCACCCACAAGCACUUCAAGAGAAGCUCCCCAAGCUCAAGUCCACGACUUCCACAAGCUACUAUGACCUCGACAUCGACCAUGAGAUUCCUUUCUAUGGGACUCUAGAACCCGAGGAGUAUCUCGAGUGGGAGCGUUUGAUGGACGACUACCUCAAGCUACAUCAAGUUCCUCCCGAAGAUCAAGUGAAGUGCGCCACAAGAAACUUCCACGACUACGCGUCGACAUGGUGGCUUCACACACCUUCGAAGACGUACGACAUGACUUGGCCCAAGACGAAGAGAGCUAUGCGGUGAGAGUUCGUGCCUCCAACCUACACGGAACAACUUCUACACCAAUUAGAGAACACCACCAAAGGAUCCAAGUCCAUUGAUGUGUACUUCAAGGAGAUGAAGAUUGCCUUGCGACGAGCCAGCGUGGACGACCCCAUUUUGAUGAAGUUCCACUUCAUGAUGGGAUUGCACAACGACAUCUCCAAGACGAUCUUCCUCGAGAACUACAAGUCCCUCGAUGACAACUACAUUGGUGCUCUCAAGGAGGAACAAGAACUCAUGAAGGCCAAAGCUUCUCCACCCCAAGCUCACUUCGCGACGACCAAGCUCCAUGAGAACGAGCAUGAGGCUAGUACCACCAUGAUGUCCAUGCCCGAUGAGCUCCAAGACGAUGCGCCCAAGUUCGACUUCACCACCAUACCUCUUUGUGGCAUUCAUGUUGCCGAGUCCUCCAUGACUCUUUUUCAAGAGGUGCGGCGAUGAGUUCAACUACGGAGACCUUCAAAGACCAAGCUUUAGAGGCGAGCGUGACGGUGGCGAGCAAGGAUGAUGCUUCCAUCUUAGGAGGCAAGAAUGAUGAUGUGCCAUCUUCGGCUUUCAUCCAUGGCGACAACGAUGAGAUGGUUGAGGAUGGGAUUUUCCCUUCGACCACGGCGACGUAUGAUGACUUGAGUGAUUUGUGCCACCAUAUUGAGAGUGAGAGUGACUUCACCACUAGCCCCAUAUAUGUGUUGCCACAAUUCACAUGUGAGGAGAGCCACAACCCCCACCACUUGAGUGAGAUGAGUGACUCCAGCAUAUGUGAGUUUGAGUGCACCUAUUUUGAGGGAGUGAGUGAACCACCACAUAGAGAGAGUGAGAUACUUGAUAGGUCAUGUGAGGCCACUUUCAACACUGACGACUUGACCUCUACCUCUAUUGUGUCUUCUCAUUUGGUGAUAGGUCCCAUAUAUGAUGAUGCGCCGAUUCGCGACGACUACGUCCUACCUUUGGACAAGACGAUGGCCAUGGUGGAAUAUGAUGCACCCCCCACAUGGUUCCAUCACAAUGAUGAUCUUGACCACCAUUCGGUCUUACCCACCUCACCUACACCACAUGAGUGGAAUGAGAAUGGUAACAUAGGUGACGGUGAUGCUCUAGUCCCACUAGUGGACAUUCUUUACAAUGAUUGCUUGCAUGAUGAUGAUCCACCUAGUACCAUGAUUCAUGCGAACGCGACUUCCUCAUGUGAUGAUUUCUUGCCCAUUUAUGAUGAGUAUGAUGAUUGCCAUGUGGAGUCUAUUAGUUGUGAUGCCAUGUUGCAUAGGAUUUCUUGUGAUAAUUCUCUCGGUCACAUCAUGUUUGCCAAUCCACUUGACUUGUCAUAUGCUAUGCAUGAGAUCAAUCAUAUGUCAUAUUUGCAAUCUCUUCAUAGUGACUAUGCAUAUGCCAUUAAGAUUAACCCAAUUUGCACUUAUGGCAUAGAUGACAAGCCUAUGGUUAUUGGCAUUUGUUUCUCUUGUGAUGAUAUUGACAAGCUACCUUUGCAUCAUUUAUCUCAUAUGCCAUGCCAUAACCAUCUUGCUUCGGAUAUGCAUUGUUUUGGGUGUUGCCCAUUUUCUCCAUAUGAUGUUUCAAAUAUUGCACAUGAGGAGACCCCCAUAGUUUCCUCAUACAUUUUAGGAGAUUGUGAUCACUCCCACCCAUUGCAUGAUCCUCAUAAUUGUGUGCACAAUAUGCUCCCCAUGAAUAAACAUGGUAUUGAUGUGCCAUAUAAUUGUAUGCUCAAUUUGCAUCCCCAUCGUGUCAUGCACAAUAACUAUUCUUUCAUGAUGGAUGACAUGUUCUUAUACCAUGCAUCAAAUUUCUUUGAGCAAUGCUUAUCUUGUGCUAACUCACACGUGCACAUACACAUCAUGAUGGAUGAUGUGUACAUUUACCACACACACAGUUUCUUUCGCUUGUAUAUUUGUUGUGUAGGUACCCAUGCUUACUUGUCAACCUCACAAGCCCAUGAGUUGACAAAACGAGCUCUAGAGAGCAAUGAUGACUUGGGAUCCCAUGGAUUGUCUUUCCCACCGCUCUCUUUGCGCAACGACUUCGCGCAUUUCUUCUACAUGGCCCUCACUUGGCUAUGGGUUAUUGUCCAUUACACAUUCUAUACCCAUAUUGCCAUGUUCAGUUUGCAUGAUAUGCUCAUUACUAUGCCUUUGCCAUGCAUUUGUGACCCAUGCUUCGCAUUACACAUGAUGAUUGGUUCUCAUACUUGUAUGUGUAAUGUUCCAUUUGUGCCCCAUGCCUAUGAUGAUACUAUGAUCUUGCUUUGUGUUCAUGCUUGCGAUAUGUCAUGUGCAUUUCCUAUGCCUAUUAUUUGCUCACAUGACAUGAUUGCCAUGAUUUCCUCUAGUAUGUUGCAUCUUCGCACUACUAGUUUGCACGACUUGAUUACUAUUCUUGCCUAUGUUGCAUCACCAAUGAUUCAUACUUGCUCCUUUCAUGCGAUUGAUGACAACCAUUUACAUGCUUUGCACAUGAUUGUUAUUGCAUCUUGUCAUAUAUCUCCAUGUGUUGCCACUCUCAUGUUAGACGAUUUGCCAUGUAUUGAGUGCAACAAUGAUUCUACUCUUGCUCAUGAGUUUGCCCCCAUAGCAUUCUCGCAUAUAUUUGGAGCUUUUGACAUAUUUCUUGUGAACCAUGCUUGUCUUCCCUCCUUGCACCAUAUACCUAGUGCCAUGAAUAUUGCCAUUGUUGCAUCAUAUUAUUUAUGCACUUGUGCUUCUAAUGGUUAUGUGCAAGAGAAGAGAACCAUCAUGAUGGAUGAUGUGUUUAUCUACCAUGCGCAUACAUUCUUUGUUUUGUUUUGUGCAUGUGUAGGAUACUUGGACUUUGUGUUGACUUCCACUUCCCGUGAGUUGACCAUUCGAGCUCUGGAGAGCGAACCACCUUUGAUCAUGACUGUAACACCCUGGAUGUAACUUUCCCUAUUUGUACUCCAACUCUUGCCGUUUCCGGCGUUAAGUUAAUUUAUUUCUCGAGUUCGGGUCCUUGUCUCCGUGUGUUGUUAUCAUUUUCAUGCAUCUCAUAUCAUGUCAUCAUGUGCAUUGCAUUUGCAUACGUGUUCGUCUCAGGCAUUGAGCAUUUUUCCCGUUGUCCGUUUUGCAUUCCGGCGCUUCGUUCUCCUCCGGUGGUCAUUUCUAGCUUUCUUUCAUGUGUGGGGAUUAAACAUUUCCGGAUUGGACCGAGACUUGCCAAGCGGCCUUGGUUUACUACCGGUAGACCGCCUGUCAAGUUUCGUAUCAUUUGGACUUCGUUUGAUACUCCAACGGUUAACCGAGGGACCGAAAAGGCCUAGUGUGUGUUGCAGCCCAACACCCCUCCAAUUUGGCCCCAAACCCACCUAACUCCGCUCCAUCAUCUAGAGCGUUCGAUUAUGAUCGCGUGGCUGAAAACCGCACCUCAUUUGGACUCUCCUAGCUCCUCCUAUGCCUAUAAUUAGGCCCCCCUCGAAAUAUCCCGGAUCCCCUCCUCUUCAAACCCUAAAUUUCGCCCCCGCACCGGCCGGACGCGUCCGCUUCCCCGCCGCCGCGAAUCGCGCGUCGCCACGUGGCACGGCAGCCGCGCCGCCGCCGAGGCCCAUUUNNNNNNNNNNNNNNNNNNNNNNNNNNNNNNNNNNNNNNNNNNNNNNNNNNNNNNNNNNNNNNNNNNNNNNNNNNNNNNNNNNNNNNNNNNNNNNNNNNNNNNNNNNNNNNNNNNNNNNNNNNNNNNNNNNNNNNNNNNNNNNNNNNNNNNNNNNNNNNNNNNNNNNNNNNNNNNNNNNNNNNNNNNNNNNNNNNNNNNNNNNNNNNNNNNNNNNNNNNNNNNNNNNNNNNNNNNNNNNNNNNNNNNNNNNNNNNNNNNNNNNNNNNNNNNNNNNNNNNNNNNNNNNNNNNNNNNNNNNNNNNNNNNNNNNNNNNNNNNNNNNNNNNNNNNNNNNNNNNNNNNNNNNNNNNNNNNNNNNNNNNNNNNNNNNNNNNNNNNNNNNNNNNNNNNNNNNNNNNNNNNNNNNNNNNNNNNNNNNNNNNNNNNNNNNNNNNNNNNNNNNNNNNNNNNNNNCCGUCGAGCCGCCCGCGUCGCUCCGCGCCGCCUCCCGCCACACUGCCAAGCUCCACCACUCCGGCAACUCCUCCUCCUCCCCCGACCGACUCCGGCGAGCUCCGGGUCAGCUCCGGUGGGAUCCCGGCGAUCCUCGAUUUCCGUGCCCAGAUCCGGAUCCGGUGAACAGUGAAACCCUAGGUGGUGAUUUUUUCCCUAUGUCCCGUAAAUCUCAGUCCAUAUGCACAUGUUCGUAGCCCCGUAAAUUUGCAUCCGUAGCUCCGAUUCAUGCAUAUAGCAUAUCAAAAUGUUCAUCUCAAAGAAUACAUCAUUUAAUUCCAUUGCAUCAUUUUCAUUAGAGUAAAUCUUGAUGCCCGAAAUGCUAUUAGAAGAGGGCUACUUGAGUUAAUUGUCAGAUCUGCUACUCUGUUUAGCACUUUUGUCAUUUUUGCCAUGAUUAUUGUGUGCAUGAUAUGCCCGUGAGUUCUACAUGUGUUUUGUUAAGGGUUUUGUCAUCUUUCCAGAGGUGCAACCCAUGUAUUUUUAGGAUGUGUGUGGUGACUUGUGCAAGCUUGCAAAGUGGUGCACUCGCUAAUUCUGUUUUCAGGGACUUAGUGAUUUCACUAAGUCCUGGAGCUGUUUAUCUCAUGAUGCCGUAUGUUCUUGUUGUUUCCUAGUGAUCCGUGCCUCUUAUGUAAGGAUGUUUUGUUAAUAUUGUAGUGCUCUAUCCAUCCAUGUCUUUGUUUGCAAUUAUGGAGCAACCUAGCUUGAGUCAAUCGAGCUCUACUUUUGCUACUUUAUGAAUCUGGGCAGAUUGUCAACUUGUUUGCAACUUUGCCGGUGAUGUUGUAGUUGAUCCGUGCAUGCUAUGCUAUUGUUCUUGCCAUGUCUAGCUUGCAUUUUGUGCCUUCUUGAUGGGUGUAUGCUUGUCUUGCCAUGACUUGCUUUGUAGUGAGUGCAUCGAGCUCGUAAACAAGCCUACUUGAGUUAUAUUUCAGCAUGUGUCAGUUUUUCACAAAGUCUGAAACUCAUUAUGUUUUUGCUAUGUUCACAUGCUUGCAAUUGUAUUUUCUGAUCCCUUUUGGCUCAAGGUCACUAAGGGACUUUUGUUAAGCUCUUUGAGUAGCUCCAUGCCAUGCUUUACUUUGCCAUGUUCAGGUCCUGUAGCAUGUAGUUUUGUUGCUCCGAAGAGGGCUACCUGAUCUGAAAUUCCAGACAAGUGUUAAUUUCACAAAGUCUGAGAUCUGUUUGCCAUAUGCAUUUUUGCCAUGCUUGUUUGAACCUGUUAAUGGAUGAAUUGGCCGUAGCUCAGUGCUAUACUUUUGUUAAGCAUCUUGUGUGCAUCCCUGCGAUGUAUUUUGUUGUCAUGUUUGGGUGCUAUAGCAUGUUCAUCUCAUUGCAUUUAGAUGCCUACUUGCUGUAAAUCGCAGACCGGUGUCAUAUUUGAAUUGCUUGCCAUUUCCAAACCGUAACUCCGAUUCCGGCGUUCUUUAUAUCGUUUUCAAGCGAUUUCAUCUCAUCUUUCCAGUGGCACACUUGGUUUUCCAAGUUGAGGCCAGGUUCAUGCAUUUCUUGUCAUAUCUUGCAUUUUGCAUCCCGCAUCGCAUCCCGCAUAGCAUAUCAUCUUUGCAUUGUGUUGUUUGAGUUUGCACGUGGUUGAUUGUAUCCUUGUUGCUUGUUUGUCUUGUUUGGGUAGAGCCGGGAGGCGAGUUCGCUAACGAGGAGCCCGUUGAGUUUGCUUUCGAGGAUCCAGUCAACUCUGACAACUGUGCAGGCAAGAUGAUCAUACCCUCGAAAUCACUACUAUCUUUGCUAUGCUAGUUUGCUCGCUCUUUUGCUAUGCCAUUGCUACGAUGCCUACCACUUGCUUGCAAGCCUCCCAAAUUUCCAUGUCAAACCUCUAACCCACCAUUGUCCUAGCAAACCGUUGAUUGGCUAUGUUACCGCUUUGCUCAGCCCCUCUUAUAGCGUUGCUAGUUACAGGUGAAGAUUGGAGGCCGUUCCUUGUUGGAACAUUUAUUUACUUGUUGGGAUAUCAUUAUAUUGCUAUGUUAUCUUAAUGCAUCUAUAUACUUGGUAAAGGGUGGAAGGCUCGGCCUCUCGCCUAGUGUUUUGUUCCACUCUUGCCGCCCUAGUUUCCGUCAUAUCGGUGUUAUGUUCCCGGAUUUUGCGUUCCUUACGCGGUUGGGUUAUAAUGGGAACCCCUUGAUAGUUCGCCUUGAUUAAAGCUUUUCCAGCAAUGCCCAACCUUGGUUUUACCAUUUGCCAGCUAGCCUUUUCUUUCCCUUGGGUUCUGCAGACUCAAGGGUCAUCUUUAUUUUAACCCCCCCGGGCCAGUGCUCCUCUGAGUGUUGGUCCACCUGUCAGCUACCGGUGGCCACCAGGGGCAACUCUGGGCUGGCCUACCCGUACCUAGGACAAUCUGAGUGUGCCCUGAGAAAGAGAUUUGUCGGCACAUUCGGGCGGUGUUGCUCGUCUUGUUUUAACCUGUCGAAGUGUCUUGAGUUACCGAGAUACCGAGUCUGAUCGGAACGUCUUGGGAGGAGGUCUAUUCCUUCGCUGACCGUGAGAGCUUGUCAUGGGCUAAGUUGGGACUCCCCUGCAGGGAUUGAAUUUUCGAAAGCCGUGCCCACGGUUAUGGGCAGAUGGGAAUUUGUUAAUGUCCGGUUGUAGAUAACUUGAGCCUUAACUUAAUUAAAAUGAAUCAACUGAGUGUGUUACCGUGAUGGCCUCUUCUCGGCGGAGUCCGGGAAGUGGACACGGUGUUGGAGUAAUGUUUGCGCAGGUUGCUCUCUAGUUUCUCGUUCGCGCUUUGCCUCCUCUUCUCGCUCUCUUUUGCAAAUAAGUUAGCCACCAUAUUUGCUAGUCGCUUGCUGCUGCUCCACUCAUAUUUUACCUUGCCAUUCCUAUAAGCUUAAAUAGUCUUGAUCGCGAGGGUGCGAGAUUGCUGAGUCCCUGUGGCUCACAGAUUACUAUUACACCAGAUGCAGGGCCUGAUGAUUCCGCUUCAGGAGACGCGUAUGAGCUCAAGUGGGAGUUCGACGAAGACUCUCAACGUUACUAUGUUUCCUUUCCCGAUGAUCAGUAGUGGUGCCCAGUUGGGAGUGAUUGGGACCGUUGUCGCAUUUUGGGUUCUCUUUUAUUUUGGCGCCAUAGUCGGGCCAUGAGUGUUUGGAUGAUGUAAUGUUAUUUAUGUACUUGAUUGACGUGGCGAGUGUAAGCCAACUAUGUUAUCUCCCCUUUUAUUAUUAUAUUACAUGGGAUGUUUGUGAAGAUUGCCUAACUUGCGACAUAUGCCUUCAAUGCGAUUAUGUCUCUAAGUCGUGCCUCGACACGUGGGAGCUAUAGUCGCAUCGAGGAUGUUACAAUGACGCUUCUAAAUCGCACUUGCUUGUGCUUUGGCAUUGUGAAGGACACACAAGGACAUGCUCUCAAGGUGAUAUCCUUCUCUUUCGAGAACCCCCAAACCAUGAGCAUGGAUAUUAUGGAUCAUACUACUUGUGCUGCUUUCGCCAUGAGACUUGUUCAUCUUGGACUACUUGAUUGCGCACAUGUUAGAGAUCUUGCUUGCCAUUUCAACAUUUCCAUGCCUCACGAUAUAUAUGCCUUGUGUGUUGCAUCCAAUUCUUGGAUUACUUGCUCCUCUCACAUGUUUGGUUGCAACAAUGUCACUUCUUCACAUAUGCCAUGUCCCAUUGCUUGUCACAUGAUUGACUUGAUUACCUCACACAUGAUGAACAAUUGAUCUUUCUAUUGUGUUGAGUGCCAUACUAUCUUCACUACACCCUAUCUUUCUAUUGUGUGGUGACUACUUCCUUUGCCUACCAUAGACCAUUUGUCGAUUGUUUUUUGCAUGAUUGCUAUGACCUUGAGGUAGAUGCUUGUUCAAUUGUCACACAUAUUUGCAUCUCUACCUCCCAUUUGCAUACUUGUUUCCAUGAAGUCCUUCUUUGUGCUCAAUUUAUGUGCUUACAUGCCAUGUCAAAAUCCUUUGUCACACCAUAUGCUAUGCUCGAUGACUACACUUGUUGGGUGAAUCACCUCUUGAAUGCUUGGUUUUGCACUAGCGAUAACCACAUUUGUUUUUCCAAUUGUUUGUUGUCUUUGCUCCUUUUGAAGGAAUCCCAAGACGGUGCGACAUUGGAGAGUGCCCAUUUCGAGCUUAAAUAUGACGAGAACUUGGUGAUUGACCACUUCUACACGGCGACGCCAUCUCUUUCCCAUGGUGAUUUGGAUUUUGAUCCGAGGUCGGAUCUUUCCCAAGGGGGAGGGGAUGAUGCAGAGCAUCCUACGGACAUCACCAUGUCAAGAGACUAUUUGGCAAGUGACACGUGUGACAUCUACUUCACAUACACAAAGGUGAGUCAUCUCCUUUACACGUGCUCACUUGACCCUCUCGAGGAUGGUAUACUACUUGACACUCCUUCCGUGUGCAUGCAUAGGUAUUGUCGGAACAUCACGGAUGUCGAGGAGGAGGCGAGCGCAAGUGUAUGGCUACACCAUCCGCGAGGGAAGCGUGGAAGAGAAGACGGAAGAAAGGAGAAGAAGAAGAAGACGGCGGCUGCUGAAGACUAGCCGGACAUCCGGACGCAGAGCUGGAUCAUCCGGGCCCAGCCGGAUCAUCCGGACCGACCCCCGGAUCAUCCGGGUAAUCCAUACACCGGGACGGCCGAACCUUGCAGAAUCUGCUCAGCGAAGCCGGAUCAUCCGGACGACGCCCGGAUCAUCCGGACCCCCAUCCGGAUCAUCCGGCCUUGCGUGCGUGCAUGCCUCCGGGCCGAGGCCCAUGUACCUGUUUCGCCCCCUCACUUACCCUUUCGCCCACUAGACUAUAAAUAGACCUCCUCCACCUCCUUUCUAGGGUUAGCAAAUGUUUAGCUCAUGUUUGUGUGAGAGCUUUGCUCAUCCACUUGGUUACCUUCUCCACGGAGAUUCGAGCCUCCACCGGAGAAGAUCCUCCAAGCGGAUUCAAGACCCCCUCUUGGGCGGCCCCCUUCAAGACCUCCUCAAGGAGAUGAACCUUACCUUGUAUCUUUCCCUUUGUUGUUCAUGUACCUUGUGGAUCUUGUGUGUUUGAUUGUCUAGUGGAUGUGUGAUUGGACUUGUUCUUGAGUGUUCCCCCUUGUGAUUUCUCUCCAUUCUUCCCCGUGUUCUUCGUGUUCUUCGCGGGAUCCGCUCCUUUCAUGAAAGAUCGGCCCCUAGGGUUCCUACCCUACAUCAAGGCUUGUCUGGUUGCUCUGGCAGGAAGGACGUGUCGUCAACACCGUAGUCGAACUGGGGGUCGCCGGCAGUCUCGGGGUCUACCGAAAAGAAGUAACGGAGGGGGAACACAAUAAAUAACAGAGCAAUCAAAGUAUCACAAAGCGAGACACGUCAAUACAUUGUGCUAGGGUGACCUAACGCACAGAUAGGUGAUACCGGCAAAGGGGAAAAACAUCCAGGAAAGUAUUCCCGACGUUUCGCGUUUUCGGACGGACGGACCGGAGGGGGAAAGUUGCGGGUUUGCUAUGCUAGGGAUGUGUGGCGGACGAACGGGCUGCGUAUUCCGAUUCGCCUCGUCGUUGUGAGCAACUUUCAUGUAUAAAGUAUUUUCAUCUGACUUACGGUUUAUUUUAUAUGAAUUUCAAAGUUUUAUUGCAUUUACUGAAUUUAUUAACAAAUUGGAAAUAAUAGAAAAAUGCUAGAUGCACCCAUUGGGUACACAGCCAGAGAGACUGACUGGUGGGCCUGGUCAGCUGUUGACUCAGCAGUCAACAGUUGACCGGUCAACUGUCAACAGAACAUGGUGGGGUCCCGCAUGUCAUAUGCUAUACCUAUAAACAAAUAAAUAAAACAAAUCUAAUUAAUAGGGGACCAAACAUCAUCUGUUGUUAGACUAAUUUAGCACUAAACUAACCAAGCUCUAAUAAACAAGGGUCGUCCUAAUUGCACAACUAGCCUUAUGGGUGUGCAGACAAAUGCACACAUAGCACAUGACCAUGCUUGGACGGGGCUAGCUCUCUGCUAGUCAUGGGUUUCUUCGGUACCUUAUAAGCCAGUUCAGUUUUGUCAGUUAUUUGUUCAGCAAACAACUUUGUAGAUACGCGCUAGGAAGAUCAGCAAACUAGCAACGCUAUAAGAGGGGCUGAGCAAAGCGGUAACAUAGCCAAACAACGGUUUGCUAGGAAAGGUGGGUUAGAGGCUUGACAUGGCAAUUUGGGAGGCAUGAUAUAGCAAGUGGUAGGUAUCAUGACAUAGCAAUAGAGCGAGCAACUAGCAAGCAAAGAUAGAAGUGAUUUCGAGGGUAUGGUCAUCUUGCCUGAGAUCCUGAAAGGAAGAAGAACGAGUCCAUGAAGAAGACAAACGGACGUAGUCAAAUGAAUCCUCACAAACGCGACGUUACCGAAACUAACCCAAAGAAGCAAAACCAGAAAGAAGCAAACAACAUUGUAAACAACCAUCACAUAAACAUGGCAUGAUACACAACCCAGUAUGAUGCCUGUCCGGUUUAAAUAUGCAUGGCAUGGCAAAGAGCAUCAAACAAAACUACACAUUAAGUGGAGCCCAACAUGCAACGAGUUGCAUAUUGAUGGAACACCACAUCAAUUAUUUAGUUCACUCCCGGUUAGGUACUCAACAAUAUUAAAUGUUGGUUAACAUGGCAAGAGGUGAAGCUUAAGAAAACUAUACCAUCUAAACAAUUUAAAUGGGGCCGAAUAUAACAAACAACAAAUCCGGUGAAUCCCCAUAGCAAAUUAAUGCAAACAACAAUUGAAACACUUGAUGUUGUUAUCAUGAUGCGGAUGACAUUUGCAAGUUUUAUGCAAUUUUAUUAAAAGUUGACAUGAGCGUGAUGAGAGCAUUUGUCACCGUGGUAGAAAGAAAGGGGUGCCACGGCGAUGAAACGGAAAUGAUGCCGUGACAACAAUCCGGUUCCGAUAACUCGAUUGAGAUACCGAUGCAAAAGAAGAUGUGACGGGAGCCUGUCAUGCGAUGAAUGGUGGGGUGCUCCCUGAUACCGGGUUCCCACAUGUCGAUGGCAAGGCAACGAGGAACUCGCAAAGAACAACUAGGACACGGUGCAUCCACGAUCAUCUUAUACAUCACAUCACAAGCAUUCAUUCUCGGAUGGUCAUCUCGGGGUUAUACCUUUGAAGCGUGCGGUUCAGGAUGGUGCAAUGUAGAGGAAGUAGACGUUCUCGGGACGGUCAUAGUGGAAGUAGUGGUACUAUCGAUCCUCGGCGAUGGUAGUGGAAGUAGUGGUUCACGAGUCGAAGAGGAAAUGGGUGUUCAUGUUCGGGAAGCGGUAGAGGCCCGGGUCUUCGGCAACGGUCGUCGUACACGCUCAGAGUUCGUCGGUAGAGGUUCUCACAUGCUCCAGGUUCGUAGGUAGAGGUUCUCGCGAUCUCGGCGACGGUAGUGGUACCCGUUCUCGUAGACGUUCGGGGUUGUGGGUAGUUGAGCACAGUCGUUGUUGGACUUGACAGAUCCGAUGCCUCUGGGCGAAGUGGUACAUGUUCAUUUUUGGAGAGUUACUUGGCGUACUUCAUCUCGCGGUGUAGUCAAACUUGGCGUAUCCGAGGGCUCCGGGCGUCGUGCUACUUGGGAUCUUCGGACUCAUCGGUCUUCUCAACUCGAAGGGGUACUUGCGUUUUGUAGUUCCAUAUCCAAGGUCGACAUGUAGCCGUACACGGGUUGUAGGGGAACUUGAUGCAUUUGAGUUAUUCAGGUUUAUAGUUGUACUUGACGUUCGGAGUCUGGAUCUUGCGGGUGGUGUACUUGGUGCUUGCGGUUCCGAUCCGGGGGUGCAUGUGUCCACGGUAACACUGCAUGGUGCAAAGAGGCGACGACUUGGGCGGUUCUGAACAAGGACUCAGGCAGCUUGUGUAGGAGCUCGAUGGGAUGGCCGAGCUUGGCUCGUACAGUGCAUAAGGGGACGCUCAGGAGGAGAGCAAGCUGCGGGCGUGACAGGGACGAGGUGGAUCUGGGCAACAGGCACAACAGCGCUGGGAACCGGGUGGAUGCCAGCAGGUCCGGGCGGCGUCAGCAGCAGAGUUGGUCGGAGAGAGUGGCUCGGUCAGGAGUUCGUCAGCACGAGGAGGAGGCUGGCGGAGAACAGCAAGGUGGAGACACAGGAAGGCAGGGCCACGGGCAUCCAUGGCGGCCGCGAGCCACAAGGGUGCAGCAGCGCGGUGCUGGAGCAUGGGCUCGCCGGGCGGCGCGGUAGUAGAACAAGGCAAGGUCAACGGAGCAGGAGGGAGCACGCAGGCAAACUUGAUGACGAGGGGCCAUGGUCGCGAGCGCGCGAGGAAGAGAAGAAGGAGGCGAGCGCGAGGUGACUGACGGAGGCGGCUUGGGGCAGCUUCGCGGCGAGGAGAUCCAUGGAUCGGGACGAGGGGUGCAGUGCUACUCUCUCCCUGUCUCUCUCUGACGGCGCACGCACAUGAGGGAGGAAGGGAUCAAUGGGGGAGAGAGGUUUCGGGCGCGGACGUUGUGGGGAUCGAUAGGAGGCGGCGGCAGAGGAAAGGGUCGAGGGAGAGAGGAGAGAUGCGCUAGGGUUAUAGCGGGGGUAGGUGGGCUUGCAGGGAUGGGCCUAUUGGCCGACUUGGCUGGGGAAGGUUGGGCCGGUGAGAGGCCCAGUUCGACUGGACUCUCCUCUCCCUCUCUCUAAUUUUCUUUAACAGAAUAGCACUAGAGAUAAAGAAAAGGAAGAGGGGGGUUAGGGAAAGUAAUUUGGGCAGAUGUUGAUUCUCCCGGACUCGCAAAAAUGCGCUGGUUCCAAGAAAAAUAGAAAAAAGGCAUGAUUGAAAGAGGUAAAUUCAAACUCAUUUGAAUUUAAUUCAAAUGGGUUUGAACUAGGACUUGGUUAAAGGAAGGUCCAAAAAUGUUUGGACUUUUGGUGGAGCACCGGAAUAAGAUGAACGAACAUAUGGCAAGGUUGGAGUCCAAGAAUUAAGAGAACAAAGGCAUUGGGAUAAUUUGCAAGUGUGUUAGAAUAUUUAUUAUAGCUCCCUACUAUAUUGGGAGGAUAUGUCCUAAAGAUAAAUCACCAUUGUGAAUAUCCCUCGUUUUAAGUAGAUCAAAAGAUCUAUGCGAUUUAUUUAGUUGAGUUGAGAUGCAAAGAUUAAUGACAUGAUGGCAUGAUGACAUGAUGCAAUGCACAUGAUGCAAUGAUGAAUGUAACAAACCAACAACUCACAUGACGAAACUCGAAAAACAUGGAAGGCGUCUGAAGCUCCGGUAUUGGGGCGUCACAACACUCCACCACUACAAGAGGAUCUUGUCCCGAGAUCUAGGAUGGCACCGGAGAGAAACGGAAGAGGAAGAAGUAAAACAAAGUUGCUUCUUUGACAAACGAGUGAGACCAAAGAACCUUGCGAGGUUGAACAAAUUGGAAGGAAGAAAACAAUGAAGAUAAACGAAGUUGAAAACACUUCGUUAGGAAAGAGGGACAAGGAACAUUACUAGAACCUUGUAGGUUGAAAGACAUAAGAAUAGGGUUGCAAUGGACAAGACAUACAUGCAAACACUCCGGUAAAAAGGAUAUGAAGAAGGAAUACAAUUGAUACAAUUUGGGCAGCACUCCGACUGAAAAUGGAAGGAAUUGAACAUGAACUUGACAAGAUGAGAGGAUACUUGAAGAGAUGAACAACACACUGCCUCCGGAACUAUUGAAAAAAUGGCACAAGGUGUAAGAAAGAUUUCAGACGCCACUCCGGUUCAGAAGGGAGGCAAAACUUGACAGAAAGGGAAGAACUUGAAUGUAGGACAUGACACUCCGGUUGAAUGGAUAGGCAAAGGAAAGAGCAUGACCUUUGACAAAAAUGGGAUGAUGGGUGAAGAGAGCAACAUGACCAUGCCUCCGGAACAAGUGAAUGGAAAACUAGAUGGUUGGAAAGAAAAGAAUGGAGAAUAAGAAUGACAACUCUCGCAAAUAAAAUUGAAAGAGCAUGCUGAUGAAGAAAAGUUGAACGGAGUUGUUGGAUUAUCAACAACGAAAGCAUAAGGUUGAUGUGGGCUAAUGGAAGACAUCUCAAAAUUAUUAGGUGACAACCUGCCACUCACGGGAAAAAGAUUUGAUUGAGAGCUAGAAAAGAUAGAAAGCUUCUCCCACCAAGGUGAUAAGAGAACUUGGAUCAUAGGUAAUCAUCACAAGGAGCAACAUUCCCAAUGGAAGGCUUUAGGUGAAAUCUAUACCAAGAUAACUCCAAGGAAGAAAGUGAUGGGUUGAAAGACCUCAUUCCUGACAACUUGCGAACCGUGAAACUCAAAAGAAAUUGUCAAGAAUGGCAUAUCACCAUCCCAAAAGAUAAGGUAGAAAGAAUUGCACUUUGGAAUGCAAGAUGAAGAAUGCUUGAACUCCUCUGAAAAGAAUCUCGAUGAACACUUCGAGAAGGAAUUAAAUCCUUUAUGAACCAUCAUGUAGAGCCUCCAUGAAGAACUCCGGUAACGAAAGGAUGAUCAAACGAAAGGAAAGAGAAGAUGAUGCAGAGCAUCCCAAGGUCAUCCCCAUGGACCUACCAUCGUCUCAUCAAGUGCCUAGUGGACCCAUGACUCGAUCACGUGCAAGAGCUCUUGAAACCGAGGUGACAUCUCUCUUCUUACAAUUCCACUUUGAUGCACAUGAAGCAUGGCUACUACCUCAUAUGGACACUUUGUGCAUACUCAGGUACCAUGGAGAAGCUAAGGAGCAAGGACAAGAAGAAGAGGAAGAUGGACGAGAAGACGGAGAAGAAGGAGGGCUGAAGGAAAAGUCCCAGCCACCGGACGACCGGCCGGGACCGGACGUCCGGCGCCUGAAGCUUCAGCCAAGCCCCAGCGAGCGGACGUUCGGUCCAAACCGGACGACCGGUGCCCCGACACCCGAAUCAAACGAGCGGACGACCGGUCCGGACCGGAUGACCAGCACACCUGCACCCGAACUAAAGUCAGCGGAAGUCCGACGUUUCUGAACGUCCGACACCCCCAUCACAGAGCAGAACCAGCGGACGUCUUAAGGACAACGGACGAUCGGCCGCUCUUGAGACUUCGGAUGUCCGGUCACCAGCGGGCGUCCGGUACCUGGCUGCGUCCAGAUUCAGGCCUGAGGCCCAUGUACCCCUACUUUCGCACCCAUUUGCACUUAGACUAUAAAUAGACCUCUCCCACCUCCUUUCUAGGGUUAGCAAAUGUUUAGCUCAGAUUUGUGAGAGAGCUUUGCUCAUCCACUUGGUUACCUUCUCCUCGGAGAUUCGAGCCUCCACCGGAUAAGAUCCCCCAAGCGGAUUCAAGACCUCCUUGUGGAGAAGAACAUCAAGACCCCCUAUUGGGCAGCCCCAUCAAGACCUCCUCACGGAGAAGAACCGGUUACCGUGUAUCGUCCCUAGUUGUCCGUGGAUUCGUGUAUCGUUCUAUGUACUCGAGGAUAUAGCCCAUGUGUGACUUAUUCAUGUCGGUUUAGUGAUUUCCUCUUGUGUUUUCCUUCCAUUCUUCCCUGUGUUCUUCGUGUUUUCCCCGGGAUCCACUCCUUUCUUGAAAGAUCGGGCGAUUAGGGUCUCUACCCUACAUCAUCUUGGUAUCAGAGCCACGUUGAUCACGAUUUCGGAGCCCCUCUUCUUUUUCUAGCUUGAUUUUAUUGUUUUUCGUCCUAAUCCGAAAAUCCCCACAAAAAUAGCCCCAAAAUUUUUUCUUGUGUUUUGUGAGUUUUGAUGAUGUUUUGUUGGUUUUGAUCCAUGAAUUUGUUGUGUUGCAAGUGGAUCUAGCCUUCCCCCACCAUCUCCACCUCGAAAUCCAUCCAAAAUCCACGAAACCCUAGCAAUUUCAUGUUGACCCCGACCCACCGGACGACCGCAACUUACCGGACGUCCGGCGACCCAGGAACCACCGGACGUCCGACCAUUACCGGACGACCGGAACCUCUACACCGAGCUGAAAUUAGCGGAUUUCCGACCCUCUCGGACGUCCGGCGACCGGACACCCGUCCAUUUCCGGACGACCGCUACUCUGAAAAUGAUUUCGCUCAAAUUUUGUUUCGGCUUCCACCACAUCAUCUGCUACACCACCACCGACUUCCGCAAACAUUGCCAAUAUCCCAACCCAUACCACCACUUACCCGCUACCUACUCCGACGAUUUUGCUCGCACUUGGGUUUGAGAAUUUGAGUUGCGGUACCGUAUCCUUUUGUGUUUCGGCUAUCUAGGUACGGUUCGACAUUGACAUCGUCGCCGCUCAUCUUCGCCACGGACACGUCAUCAACAACGACCACCUCGACUAUGACUUGGUAUUCGUGCCACCAUUUUGACACCAUACCGGAGGCAAGACUGGUAACUUCAUCUUGGUAUUGGACAUAUCACUCUUGCCAUUACAUUGAUAGCCAUCAUAGCCUUACUCCUUUGUGUUGCUUACCCAUCGAGACUAGCCGUUGACUAUUGCCGACAACGAGACUUGUGCACAUUAGUGAUCAUACUUCCCAUAGCAUACAUACAUACAUCAUUGUUGCCUAUAUUGGUAUCAUCUCUUGUGUCACAAAGUUGUCAUCGCAUACUCACUUGCUAUCUUGGUUCGUCAAGCAUUGCAUGACAAAAGGGCUCAAACAUCAAAGAGCCAACCAAGCUUUUAAGCAAAGAGGAAAGAUAAGCAAAGAGCUUUUAAGCAAGAACCAUAGCAUCAUACAACAUUAAGAUUGUCAUACUCGAUCAUCAUAUCAUAGCAACACCUUGCAUAAAACAUAUUUGGGAUAGAAGUCGUUGCACUUUUGCUAAGUAGGUCGUGCACAAGUUCUUGUAUCCGCCUAUCGUGCAAUCGUGCUAGUGUCUCUCUAGUGUUGUGCAACAAGAGCAUUUUUGUGGAUUCCACAUUUUGGCUCACCCUUGGUUGCACAACCCCACUUAUCUAUUUGCGCGUGUGUUUCCGUGUACCGUAUAUGCUUGGUCUACUUGUUACACUUCAUCUUGCGAAUCUUUUCCAACAUUGUUGAAUCUUACUUACAUUCACAUUAAAAAUUGUGCCACCAUCCUAACCAAGCUCCACCAUAAGCUUUUACUUGUGUAGGUGUGAGCAACCAACGAGAAUUCAUACUAAUUGGGCUAUUUCCUUGUCCUACAUUGGAGUGAUCAUCGAUUCACUUUCAACUUCGGUCAAGGUACAUUUGGUAUUCGUUCUUCUCUUUCUACCACUCACAUUCGUCUUGGAAUGAUGGAUAGGCCAAGUACUUCUACCAACCUACUCUUCAUGGAGCAAGACGACGACAUGAACUCCUUCGUCACCAAGAAUCACCUCUUUGGUGCACAACAUGCUUUGCAUCAAGAGCAACAAGCUAUGAGUGAACGCAUCGACAAUCUUGCCGCCGACUUGCGACUUUCCGAGCAACGUACUAGGGACUACUUCGACUUCAAGAAGGAGCCAUUCAAGUCGCCAUUCUGACUAUACCCUCUCUUGCUCAAGUACACCGACAUCGAACACUCUUCGUCGAGCCGCGCACACCGACCGUCAAGCAAACCUCAAUCCACUUUGAGACACCGACUCUCAAGAGCGCCGACGACGUCAAGCCGAAGAAGCCUUUGCGCUAGCUCGAGAACGACAACAACAAUGCCAACAUGAAGAGGAAGAACGCACACGUCUACACCAAAAUGCACAAGAUGCCGAGGCUCAACGUCAAGAACAACAACUCUGUGACGCUCAAGCACUUGAGGCGCAACAAGCUCUACGUGAUGCGAGUCGAGCCGUUGCCGACAGAGGCCGACAAGCCCGUGACGAAGAGAAAGCACUUCGCGAAGAAAUUUACGAACGACGAUUUCAAGCUCGCAUGCAUCGUCUAGUUGCUCCUCGAGCUCGACGCGCUCCUCCACAAGCUCGCCAAGACCAUCAAGUUCAUCAAGAGCAUGAAGACAAUGGGAAUCCUCCGCGACAAGAGCAACACGAGGUUGACAACCCUCCGCGUCAAGAACACCACGAGUUGAACAAUCAUCUACAACAUGGGCGUCAUCAUCCCCGACCCCAACACAAUGAAGAACAACGCUACGGCAAGCUCAAGUUCACCAUGCCCAAGUUCAACGGAAGCAACGAUCCCGAAGAAUACCUUUCAUGGGCAUUGAAAGUUGACAAGAUCUUCCGUUUGCACAAUUAUGAAGAAGAGAAGAACAUCGCGAUGGCAUCCCUUGAGUUCCAAGACUACGUCCUCAUUUGGUGGGAACAAAUCAAAGAGCGCCACGAGGCAAGAGGUGAACCACCCGUCACUACUUGGGCACAAAUGAAGGAUGUCAUGAGAGCACGCUUCGUACCUACCUACUACAACCGCGAUCCCUUCAAGAAACUCCAACAACUCAAGCAAGGAACCAAGAGCGUUGAAGAAUACUACAAGGAGAUGGAGAUUGCAAUGAUAAGAGCCAAUGUGACGGAAGAUGAUGAGCAAACAAUGGCACGUUUCUUGAAUGGACUCAAUCAUCCUAUCAAGAAGAUCGCCGACUUCCAACCAUACUCAAAUCUCAUCGAGCUCGUGCACCAAGCAACCAAAGCGGAACGCCAAGUGCAAGAUGAUUUCAAGUAUGCCAAGUUCUCAUCCAAGUCCUACGGUUUCUCCAAUAACCAAGCUUCAAUGACUCCAACACCGACUACAAGACCGUCUACUUCCAACAUCGACAAGUCGACUUCCAAGAAAGCUUCGCCAACUACAAUCAAUCCUAAUACGAGCAAAUUCAAGCCAGAGCUUCAUCAUCAUCAACCCCUACCGAUGAGACCGUCAAGUCGAGUUCCCUCAAGUGUUUCACUUGCGGCGGCCGAGGCCACAAGUCCUAUGAGUGCACCAACAAGCGCACCAUGAUCUUCAACGAUGAUGGCACUUAUGAUUCCACGAGCGAAGGAGAAAUGGAAGCCCUUGAGCAAGUCGCCAUGCACCGCCAAGUGAACAAUGAAGAAGAACAAGUCUUUUGUGAUGAAGACUCAUGUCCCGAACUUGUUGUCUCCAAAGUCUUGACUCCACAACAUCACCAAGAAGAAGACCAACGAUGCCACAUAUUCCACACCAAGGCCGGUAUCAAUGGACGAUCCGUCAAGGUCAUCAUCAAUGGAGGGAGUUGUCACAAUCUCGCAAGUGAAGAACUUUGCUCCAAGCUCCAAUUGCCCAAGACGAAGCAUCCACAUCCAUACAAAGUGCAAUGGCUUAGUGACUCCGGUACCAUCCAAGUCGAGCACCGAGUGCAAGUAUCCUUCAAGAUCGGCGCCUACGAAGACACCUUGGAGUGCGACGUCAUCCCAAUGACCAUUUGUCAUCUUCUCCUUGGACGGCCAUGGCAAUUUGAUAGAGGAGCCAUCCACAAUGGGCGUACAAACCACUAUAGCUUCAAGAACAAAGGAAAGGAGUUUGUGUUACGACCUAUGUCUCCAAGCCAAGUGAUCGCCGAUAAGCAAGCCACCCAUCAUGGAGAGAAUGGUGAGAGAGUGAGCCACCAAAAAGAGAGUGAGCGCCACAAGCCCAAAUUGAGUGCCUCCACGAUGAGCAAAAACAAGAACCUAGUUCUAUUUGCCACCAAACGUGAGAUGAGAGAAGUGUGUGAGAACCCAUCUAGUGUCCUACACGACGUCCUCGUGUACAAGGACAAUGCACCACAAACUAACACUUCUCACACUCUUCCUCUAGUGUUGUCUUCUCUUUUGCAGGAAUUUCAAGAUGUUUUCCCCGAUGAGCUACCUCCAGGACUACCUCCACUACGAGGCAUUGAGCACCGCAUCGACCUCAUCCCCGGAGCACCGCUUCCGAACAAAGCUCCAUACCGCGUCAACCCCGAAGAAACCAAAGAAAUUCAAAGGCAAGUAAAGCAUCUCAUAGCCCAUGGUAAUGUGCGUGAAAGCUUGAGCCCUUGUGUCAUACCGGUCAUUCUUGUGCCAAAACGUGACGGUAGCUUUCGCAUGUGCUCCGAUUGUAGACCUAUCAAUGCUAUCACCGUUCGCUAUAUGUACCCCAUUCCACGCCAAGAUGAUAUGCUAGAUGAGCUUAGUGGUGCCACUAUAUUUUCCAAAAUUGAUCUUAACAGUGGUUACUAUCAAAUCCGCAUACAAGAGGGCGAUGAAUGGAAAACUGCCUUCAAAACCGAGUUUGGUUUGUAUGAGUGGUUAGUCAUGCCUAUGGGUCUCUCAGAAGCACCGGGCACUUUUAUGCGCCUUAUGAAUCAUGCCUUUCGCCCUUACAUUGGUAUAUUUGUUGUGGUUUACUUCGAUGACAUUCUUGUGUUUAGCAAAUCUAUCAAAGAGCAUGUCACCCAUGUCCGCACCGUUUUGCAAACCCUUAGGAAAGAGCGUCUAUAUGCUAAUAUGGAGAAAUGCCUUUUUGGUGUUGAUAAGCUUGUUUUCUUGGGUUUUGUGGUUUCUUCUACGGGUGUUCAUGUAGAUGAGUCCAAGAUCAAUGCUAUUAAGACUUGGCCGCAACCAACCAACUUGCAUCAAGUGCGUAGUUUCCUUGGUCUUGCGGGUUUCUAUCGCCGCUUUGUGAAGGACUUUAGCACUAUUGCUUCGCCUUUACAUGCUUUGAGCAAGAAGAAUGCGCCUUUUGUUUGGGGACCAUCCCAAGAUACCGCAUUCAAUGAGCUUAAGAAUUUUCUUACUCAUGCUCCAGUUCUUGCUUUACCCAACUUCGACAAGCCUUUUGAGAUUCAUUGCGAUGCUAGCGGUAAUGGCAUAGUAGGUGUGUUAAUGCAAGAGAAGCGCCCCAUAGUGAUGUAGGGUAGAAACCCUAUAGCCCGAUCUUUCACGAAAGGAGCGGAUCCCGCGAAGAACGUGAAGAACACGAGGAGGGAAAUGAGGGGAAAAUCACGAGGGGAACACAAGAGAACACUCAAACCAACAAGAAUGAUCACACAUGCGCUAGAUCCAUGAACACAAAAGGAGAUACAAGAUCCAAAGUCAACAACGGACGAUACAAAGGGUAGCCGGUUCUUCUCCGUGAGGAGGUCUUGAAUCCACAAGGGGAUCUUCUCCGCAAGGAGGUCUUGAAUCCAAGGUGGAUCUUCUCCGAAGAGGGGCCGCGGUCUCUCUCAAGGAGUAGAUCUAAUAUGGAUGAGCGUAGAUCUAUCUCUCAAAUGAGCUAUCACAAUGCUAACCCUAACUAGGAGGAGGUGGAGGAGUAUAUAUAGUCUAGGCGAAUGAAAGGGUAAGUGGCUUCGGCCCAACACACGGGUGGGCGCACAGGCAUCGGACGUCCGACAAGUACCGGACGUCCGGUGGCUCGCGAGGGUUCGGUCAUCCGGUUCAUGUUGGACGUCCGGCGUUUUGGCUCUGGACAGGUGGUGUCGGACGUCCGGUCGACGUCGGUCGUCCGGGCGCAGGAGAGUGUCGAACGUCCGGUUUCUGGCGGUCGUCCGGGCGCUGGGAGUCGUCGGACGUCCGGUGGCUCCGGUCGUCCGUAGAUUCGGCUCGGGUCCUCAGGGGCCGGACGUCCGGGCUGGGCCGGUCGCCCGGUGGCUGUAGCUUCGCGCAGCUUCUUCUCUUGGUCCUUGUACUUGGUGUCCUCGCUAGUUGUUCCGUUGGAUGUGGUGACUUCGUGGAUUUCCUCCAAGUACCUGAUCAUGCAUAGAACACACGUUGGAGGUAGUAGCCAUAUCUCACAUGUAGAAAGUGAUGGUUCGGAGAGGAGCGAGUUCACCCUGUGUCCAAUGGCGUAUGUUCGAGGUCUCGUCAUAUGUCCACUUAGGGUUUGGAGACUAGUCGGAGUGUACAUGGGGAUGAACGUGGGAUGCUCCAUAUCAUCUCCCCUCCCUUGGGAAAGAUCCGACCUCGGAUCAUGAUCCUCAUCACCAUGGAAACGGUUGUCGUAGACGGACUUGUAGUUGGACGAAGUUGAAGACAUGGCACAAUCCAAGUAGUCCCAGGUGUCGCCGGAGUGAUAGACAUGCAAAAAGAGCGAACACAAGCAAUACUCGGAAAUACAAUGGUUAGCACACACAAAGUGUCCAUCAUGUAAGAAUGAGUCCAUGCAACAAGAUUGAUCGUGACAAGGUGCAUGAAGCUUAUCCAAAAUAUAUGGAAAUGUAUGCACAACAUUCAUGGUAGCAAAAGCAAGAAUAUGAUGAAUGCAACCACGGUGCAAAAUGAUGUCAUAGUGAGACGGUUUAUCAAUAGCAUUAAUAUGGCAAUGGAUGCUCAAGAUGAGUAUGUGAUCAUGCAAUUGAUGGUAGGCAAUAAGAUCAUGAUGUAUGAAUAUGCCAUCAAGGUAUAUCACAACAAAUUUGCUAAUGAAAUGCACAAGCUCAUAUAUCAUGGAUGUCAUGGGAAUACAAGAUGCAAUAAGGCAAUCAUGAUGUGAGUCAAUCCAUGCAUAAGAUGCAAAUUUGUCAUGUGUAUGAUAUGUCCAUCGGGCAUGACAUGUGUGAACACAAUCAACAAAUAUGGAGGUGUUGGUAUACCAAUGCUCGAUGUCGUGGCAUCAGUGGAGGUUCGAAGGUGCAUCCAAUAAAUCCGAGCGCUCCUCAACUUGAAGGUCCAUGGGUUCCAUCUCCAAUGUCGGUCCUCCAUCUAAUAGAUGUAACAUGUAGACAAGAAGAAGGAAACAACAAUGAAAGAGUGACCCAUCCAAUAUGCAUAUUUGAGGAUGGCUCAAAGGGAGGGAGUUCACCUUUAGGAGAUUCUCGCAAAUGUUGGUGUUGCACAUCGUGUAUGCCUUCACAUGACCAAAUUGUGUCAUGACGGUAUCGUCUUGUGAAUCCUUCAACAUGAAAGAACAUGACAAACACUCGGAAAAACAAAUGAGGUUAGCGGAAAACCUAUCAUUCGUGCGGUAAAAUACCCAACAAGUGGAUGCAUCAUGCUUAUCAUAAGAAAGGACAAGGGAGCAUUUCAUAGUACGGAGGCAUAUGAUGUGAGAACAACCAAAUAGAAUAGGCGCAAGCAAGCAAGCAUGCAUCACAAGUAAGGUGUCCAAGUCUCCAAGAUCAAUAAACAUAAUUGGAGGCAAGCGACAAUGAACAAGAUGUAUCAAGUGAGAGGCACGAGCAUAUAUGUCAUCAACCCAAGAAAGCGAGUAAGAGUUGAACAUGGGUGAUGCGACAAAGCAAGCAAUCAUGGUUAUCAAUUCAAGCAAGCUAGUAGUGCGAAGAUGCAACAUACGAGAAGAAAUCAUGGCAAGCAUGUCAUUGGUGCAAAUAGUGUGCAUGAAUAAUUCACAUGACAUAGCACAAGCAUGAAAGCAAGAUAUGAGCAAAAUAGCAUCAAUAGCAUGGGGCACAUGAUAAACAUGGCAAGAGCAACAAGGAUCUCCACCAAGCAUGCAAAUACACAUAGAAGUAGCAUAAUGGUGAAUCAUGGGUAGAUGCAAGCAAGGGUCACAAUGGCAUGGCAAAGGCAUAGGAGCAAGCAUAGCAUGCAAAGUGAACACGGUAAAAUGAGCAUAAGGUGACAAAUGGUAAAUAUCCCAUAGCCGUGUGAGAGACAAGUAAAAGAGAUGCGCGUAGUCUUUGCGCAAAAGGAAUGGUGGGAAUGAUAGUCCACGGGAUCCCAAGUCAUCGUUGCUCUCAAGAGCUCGUUUCGUCAACUCUUGUGAUUGAGAGGUUGACGAGUAUACGUGAGUACCUACACAAAGCAAAGACAAAGGGAAAAUUGUGUGUGCAUGGUAGAUGUACACAUCAUCCAUCAUGGUGUGCAUGUGUUUGUGUUUGUUAGCACAAAAUAGCCAAUGCUCAAAUAAAUGAGAUGCGCGAUAUAGAAACAUGUCAUCCAUCAUGAGAGGUUUGUUAUGAUGUAUGUCAUAAUGGAGACUCAAAGGAUGUAAUGCAUCAUGAGAAAUAUCUAGAGCAUUGUUAUUCAUGGAAUGCAUAUGGUGUACACUAUCAUGGGAAUCAUGUAAAGUAUGAAAUGCAUCAAGAUCUCCUAAUAUGUAUGAGGAAACUAUGGGGGUCUCCUCAUGAGCAUGAGUAGCAACAUCACAUGGAGAAUAUUGACAACAUCCAAAACAAUGCAUAUUUGGAACAAUGUGAUGAUGGCAUGGUAUAGUAGAUGAAUUGCGCAAAUCAUGUAAAGGAAGCAUGGCAAUAUCAUCACAAGAGAAGCAAAAGCCAAUGACCAUCAUCUCGUCAUCUAUGCCAUAAGUGCAAAUGGGAUGUAUUUUAAUGGGGCAUGCAUAGUUACUAUGUUGAGAUUGAAAUGAGGCUAUAUGGGAGAUCUCACUCAUAGCAUAUCACAAGUUCAAUGGAUUGUCAAACAUGAAGUAACCAAUAGAAUUUUCACAAGAUAUCCUAUGAAGCAUAGCAUCACAACUAGGCAACUCAACAUGCUCAUCAUCAUAUUCAUCAUAAAUAGGUAAGUCAAGGCAUAAAGAAGUCUCACUAGCGUGAAGCAUGGUAAUAGGUAGGUCAACAUCAUGGGAGCAACUGAUGUCAAGAUAGUCCACUAGUGGGACAAGAGAAGUACCAUCACCUAUGUUACCUUUGGAGCGUCGCUUAUGUGUUGUAGGUGAGGUGUUGAAGAUCGUCUCGUUGUCAUCUUCAUCUUGAUGGAACCAUGUGGGGGGUGCAUCAUCGUCCACCAUGGCCAUCGUCAUCUCCAUUGGAGGUAUGGACUCGUCGAGGAUAGGCGUGUCGUCAUGUAGGAGACCUAGCACCAUAGAAGAAAACACACUAGGAGUAGAGGUUAAGUCGUUAGAAAUCAAAGUGGCCUCACAUGUCGUGUCAACUACCUCACUCACUAUGUGUUGUGGCUCACUCACUCCCGGUAUGAUGCUCUCACUCAUAUGGUUGGUGGAGUCAAUCAAAUGGCUCUCAACCUCACAUAGGAUGUGUGGCAUGAUCUCAAGUGUGGGGCUAGUGGUGGUCACACUCAUCCUCUCAUAGGAAAUGCUCUCAAUGUCACAAAUGGUGGAGUCACUCAUAUCACUCAUGGUGGGGUGGCUCUCCUCACAUGGGAAUUGGGGCAUCUCUUUAUAUGUGGGUGUCGGAGAGAUGUUGGUGCAAAUGUCUCCAUGUUCAACUCCUAUCGCCGCCUUGGUCGAAGGGAUGGUCCCAUGCUCAACCUUCUUGUCACCGUCUUGUUGUUGGAGGCCCAUAUGAUGUGGCACCUCGUAGCUCGUCUCCAUGACCGAAGGGAAUUUCCCAUGCUCGGCCAUCUUCCUUGGGGGGCUUCCGAAGAUGGAAGUGUCGCCCUCGCUCGUAGGUAGUCGCCUUGGACUUGAUGAAGUCGAUGUAGGCGUACACGUGGGAAGUAGGCGAAGAGGCCGUACGUCCAAAGGCGAAGAUGCCUUGAGAACACUUGGUGAAUAUGCUGAAGGGGUUGAUGUAGCCGCAGCGCCAUCUUUGUGGUGGUCAUCUCGCGGUCUUAUUUUGUGCUCAUGAAGCUUCGACUUGGCGUGAGGUAGUGCUUGUUGGGACUUGUGCAUUUGCGCUUGUUGAGAAUCUUCAUGAUGAUGGUGUUAUUGUCGCACUUGAGCUCGUAGUAGAUGUCGUGCGUCGUCGUCGUGCACAUGAUGCUUGGAGGUGACUUGCCCUUCAUGACGAUGUGGAUUAUGAACGUGAUGAUGGUCGCCAUGGAGAUGUGGAUGACUUGCGCUUGCAUCGCUUGGGCGCUCCGAAGACUUGUGGCUUGAACAUCGUCGCCUUGAAGAUGAUGAAGGGGAAGAAGACUUGAUCAAGGCUCUAAUCUCCUCCAUCCUUGCAUCUUGCUCCUCUUUAUGUGCGGAAAGCUUCUUGUCGAUGUAGUCCCUUUUCCUUGCUUCGGAGUGACGAAUGUCGAUGGAGAUGUUCUCGAUGCGCUCUCGCAAUCUUGAUUGUGCGCCUUGCAUUUGUCAUUGUAGAUCGAAGAUUGACGCUUUGGUGAUGUAGUUGUUCACGCCGUCGUCGUUAUCGAAGACCGGAGAUGAAAUGCCUUGCCUAUCCAUCACAAGAUUCGAGCCAAUAUGAGUGGAGAAAGAGAAGAAUGAAUACCAAAUGUACCUUGACCGAAGUUGAAAGUGGAUCAAUGAUCACUCCAAUGUGUACAAGGAAAUAGCACAAUUGGUACCAAUUCUUGUCGCAUUCUCACACCUACACAAGUAAGGCUUAUGGUGGAGCUUGGUGAGGAUAGUGGCACAAAAAUUUGAUGUAAAAUGUUAGCAAGAGUCAAUAAUGUUGAAAGAGAUUCACAAAUUCGGAAGUGUAACAAGUAGACCAAUAGCAAUAUGUGGCACACGGAAACACACACACGGAUAGAUAAAUGGGGUCGUGCAACCAAGGAUGAGCACAAACUGUGGAAUCCACGGAAAACGCUCGUGUUGCACAACUCAAGAGAGACACUAGCACGAUUGCUCACUAGGCGGAUACGACACUUGUGCACAACCUAUAAGAUGCAAAAUGUAACAACUUCUAUCCCAAGUAUGCUAUAUAUGUAUGAUGUUCCGGUGGUAUGAUCCAAGAUGAUCUUAUAUGCAAUGUGGUAUGAUGCUAUGGCACUUGCUUACAAGCUCUUUGUUCACUUUUUUUCUUUGCUUAAAAGCUUAUUCUCUUUUUUUGUAUGGCUACUUUGCGAAAUGCACAAACCAAGGUAGCAAUUGUAUAUAUGCGGGAACAAACUUGAGGCACACGAGAUGAUAUGAUACCAAUAUGAUAUGGUAUGUAUGCAAUGUAUGGUGUAGAUCACUAAUGUGCACAAGUAACAUUGCCGACAAUACUCAAAUGGCUAGUCUCGAUAGGCAAGUAACGCAAAAUGGGCUAGGGGUUAUCAAUGCAAUGGCAAGGGAAUAUACAAUGGAGGGAUACCACAAUAUCGAGAUGAUAUGGAGGUUACCGUCCGUGGCGAUGAUGAGUGGCGGUGAUCUUGAUGGAGAUACCAAGAUGAUGGAGACUCGUCCCUAAGUAGCCAAAACACCUUAGGAAACGGAAAAACCGCGAACUCAAAAUCUCAAAUGUCAUAUGGUGGUAGCGGAAUGCGGUGGUGUUGCAGUAGGCAAUGCGGAAGUGGAGGUUAUGGUGGUGGACUAUACACGGUGUCGGAGUUGAAAGCACGGUCCCUAAGUAGCCGAAACACCUUAGGAGACACAACUCACAACACAAACAAAAUUGGGUUAAGUUGAGGUGGCGGAAGUGUAUAGUGGCCAAGGCUAUGCGGAAGUGGUGGUAGUGGUUGAUGAAGAAGUAACCGUCCCUAAGUAGCCUAGUCACCUUAGGAGACUCAAAUCACUCCUCAAGCAACCACUAAUGCGAUGGGGAACAAAAUUGGUUAGGUUGCGGAAGGCUAUGGUGGUGUAGCGGAUGAUAUGGUGGAGGGCCUAGGCAAACUUGCCAAAUUUCAGAAACUUUGAUGGAGUCAAAUGAUUUUGGUGGUAUUUUUGUGGGAAGGGGGGUGUCAAGAGCUUCAAAACAAGCUAAAGAACAUCAAAAUCGAAGUUCGGAUGAAUUAGUUAUGGCCGAUACAAAAAUCAGCCGAAGUCAGUUUUUACAGGUAGCGGACGUCCGGAAAAAACGGUCGUCCGGUCGCCGGACGUCCGGUCGGGUCGGAAAUCUGCUGAUAAUGCUCGGGUUAGGGGGUUCCGGUCGUCCGGUAGGGUCGGACGUCCGGUGGUUCCUGCGGCUCCGGACGUCCGAUAAAGUGACGGUCGUCCGGUGUAUCGGGGUCAACGCGAAAUUUCAGAUCCGGGACGCGAUUUUGGGCGGAAAAUGGAGAUUUGGGGGUCAAAAUUGAUGGGAUUUCGUGGAUGAAAGAUGGGUAAACUUGGGGAGAUGCUAGAUCCACUUGAAACCAAGCAAAUCUAUGGAUCAAAAUCAACAAAAUAUCAUCAAACCAACAAAUCACAAAAAAAAUUGGGGCUAUUUUUAGUGGGGAUUUUUGAAUUUAGGACGAAAUCAAGCAAAAGAAGGCUAGAAAACGGUGGGGGAGGCUCCGAAAUCGUGAUCAACGUGGCUCAUGAUACCAAGAUGAUGGUAUCAAGAGACAAGCUGGCUCUGAUCCAAGAUGAUGUAGGGUAGAAACCCUAUAGCCCGAUCUUUCACGAAAGGAGCGGAUCCCGCGAAGAACACGAGGAGGGAAACAAGGGGAAGAUCAUGAGGGGAACAAAAGAGAACACUCAAACCAACAAGAAUGAUCACACAUGCGCUAGAUCCAUGAACACAAAGGGAGAUACAAGAUCCAAAGUCAACAACGGACGAUACAAAGGGUAGCCGGUUCUUCUCCGUGAGGAGGUCUUGAAUCCACAAGGGGAUCUUCUCCGCAAGGAGGUAUUGAAUCCAAGGUGGAUCUUCUCCGAAGAGGGGCUGCGGUCUCUUUCAAGGAGUAGAUCCGAUAUGCAUGAGCGUAGCUCUAUCUCUCAAAUGAGCUAUCACGACGCUAACCCUAACUAGGAGGAGGCGGAGGAGUAUAUAUAGUCUAGGCGAAUGAAAGGGUAAGUGGCUUCGGCCCAACACACGGGCGGGCGCACAGGCGUUGGACGUCCGACAGGUAUCGGACGUCCGGUGGCUCGCAAGGGUCCGGUCGUCCGGUUCAUGUUGGAUGUCCGGUGUUUUGUCUCUGGACAGGUGGUGUCGGAGGUCCGGUCGGUGUCGGUCGUCCGGGUGCUUGAGAGUGUCGGACGUCCGGUGUCUCGCGGUCGUCCGGGUGCUGGGAGUCGUCGGACGUCCGGUGGCUCCGGUCGUCCGUAGAUUCGGCUCGGGUCCUCAGGGGCCGAACGUCCGGGCUGGGCCGGUCGUCCAGUGGCUGUAGCUUCGCGCAGCUUCUUCUCUUGGUCCUUGUACUUGGCGUCCUCGCUAGCUGUUUCGUUGGAUGUGGUGACUUCGUGGCUUUCCUCCAAGUACCUGAUCAUGCAUAGAACACACGUUGGAGGUAGUAGCCAUAUCUCACAUGUAGAAAGUGAUGGUUCGGAGAGGAGUGAGUUCACCUUGUGUCCAAUGACGUAUGUUCGAGGUCUCGUCAUAUGUCCACUUGGGGUUUGGAGAGUAGUCGGAGUGUACAUGGGGAUGAACGUGGGAUGCUCCGCAUCACAUAGCUUACUUUAGUGAGAAACUUUCCGCAGUGCAACUCAACUAUCCCAUCUAUGACAAAGAGCUAUAUGCUUUAGUCCGCGUUUUACAUGAAUGGGAACAUUACCUUCGUCCCCAUGAGUUUAUCAUUCAUACCGAUCAUGAGACUCUCAAGUAUCUUAUGGGUCAAACUAAGUUGAACAAGCGUCAUGCUAAAUGGAGUGAAUUCAUUGAGUCUUUUCCCUAUGUCAUCAAGUACAUCAAGGGUAAAGAAAACAUCGUAGCGGAUGCUCUUUGCCGCAUAUGCAUGCUAGUCACACAACUUGAGUUAGAUGUCAUUAGCUUCGAGCAUAUCAAAGAAUUGUAUGAGCAUGAUGAAAAAUUUGCCACUCCUUAUGCCAAGUGUUUGUCGAAUACAUCUUGGGAACGCUAUUACAUCAAAGACGGCUAUCUUAUGAGAGCUAACAAACUUUGCAUCCCAAAGUCGUCCCUUCAUUUGUUGCUUUUGCAGGAAUCGCAUGGAGGAGGCUUAAUGGGACAUUUCGGACGAGACAAGACGUUCGCCACGCUCUCGAAGGGCUACUUUUGGCCAAAGAUGUUUCGGGACGUCAAUCGCUUCACCAACCGAUGUUCGACAUGCCGCAAAGCUAAGUCCAAAGCUCAAUCUCAUGGUCUCUAUAUGCCUCUACCGAUUCCAUACCAACCAUGGGAAGACAUUAGCAUGGACUUCGUACUGGUUUGCCUAGGACUCACAAUGGGAAAGAUUCUAUAUUUGUCGUUGUGGACCAUUUCUCAAAAAUGGCACAUUUUAUUCCUUGUAACAAGAUAGACGAUGCUUCACAUGUUGCUAGUCUCUUUUGUAGGGAAAUAUUGCGUCUACAUGGUGUACCAAAGACUAUCGUCUCGGACCGCGACAUCAAGUUCUUGAGUUACUUUUGGAAGACCUUAUGCGCCAAGCUCGGAAUCAAGCUUCUAUUCUCCACGGCCUAUCAUCCACUAACCGAUGGCCAAACGGAGGUGACAAACCGGACGCUCUCCACCCUUCUUCACGUACUAAUCAAGAAGAACAUCAAGGAGUGGGAGGAGUGCUUACCCAUCGCCGAGUACACUUACAACCGCGCAAGACAUUCGACUACCGGCAAGUCCCCCUUCGAGGUUGUCUACGGUUUCAACCCUUUGUCCCCAUUGGACAUCCUUCCCCUACCACUCCACGAGCGCACAAACAUGGACGCGAGUGAUCGAGUCAACCACCUCAAGAAGAUGCAUGAAGAUACAAGGCACACCAUUGAGCUUCAAGUACAACGACUCGCGACCAAGCUCAACGUCAACAAGAAUCACAUGAUAUUCAACAAUGGAGACCUUGUGUGGCUACACCUUUGCAAGGAACGCUUCCCCAACGAACACAAGUCCAAGCUACUACCAUGAGCCGAUGGACCAUUCAAGGUGCUUGCCCGCUACAACAACAACACAUACAAGAUCGACAUCCCACAUGACAAGUACUCCGUGAGCGACAUCUUCAACGUCAAAGAUCUCUCCCCGUACCAUGGUGAUGAGGAUUUCGAUCCGAGGUCGGAUCUUCCCCAAAGGAGGGGAGAUGAUGCGGAGCAUCCCAAGGUCAUCCCCAUGGACCUACCAUCGUCUCAUCAAGUGCCUAGUGGACCCAUGACUCGGUCACGUGCAAGAGCUCUUGAAACCGAGGUGACAUCUAUCCUCUCACAGUUCCACUUCGAUGCACAUGAAGCAUGGCUACUACCUCAUAUGGACACUUUGGGCAUACUCAGGUACCAUGGAGAAGCUAAGGAGCAAGGACAAGAAGAAUAAGAAGAUGGACGAGAAGAUGGAGAACAAGGAGGGCUGAAGGAAAAGUCCGAGCCACCGGACGACCGGCCGGGACCGGACGUCCGGCGCCUGAAGCACCAGCCGAGCCCCAGCAAGCGGACGUCCGGUCCAGACCGGACGACCGGUGCCCCGACACCCAAAGCAAAUGAGCGGACGUCCGGUCCAGACCGGAAGACCGGCGCACAUGCACCUAACCAAAGUCAGCGGAAGUCCGACGUUUCCGGACGUCCGACACCCCCAUCACAGAGUAGAACCAGCGGACGUCCGGAGGACACCGGACGACCGGCCGCUCCUGAGACUCCGGACGUUAGGUCACCAACGGACAUCCGGUACCUGGCUGCGUCCAGAUUCGGGCCCGAGGCCCAUGUACCCCUACUUUCGCCCCCAUUUGCACUUAGACUAUAAAUAGACCUCUCCCACCUCCUUUCUAGGGUUAGCAAAUGUUUAGCUCAGAUUUGUGAGAGAGCUUUGCUCAUCCACUUGGUUACCUUCUCCUCAGAGAUUCGAGCCUCCACCGGAUAAGAUCCCCCAAGCGGAUUCAAGACCUCCUUGUGGAGAAGAACAUCAAGACCCCCUCUAGGGCGGCCCCAUCAAGACCUCCUCACGGAGAAGAACCGGUUACCGUGUAUCGUCCCUAGUUGUCCGUGGAUUCCUGUAUCGUUCUAUGUACUCGAGGAUCUAGCCCAUGUGUGACUUAUUCGUGUGGGUUUAGUGAUUUCCUCUUGUGUUUUCCUUCCAUUCUUCCCCGUGUUCUUCGUGUUUUCCCCGGGAUCCGCUCCUUUCGUGAAAGAUCGGGCGAUUAGGGUCUCUACCCUACAUCAGAAGUUGAAAACACAAGGUGAAGCCUUAUAAUGAUUUAGAUGGAUCUCCGUGGUGAUAUAAUUGCGAGAGCUUGGAACUCCGGGAAAGAAAAGAUGAAACAAUUGAAAACCGAGAACUUGAUGAGCCUCCGGAAUAAGGAAUUAAUCACUUGGAUGAAACAAGAAUAAGAAUUACAUUAUGCUUAUCCUUAUCAAUUAAAUUGAUGACAAGCAACGGAUUUGGCAUACUACUUAUUCUCGUAGAAAGGAUUAAGAGAGAUAUUGCGCAAACUUGGGAAAAUCUUCAACGAACCACCGGUAGGAUUGAAACAACGAAUGCAUUAAUAUGAUAACCAUGGAAGAGAAUCUUGAGCAAACCACCGUAAGACUUGAAAAUGAAAGUAGCAAAGGCACAAAACACCGGGAAAAAUUUGAAAACGAAUGAAGAUACUUGCUGGGAAUUUAUAUACAUGUGAUCGAAGAGAUCAUGAACUCAUUAGAGAAUAUUUGAAUGAAGCACCGGUAAGAUUUCGAGAAGGAGAGCUGAAAGCUGGAAUGAAUAAUUCUGAGAUGAUGGGCUCCGGAGAAUCAAACUGAAAAGACUCUUGAAUUUCUCCGGAUGGGUGAAAAAAAUUCUCACAAUCGAAAACAAUUAUGAGAGGAUGGCAAUAGGCUAGAACCAUGAAUCUUUGAAAGAACGGAUAAGAUUUGGAGGAAAACUCUUCUCCGGUCUUCAAAUGUUGAGAAUGACGAUGAGAAACACCACCAUGAAUUGUUGAGGCACUCCAGAAUGAAUAAUAGAAAGGUUGAGCCAACAAUGAAAAGAAUUUAAAAGAUCUUGGAGGAAUACAUAUGACUGAUGACAAUUCAUUCUUACGUCAUAUUUGAAAGAAUUUGAGGAUCUCCGGGAAAAUUAGAAGAGUCGGGUAAGAUCCUGAGAAAAGACCUGUGGGUUAGGGCCCACUCAAAAGAUACACCGUUGAAUGAUUUGAAAGAGAGAUUGCGUCGGUUGAAUUAAAUGGCUCAAAAGAGAUAUCAUCCUUGAAAGAGCUUGAAUAAAUGCAGAGUGGAAACACGAAUCUUCGAGAUAUCUUCGGCACUUCGGAUAUGAAUAGAGAGAGGUGAGCGAUUAAGAAGUGCACCAGGUUGGGAAAACAUUAGAACCGAGCAAAGUAUAUGACCGAAAAAGCUUGAAUUAAAUCCACCAGAGAAGAAAAGAAUGAAGAAUGGUGAACUUGAAGCUCCGUUAGUAUCUUCCUGAGAAUCACCGGAUAAGAAUAUUGACGGGAAAGAAUGGAGAGACUUCACAUGAAUAAAAUAGAUACUUGAUUCAGAAAUCUGAGUCCUUGAAGAAAAAGGGGUGGGAGGGUGGGUAAAACAAAGGCAACUUGGAGACGGAUGAAACAAACACCGUUGACGAAAACUGAGAUUGGAUCUUGUGAAUGGGAAAAAUGAUAGGAUCAUCUUGAAGAGAAACACACCGGUUGGAAAUAGAAUUGAGAUGACAAUCUCGAUAAAUAAGAAGGGUUAGUGUUCACGUAGGAAUAUGAGAACAUCGCUUAGGAAAGGUAUGGAAUCAACAUUUGACAUUGAAGCAACUCGAAUACCAUAAACCAAAAUAAAACAAAGGAUUGGCUUGCAGAAUAAGCCGGAAACAAACAUAUGAUAGAUCCCAUAUCAUUGCAUGUGUCUGUUGGAAAGAUAUUCUAGGAGCUACUUGGAUUCCCACUUAUAAACUCCCGAAACUUUCCGGUUAUGCAAUCAGGUGUCGGGGAUACAGGGGAAGCAUAAUAUCUCACCCAAACUAACAAUUCCUACAUCCAGCUGUAUCCAUCCUUCAACACAUAACCAAGAAACCUUCGGAAAUCAUUUACCUCAACCUUCGAAAAGCAUCGGCUAUACGAGUUAUGGCAAUACUCCCGAACUCCCGCCCCAGUACUGGGUGGCGUCGAGGUUUUCUCACCAACAACUGCAUAAAAGAGAUUUUCGAUGUCGGCGAACUUAGGUAUUCCAAAACUGCAACGAUAAAAUUGUGACGACAACACCUCGGAGCUCAACUCCCCGGGACACUGCCACAACCCCUAAAUGUCAGUAGGCACAAAGAACAAUGUUCUCAUCACAAAACCAUCGGAAUGAUUCCAAGAUACCCGCGUGAUCCUAGAAAACAAUUUCAUGAAAUUUGAGAAGAGAAGAGUCAAAACUCUACGUCAGGAGGCCUCACCAGAGCGACGAAGGGACUGAGGACUAAAAAGAAUCCUACUCUCCGAUAUAUAUAAUCCUAAGACUCAAAACAUUUUGUUCUAGACUCAACAACGUCAGCAAUUCAAUCAAGCAGGGGGCUCCUAAGUCGGGGAAGGCUCUGAUACCAACUUGUAACACCCAUAAUGCGGCUAUAUCUCCCAUGUGUCGGGGCAUGACUUAGAGGCAUAACCGCAUGGUAGGCAUGUCGCAAGAGGGGUAAUCUUUACACAUCCCAUGUACUGAAUAAGAAAGAGAUAAAGAGUCGGCUUACAAUCGCCACUUCACACAAUACAUAAAUAUAUCAAAUAUCAUCCAGAAUACAAUCAAGGUCCGACUACGGAACCAAAAUAAAGAAACACAACCCCAAAUGCUAGAUCCCUGAUCGCCCCAACUGGGCUCCACUAUUGAUCGAAAGGAAAACGAAAUAACACAACGAACACGAUCUUCAUCGAGCUCCCACUUGAGCUCAGUUGCGUCAUCUGCACUGGCAUCAUCAGCACCUGCAACUAUUUGAAAGUAUCUGUGAGUCACGAGGACUCAGCAAUCUCACACCCGCGAGAUCAAGACUAUUUAAGCUUAUGGGUAGGAAAGGGUAGUGAGGUGGAGCUGCAGCAAGCACUAGCAUUUAUGGUGGCUAACAUACGCAAAUAAGAGUGAGAAGAGAAGCAACGCACGGUCGAGAAACUACAAGUGAUCAAGAAGUGAUCCUAAAACUACUUACAUUCAAGCAUAACACAAGAACCGUGUUCACUUCCCGGAACCCGGCGAGAAGAGACCAUCACGGCUACACACGCGGUUGAUUCAUUUUAAUUAAGUUAAGUGUCAAGUUAUCUACAACCAGAUAUAAACAAAUUCCCAUCUGCCCAUAACCGCGGGCACGGCUUUCUAAAGUUCAAACCCUGCAGGGGUGUCCCAACUUAGCCCAUCACAAGCUCUCACGGUCAACAAAGGAUAUUCCUUCUCCCAGGACGACCCGAUCAGACUCAGAAUCUCGGUUACAAGACAUUUCGACAAUGGUAAAACAAAACCAGCAAAGCCACCCGAAUGUGCCGACAAAUCCCGAUAGGAGCUGCACAUAUCUCAUUCUCAGGGCACACCGGAUGGGCAAGAUGUCGGGUUGGCAUAAACCCUGGUUGCCCAGGGGGCGCCGGACAUCGCCCAGUUUGGACCAACACUUAGGGAAGCACUGGCCCGGGGGGGUUAAAAUAAAGAUGACCCUUGAGUCCGCAAAACCCAAGGGAAAAAGGUUUAGGUGGCAAAUGGUAAAACCAAGGUUGGGUCUUGCUGGAGGAGUUUUAUUCAAGGUGAACUGUCAAGGGGUUCCCAUUAUAACCCAACCGCGUAAGGAACGCAAAAUCAAGGAACAUAACAUCGAUAUGACGGAAACUAGGGCGGCAAGAAUGGAACAAAACACCAGGCAUAAGGCCGAGCCUUCCACCCUUUACCAAGUAUAUAGAUGCAUUAAAGUAAACAAGAUAUAAUAAUGAUAUCCCAACAAUAAUCGCGUUCCAACAAGGAACAAACUCCAUCUUCACCUGCAACUAGCAACGCUAUAAGAGGGGCUGAGCAAAGCGGUAACAUAGCCAAACAACGGUUUGCUAGGAAAGGUGGGUUAGAGGCUUGACAUGGCAAUUUGGGAGGCAUGAUAUAGCAAGUAGUAGGUAUCACGGCAUAGCAAUAGAGCGAGCAACUAGCAAGCAAAGAUAGAAGUGAUUUCGAGGGUAUGGUCAUCCUGCCUGAGAUCCCGCAAGGAAGAAGAACGAGUCCAUGAAGAAGACAAACGGACAUAGUCGAAUGAAUCCUCACAAACGCGACGUUAUCGGAACCAACCCGAAGAAGAAAAACCGGAAAGAAGCAAACAACAUGGUAAACAACCAUCACAUAAACAUGGCAUGAUGUGCAACCAAGUAUGAUGCCUGUCCGGUUUAAAUAUGUGUGGCAUGGCAAAGAGCAUCAAACAAAACUACAAGUUAAGUGGAGCCCAAUAUGCAACGACUUGCAUAUUGACGGAACAUCACAUCAAUUAUUUAGUUCACUCCCAGUUAGGUCCUCAACAAUAUUAAAUGUUGGUUAACAUGGCAAGAGGUGAAGCAUAACAAAACUAUACCAUCUAAACAAUUUAAAUGGGGCCGGAUAUAACAAACAACAAAUCCGGUGAAUGCCCAUAUGCAUUUAGGAAAUUAAUGCAAACAAUAAUUUAAACACUCUUGAUGUUGUUAUCAUGAUGCGGAUGACAUUUGCAAGUUUUAUGCAAUUCUAUUAAAAGUUGACAUGAGCGUGAUGAGAGCAUUUGUCACCGUGGUAGAAAGAAAGGGGUGCCACGGUGACGAAAUGUAAAUGAUGCCGCAACAACAAUCCGGUUCUAGUAACUCGAUUGAGAUACCAAUAUAAAAGAAGAUGUGACGGGAGCGUGUCAUGCGAUGAAAGGUGGGGUGCUCCCGGAAAUUGGGUUCCCACAUGUCGACGGCAAGGCAACGAGGACCUGGCAAAGAACAACUCGGACACGGUGCAACCACGAUCAUCUCAUACAUCACAUCACAAGCAUUCGUUCUCGGACGGUCAUCUCGGGGUUAUACCUUUGAAGCGUGCGGUUCGGGACGGUGCAAUGUAGAGGAAGUAGACGUUCUCGGGAUGGUCAUAGUGGAAGUAGUGGUACUAUCGGUCCUCGGCGAUGGUAGUGGAAGUAGUGGUUCACGAGUCAAAGAGGAAAUGGUCGUUCAUGUUCGGGAAGCGGUAGAGGCCCGGGUCUUCGGCAACGGUCAUCGUACACGCUCCGAGUUCGUCGGUAGAGGUUCUCACAUGCUCCAGGUUCGUAGGUAGAGGUUCUCGCGAUCUUGGCGAUGGUAGUGGUACCCGUUUUCAUAGACGUUCGGGGUCGUGGGUAGUUGAGCACAGUCGUCGUUGGACUUGACGGAUCCGAUGCCUCCGGGCGUAGUGGUACAUGUUCAUUUUCGGAGAGGUACUUGGCGUACUUUGUCUCGCGGUGUAGUCGAACUUGACGUAUCCGAGGGCUCCGGGCGUCGUGGUACUUGGGGUCUUCGGACUCAUCGGUCUCAUCAACUCGAAGGGGUACUUGCGUUUUGCAGUUCCAUAUCCAGGGUCGACACGUAGCCAUACACGGGUUGUAGGGGAACUUGAUGCAUCUGAGUUCUUCGGGUUUAUAGUUGUACUUGGCGUUCGGAGUCCGGGUCUUGCGGGUGGUGUACUUGGUGCUUGCGGUUCUGAUCCGGGGGUGCAUGCGUCCACGGUAACACUGCAUGGUGCAAAGAGGCGACGACUUGGGCGGUUCUGAACAAGGACUCGGGCAGCUUGUGUAGGAGCUCGAUGGGAUGGCCGAGGUAGGCUUGUACAGUACAUAAGGGGACACUCAAGAGGAGAGCAAGAUGUGGGCGUGACAGGGACGAGGCGGAUCUGGGCAACAUGCACGACGGCGCUGGGAACCGGGCAGACGCCAGCAGGUCCGGGCGACAUCAACAGCAGAGUUGGUCGGAGAGAGCGGCUCGGGCAAGAGUUCAUCAGCAUGAGGAGGAGGCUAGCGGAGAACAGCGAGGUGGAGACACAGGAAGGCGGGGCCGCGGGCAUCCAUGGCGGCUGCGAGCCACAAGGGUGCAGCAGCGCGGUGCUGGAGCAUGGGCUCGCUGGGCGGCGCGGUCGCAGAGCAAGGCAAGGUCAAAGGAGCAGGAGGCAGCACGCAGGCAAACUUGAUGACGAGGGUCCAUGGUCGCGGGCAUGUGAGGAAGAGAAAAGGAGACUGACGGAGGCGGCUCGGGGCAGCUUCGCGGCAAGGAGAUCCAUGGAUCAAGACGAGGGGUGCAACACUGAUCUCUCCCUGUCUCUCUCUGACGGCGCACGCACAGGAGGGAAGAAGGGAUCGACGGGGGAGAGAGGUUUUGGGCGCGGACGUUGUGGGGAUCGAUAGGAGGCGGCAGAGGAAAGGGUCGAGGGAGAGAGGAGAGAUGCGCUAGGGUUAUAGCGGGGGUAGGUGGGCUUGCGGGGAUGGGCCUAUUGGCCGACUUGGCUGGGGAAGGUUGGGCCGGUGAGAGGCCCAGUUGGGCUGGACUCUCCGCUCCCUCUCUCUAAUUUUCUUUAACAGAAUAGCACUAGAGAUAAAGAAAAGGAAGAAGGGUGGUUAGGGAAAGCAAUUUGGGCAGAUGUUGAUUUUCCCGGACUCGCAAAAAUGCGUUGGUUCCAAGAAAAAUAGAAAAAAGGCAUGAUUGAAAGGUGUAAAUUCUAACUCAUUUGAAUUUAAUUCAAAUGGGUGUGAACUAGGACUUGGUUAAAGGAAGGUCCAAAAAUGUUCGGACUUUUGGUGGAGCACCGGAAUAAUAUGAACGAAUAUAUGGCAAGGUUGGAGUCUAAGAAAUAAGAGAACAAAGGCAUUGGGAUAAUUUGCAAGUGUGUUAGAAUAUUUAUUAUAGCUCCAUAAUAUAUUGGGAGGAUAUGUUCUAAAGAGAAAUCACCAUUACUAAUAUCCCUCGAUUUAAAUAGAUCGAAAGAUCUAUGCAAUUUCUUUAGUUGAGUUGAGAUGCAAAGAUUAAUGCCAUGAUGGCAUGAUGACAUGAUGCAAUGCACAUGUUGCGAUGAUGAAUGAAACCAACCAACAACUCACAUGACGAAACUCGGAAAACAUGGAAGGCGUCUGAAGCUCCGGUCUUGGGCGUCCCAAUUGCGAAUAUAAGAUGAAAGCUUUAUUGAUCAAGGUAGGGUUCUGUGACGCCUUGGUCUGGUCGUUGAACACAAACAAAGUACGCGAAGUUGCAGCUAUGGCGAACUUUUAAUCUAAACAAAACCCAAAGUUUAAAUGACGCCCUAAGGGAUAUAUAUAUAUAUAUAUAUAUAUAUAUAUAUGGAGGAAGAGGGGGAAAUUUCGUGGCCCUUGGAGGAGGAGUCUGAAACCAACCCUAACGCUUGUUUCCCCACACAUACGGACUCUAAAAACAGCCUAUACUUCAGUAUUUUGAAAUUACAUGGGCCUGGCCCAAUAAUAAGGUGACAUAGCCCCUAGAAUGGCCUCUAGAGGAAAUUUAUGAAGUGACAUCUUGUAUAUUUCGUCCAAGGCUUCAUACAGUCAUUAUGGUGGCUUCGAAGUCCUGAAAUCAUCACUUGUAACUCCGUUGUUGUUCCCCUUGCGCACGCCAUCAUCUCCAUGCUUGAUCUUGCUCCAGUGUUCAUCCCUCUUAUCCAUGUCAGGCCCUUCAUUUGUAAGCAACACAAUUGUAUCCAAUUUAGGAAGCAUCAUAUUCUCAUGAACAUUAGAAUAAUUACCAAGAAACGGAAGUACCUGAUAAUUUAAUUGGCGUGCGUGAGCUCUAGUAAUUUGUCCAAUAUAUGUAACAGUAGGGGCUGUGGGUGUAACAAUCGUAUUAAUGUCCUGAUCAGACAGGCAGGCAAUGACAACAUGGGGCAAGACGAAGAGAUGAUCAAUAAUGGUGGUGGAGAAGGGGCCGGACAUGGUGGCUGGGAAGGGGCCAGACAUGGCGGUGGAGAAGUGGUCGGACAUGGCGACGAAGAAGGGGCGGGACAUGGUGGCGAAGAAAACAUGGACUCCACGCCGUAGACUUCGUCGGUACUAAGUUCAAUUGUGCGGGACCCUCAUGUUCAAGAACUGCUUCGCAAGGAGAAUAGUACUGAAAGAGCUAUUUCUAGAGAAGAGGCCAAGCUGCAGCUAGACUCGAACACUCCAUUGUAUCAUGGUUGCGAUCCUAAGGUGACCCGCUUGAGUUUCACGCUCGAACUCCUGAAGACAAAGGCUAAAAGCAAAUGGACCGACACUAGUCUCUGUUAGCUUCUCAAGUACCUAAAGGAUGUUUUUCCCGCGGGGAAUCUAUGUCCUACUAGUCUGGAUGAGGCCAAGAAGAUCGUGGGCCCUCUUGAUCUGCCGCAUGUUAGAUACCAUGCAUGCAUCAACAAUUGCAUAAUUUAUCAGAAGGAGCACGCGGGGAAAACCAGCUGUCCGGUGUGCAAUGCUUCUCGAUAGAAGAAAGCCGGGAAGAAAUCUCCCCACAAAGUUGUAUGGUACUUAUCAAUCACUCCCUGUCUGCAACAUUAUUUUGUAGAUCCCAAGGAAGCAAAGCUCAUGCAUUGGCACGCGGAGAGGACAAAGCACAACGAUCGAGAUGAUCCCAAGGUGAGGCACCUCAUGGUUUGAAGCUAGUGGAGAGCGUUCAAGGGCGAAUGUCAGUAUUUUGCAUGUGAUGCAAGGAACAUCAUGCUCGGCGCGUGUACCGAUGGCAUGAAUCUGGUUGGCAACCAGAACACCAACCAUAGCACAUGGCCCAUGUUUAACCGUUUGGGCAUCAAAUGACCUCCAAAUGGAACGAAAUUUGACAAGCGGCCUACCAGUGAUGUACCAAGGCCUCUCGACAAAUCUCGGCCCAUUUCGAGAACGUUUUCCUCCCGGUCAUGAAACAAGGUCUGACAGGUGCAAUGGGUGCAUGUGAGAGUGUCGGAUACCGAAACGGACAACGGAGAGAACUGGGAGACCCGGACGGAUGCAAGUUUUGAAAAACAUAUGGAUGCAAUGCACAUGAUGACAUGGCAAAAUGCAACGUGCAAGCAAAUGACAUGGCAACGAUGACAAAUAACUAGAAGACACCUGGCACAUCGGACUCGGGGCGUCACACACGGUUGGAGGUGGCAGCGGACGGAGGUGCCGGUGCAGCAGAACGUGUGGAAGUAGAGGAUGCACGCUGCGUCCAUGAUGAAGGUCGACCUACAGAAAAGUUAGUUUGCGCCAAUGCCUGUUGAUCCUGCACUUCACGUUCAGGUUUGCAAGCAAGAUGGAAUAAAUGAGUGAUAUUAUUAUAUUCCUUAUACUUUAGAAUGGUCUAAAUCUCUUUAUUUAAUCCACCCAUAAAACAUGCAAGAAUAGCUUCAUUAUCCUCAACAAUACCACAUCUAAUCAUGCCAGUUUGUAAUUCCUGAUAAUAUUCUUCUAUAGAAUUUUUUCCUUGUCUUAAACGCUACAAUUUUGUAAGUAAUUCACGUUGAUAAUAUGGUGGAACCCAAUGAGUAUGCAUAGCAGUUUUCAAAGCAGCCCAAGUACCUGGAAUAGGAUGCAAUCUACAAUGUUUAGACCACCAAACACAUGCAAAACUAGUGAAAGCACAAACAUCGGCAGGAACACGUCUCUCCUCAGGAUAUUGUAAACAUGUAAAAUGUAGUUCAGUUUCUAACUCCCGAGUAAGAUAUAUAUCAGGAACAUAUCUACCCUCAAAUGGUGGAAUAUUUAAUUUUACUUUAGGAAGAUGUUCAUGAUCUCAUACCUCGGGUGGUGGUGCAGCCCUACCGUUGCGAUGAUAUGCAUGAGGACGACCUUGUGGUGGUGGUGGUGGUGCUGGUGGUUGCAUGUAGUUCUGAUUUUGAUCAACCUCAUCCUCGUAAUGGUCCUCCACCUCUGCAGUAGCAGCAGGAGCUACAGAAACAUCAACAGUAGAUACAAUGGCACCAAAAUUUUGACCAGGCUCAAGGGGAACGAGCAGUGCUCGUCCCACUUGAUUUGGAAGGCGACGUUGUUGUUGUUGUUGGUGGUGGUGUAGAGGUGCGACAGGUGCAGCCGGCGGUGGUUCUGGAAGACGCAUGAGCAAUUCAUUAAACUUGUUAUCGAGCUUUGUUUCGAACAUCUUCUCCAUGCCAUCUAUCUUCUCCAUGGCCUCUUCAAAUCUGUUUAGCACAUCUUGCACCUAUCAACUCAUCAUUUGCUGAAACUUAUCAUGAGGCUCCUUGUUCAUCAAGUUCUCCCAGUCAACCUCGUCGGCUUGUGAUCCUACCAUGGUUAGCAGCAAUAGAAACACACAAGAAUAUGAUCCUACAGACUACUAUCAAGUGGUGGUGGUGGGUGUCACAAAUCCAUCAAGCAAAUCUCAAAUUCUUACCAGUUCUUAACCAGCAGCAGUGAUCGGCAAUCGCUGUAGUCAAAACUCUCAAAGCUUGGAUAGAGCAAUUACUAGGGAGAGUCAAACGCACGAUGUAGAUGUAUGUGGAGCAAGGAAGGCUUAUAAUAUGGUAGCAAAAAGGGUCGGCAAUAAUCAAUUUAGAGAUGCAAAGUUGAAUAAGCGCUCAACGACUGUACUGUUCUGGUCCUAGAACAUGAACAAAAUCACAGCGCGGCACGUAAACAAGGGAAAAGCACACUCUGAAUUUUUAUUUUUUUGCUCUCGUUUCUUCCUUUUUUGCGCUCCUCUUUUUUUUACGGUACUUUUUUUUACGAAAAAUCACUAUAUUGGCAGUGUCUCAAACUCUUCCCAAGUCAAACUAACAGGAUAGGCACGAAAUUUUGUUGACAAUUUUUUUCGGAAAUUAGGGCAGCGACGUCGAAAAAGCGCGACAAAAAAUCACUAUGAUGGCGAGUGUCUCAAAAGACUCUGAAAAGCCUAAAAAUAGGAUAGGGAAAAAAUAUUUUGGGCUGCCAAAAUUUUGGCCUAAAAACUGCCCGGGGGUCUUCAGACUUUUUUUUCUUUCCGAAACCUACUCAGGCAAGGAAACACGAAUCAGAAAAUAGAUGUAUCUCGAAAACAAACCUAAUAUGAAAAGAACUCAGAUUGGUGGUGGAUAUAUGAUGGUAAGAUAUGGCAGCGGUGGUGGUAUAUGGUAGCGGUGUUGGUAUAUGGAUAUGGAUUGGUGGUGGUAUAUGGAUACGGAUUGGUGAUGGUAUAUGGAUACAGAUUGGUGGCAGAUAAGCGGUGGUGGUAGAUGGUAGGGGCGACGAUGAUGGUGCGGCAGCGGCGUGACAACUUAUGAGCAGAACUCGAAACUCUAAAAGACUAGACGCUAAUACCAGUAACUAGACACGAUGAUGCAACCACAAAUUCAACAAAGAAAAAACCCUAAAAAAGAUUAUGCUAAGGCUCAGACUGGUUCGGAUAUGAUGAACUAACCCUAAUUUUUUUGUGGCUUUUUCGUGGACUGUAGGUAUGAAGAACAGACUUGAUCUAAACUACGAAAAAUUGUAAAAUCUCACCGAGCAACCUGGAAAUCUGAUACCACUUAAUAGAGGUGAGGGUGUCCCGAUGUUUCGAUGAGAUAGCUAUCAUUUUCUGUGGGAGUCGACCUUGACAAUCCGACUACGAACGUGCGUGAUGUCGCGCCUCCGCAAUCGCUAAACCAACUUUCGAGGGGUUAUUGACCACGUCGGAGCACGAUCAACCUGACCAUGAGGGUCUAUUUCCUGCAAGAAAACGGACAACAAGCAAGAAACUAAGAUUGCAAUCUGGAUAUUGCGAAUAUAAGAUGAAAGCUUUAUUAAUCAAGGUGGGGUUCUGUGAUGCCUUGGUCUGGUCAUUGAACACAAACGAAGUACGCGAAGUUGCAGCUAUGGCGAACUUUUAAUCUAAACAAAACCCAAAGUUUAAACGACGCCCUAAGGGCUAUAUAUAUGGAGGAAGAGGGGGAAAUUUCGUGGCCCUUGGAGGAGGAGUCUAAAACCAACCCUAACGCUUGUUUCCCCACACAUACGGACUCUAAAAACAGCCUAUACUUAUGUAUUUUGAAAUUACAUGGGCCUGGCCCAAUAAUAAGGUGACAUAGCACCUAGAAUGGCCUUUGGACGAAAUUUAUGAAGUGGCAUCUUGUAUGUUUUGUCCAAGGCUUCAUACAGUCAUUAUGGUGGCUUCAAAGUCCUCAAAUCAUCACUUGUAACUCCGUUCUUGUUCCCCUUGCACACGCCAUCAUCUCCAUGCUUGGUCUUGCUCCAGUGUUCAUCCCUCUUAUCCAUGCCAGGCCCUUAAUUUGUAAGCAAAACAAAUGUAUCCAAUUUAGGCAGCAUCAUAUUCUCAUGAACAUUAGAACCAUUACCAAGAAACGGAUGUACCUGAUAAUUUAAUUGGCGUGCGUGAGCUCUAGUAAUUGGUCCAAUAUAUGUAACAGUAGGGGGCGUGGGUGUAACAAUGGUAUUAAUGUCCUCAUCAGACAGGAAGGCAAUGAAGACACGAGGCAAGACGAAGAGAUGGUCGAUAAUGGCGGCGGAGAAGGGGCCGGACAUGGCGGCGGGGAAGGGGCCGGACAUGGCGACGGAGAAGUGGUCGGACAUGGCGACGGAUAAGGGGCGGGACAUGGCAGCGAAGAAAACGUGGACUCCACACCGUAGACUUCAUCGGUACUAAGUUCAAUCGUGCGGGACCCUCAUGUUCAAGAACUGCUUCGCAAGGAGACGAGUACCGACAGAGCUGUUUCUACAGAGGAGGCCAAGCUGCAGCAACUGGUGGUAGACUCGAACACUCCAUUGUAUCAUGGUUGCGAUCCUGAGGUGACCCGCUUGAGUUUCACGCUCGAACUCCUGAAGACGAAGGCUAAAUAAAAUGGACCGACACUAGCCUCGAUUAGCUUCUCAAGUACCUAAAGGAUGUUCUUCCCGCGGGGAAUCUAUGUCCUACUAGUCUGGAUGAGGCCAAGAAGAUCGUGUGCCCUAUUGAUCUGUCGCACGUUAAAUACCAUGCAUGCAUCAACGAUUGCAUAAUUUAUCAGAAGGAGCACGCGGGAGAAACCAGCUGUCCGGUGCGCAAUGCUUCUUGAUACAAGAAAGCCGGGAAGAAAUCUCCCCACAAAGUUGUAUGGUACUUAUCGAUCACUCCCCGUCUGCAACAUUAUUUUGUAGAUCCCAAGGAAGCAAAGCUCAUGCGUUGGCAUGCGGAGAGGACAAAGCACAAUGAUCGAGAUGAUCCGAAGCUGAGUCACGUCAUGGUUUGAAGCCAGUGGUGAGCGUUCAAGGGCGAAUAUCAGUAUUUUGCAUGUGAAGCAAGGAACAUCAUGCUCGGCGCGUGUACCGAUGGCAUGAAUCCGGUUGGCAACUAGAACACCAACCAUAGCACAUGGCCCGUGUUUGUAUGGAUGUACAACCUCCCCCUGGUUGUGCAUGAAGUCGAAGUACAUACGCAUGAGCAUGCUGAUUCAAGGGCCAAAACAACUGGGAAAUAAUAUUAAUCUGUAUCUAGGGCUACUUCAAGAGGAGUUAGACACGUUAUGGCAAACACCGGCCAAGACAUGGGACGCCAACAAAGGCGAGUAUUUCUGUAUGAGAGUCACGCUGAUCAUGACGGUGCAUGACUAUCUUUGUUAUGGAUAUGUCGCAAGCCAUGUGUGCCAUGGAUAUUGCGGAUGCACGCGGUGCAUGGAUGAUACGACGUCUCAGUAGCUAAUGUCAAGGAAAGAUGGCAGAUCUUGGAAAAUCAGGUACAUGGGGCGUCGAAGAUGGCUUGAGAAGGACGACCCAUGGAUUAACCUUGGAGAUCUAUUCAAUGGUGAGGCUGAGCAUUGCGGACCUCCACGCUCUGUUGGAAAAGGCAGUGCCUAGGAGGUUCUUAGGCACGCCUAGGCGCUAGGCAGUGGCCAAACGCCUCGCCUAGGGCAUAAAUGGAGGUCUAGGCUGGGCAAGCAAGGAAUUAUCUACCCAAGUAAGAAAUCAUGCCACAUACUGCACUAAUAUGCCAAAUGAGUUAUAUUCCAAUGGCAGUAGAUGGUAAUUAACUUAUUUAUAUGCCCUAAACUAAUAUCAACACCCAUAUAAUAAUCACAAAUACACUAUGAGUAAAAAUUAUAUUACCGCCUAGGCCACGCCUAGGGCGCUUAGGCACUGCCUAGGCACUAGGCGAAGGCCAACCACCUCGCUUACGCCUCCUGCUUUUUCCAACCUUGCCUCCACGUAAGCGGGGUGGCGCCAAAAACGAUGAGCUUUUGAAAAGCUAGGAACAGUGCCCCGCACCAGGAAAGACGAUGAAAAAGGCGUCGGAGCCGCUGCUGAAGGUAUGGAAGACGAGGUCUGUUUUCUGGGACAUGGAGUACUGGCACAAACUCGACACGCCUCAUUGCCUUGAUCAAAUGCAUAUAUGUAAGAAUGUCCUUGAGAGCUUGCUUGCGAAACUGAUGAACAUGCCGGAUAAGACCAAGGAUGGGCCAAAGGCAAGAAAAGACUUGCAAGAUUUGAAAAUCAGGGAAGAUCUGCACAUGCCUCCCCGUAAAAAGUCAGAGGAGACAGAGACGGAGACAGAGGCGCGGGAGAAGAAGGGCCAAAAUGUAAGGAAGAGGAUUAUUUCCCCCUUCCUGCUUCACCUUAAGUCUGGCUGAGAUCGAUCAAUUCUUCAAGUGCCUUACCCGAAUCAAAGUUAGUUCUGGUUACUGUGUGAAGAUAAGCAGAUUUCUAGACACGAAGAAGAAAAGGUUCAGCGGGAUGAAGUCCCAUGACAGUCAUGUGAUGAUGACGCAGAUACUACCUGCUGCCCUUAGAGGGAUAAUGGACAAGAACGUUCGUGACACGCUUAUUGGUCUCUGCAACUUUUUCGACAUCAUCUCUCAAAAGUCGAUCAGUGUGAAGCAGCUCCAAAGGCUACAGGAAGAGAUCGUUCUGAUACUAAAUGAGCUUGAGAUGUACUUCCAUGACUAUACCCGAUGCCAAGAGUGCUACCGUGAAGGCCAUUGCAAAAAACGAGCCAUGGAUACAUGCUAAGCACGUGACAAAAUGCUUCUUCAUAACCGACCCGAGCAAUCCCAGCCGUGUUGUCGUGAGGAGAGGUAAAAGGAACAUCAUUGGAAUGGAUGGAGUCACCAAUGAGGAAGACCACGACCAGUUCGGAAACCCGAUGAGGGAAGAUGAUGAUGAUGAUGAAGUAUACGUCAAAAGAAGAAUCAAAACUAAAUUACCUAAGAAAGAUUGUACUCCAUGGAAAAGGAAAAGUCAUAAUGAGGGGCUCAAUUAUUCGUCAACGAACAAGAAGGGAAAGAAGCUCACUCAGAAACGAAAACGUCGACGCUGAGAAACCGUUAUCGUUCAAAUGAUGUAAUGUAUAUGUUCAUAUUUUGUAUGCACACUUAACCGUUAUGGGUCAAAUGAUGUAAUAUAUAUGUUCCUAUUUUGUAUAGCACACUUAACCAUUAUGGGUCAAAUGAUGCAAUGUAUAUCGCCUUAGGUAUAUACAUUCUAUCACCUUCCCUUCGUUUCGGCUCUCGGGAAAAAAGGGAAAAGAAAAUAAAAGGAAAAUAAGAAAAGAUUACCUUAAAGAAAAUAAAAGGAAAAGAGAAGAAGAAAAAAAGGAAAAGAAAAUAAAAAUAAGAAAAGGAAAGGAAAAGAAAAUAAGAAACAAACAGGAAAAGAAAAGGGAAAUAAAAAUGAAAACAAUAGCAGGAGUGUUGGUUCAGUAAAAGCACUAUAGCUACGUUAUGUAGCAGUAGCGUUGUUCCAGAAACGCGCUAUAGCUACUUCAUAUAGUAGUAGCGCUUUCUUGAAAAUGCCUAUUGCUAGUUACAACACGUUUUCAAGAAAGCGCUACUGCUAUUUUCACAUAACCCUCUGCGCGGGCUUCCCUCCUCUCCUUCCUCCCCCAAUUCGCCCACUCUCUUCUCGUCCUCGUCGCCCCUGCCCUCGCCAUCGCUGGAGCCUAAGCACCGACCCCGAUGUCGCACGCCUCCCUCGCCUUUGCCGGAGCCCGAGUGCUGACCCCAAUGCCGCGCGCCUCCUCCCUUGGCCUCGGCCCCAACCACAACGCCGCAUCCCUCCGUCGCCGUCGCCUGGCCCUGGCCCGGACGAGCCACGCCUCCCUCCUCUACUUCCUUCCCUCCCAACCUCGACCGUUGUCAGGCCUGCCUCCUCACCCUGCACCCUUUGUAAGCCACCCACCGCUCCUCUCUCUCUGCCAUUAGAGUUCUAGCUAGGGUUCUUCAGUUAAUUUACUUACGUUUUAGUAAGGGCAGUAGGUUAAUUAGGUUAUCUAUUUAGUUAGGGUAGUAGGUAGUUAUUUUUAUUUUGCAGUGAUGCAAUUAGUUAUAAAUUUAGCUAGGUAUCAAACUAGUAGGUUAAUUUGGCUAUAUUAUGAACCCAAGUCAAGAUUAACCCAAGUUAGUAUGAACCCUAUGUUUCAAAUUAGGACAUGCAUUUAGCUAGGUUUUGAAAUUCAGACAGAAAUUUAUAUAGGUUUCAAAUUAGGAUAGAAAUUUAGGGUUAGGUGUUUUAGGUAUAGUUAAAAGAAAAAUAGAAUUGCUGGGUCAACUAUUUGUCAUAUAGUAAAUCAUUAGCAAGGAGCAUGUAAAAAAACAUUAGUCCCGAGCAUCGUCUCACCAUCUAAAAAAGUAGGGGCAAGCUAGUAUUUCCAAAUUUGAUUCGAAUCGACUUGGUAAGGUAGCCAUGGAUGCUCGUUCUCCCAAAAUUUGAAUGAACCGUUAAACACUCUUUUCUCGGUGGAAUUCGCUCAAGCAAAUAAAAGGGAGACGCGAAAUUACCAGCCUAUGUGGGACACGCAUCAAUUGGCCCGUUGUACAUCGAGGGUAGGUUCGUAACUUCAUCCAAGCGCGCCCUCUCCUCGUCCGAAAUGACAGGUGCCGAAUAAUUCAUAAACCAUGGGCGGCAAUACACACCCUCCUCGCCUGAAAUCGCUCGCACGGAGUAUUUCAAAACACGCUCUCCUCGCCCGAAAUCGCUUGUGCCUACUAUUUCAAAACACGCCCUCCACGCCCGAAAUCAUUCGCGCCCACUAUUUGGGAGAAGCAAAGUUACUCUACUAUCCCCGACCCUUAGUACACAGACCGAAGCCCAAAAGCCUAAAGGCAGAGGUAGAACUAUAACUCGCACCCACAUUUCAGACAAAUGCGUCUGUAAGACAUGGUUCCCCCUUCCAAUUCCCCAUUCAUACAUCAUGGGCGCCAAAUCACCAAGCACCCUUCUCCCCAGCCGUGAAACCUCAGCCCCUCCUCCAUGGCGCCCCCACCUCACCAAACACACCGUUGCCCUUCUCCCCAACGCUGGAGACGCUGUCCGUUUGCCGUAGUACACGGUCGUAUGCCUCUUACUCCAUGCUGCUGGAGCUGCCUCGACGACGGCCGCAUGAACCGUCCCGGAGCCGAUUCACCCUCGCCAUUGUGCACGGUACCCGAGCGGCUCCAACGCCGGAAGCGUCCAGGGCCCCGCCGCCGCUUCCCUGUAGCCGUCGACCAUCGCGACAUCUCUCCUCUCCUUCCACCGGUAGCCACCGCAAUUGUGUCGGCCUCAUCGACUUGGCAGCUGGAGCUGCCUACUUCACCGGCCGCAAGAUAGGUCGUACACUAAUCUUAAAUCACUUUAUUUAGGCGAUAGUUGUCUAAAUUUUUUCUGGGCCAAUCGAUUCCCAAUGGGAAGGAGCACCCCUCGAGGCGGCAGAGCUCCUAGCCUGUCAGUUGGCUGGUGUCUAAUGUAAGGGUGCGACGCGCAAGUUUUCACCUCGGAAGUAGUGCUUAGGUGGCUAUCUUCGAGUUGCGUGGGUUGAACAUACUGCCGCCACCAGAUAUGCAUGAGGGCGAGUCUUUGUGGACUAGCCGGGGUAGGGGUGGGCAUAUAACCCACAAACCGAACGACUGAACUGGUUUAUUCGAUACUAUGCUCGGUUAGUGAUUCUGAGUAACCGAAAUUACUUUGAUUAUUCCAGUAUGCGCGCUUGCUGCACCGAAAUGACUGAAGCACCGAGGCCCACUGCUAACUCGAGUAGUUUUUGCUAGCUAAUCACGCUUCCUCCAUAAAUUAAUUUCCAUUCAUAUGCUCUGACUCUAUGCUGCCAGUGAAACGAAAAUCAAUUGAAUUCAUGGAGCCUUGAUGUGAUGGGUGGCAAACAGUGUCGUAGCCUGGCCGGCUGGUCCCCUGAUUCCCUCACUAAUUCUCGUCCACGUGUACUGGAUGAUGGACUGAUUUCAUUUUUUACAGUGAACCUAGGUGUUGUUUGCUGCUGCCUGCGGUCAUAACACGUGUUGUCAUGUAGCCCACACAGAUCAAAGCUCUUAUCCCAAAUUAGCCUAGCGUGGUUGUUCCCAGGAAGGCCCUAGUUGUUCAGUGUAUUCGGUGCAAAAACGAAUACCGAACAGAUCAAUUGGUGCACCGAAGGCUCGGUUUUAUUUAUUGCUAGAGAUUGACUGGUUGGUGUUUUCUAGGAACAGAGAAAAGUGAAACACUGAAGCACUAAACUGUUCGAUUCGGGGGAACUGAAUGCCCACCCCUAAGCCGGGGGCGGCGCAACCAUGGCAGUGCGGUGGGGAGGGGAGUGGGGUUUUGGUCGGAGCUCUCGCGGCCAGGGACAUUGGAGGCAGGCUACUCUGCCAGUGGUCGCUGGCUCUUCUGGGAAGAUUCUGAACAUUGUCAGCCAGGAGGCACAAGACGGCCAUCAAGCCAUCCGUCGUAGAUCGGAUAGUACCAAAAUAAAAUAAAAUCGUGUGACCCCAAUUUAGUUUUCAGUCAACAUAUGUGUGAACACUCUCGUACCUUAGUGUUGAUCUCUUAGGCUAUUUCUUCAUAUCAGAGAUAUUUGUCGUUCUUAACAUUUUGCGUUUUCUGCAUCUUCAGCCACACUGUCUUCCUUCUCACCGCAGCUGCUCCAACAAGGGAAGCAUACACCAUAAGGGAGCUAUAGUCCCCACUCAAUAGUUCCUUGCAUCGAAUGUGCAUGCCCGACAUGGACCACCACAACAACUGCAGGGCCAUCGACAAGUCAGCACAUAAUGCUCACUCCUAUGGAUGGCGGCCAGAUAGGUUGUACCCUCAUCUUACUUGUGCGCAACAUUUAUGGCUUUGUUAUUCAUCUAAGCAUGGAAAAUAUAUUAUCACAUUUCAAUAUUCAUGCUGAUCUCUUAAGAGUCUUGUUCAGGAGUUAACCCUGUUCCAUAGUUCAGGUAAGAGACUUGUUCUUUAGGUAACGUUGUUCCAUAGUUAUCAUCCAUCAGCCAAUGUUAUCCUGCAGGCUGGUGAUUAUACCACUUCUAAUAUUACCUAUGUUGUUCUUUAAUACUUUUGUGUGCCUUCUAGUUAAUCUCGAGUACAAACAAUACAUAUUCUGUAGCUUUCUGUGUUAUCCAUUUAGUUUUUGAGACCUGUUCCUGCUAGUUAAGCCCAGUCCUACUAUUUAUGUCAUCUCCUAUAGGCACUCAUUACAUAAAUCUAACUACUAGUUGUCUUCCAUGCAUGUCAGAUAUAAUUGCGCACACUGAUAUAUCCACAAGAACCUCACGGAGCAAUCUAGCGGCCAACAAACUUUACGUUAAUGAUACCCAAUAUGAUGGAACAUGUAAAGGUAGUUCUUUAUAAGACUUGCAGAAAGAUGCUGAAUCCUAUUCAGCCUACAAGGUCCUUGCUCUAACUUGGCUCGUGAUAUGGGUAUAGCAUGCAUACAAUGUCCUGGAGUGCAUCUACUCUGUUGCAAUGCCAUGUGCUUAGCCUGCUGAUCAUGCAUGUAAAUAUGUCAUCCCUUCCUGUUUUUAGUACCUAUUCCAUCCAUGAUAACAUGUCAUCAAAUUCAUGUACUAUCAUUCUACUCUAUUGCAAUGGCAUCUACUUAGUUUGUACAUCAUGCUUCUGAAUAUCUUAUGCAUUCUUAUUCAUCAGUAUGUACUUCAUCUGUCUACCAUACCAUUUUUUUACAUUGAAGUGUUGUUCUAGUGGUCUCUUGCAAUGCCAUCUUAGUUUCCAAAUCAUACAUGCAUAAGUUGCCUUAGUGUUUUUUACUCUGUUGCCAUGUCGUAUCCCUAGCUCUGACAUCGUACUCCCUCCGUCCGGAUUACAUGCCGUAGAAAUGGAUAAAAAUUGAUCUAUCUAGAACUAAAAUAUGCCUAGACACAUCCAUUUAUUUCCGGAUGGAGGGAAUACAUGUCAAUAUGUCAUGCCUUUCUAUUCUUCAGUACCUAUUCCAUCUCUCUGUCGUAGCAUGUUUUAUAACUGAAGCACCAUUCUUCUAUAUAAGGCAUGCAAGGGGAAGACGGCUAUGUUGGAAUCUAAAGGGUUACAAACGAGGUCUUUGCAAAAGAUCUAAACACCAGGAGAUAGUAAACCAACUCCAGUGUUCAUAGAUACUUCUCCAGCACAGAGAAACCCAACUCCUACUGAUAAUAAGCAGAUUCAAGUGGCCAAAGAACUAGUCUACUCCAGUCCAGCAAUAAUAUGUCAAAUCCAUUCUGACAAGCGUGUGCGUAUCCUCACAUCAUGAAAUUUUAUAGCAUUCAGAUCAUAUUUUCUACAUGUUUCUUACCCAUCUCUCUUUUAGAAAAUAAGCUUAAAUGAUAGAAGACUUUCUAAAAUGGGAUCGUGUUCGAGGAAAUUAUCUUGCGGGAAUUCUCUGUGCUCCAAUUUUGAUGUAAGUACAUGUUGUAUAUCACUAAAUUUUUACAUUAGAAUGUAUUUGUUAAAUGGCGUGAAUCCAACCUUUAUCUAAACUAAAUUUACUUGUAGCAAAACAUAUAAUUAAAGGCGACAAUGUUGAUUUUUGUAAGGAAAACUGUCUGGUAGUUUUGCAUACUGAGCUGCAUGAGUGUACUAUCUCAUAUCAUGCACAUUACUAAAUUGUAGUGCUGUUCUGGUUGCCCAAUCAUUCAUUGUGUCAAUGUUGCUUUCUUAUUACCUUACCUUGCUGAUGAUAGUUGUGCCAUAUUGUGUUAAUUUGGAGUAGGCUGGUGUGAUCUGGUUGCCAAAACGUUCAUUGUGUCAAUGUUGCUUUCCUGUUACCUAACCUGGCCAAUGAUAGAAAUGCUAGCGUGUUAAUUUGGUGCAGGCUGUUGAAGAUAAGACAAACUCUGAAAAUAGCAAGGGAACCCCAUUGUUUGUUUCCAAUAAAUCUAGGCCAGGUAAUAUGGCAAUAACUCUUGAUUAAUCUGUUCGGUUCCCCUCCUAAUUAUGUUAUGAUGCAGUGGUCGAGACACUCUCCACUAUCAAUAAUACAAGCGUACCAAAAUCGCCAUCUGAAUUUGUUGAGUUUCCUCUGUCUCGAAUCCAAUGGAAAAAAAUGUAUGUUUGUGAACACAUUACUGGCUGACGAAAUCAUGGAAAUCAUGGAGGAAUCAGAGGUUGACAUUCUUGUGCAACAACAACUGAUCAAUGAUUUCAGAGACAGUGUAGAAAAGAAGGAAGAACUUGCUCACAUGCUUAUGGGCGUCAUCCGCGCCGAGGUUGCAGAUUGUGAGGUUGUAGAUCGUUAAGUUCUACUCAUUUAUUUGCACUGGCAUCAAUCUUUGAUUGCCAAGUGGAUGUAAUUUCCUGUAAUAUAUGUUGGAUGUGCAACGUUUUUCCUUGUAUGUCGUACGUUUGCUUAGCGCGCCUCGCAUUCCAGCUAACUGGUCACUAUGAAGGCAAAAAGCAAUGGAAUUAUUAGUUAGCAUGAACAGUCAUGGGCCCUAUAUGAAGGAAGCGGCCAACCGCCCUUAAUGGGCUUCCCUAAUGGGCUCGCAUGGCCAAGAUUCUCAUAGUCCUUUGAUUGAUCGGUUUUGUCCUGUCCAUAAUUGCUUGUCCUAAUGGGCUGAAAUUAUAGUUGGGCCGGAAUCGACGUUAUCUAAUUGGGCAAACUGAAAUGUUUGGACUUUAGCGGGCCCAUUAAGUUAAUGGGCCAUAACUAGGCCGAAAGCACUAUUGGUCAGCUAUAAUUGAAAUGAGCCAACAAUAAAUGCUCGGCCUUGUUACCUCCCGGGUCGUUAAUAGGUCGACAUCAAAGCAAGCAAUAAGUGGGCCAAUUCAACUUCACGGGCCGUUAACAGGCUGAUACUAAGGUUGGGCUAUUUAUGGCCCAACUGUAUUUUGGGCCUUUAGGAGACCGAAAGAGAUAAUGGGCUCGUACUGGACCAUGAAGAGCAUGGGCCGCUAAGAGGCCCAAAGACACGUUAGACUUUAUGAUGCGGAGCAUCCUAUGGACAUCACCAUGUCAAGAGUCCGUUUGGCAAGUGACACGUGCAACAUCUACUUCACAUACAUAAAGGUGAAUCAUCUCCUUUACACGUGCUCACUUGACCCCUUCGAGGAUGGUAUACUACUUGACACCCCUCUCGUGUGCAUGCAUAGGUAUUGUCGGAACUUCACGGAUGACAAGGAGGAGUGCAAGCGCCAAGGAACACCUACACCAUCCGCGAGGGAAGCCUGGAAGAGAAGACGGAAGAAGAAGGAACUGCAGAGUCUUCAGCGACCGGACGACCGGAAGCCACCGGACGUCCGACCCUCUACAGCCGCCGGUCGACCGAUGAACACCGGACGUCCGACAAGUCCCAAGCACCGAACGUCCGACGCUUACCGGAAAUCCGGUGCCACCGAUCCCGAAGAAAAAUGUCGGACGACCGACGCCGACCGGACGUCUGACGCCACCUGUCCCGAGAAGAAUCAGCGGACGUCCGACGCGCGCCGGACGUCCGGACCGUCCUGAGCCACCGGACAUCCGACCCCCACCGGUCGUCCGGUACCUGCCUGUGUGCAGCCGCAGGCCUUUGGCCUUGUACCCCUCUCCAACUUACCCCUUCGUGGCUAAGAAUAUAAAUAGACCACCUCCACCUCCUUUCUAAGGUUAGCGUUGGUUUAGCUCAUUUGAGAGAUAGAGCUACGCUCAUCCAUAUCGGAUCUCCUCCUUGCGAGAGACCGCCGCCUCUUCGGAGAAGAUCCCUUUGGAUUCAAGCCCCCUUUCUAAGGGAAGACCUCCUCAUGGAUUCAAGACCUCCUCACGGAGAAGACCGGUUACCGUGUAUCGUCCCUAGUUGAUCGUGGAUCGUGUAUCUUACUUUAUGUAUUUGAGGAUCUAGCACAUGUGUGAUCUAUUCAUGUUGGUUUGAGUGUUUUCUCUCGUUUUCCCCUUUGUGUUCUUCAUGUUCUUCGCGGGAUUCCGCUCCUUUUGUGAAAGAUCGGGCGAUAGGGUUCCUACCCUACAUCAUCUUGGUAUCAUGAACCACGUUGAUCAUGAUUUCGGAGCCUCCCCCACCGUUUUCUAGCCUUCUUUUUUUGAUUUCGUCCUACAUUCGAAAAUCCCCACCAAAAAUAGCCCCAAAUUUUUUUGUGAUUUGUUGGUUUGAGGAAGUUUUGUUGAUUUUGAUCCAUGGAUUUGCUUGGUUUCGAGUGGAUCUAGCAUCUCCCCAAGUUUCCCCAUCUUUCAUCCAUGAAAUCUCAUCAAUUUUGACCCCAAAAUCCCCAAAUUCCGCCCAAAAUCGCGUCCCGAAUCUCGGAUCUGGAGUUGACCCCGAUAUACCGGACGACCGUCACCUUACCGCACGUCCGGAGCCGCAGGAACCACCGGAUGUCCGACCUUACCGGAUGACCGGAACCCCCUCACCCGAGCAGAAUCAGCGGAUUUCCAACCUGACCGGACGUCGUUUUUCCGGACAUCCGCUACCUGUAGAUAUCAACUUCGGAUGAUUUUUGUAUCGGUCAUAACUAAUUCAUCCGAACUCCGAUUUUGAUGUUCUUUAGCUCGUUUUGAAGCUCUUGACAUCCCCCUUCCCACAAAAAUACCACCAACAUCAUUUGACUCCACCAAAUUUUCCAAAAUUUGGCAAGUUUGCCUAGGCCCUCCACCAUAUCAUCCGCUACACCACCAUAGCAUUCCGCAACCUAACCAAUUUUGUUCCCCAUCGCAUUAGUGGUUGCUUGAGGAGUGAUUUGAGUCACCUAAGGUGUCUAGGCUACUUAGGGACGGUCGCUUCUUCAUCAACCACCACCACCACUUCCGCAUGACCUUGCCCACCAUACACUUCCGCCACCUCAACUUAACCCAAUUUUGUUUGUGUUGUGAGUUGUGUCUCCUAAGGUGUUUCGGCUACUUAGGGACCGUGCUUUCAACUCCGACACCGUGUAUAGUCCACCACCAUAACCUCCACUUUCUCAUUGCCUAGUGCAACACCACCGCAUUCCGCUACCACCAUUUGACUUUUGUCCUUGAGAUUUUGAGUUGUGGUUUUUCCGUUUCCUAAGGUGUUUCGGCUACUUAGGGAUGAGUAUCCAUCAUCUUGGUAUCUCCAUCAAGAUCACCGCCACUCAUCAUCGAUAUGGACGGUAACCUCCAUAUCAUCUUGGUAUCGCGGUAUCCCUCCAUUGUAUAUUCCCUUGCCAUUGCAUUGUUAACCCCUAGCCCAUUUUGCGUCACUUGCCUAUCGAGACUAGCCAUUUGAGUAUUACCGGCAAUGUUACUUGUGCACAUUAGUGAUCUACACCAUACAUUGAAUACAUACCAUACCAUAUCGGUAUCAUCUUGGUAUCAUAUCAUCCUUUGUGCCACAAGUUUGUUCCCGCAUAUAUACACUUGCUAUCUUGGUUUGUGCAUUGUGUCAAAGUGGCCAACACAAAAAAAGAGAAUAAGAUUUUAAGAAAAGAAAAAGAGAGAAACAAAGAGCUCGUAAGCAAUAGCCAUAGCAUCAUACCACAUUGCAUAUAAGAUCAUCUUGAAUCACCUUGUGAGAAACACCGGGAACCAUACAUAUAUAGCAUACUUGGGAUAGAAAGUUGUCCAUUUUGCAUCUUAUAGGUUGUGCACAAGUGUCGUAUCCGCCUAUUGAGCAAUCGUGCUAGCGUCUCUCUUGAGUUGUGCAACACGAGCGUUUUCCGUGGAUUCCACAUUUUGUGCUCAUCCUUGGUUGCACGACCCCAUUUAUCUAUUCGUGUGUGUGUUUCCGUGUGCCACAUAUUGCUAUUGGUCUACUUGUUUCACUUGCGAAUUUUUGAAUCUCUUUCAACAUUAUUGACUCUUGCUAACAUUUUGCAUUAAAUUUUUGUGCCACUAUCCUAACCGAGCUCCACCAUAAGCCUUAUUUGUGUAGGCGUGAGAAACCGACAAGAAUUGGUACCAAUUGUGCUAUUUCCUUGUCCACAUUGGAGUGAUCAUUGAUCCACUUUCAACUUCGGUCAAGGUACAUUUGGUAUUCGUUCUUCUCUUUCUACCACUCACUUUUUUCUCUUGGAGUGAUGGAUAGGAAAGGCAUUUCAUCUUCGGUCUACAACAACAAUGACGAGUUCGAUGCCACGAACAACUCCAACGACGCUAAGAUGCAAGCUCAAAUGGAGGAGAUCAAGGCCCUCAUCAAGUCCUAUAAGCGGUCUUCCUCAUCUUCGAGAAGACGCUCAAGAGCACACGCCUCCGAGCUACCAUCUCCGGCAAGAUCACAUCGGCAUCGACACCAUCACCAACAAGGACGUGAAGGUCAAGAUCUCAACACCAACAACCGCUCAACGACUUCACCAUCCCCCUUGGCAUCUUCGCCAAGCGACUUCAAGGCAUCUUCGCCUACGGACAUACGGAAUCUUCGCCCACAAGCAUCUCAAGAGAAGCUCCCCAAGAUCAAGUCCAUGACUUCCACGAGCUACUACGACCUCGACACCGACCACGCGAUUCCUUUCUAUGGAACUCAAGAACCCGAGGAGUAUCUUGAGUGGGAGCACCUCAUGGACGACUACCUCAAGCUACAUCAAGUUCGUCCCGAAGAUCAAGUGAAGUGCGCCACAAGGAACUUCCAUGACUACGCGUCCACAUGGUGGCUUCACGCAACUUCGGAGACCUAUGACAUGAGUUGGCCCAAGACGAAGAGAGCUUUGCAGCGAGAGUUUGUGCCUCCAACCUACACGGAACAACUUCUACUCCAAUUGGAGAACACCACCCAGGGAUCCAAGCCCAUUGACGCGUACUUCAAGGAGAUGAAGCUUGCCUUGUGACGAGCCGGCGUGGAUGACCCCAUUUCUAUGAAGUUCCACUUCAUGAUGGGAUUGCACAACGACAUCUCCAAGACGAUCUUCCUCGAGAACUACAAGUCCCUCGACGACAACUACAUUGGUGCUCUCAACGCAGAACAAGAACUCAUGAAGGCCAAAGCUUCUCCACCCCAAGCUCACUUCGCGACGACCAAGCUCCAUGAGAACGAGCAUGAGGCUAGUACCACCAUGAUGUCCAAGCCUGAUGAGCUCCAAGGCGAUGCUCCCAAGUUUGACUUCACCGCCAUCCCUCUUUGUGGCAUUGACGAUGCCGAGUCUACUUCGACUCUUUUUCAAGAUGGUGCGGCGACGACUACGACUACGGACACCAUCAAGGACCAAGCUUUGGAGGCGAGCGACAUGGUGACGAGCAAGGAUGAUGCUUCCAUCUUAGGAGGAGAGAGUGAUGAUGUGCCAUCUUCAUCCUUCAUCCACGGCGACGACAACAAGACGGUUGAGCAUGGGAUUUUCCUUUCGACCACGGCGACAUGUGAUGACUUGAGUGACUUUAGCCACCAUAUUGGGAGUGAGAGUGACUUCACCACUAGCCCCAUAUAUGAUGAGUUGCCCCAAUUCCCAUGUGAGGAGAGCCACAACCCCCACCACUUGAGCGAGAUGAGUGACUCCACCAUACAUGAGAUUGAGUGCACCUAUUUUGAGGGAGUGAGUGAACCACCACAUAGAGAGAGUGAGAUAGUUGAUAGGUCAUGUGAGGCCACUUUCAACACUAAUGACUUGACCUCUACCUCUAUUGUGUCUUCUCAUUUGGUGCUAGGUCCCAUCUAUGAUGACGCGUCGAUUCGCGAUGACUUCGUCCUCCCUUUGGACAAGACGAUGGCCAUGGUGGAAUAUGAUGCACCCCCCACAUGGUUCCAUCAAGAUGAAAAUGACCACCAUUUGGUCUUUCCCACCUCACCUACACCACAUGAGUUGAAUGAACAAGGUAACAUAGGUGAAGGUGAUGCUCUAGUCCCACUAGUGGACAUUCAUGACAUUGAUUGCUUGCAUGAUGUUGAUCCCCCUAUUGACAUGCUUCAUGCUAGUAUGAUUUCCCCACGCGAUGAUUUACCCAUUUAUGAUGAGUAUGAUGAUUGCCAUGUGGAGUCUUUUAGUUGUGAUGCCAUGUUACAUAGGAUUUCUUGUGCUAAUUCUCUCGGUCACAUCAUGUUUGCCAAUCCGCUUGACUUGUCAUAUGCUAUGCAUGAGAUCAAUCAUAUGGCAUAUUUGCAAUCUCUUCAAAGUGACUAUGCAUAUGAUAUUAAAAUAAACCCAAUUUGCACAUAUGGCAUAGGUGACAAGCCUAUGGUUAUUGGCAUUUGUUUCUCUUGUGAUGAUAUUGACAUGCUACCUUUGCAUCAUUUAUCUCAUAUGCCAUGCCAUAACCAUCCUGCUUCGGAUAUGCAUUGUUUUGGGUGUUGCCCAUUUUCUCCAUAUGAUGUUUGAAAUAUUGCACAUGAGGAGACCCCCAUAGUUUCCUCAUACAUUUUAGGAGAUUGUGAUCACUCCCACCCAUUGCAUGAUCCUUAUACUUGAAUGCUCAAUUUGUGUAGCGACCCGACCCGAAUGGAUCAAGUCUUUGUGCUUAAGUGUCAUCCCUAGAUCGGUAUGCUGACACACACAAUACUUGAGGAUUUAUAACAGAGGUAAAUCACAUGUGUAAAGUAACGUAAAUACUAUUACCUCAAUCCAAAAUAGUGGAAGUAACAAGGUUGUGGAUUCCCAUCAACACCAACGGCAAAGUUGAGUGUAGAAAUCGUAACCCUAACAUAUCACUUACUCGUCGUAAGAUAAUCCUGCAACAUGAGACGUUGCAGCCACAAAGGGUCAGUACAUUGAAUGUACUGGCAAAUUCACACCAUAGAGAAUGAUGAACAAUGGCUAUCACUACAUGCAUAUUUGGCUGGUGGAAAAGCUCUAUGGUUAUAGUUUUGCGUAAAGCCAUUUUUUCCCUACUGCAAAGUAAUAAAUUUUAUUUAACUAUCAUGUUGGUUGUUGAACAUUGAGAAUGGUUGACAGCAUUCUCAAUCCCAAUUAAAUAACAUCAUUAAACCCAACAAACUUAAUUUAAAGUAACGUGAUGAGAUUCACAUGAUAAUCCAGGUACUAGAUACUCAAGACGUCCAUAACCGGGGACACGGCUAACCAUGAUUAGUUUAUACACUCUGCAGAGGUUUGCGCACUUUUCCCCACAAGACUCGAUCGCCUCCGUUUGGUUUCUCGCACUACAUGAUGUUUGAGAAGACGGAUAACCGAGACAUAGUCUUUUAGAAGUGCUAGCACCUUACGAUCAGGUAGACCGUAUCACCUACAUCCCCUACAUCUGCUAGUCUACCACUAUAAGAGUUCGCACGACUUAGUCAACUAUGCUAGAGCCCAUAAUAGCUUGUGGCUGCACACGGAAGUUUCUAGUAUGAAUAAUCUCAUGAUCCCUUUGAGCCUGGGUGGCGGUCCAUAAAAAACAGGCAAUCCUGGUCUACCCAGGUGCCUAUACAGGCAAUCCUAGAAUAACCAGGUGCCUCAAUCCACCCAGAUGUGUGUUUAAGUUGCCACCUUAAGUAAACCAUUAAUUAACAAUCUCACAUCUGUCAUGAAUACUCUCAAAACCCAAUCCACGUCUACGAGCAUGGCAAUGUAAGCAUAAUGUAAAAGUAACUCCCAAGGUUUGAAUGCAGGGCAAUAGGUUCCUACCUCAUCAACUACUUCCCAAUUCCCACAUGUUAUCAAUCCUACUCAUGCAAUGUUUGAGGGUGAAACUAAUGCAUAAAACUGGGUAUGAAAAAGGUAUGAUCAAAGUGUGAACUUGCCUGCAAUGUUGAUGAAGAUGAUUCGUACUCAAAAAUCUUGAUAACUCUACUCGUCACACUCCGGUCAAUCUAUCGUAAUCAAGCAAUAGUAACCACACAUAAGCAAUCACUCAAAAGAUCGGGUAGAACGAAGAAGACAAUUCAGAAAACGUCAAAACCAAGCAAAUAACUCUUGCAACAUAAAACAAUUUCUAACAGUACCAAAAUUAUGUGAAUUUGGCCUUAUCAAAAAGUUUAGGUCAAGAGCUUUGAUUUGCAAAAAGAAUCAACUGAAACGGAGUUACAGAUAAAAAGAUAUGAUCAAAAGAAGUUUGAAUAUGAAUCUGAACAAAAUUCGAAAUUUGAAAAUUUCAAAAAGUUGAUGUGACAGGUUCUCUGGAUAGGUGAAAACAAGACGAAGCUAUAGGCGUUGGUUUCAUCUAAUUUGGAUAAAUGAGUGAAAAGUUAUGGCUAUUUGAAAAAUCAGGACCAAGCUGUUUUACGAAAGAAAAAAAAUAGCUACGGCUAAGGUCUAACGUAUAAAUACGUAGACUAAUUGAUAAUCUAAUUAUUCUAUCGUAUUAGUCUAAAAAAUAAUAAACUACGAAAGUAUAUAAAGAGAAAAAAAAAGAUACUUUUAUAAGGCAGAGAAAAGAUGACUUUGGAGAGAGGAGACAACUUCCAGAAGUCGCGCCGGAGAGGAGAAAAAAUAUUUUUCUUAAAUGGAUCUAGUCAAACCAAAAUAUUGAUUUAACCCGAAUUGGAUGAUUUUUGGAGGCUCUAUGGGUCUAUAUUUAUUGGUGAAAAAGAGGCUUAAGGGUCAAAGGCUAGGCAAUGUGGGACUAAAUGUAGAUGAAAAUAUAUGAAACAGAGAAGAAAAAGAGGCGGAUGGGCUAAAGGCCUUCGGCCGGCCGCUGCGGUGCAGUUGUUUUUUUUUUUGCAAAAUUCGGCCUAAGGAGAAGAGAAAAAAAACUGGCUGGGCCUGGCCCAUAUAGGAUAAAGAAAAAAAUAGGGCGCUCGCUGGUACUAUGAUGCGUACGUAGGCGAUAGUUAGUUUCAGGCACGCGCGCAGUUUUUUUUUAAACAGAAUGUGGUAAACUAAAAAACGAAAAUAAAAUAAAACUUUAUAUAGGCAUAUUAUAUAUAAAAAAAUUCAGAAAAAGAUUUCUACAAGAUGAAAAUUUUCCUAGCAUUAAAUAAAAUUCACACAAAUUCAGAUAAUUCAAAGAGUGCUACUGGUCUAAUAAAAUCCAAUAAAAAUCAUUUUCGAAAUAUCAAAAUGAUUUCAAAUUUAUUUCUCUCCAAUUUUCUGUUGUAGGGAAUCAUGUUACCCUAAUUUCCAUAUAUUUUAUUUUUGGAGAAAAAUAAUUUGAAUAAAACUCAAAUAACUCCAAAUUGAAAAUAAAUUUAAAAGAACUUUGAAUUUAAUUCUUUGAAACUCCCAACUCAUAUUUCAUAUAAUUUGAAGAAGUCCUUUUAUCUUCUCUCAUGAAAAUCAUUGAGCUGCAUGAAGUUUAUGAAUUGAAAUAUUUCCAAAUGAAAUUCAAUUAUUUUCAAAUAGCCUUUCAUUUAAUUUAAAUGGAAGAAGUCAUAUCAUCUUCGCUCAAGGGUUUUGUAUUUGAAAAGAAUUUGAAUUCAUGGAGAUCAGAAAGCAAAUAUGAAAGUUUGGGAAAGUUCUUUUAUUCCCUCUCAUUUAACUUUCAAAAAGUUUCGAAUUCACUCACUUUCAGACAAUCAAUCAAACAAUCAGUUAAAUCUAUCUAUUUAUUAUAACAUUCCAAAAUUUAGAAUUUUGGGAUGUUACAAACCUACCACCCUUAAAAUGAAUCUCGUCCUCGAGAUUCGGAGAGGCUAGAAAGAAAUAGGUUAAGUUUGGGGUCUUCUCAAAAUCCAUCGAUCGUCUCCAGGGUCUCGGGUGCUACCACCCUUAGAAACAUUGUUACAGUCCCAUCAAUACUCAUAUACUCCAUCCCUAUUCUUGACAGGGCCGGUCUUCUCAGAUCGUAAGGAUAAUUCCUUCUCUGGCUCUUUGGGUAGUGGCAUAACCUUUACCACAAUUCUUCUAUCCUUUCAUCUUGAUAAGGUUAUUCUGCGACUGGGUCUUCUUACCUGACGGGUCUGGCGCCAGUACUAAACAACUAAUCGAUAUCUCAUGUGGUCAACAAUUUAUGGUUUCUCCUGCAGGAAAUGGGUCUGGGUUGAUCCUCACCGUAUAACCUACGGUUGGCAAAAGCUUCCUUGUACAAGGGAAAAAUUUCUUAUACCAUUCUAAGGUUCAAACAAGGUUUAAUACCGUCAUCUCUCUACUAUAGGUAAGUCACUCAGAUUUACCAUCCCAUAUAGCAAGGCGAAUAAUAAGAGUAAGUCGGUAUGGUGAUCAAUCCAUCCCGCACCCAAAUCAUGACCUUGUAUACGGUUUAGCGAAUCUCGCAUUCUAACACUCGGUCAUCCUCACAAGCAUUGCAGAAUUUCUCUUGGCCACGAACUGCGUUCGGAAUAAUCCAUUGAUUCUGCAAGCCAACAAACAUUUAUCGUUCCUUCACAACUCUUAGGUUUUGCGUUGCUCCUAUAAAAUUGUCUUAUUGAUAAAAUCGUAACUUCGCCCAGGGUUUAUCUUGUGCUAACUUCCACGUGCGAAUACACAUCAUGAUGGAUGAUGUGUAUAUUUACCACGCGCACAAUUUCUUUGGUUUGUGUCUCUUUCAUGUAGGUACCCAUGAAUUCUUGUCAACCUCGCAAUCCCACGAGUUGACAAAACGAGCUCUAGAGAGCAAUGAUGACUUGGGAUCCCAUGGAUUGUCUUGCACACCGCCCUCUUCGUGCAAAGACUUCGCACAUUUCUUCUACAUGACCCUCACUUGGCUAUGGGUUAUUGUCCACUACAUAUUCUAUGCCCAUCUUGCCAUGUUCACUUUGCAUGUUAUGCUCAUUACUAUGCUUUUGCCAUGCUAUAACACCCUCGAUGCGACUAUAGCUCCCACGUGUCGAGGCACGACUUAGAGAUAUAAUCGCAUUGAAGGCAUAUGUCGCAAGUUAGGCAAUCUUCACAAACAUCCCAUGUAAUAUAACAAUAAAAGGGGAGAACAUAGUUGGCUUACACUCGCCACGUCAAUCAAGUACAUAAAUAACAUUACAUCAUCCAAACACGCAUGGCCCGACUACGGCGCCAAAAUGAAAGAGAACCCAACAUGCGACACGGUCCCAAUCACCCCCAACUGGGCACCACUACUGAUCGUCGAGAAAUGAAACAUAGUAUCGCUGAGAGUCUUCGUCGAACUCCCACUUGAGCUCAUAUGCGUCACCUGGAGCGGAAUCACCUGGACCUACAACUGGUGUAGUAGGAAUCUGUGAGCCACAGGGACUCAGCAAUCUCGCACCCUCGUGAUCAAGACUAUUUAAUCUUAUAGGAAGGGUAAGGCAAUAUAUAUAUGUGGAGCUGUAGCAAGCGACUAGCAUAUGUGGUGGCUAACUUAUGCGCAAAAGAGAGCGAGAAGAGGAGGCAAAGCGCGAGCGAGAAUCUAAAGAACAACCUACGCAAACAUUACUCCAACACCGUGUCCACUUCCCGGACUCCGCCGAGAAGAGGCCAUCAUGGUAACACACUCAGUUGAUUCAUUUUAAUUAAGUUUAGUUCAAGUUAUCUACAACCGGACAUUAACAAAUUCCCAUCUGCCCAUAACCGCGGGCAUGGCUUUCGAAAGUUCAAUCCCUGCAGGGGAGUCCCAACUUAGCCCAUGACAAGCUCUCACGGUCAACAAAGGAAUAGACCUCCACCCGAGACACACCGAUCAGACUCGGUAACCCGGUACAACAAGACAAUUCGACAGGUUAAAACAAGACCAGCAACACCGCCCGAAUGUGCCGACAAAUCCCGAUAGGAGCUGCACAUAUCUCUUUCUCAGGGCACACUCAGAUAAGCAAUCUGUACAACUAAAACCAGCCCUCGAGUUUCCCCGAGGUGGCGCUGCAAGGGGCUCUAGUUUGGACCAACACUCAGAGGAGCACUGGCCCGGGGGGUUAAAAUAAGAUGACCCUUGAGUCUGCAGAACCCAAGGGAAAGAAAAGGCUAGGUGCAAAUGGUAAGACCAAUGUUGGGCAUUGCUAGAAAAGCUUUAAUCAAGGCGAACUAUCAAGGGGUUCCCAUUAUAACCCAACCGCGUAAGGAACGCAAAAUUCGGGAACAUAACACCGAUAUGACGGAAACUAGGGCGGCAAGAGUGGAACAAAACACUAGGCGAGAGGCCGAGCCUUCCACCCUUCACCAAGUAUAUAGAUGCAUUAAGAUAACAUAGCAAUUUAGUGAUAUCCCAACAAGUAAAUAAAUGUUCCAACAAGGAACGGCCUCCAAUCUUCACUUGCAACUAGCAACGCUAUAAGAGGGGCUGAGCAAAGCGGUAACAUAGCCAAUCAACGGUUUGCUAGGACAUGGUGGGUUAGAGGUUUUACAUGGCAAUUUGGGAGGCUGACAAGCAAAUGGUAGGCAUCGUAGCAUUGGCAUAGCAAAGAGCGAGCAAACUAGCAUAGCAAAGAUAGUAGUGAUUUCGAGGGUAUGAUCAUCUUGCCUACACAGUUGCCAGAGUUGACUGGAUCCUCAAGAGCAAGCUCAACGGGCUCCUCAUUAGCGAACUCGUCUCCCGGCUCUACCCAAACAAGACAAACAAGCAACAAGGAUACAAUCAACCACGUGCAAACUCAAACAACACAAUGCAAAGAUGACAUGCUAUGCGGGAUGCGAUGCGGGAUGCAAAAUGCAAGAUAUGAUAGGAAAUGCAUGAAGCUGGCCUCAACUUGGAAAACCAAGUGUGCCACUGGAAAGAUGGGAUGAAACCGCUUGAAAACGAUAUAAAGAACGCCGGAAUCGGAGUUACGGUUUGGAAAUGGCAAGCGAUUCAAAAAUGACACCGGUCUGCAAUUUACAGCAAGUAGGCAUCUAAAUGCAACGAAAUGAAUAUGCUACAGCCACCAAAAAUAACAACAAAAUACAUGGCAGUGAUGCAUACAAGAUGCUUAACAAAAGACUAGCACUGAGCUACGGCCAAUUCAUCCAUUAGGAGGUUCAAACAAGCAUGGCAAAACGCAAAUGGUAAAACAGAUCUCGGACUUAGUGAAAUUAACACUUGUCUGGAAUUUCAGAUCAUAUAGCCCUCUUUGGAGCAACAAAACAACAUGCUACAGGACCUGAACAUGACAAGGAAAGACAUGGCAUGGAGCUACUCAACAAGCUUAACAAAAGUCCCUUAGUGACCUUGAGCCAAAAGGGAUCAGAAAAUACAAUUGCAAGCACGCGAACAUAGCAAAAACAAAAUCAGUUUUCAGACUUGGUGAAAACUGGGACAUGCUGAAAUAUAACUCACGAAGGCAUGUUUACGAGCUCGAUGCACUCACUACGGUACAAGUCAUGGCAAGACAAGCAUACACCCAUAAAUAAGGCACAAAAUACAAGCUAGACAUGGCAAGAACAAUAGCAUAGCAUGCACGGAUUAACUACAAUAACAUCGGCAAAAUCGCAAACAAGUUGACGAUCUGCCCAGAUUCGCAACGAAGCAAAAGUAGAGCUCGAUUGACUCAAGCUAGGGUGCUCCAUAAUUGCAAACAAAGACAUGGAUGGAUAGAGCAUAACAAGAUUAACAAAACUCCCUUACUUAUCAUUCUCAAAAGAGGCACGGAUCACUAGUAACCAACAUGAACAUAUGGCAUCAUGAACUAAAUAAUCCCAGACUUAGUGAAAACUACUAAGUCCCUGAAAACAGAUUUACCGGGUGCCUCACUUUGCAAGCUUUCACAAGUCACCACACACAUCCUAAAAAUGCAUGGGUUGCACCUAUGGCAAGAUAAUAAGAUGCUUAACAGAACAUAUGAAGGACUCACAGGCAUAUCAUGCACACAAUAAUCAUGGCAAAAAUGACAAAAGUCUAAGAUGAACUAGCAGAUCUGACAAUUAACUCACGAAGCCCUCUUCUAACAGCAUUUCGGGCAUCAAGAUGAACUCAAAUGAAAAUGAUGCAAUGGAAUGAAAUGAUGUACUCGUCGAGGCGAACAUUUUGAUAUACUAUAUGCUCAAAUCGGAUCUACGGAUGCAAAGUUACGGGACCUCGAACAUGAGCAUAUGGAACAAGAAUUCCGGGACUUAGUAAAAAAACUACCCCGGAUCAGAUCUAGGGUUCCGGGCACGCAACCCGAGGCAUGGCCGGAUCUGCACUGUAGCUCCUCGCCGGAAAUGGCGCCUUGGUCGGAGGAANNNNNNNNNNNNNNNNNNNNNNNNNNNNNNNNNNNNNNNNNNNNNNNNNNNNNNNNNNNNNNNNNNNNNNNNNNNNNNNNNNNNNNNNNNNNNNNNNNNNNNNNNNNNNNNNNNNNNNNNNNNNNNNNNNNNNNNNNNNNNNNNNNNNNNNNNNNNNNNNNNNNNNNNNNNNNNNNNNNNNNNNNNNNNNNNNNNNNNNNNNNNNNNNNNNNNNNNNNNNNNNNNNNNNNNNNNNNNNNNNNNNNNNNNNNNNNNNNNNNNNNNNNNNNNNNNNNNNNNNNNNNNNNNNNNNNNNNNNNNNNNNNNNNNNNNNNNNNNNNNNNNNNNUGGCUGGGCGCGGGGGCGGCGGACGUUGUCCAGCUCCGCCCGGACACGUCCGGAGCGGCGGAUCUGUGAUUUUUUAGGGUUAGGGGGAGAGGAUCCGCGAAUUGGAAUGGGGGUGUAUAUAUAGGCAUAGGGGAAGCUAGGAGAGUCCAAAUGAGGUGCGGUUUUCGGCCACGCGAUCGUGAUCGAACGCUCUAGGACAUGGAGCAGAGUUUGGUGGGUUUUGGGCCAAAUUGGAGGGGUGUUGGGCUGCAACACACACAAGGCCUUUUCGGUCCCUCGGUUAACCGUUGGGGUAUCAAACGAAGUCCAAAUGAUACGAAACUUGACAGGCGGUCUACCAGUAGUAAACCAAGGCCGCUUGGCAAAUCCAGGUCCAAUCCGGAAAUGUUUAAUCCCCACACACGAAAGAAAGCUAGAAAUGACCACCGGAGGAGAACGAAGCGCCGGAAUGCAAAACAGACAACGGGGAAAAUGCUCGAAUGCAUGAGAUGAACACGUAUGCAAAUGCAAUGCACAUGAUGACAUGAUAUGAGAUGCAUGACAAAGACAACAACACACGGAGACAAAACCCGAACCCGAGGAAAUAAAAUAACUUAACGCCAGAAACGGCAAGAGUUGGAGUACAAAUAGGGAAAGUUACAUCCGGGGUGUUACACAUGCAUUCGUGACCCAUGCUUUGCAUUACACAUGAUGAUUGAUUCUCAUACUUGUGUGUGUAUUUGCAAGCUUGGUGGAGACAUUGCUUGUUAUUGCCAUGUUUGCUUUGUGCCCCAUGCAUAUGAUGAUACUUUCAUUUUGCUUUGUGUUCGUGCUUGCUAUAUGUCUUGUGCAUUGUCUAUGUCUGUUAUUUGCUCACAUGACAUGAUUGCCAUGAUUUCCUCUAGUAUGUUGCAUCUUCGCACUACUAGCUUGCACAACUCGAUUACUAUGCUUGACUUGAUUGCCUUACACAUGAUGAACAAUUGCUCUUUCUAUUGUGUUGAGUGCCACACGAUAUUCACUACACCAAAUGCACACUAUGCUUGGAUUGUCUUGCACUUGACACAUGUGUUUAGACACUUCAUUUUAUUUGGUGUUGUGAAUGAUUCCUAUACCUACCAUAUACCUUUCAUUGAGCAAUUUGUGAAUGAUUUCUAUGAACUUGAGGUAGUUUCUUCUUCACUUGUCCAACAUAUUUGCAUCAAUACCUCACAUUUACAUGCUUGUCCCCAUGAUAUCCUUGAUUAUGCUCAAUUUAUGUGCUUACAUGCCAUGUCACAAUCCUUUGUCAAACCAUAUGCUUUGCAUGAUGACGACACUUGUUUGGUAAAUAACCUCUUGAAUGUUUGGUUUUGCACUAAUGCUAACCACAUUUGUUUUUCCAAGUGUUUGUUGUCCUUGCUCAUUUUGAGGGAAUCACUAGACGGUGCGACAUUGGAGAGUGCCCAUUUCGAGCUUCAAGAUGACGAGAACUUGGUGAUCGACCACUCCUACACGGCGACGCCAUCUCUUUCCCAUGGUGAUUUGGAUUAAGAUCCGAGGUCGGAUCUUUCCCAAGGGAGGGGAGAUGAUGCGGAGCAUCCUAUGGACAUCACCAUGUCAAGAGUCUGUUUGGCAAGUGACACGUGCGACAUCUACUUCACAUACAUAAAGGUGAAUCAUCUCAUUUACACGUGCUCACUUGACCCCUUCGAGGAUGGUAUACUACUUGACACCCCUCUCGUGUGCAUGCAUAGGUAUUGUCGGAACUUCACGGAUGACGAGGAGUGCAAGCGCCAAGGAACACCUACACCAUCCGCGAGGGAAGCCUAGAAGAGAAGACGGAAGAAGAAGGAACUGCAGAGUCUUCAGCGACCGGAUGACCGGAAGCCACCAGACGUCCGACCCUCUACAGUCGCCGGACGACCGACGAACACCGGACGUCCGACAAGUCCCAGGCACCGGACGUUCGGCGCUUACCGGAAAUCCGGUGCCACCGAUCCCGAAGCAAAACAUCGGACGACCGACGCCGACCGGACGUCCGACACCACCUGUCCCGAGAAGAAUCAGCGGACGCCCGACGCACACCGGAUGUCUGGACCGUCCUGAGCCACCGGACGUCCGACCCCCACCGGUCGUCUGGUACCUGCCUGUGUGCAUCCGCGGGCCUUUGGCCUUGUACCCCUCUCCCACUUACCCCUUCGUGGCUAAGACUAUAAAUAGACCACCUCCACCUCCUUUCUAAAGUUAGCGUUGGUUUAGCUCAUUUGAGAGAUAGAGCUACGCUCAUCCAUAUCGGAUCUCCUCCUUGCUAGAGACCGCGGCCUCUUCUGAGAAGAUCCCUUUGGGUUCAAGCCCCCUUUCUAAGGGAAGAUCCCCUCGUGGAUUCAAGACCUCCUCACAGAGAAGACCAGUUACCGUGUAUCGUCCCUAGUUGAUCGUGGAUUGUGUAUCUUGCUUUAUGUAUUCGAGGAUCUAGCACAUGUGUGAUCUAUUCAUGUUGGUUUGAGUGUUUUCUCUCAUUUUCCCCUUUGUGUUCUUCGUGUUCUUCGCGGGAUUCCGCUCGUUUCAUGAAAGAUCGGGCAAUAGGGUUCCUACCCUACAUCACUUUAUAUGGCCCAACUGUGUUGUGGGCCUUUAGUAGGCCGAAAGAGAAACCGGGAUGGUAUUGGUCAUGAAGAGCAUGGGUCGUUAAGAGGCCAAAACUCAGGUCCAACUACAAAUGGCCAGACUAACUCAUGGGUUCUUAAUGGGCUGAAAGACACACCGGGCUAGAAAUUGUCCCAGCACUUAAAUGGGUCGCUAAAAGGCUGAUAGACGAACAUCCUAAAAAUUGGCCCAUCCCUUGAAUGGUCCGGUAACAGGCCAAAACCACAUGGGGCCGAUAUUGAGCCCAAACAUAUAGCGGGCUGUUAACGGGCUCGAACUGACGAUGGGCUGCAAUGGUGUCAAAUAGUUAACGGGCCGUUGACGGGCUGAAUUGGCACAUCUCUUAUGGGAUGUGGGCUUAAAUGGACCAGACACAAGUUGGCUCUAUAUGGGCCGACCUCUUUCACCUAAGUGGGCCACUGUUGGGCGUUGCCACAUGCCCACGUAUCAUAAGCGCCUCCCGUACAAUGAGUGGAUGACAUCUUUCCCAACGCUGAGCCGACACGUGGAUCCUCCGGUGAAUGAGAAUUUUACACAUAGAAAAUCCCCAUUGGUCGUGGUUGUUAACAGGUUAUUGGAUCCAAACCGGAACCCAAUAGCUUAACGUCGACCCGUUAUGAUGGAUGCCAUGUGUCCGUUACCCUUUAUGAAAACACUUCCAUGAUGCGCCAUUUAUCAUCAUGGAAGUGGACACUUCUGUGAUGAUAAUUUUGGUAUAGUCAUGGAACACUUGUACGACAGCACAGGUAUGACUAUGUUGAUUCUGUCAUAAAAUCGUCAUGGAUGUACAUGCAUGACAGAAAACGUGACCUACUGUGACAAACAUGUAUCAUUACGGAAGUGGAUUUUUUUGUAGUGAGAGUGGUAUAGUAAUCCUAUUUUGGAAGUCAUAUUACUAGACCAAGGCGAACCUAUGAACUAUGAAGAAGCUAUGAUGAGCCCAAAUUCUGAUAAAUAGCUUGAGGCCAUGAAAUGUGAGAUAGGAUCCAUGUAUGAGAACAAAGUGUGGACUUUAGUGGACUUGCCCGAUGAUCGGAAAGCCAUUGAGAAUAAAUGGAUCUUCAAGAAGAAGACUGACGCUGAUGGUAAUGUUACUGUCUACAAAGCUCGAUUUAUCGUGAAAGGUUUUCGACAAGUUCAAGGACUUUCUCACCCUAGCGAUGCUUAAGUUGGUCCAAAUCAUGUUAGCAAUUGUCGCAUUUUAUAAUUAUGGAAUUUGGCAAAUGGACGUCAAAACUGCAUUCCUAAAUGGAUUUCUUAAGGAAGAGUUGUAUAUGAUGCAACCAGAAGGUUUUGUCGAUCCUAAAGGUGCUUUCAAAGUGUGCAAGCUCCAGUGAUCCAUCUAUGGACUGGUGCAAUCAUCUCGGAGUUGGAAUAUACACUUUGAUGAGGUGAGCAAAGCAUAUGGUUUUAUAUAGACUUAUGGUGAAACCUGUAUUUACAAGAGAGUGAGUGGGCGCUCUGUAGCAUUUCUGAUAUUAUAUGUGGAUGACAUAUUGUUGAUCGGAAAUGAUAUAGAAUUUAUGGAUAUCAUAAAAGGAUACUUGAAUAAGAUUUUUUCAAUGAAAGAUCUCGGUGAAGCUGCUUAUAUAUUAGGCAUCAAGAUCUAUAGAGAUAGAUCAAGGCGCUUAAUUAGACUUUCACAAGGCACAUACCUUGAUAACAUUUUGAAGAAGUUCAAAAUGGAUCAGUCAAACAAAGGGUUCUUGCCUGUAUUACAAGGUGUGAAUUUGAGUCAAGCUCAAAGCCCGACCACUACAGAAGAUACAGAGGAAAUGAAAGUCAUUCCCUAUGCCUCGGCCAUAGGUUCUAUCAUGUAGGCUCUGUUUUGUACCAGACCUGUUGUGUACCUUGCCAUAAGUUUGGCAGGGACGUACCGAAGUAAUCCAAGAGUGGAUCACUGGAUAGCGGUCAAGAACAUCCUGAAGUACCUGAAAAGGACCAAGGAUAUGUUUCUCGUUUAUGGAGGUGAUGAAGAGCUCGUCGUAAAUGGUUACGUCGAUGCAAGCUUCGACACUUAUCCAGAUGACUCUAAGUAACAACCGGAUACGUGUUUAUAUUGAAUAGUGGAGCUGUCAGUUGGUGCAGUUUCAAGCAGAGCAUGGUGACGGGAUCUACGUGUUAAGUGGAGUACAUAUGGUGCUUUCAUAAGCAGCGCAUGAAGGAGUCUGGAUGAAGGAGUUCAUAUCCGAUCUAGGUGUAAUACCUAGUGCAUCGGGUCCAAUGAAAAUCUUUUGCGACAACACUUGAGAAAUUGCCUUGGCGAAGGAAUCCAGGUUUCACAAGAGAACCAAACACAUCUAGAGAUGCUUCAACUCCAUUCAUGAAAAGGUCAAGGAUGGAGACAUAGAAAUUUGCAAAGUGCAUAUGGAUCUGAAUGUGGCAGACCGGUUGACUAAGCCUGUUUCGCGAGCAAAACAUUAUCAACACCAAGACUCCAUGGGUGUUAGAUUCAUCACAAUGUAAUCUAGAUUAUUGACUCUAGUGCAAGUGGGAGACUAAAGGAAAUAUGCCCUAGAGGCAAUAAUAAAGUUGUUAUUUUAUACUUCCUUAUUCAUGAUAAAGGUUUAUUAUUCAUGCUAGAAUUGUAUUGAUCGGAAAUUUAAAUACAUGUGUGAAUACAUAAACAAAUACCGUGUCCCUAGUAAGCCUCUACUAGACUAGCUCAUUGAUCAAACAUGGUUAAGGUUUCCUAACCAUAGACAUGUGUUGUCAUUUCAUAACGGGAUCACAUUAUUAGGAGAAUGAUGUGAUGUACAAGACCCAUCCGUUAGCUUAGCAUAAUGAUCAUUUAGUUUAUUAUUAUUGCUUUCAUCAUGUCAAAUACAUAUUCCUUCAAUUAUGAGAUUAUGCAACUCCCGGAUACCGGAGGAAUACCUUGUGUGCUAUCAAACAUCACAACGUAACUGGUUGAUCAUAAAGAUGCUCUACAGGUAUCUUCGAAGGUGUUUGUUAAGUUGGCAUAGAUCGAGAUUAGGAUUUGUCACUCCGAGUAUUGGAGAGGUAUCUCUGGGCCCUCUCAGUAAUGCACAUCACAAGAAGCCUUGUGAGCAAAGUGACGAAUGAGUUAGUUAUAGGAUGAUGUAUUACGAGACGAGUAAAGAGACUUGCCAGUAACGAGAUUGAACUAGGUAUCAAGAUACCGACGAUAGAAUUUCGGGCAAGUAACAUACCAAUGGACAAUGGGAAUUGUGUGUGUUGUCAUAAUGGUUUGACCGAUAAAGAUAUUUGUAGAAUAUGUAGGAGCCAAUAUGGGCAUCCAGGUUCCGCUAUUGGUUAUUGACCAGAGAGGUGUCUCGGUCAUGUCUACAUAGUUCUUGAACCCGUAGGGCCCGCACGCUUAACGUUCAUUGACGAUAUAAGGCUAUAUGAGUUAUGUGUUUUGGUGACCGAAUGUUGUUCAAAGUCCUGGAUGAGAUCAUGGACAAGAAGAGGAGUCUCAAAAUGGUUGAGAGGUAAAUAUGUAUAUAUAUAUAGGACGAGGGUAUUUGGACACCAGAAGUGUUUCGGGUAGUAGCGGGUACUUAUCGGGUUACGGGAAGGUGNNNNNNNNNNNNNNNNNNNNNNNNNNNNNNNNNNNNNNNNNNNNNNNNNNNNNNNNNNNNNNNNNNNNNNNNNNNNNNNNNNNNNNNNNNNNNNNNNNNNNNNNNNNNNNNNNNNNNNNNNNNNNNNNNNNNNNNNNNNNNNNNNNNNNNNNNNNNNNNNNNNNNNNNNNNNNNNNNNNNNNNNNNNNNNNNNNNNNNNNNNNNUAUAUAUAUAUAUAUAUAUAUAUAUAUAUAUAUAUAUAUAUAUAUAUAUAUAUAUAUAUAUAUAUAUAUAUAUAUAUAUAUAUGGGGAGGGGGCACCACAAAAGGACACAACAUUGUCUUAGCCGUGUGCGGCGCCCCCGUCCACCGUUUACUCCCUCGGUCAUAUUUUCGUAGUGCUUAGGCGAAGCCCUGGGAAGAUCACAUUAUCGUCACCACACCGUCGUGCUGCCGGAACUCAUCUACUACCUUACCAUCUUGCUGGAUCAAGAAGGUGGAGGACGUCACUGAGCUGAACAUGUGCAGAAUGCGGAGGUGUCGUACGCUCGGUACUACAUCGGUUGGAUCGCGAAGAAAGUUUGACUACAUCAACCGUGUUGUGAAACGCUUCCGCUUACGGUCUACAAGGGUAUCCAGACACACUCUCCCCCUUCGUUGCUAUGCAUCUCCAUGAAUAGAUCUUGCGUGUGCAUAGAAAUUUUUUGUUUUCCAUGCAACGUUACCCAACAAAAAUGACAUAACCAGCCCUGCUACAGAUCCCGAGAUCUAUCUGACUAAGAGCGACUACUGAUCGUCCGGAGACGAGACGUCGAAACGCCCACAAUCCUCGUUAAACUCCCACUGGAGCUCGGUUGCAUCACCUAUGUAUGUAUCAGUGGUACCUGCAACUUUGUUUGUAGUAAUCUGUGAGCCACGGGGACUAAGCAAUCUCAUUACCCACUGUGUCAAAACUAACAAAGCUUAAAUGGGUAUGGCAUGGGUAAGUGGUGACGUUGCAGCAAGCACUAAGCAGGUUUAAGUGGCUAAUUUACGAGUACAAGAAUAAGAAGAGAGACUACGCAUAACGGUCCCAAACUGGUAAUGAUCAAGAAUUGAUCCUGAACUACUUAUGUUGCAAUCAUAACCCCACCAUGUUCUCUUCCCGAACUUUGUCGAAAAGAGAUGAUCAUGGUUCCACAUGCGGUUCAUGUAUUUUAUUUGAAUUUGGUGUCAGGUUCACUACAACCGGAUAUCAUAAAUUUCCAAGUUGCCCAUAACCGCGGGAACGACUCUCAAAAAGAUUAAACCCUGCAGGGGUGUCCCAACUUAGUCCAUUACAAGCUCUCACGAUUCGUGGAGGAAAAUCUCCAUCUCGGGACACCCCGAUCAAGCUCGGAAUCCCGGUGCACAAGACAUUUUGACAAUGGUAAAACAAAACCAGCAAUACCUCCUGACAUGCCGACACCUCGACAGGAGCCGCGCGUAUCUCAUGUCAGGCCAUGAUCGGAUGGGACAAGCUACGAGUAAAACUAGAGCUCGAGUUUCGCCGUUUUGGACCUGCCGGCCACCCCUUUUGGACCAACACUCAUGAGGAGCAAUGGUCCGGUUUGUUGAUUAAGAAUCAUCGGGUUAAUUACCCCCUAUGCAAAUUUUAGUUGUUAUUAGGCAAAUGGUAAAACCAAAGUUGGCCCUUGCUGGAAGAGUUUUAUUCAAAGCGAACUAUCAAGGGGGCCCCAUAAACCCCGACCAUGUAAGGAACGCAAAUCAAGGAACAUAACACCAGUAUGACGGGAACUAGGGCGACAAGAAUGGAACAAAACACCAGGCAAAAAGGCCAAGUGUUCCACCAUUUACCAAUAUAUAGAUGCAUUAAUUAAAUAAGAGAUAUUGUGAUAUCCCAUGAUAUGUCCCAUCAUGGAAUAAACUACACCACCACAACAACUAGCAACAUAUAAGAGGGGCUGAGAAAGCGGUAACAUAGCCAAACAACGGUUUGCUAGGGUUUUUUUAACGAUUUGCUAGGUUUGAUAGAGGCAAAGGUGUCCCGAUGUUUCGAUGAGAUGGUGGCGAUCGUUUUCUGUGGGAGUCGACCUUGACGAUCCGACUACGAACGUGCGAGACGUCGCGCCUUAGCAAUCGCAAAACCAACUUCCGAGGGUUAUUGACCACGCCGGAGCACGAUCAACCUGACCACGAGGGUCUGUUUCCUGCAAGCAAACGAAGAACAAGCAAGAAACUGAGAUUGCAAUCUGGAUAUUGCGAAUAUAAGAUGAAAGAUUUAUUGAUCAAGGUGGGGUUCUGUGACGCCUUGGUCUGGUCGUUGAACACAAACGAAGUACGCGAAGUUGCAGCUAUGGCAAACUUUUAAUCUAAACAAAACCCAAAGUCUAAACGAUGCCCUAAGGGCUAUAUAUAUGGAGGAGAGAGGGGGAAUUUCGUGGCCCUUGGUGGAGGGGUCCGAAACCAACCCUAACUCUUGUUUCCCCACACAUACGGACUCUAAAAACAGCCUAUACUUAAGUACUUUGAAAAUACAUGGGCCUGGCCCAAUAAUAAGGUGACGCAGCACCUAAAAUAGCCUCUGGACGAAAUUUAUGAAGUGGCAUCUUGUAUAUUUCGUCCCAUGCUUCAUGCACUCAUUAUGGUGGCUUCAAAGUCCUGGAAUCAUCACUUGUAACUCCGUUCUUGUUCCCCUUGCGCAUGCCAUCAUCUCCAUGCUUGAACUUGCUCCAAGGUUCAUCUUUCUUGCCCAAGCUAGGCCCUUCAUUUGUAAGCAAAACAAAUGUAUCCAAUUUAGGCAAUAUCAUAUUCUCAUGAACAUUAGAAUCGUUACCAAUAAACGAAAGUACCUGAUAAUUCAAUUGGCGUGCUCGAGCUCUAGUAAUCGGUCCAGUAUGUAUAGCAGCAGGGGCUGUGGGUGUAACAAUGGUAUUGAUGUCCUCAUCAUCCUCCCCUUCUUGAAAUGAAGUCAUCCUCAAUGAAAGUUCAUCGUUCUCACCCAAAUAAGGCUUCAAAUCUGCAGUGUUAAAAGUGGGACUAACCCCAAAAUCUGCAGGCAGCUCAAGUUUAUAUGCAUUAUCAUUUAUUUUCUCUAACACCUUAAAAGGACCAUCAGCACGUGGCAUUAGCUUUGAUUUGCGCAAAUUAGGAAAUCUAUCCUUACGCAAAUGUAACCAAACAAGAUCUCCAGGUGCAAACACAACAUUUUUUCUACCCUUAUCUCCAGCAAGUUUAUAUUUAGCAUUCAUACGCUCAAUGUUUUCCUUAGUUAACUCAUGCAUUUUUAAAAUCCAUUCAGCAUGUUCUUUAGCAUCAAAAUUAACCUUCUCCGAAGAUGGAAGAGGCAACAAAUCAAUAGGUGCACGAGGUAGGAAACCAUAUACAAUUUCAAAAGGGCACAUCUUAGUAGUAGAAUGCAAUGAACGAUUAUAAGCAAAUUCAAUAUGAGGCAAGCAUUCUUCCCACAUUUUCUUGUUAUUCUUCAAAACAUCCCUAAGCAUAGUAGACGAUGUUCUAUUGACUACUUCAGUUUGUCCAUCAGUUUGGGGGUGACAAGUAGUACUAAAAAGCAGUGUAGUCCCCAACUUAGCCCAUAAACAUGUAGUGCAGCGAGCAACAAAAUGCUCAACAUCCCGUCUCAUCUUUGGCCAAAAGAAAUGUGUAGCAAGUAUAUCCUCCAUCUUCUUGACGCCAAAGUGUCCCAUUAAUCAUCCUCCAUGCGCCUCCUGCAACAACAAAAGACGAAUGAAGCUAGCUGGAAUGCAUAGCUUGUUAGCACGAAACACAAAUCCAUCGUUAAGAACGAACUUGUUCCAAGUUCUCCCUUCCUUACAUUUAUGCAAUACAUCUUUAAAUUCAGCAUCAUGAACAUAUUGAUCUUUGAUGGUCUCCAAACGACGAGACAAUGCAUCAGCAAUAACAUUUUCUUCACCCUUCUUGUGUUUAAUGACAUAAGGGAAAGUCUCAAUGAAUUCAACCCAUUUAGCAUGUCUACGGUUCAGUUUUGCUUGACUUUUAAUGUGUUUCAAAGAUUCAUGAUCAGAAUGUAUAACAAAUUCCUUGGGCCAUAAAUAAUGUUGCCAUGUUUCUAAGGUCUGAACAAGAGCAUAUAAUUCUUAUCAUAAGUAGAAUAGUUCAGACUAGGCCCACUCAAUUUUUCAGAAAAGUAUGCAACAGGUUUGCCAUCUUGUAAUAACACACCUCCUAAUCCAAUUCCACUAGCAUCACAUUCAAGCUCAAAAGUCUUAUUGAAAUUAGGAAGUUGAAGUAAAGGAGCAUGUGUCAACUUAUCUUUCAAUACCGUGAAGGCUUCUUCCUGUGCGGUACCCCAAGCAAAAGGCACAUCCUUCUUUCUCAGCUCGUUGAGAGGUGCAGCAAUGGUGCUGAAAUCUCUCACAAAACGCCUAUAGAAACCAGCGAGGCCAAGGAAACUCCUCACUUGUGUGACCGUUUUGGGCUGCGGCCAACUCUCAAUAGCUUCAAUCUUGGCUUUAUCAACUUCAAUUCCCCGUGGAGUAACAACAUAGCCAAGAAAAGAUACUCAGUCGGUGCAAAAGGUGCACUUUCCAAGGUUACCAAACAAACGUGCAUCACGUAGAGAAAUAAAAACAGCAUGUAAAUGUUCCAAAUGUUCUUCCAAAGAUUUGCUAUAAAUCAAUAUGUCAUCAAAGUAAACUACCACAAAUCGUCCAAUGAAAGCACGUAAAACUUCGUUCAUUAACCUCAUGAAAGUACUAGGUGCAUUAGUUAACCCAAAAGGCAUGACUAACCACUCAUAUAAUCCAAACUUAGUUUUAAAUGUUGUUUUCCAUUCAUCUCCCAAUUUCAUAUGAAUUUAAUGGUAUCCACUACGCAAAUCAACUUUGAAGAAUAUUGUAGAGCCACUCAAUUCAUCAAGCAUAUCAUCUAGCCUAGGAAUAGGAUGACGAUAAUGAAUAGUAAUAUUAUUAAUGCCUCUACAAUCAACGCACAUACGCGACGUACCAUCCUUUUUUAGCACUAAAAUGAUAGGAACAACACAAGGACUAAGGGAUUCGCGUAUAUAACCUUUAUCGAGCAGUUCUUGUACUUGACGCAUAAUCUCCUUCGUCUCCUUUGGAUUGGUACGGUAUGGUGCACGGUUGGGUAAUGAUGCACUGGGAAUUAAGUCAAUUUGAUGCUCAAUCCCUCGAAUAGGUGGUAAUCCCGGUGGCACGUCUUGUGGAAAGACGUCAGCGAACUCCUGCAAAAUGUUAGUGACAGCAGGAGGCAAAGAGGAAGGCACGUCCUCGAAUGAAAAUAAUGCCUCUUUGCACACAAAAGCAUGGCAAACAGAUUUGCUAAAAUCUAGAUCAUCAAUAUCAGAUUUGGUGGCAAGUAAACAUGCACUUUUCAAUUUAAUUUCAGAAGCAACACUAGAUUGUUUAUUAUUAGGAUGCAUUUGUUGCUCAAAUUCUUUAGCCACAAUCUGAUUUUCACUCUUAUUUUUCUCCUGUUUUGCUUUAUUAGCUCUAUUAAUAUCAUCUUUCAAAAUGGAAUCAGGAGUCAUAGGAAGCAAAGUAAUAUUUUUAUCCAUAUGAACAAGAGUAUACUGAUUGUUUCUACCAUGGUGUACAGAAUUUUUAUCAAAUUGCCAUGGUCGACCAAGUAAUAAGGAACAUGCUUGCAUAGGUACCACAUCACAAUCAACAUAAUCAGCAUAUGUAGAGAUACUAAAAUGCACACGAACAGUACGUGUUACCUUAACCUUGCCGCUGUUGUUGAACCAUUGGAUGUAGUAAGGAUGUGGAUGUGGUCUUGUGGUGAGAGAUAGCUUCUCCACCAUCUCCAUGCUAGCCAAGUUAUUGCAACUCCCUCCAUCUGUGAUCACGCAAACAGAACGUUCCUUCACAACUCCCUUUGUAUGGAACAAAUUAUGCCUCUGAUUUUCCUCAGCUUGUGUAACCUGCACACUCAAAACACGUUGAGCAACUAAACAUUCAUACCUGUCAACAUCUUCAGGAGCCAUGUAUUGUGUCUCAUGAUCAGAAUCGUCUCCAUCGUGUUCGUCAUGUGUAAUAAGAGCCAAAGUCUCCUCAUCAUAGUCACUAGCGGACUCAUACCCACCAUCCUUAGUAACAAUCAUCACACGCUUAGAUGGGCAUUCUCUCGCAUAAUUACCUCCACCCUUGCAACGUCGACAAAUAAUAUCAUGUGUUUUCCCUGUUGAUGCCAUGGAUGAAGAAGAGCUCUUUGCAGGCCCAGAAGGUGUGCUCUUGGCAGAUAGUGGUGAUUGUGCCUGCUUUAUUGUGUCACGGUUGGAGGUGGCAUCCGACGGAGGUGCCGGUGUAGCAGAACGUGUGGAAGUAGAUGAUGCACGUGGUGUCCAUGAUGAAGGUCGACCUGCAGAAAAGUUAGUCCGCGCUAAUGCCUGUCGAUCCUGCACUUCAUGUUCAGCUUACAAGCAAGAUGGAAUAAACGAGUGAUAUUAGUAUACUCCUUAUACUCUAGAAUGGUCUGAAUCUCUCUAUUUAAUCCACCCAUAAAACGUGCAAGCAUAGCUUCAUUCUCCUCAACAAUACCACAUCUAAUCAUGCCAGUUUGCAAUUCCUGAUAAUAUUCUUCUACAGAAUUUUUUCCUUGUCUUAAUCGCUGCAAUUUUUGAAGUAAUUCACGUUGAUAAUAUGGUGGAACCCAACGAGUACGUAUAGCAGUUUUCAAAGCAGCCCAAGUAGGUGGAAUAGGAUAUAAUCUACAAUGUUCAGACCACCAAACACAUGCAAAGCUAGUGAAAGCACAAACAGCAGCAGGAACACGUCUCUCCUCAGGAUAUUGUAAACAUGUAAGUCGUUGUUCAUUUUCUAACUCCCAAGUAAGAUAUAUAUCAGGAACAUAUCUACCCUCAAAUGGUGGAAUAUUCAAUUUCAGUUUAGGGAGAUGGUCAUGAUCUCGUACGUGAGCGGGAGCCCUAACAUUGCCAUUAUUUGCAUGUAGAUGAACUGGUGGUUGUGGUGCUGGUGGUUGCACGUAGUUCUGAUUUUGAUCAACCUCAUCCUCGUAAUCACCCACAUAAUCAUCCUCCUCCACAUCAGCAGCAGGAGCCACAGAAGUAUCAAUAGCAGCACCAACUGUUUGGCCAGGCUGAAGAGGGACACGGCUUGCUCGGCAGAGGGCUGUUUCCCGACGUGGAGGUAGUCGGUGUUGUUGCUGUUGGUGCAGAGGUGCGGCACGAGCAGCCGGUGGUGGAAAACGCGAAAGCAAUUCAGCAAACUUGUUAUCGAGCUUUGUUUCAAAUGUCUUCUCCAUGCCAUCUAUCUUCUCCAUGGCCUCUUCAAAUCUGUUUAGCACAUCUUCCACCUGUCCACUCAUCAUUUGAUGAAACUUAUCAUGUAACUCUUUGUUCGUCAUGUUCUCCCAGUCAAUCGCGUCGGGUUGUGAUCCUGGCAUGGUUAGCAGCAAUAGAAAUACACAAGAAUAUGAACCUACAGACUACUAGAAAACGGCGGUGGUGGAGUGUCACAAAUUCGUCAAGCAAAUCUCAAAUUCUUACCAGUUCUUACCCAGCAGCAGGCGGGGAUCGGCAACCGUCGUAGUCAAAACUCUCAAAGCUUGGAUAGAGCGAUUACCAGGGAGAGUCAAAUGCACGACGUAGAUAUAUGUGGAGCUAGGAAGGCUUAUAAUAUGGUAGCAAAAGGGGUCAGCAAUAAUCAAUUCAGAGAUGCAAAGUUGAAUAAAUGCUCAACGACGGUACUGUGUUGGUCCUAGGCUAGACCGUGCUAGAGACGCGAGCCUAGAACACUAACAAAAUCAUGGCACUGCACGUAAAAAAGGGAAAAGCACACUCUGGAACUUUUUUUUCGCUCUUUUUUUUGCGCUCCUCUUUUUUUACGAAAAAUCACUAUAAUGGCGAGUGUCUCAAAACUCUUCCCUCGUCAAACUGAUAGGAUGGGCACGAAAUUUUUUUUGACUUUUUUCGGAAAUCAGGGCAGCGAUGACGAAAAAGUGCGACAAAAAAUCACUAUGAUGGCACGUGGCUCAAAAAACUCAAAAAAGCCUAAAAAUAGGAUAGGGAAAAAAUAUUUUUGGUCGCCGAAAUUUUGGCCUAAAAACUGCCCGGGGGUCUCCAGACUCUUUUUUUUUCGAGACCUACGCAGGCAAGGAAACACGAAUCGGAAUUUAGAUUGAUCUCAAAAACAAACCUAAUAUGAGAAGAACUCGGAUUGGUGGUGGAUAUAUGGUUGUGGUAUAUGGCAGCGGUGGUGGUAUAUGGUAGCGGUGGUGGUAUAUGGAUACAGAUUGGUGGUGGUAUAUGGAUACGGAUUCAGAGCAGUGGCGGAUAAGCAAUGGUGGUAGAUGGCAAGGCGAUGAUGAUGGUGCGGCGGCGGCGUGACAACUUAUGACUAGAACUCGAAACUCUAAAAGACUAGACUCACAGACCAGCAACUUGACACGACGAUGCAACCGCAAAUUCAACAAAGCAAAAACUCUAAAAAGAUUAUGCAAAGGCUCAGAUUGGUUCGGAUAUGAUGAACUAACCCUAAUUUUUUGUGGCUUUUUCGUGGACUGUAGGUAUGAAGAACAGACUCGAUCUAAUCUACGAAAAACUAUAAAAUCUCACCGAGCAACCUGGAAAUCUGAUACCACUUGAUAGAGGCAAAGGUGUCCCGAUGUUUCGAUGAGAUGGUGGCUAUCGUUUUCUGUGGGAGUCGACCUUGAAGAUCCGACUACGAACGUGCGAGACAUCACGCCUUAGCAAUCGCUAAACCAACUUCCGAGGGUUAUUGACCACGCCGGAGCACGAUCAACCUGACCACGAGGGUCUAUUUCCUGCAAGCAAACGAAGAACAAGCAAGAAACUGAGAUUGCAAUCUGGAUAUUGCGAAUAUAAGAUGAAAGCUUUAUUGAUCAAGGUGGGGUUCUAUGACGCCUUGGUCUGGUCGUUGAACACAAACAAAGUACACGAAGUUGCAGCUAUGGCAAACUUUUAAUCUAAACAAAACCCAAAGUCUAAACGAUGCCCUAAGGGCUGUAUAUAUGGAGGAGAGAGGGGGAAUUUUGUGGCCCUUGGUGGAGGGGUCCGAAACCAACCCUAACUCUUGUUUCCCCACACAUACGGACUCUAAAAACAGCCUAUACUUAAGUACUUCGAAAAUACAUGGGCCUGGCCCAAUAAUAAGGUGACGCAGCACCUAAAAUAGCCUCUGGACGAAAUUUAUGAAGUGGCAUCUUGUAUAUUUUGUCCCAUGCUUCAUGCACUCAUUAUGGUGGCUUCAAAGUCCUGGAAUCAUCACUUGUAACUCUGUUCUUGUUCCCCUUGCGCAUGCCAUCAUCUCCAUGCUUGAACUUGCUCCAAGGUUCAUCUUUCUUGUCCAAGCUAGGCCCUUCAUUUGUAAGCAAAACAAAUGUAUCCAAUUUAGGCAGCAUCAUAUUCUCAUGAACAUUAGAAUCGUUACCAAGAAACGAAAGUACCUGGUAAUUCAAUUGGCGUGCGCGAGCUCUAGUAAUUGUUCCAGUAUGUAUAGCAGCAGGGGAUGUGGGUGUAACAAUGGUAUUGAUGUCCUCAUCAAGGUUGGUGGGGUUAGAGGCUUAUCAUGGCAAUUUAGGAGGCUGACAAACAAGUAGUAGGUAGCGCGACAUGGCAAUAGGAACGAAACAACUAGAAAGUAAAGAUAGAAGUGAUAUUAGGGGUAAUGAUCAUCUUGCCUAAAAUGUCCUCAAUGGUAUCGAAACCUUUCUCCUCGUGAACGUACUCAAUAGGGUCCUCGGAUUCAAACUCAUCUCCUAGUACUACCCAUAAGAAGAACAAGCAUCCAAUGAACAAACAAGCAUGGCAUGGCAAAGAACAUAUUCUACAUGCAACUCUAACCAUGAAUUCAUAUGAAGAACGUUAAGAACGGAGCUAUGGUACUACCGGAACGAGGGAUACAUCAAUAGGAGGGAAUCAUUGAAGACAAAAUGGUUAUGGGUAGAGUCUUGGUGAUCCGAGUAUGCCACUGGAGAGAUUGGAAGAUUUUGGUUGAAAUGCAUAUAAUGAUCAUCGAAAACGGUGCAUCGAGCUCAAACGGUGAGCAAAACACUAUGCAAUGCAAAUCUUUCCAUAACAUCAACAUGACCUAUUGCUCCAACGGUGAGCAAAACAUUAUGCAAUGCAAAUAUGUCCACAACAGGAAUCCAGUGUGCUCAAAAAGGAUAUGCAACUAUAGUAUGACUGGCAUAUUUCAAGAUGUACAUUGGUGCAAAAACAUAUGAUGCAUGUAUUAAUUAAAAAUGAACUCACAAGUUGCAACAUAUUAUUAAGAGCAAACUGUUAUAUUAAUAUGGCAUCAUUAGAGCAAGUUUAAGUUAAGCUAUGGUAGUUUUGCAUGGAAACAAAAGGUAUGGCAUGAAUGUAUUGGUAAUGCAUAACAACAAUGUUUAAUGAUCAUGUUCAGAAAAGUUAUAGAUUAGUGGGAAACAUCAUGGAAACAUGACAAGUUUUAAUUCUGUCAGUAUCAGACUUUGCAGAUUUCAACAAGUAGGAAACAACAAAAUUAUCUGAGCAUGUUAACAAGCUUGUGGCAGUGACCUCAGUGCAUAUAUUGGCAUUAACUAAACUCUAUCGGUAAUAUGCCAUGAUUAUGCUCCAAUUCAUGUAGAAACAUUACUCAUGUGACGAUUGCAAUAAUUCACACAAAAAUAACAAAACAGUGAGUUGUGUAAAUAUGACAUGCUCCAAACUCGCUGAAAUGCCAAAACUAAUGCCACCAAUGGAUUAUUUAGAUUCUUCUAGCCAAAAAAUGAUACAUAAUAUGUAUUUGUUGCUGUAUGAAAAUGCUUACAAUUGCUAUAUGUCAUAUCCUUCCUAAAAUGGAAAUGGACAGAAAACGAAUCUGCCAGACCUGGAAUGUCCAGAUUUCGACUUGCCAGAAAUGGAAAUGUGCCACUUUCCAGAAAUGGAAUUUCUGGAAAAUGUGAAAACAUAAAGAAAAGGAGGGGGUUGUGUGCAUGUGUGUAUGACAGUAGGUCUCUCGUGCGUGUGUAUGAUAGUGAGGCCAAGGUGUCAGUGUCACACUGGCAAAAAUAAAUGGCCACAACAAAAAUUUGUGAAGCCUCGGACUCGAAUCUGGGUCUCCCUAGUGCUGGGCAUGAGCGGUGACCAGUUGGGCUACGUGCGUGCUCAUGGCAUGAAGGAGAGCUCACCUCUUUUGAAACUUGACAAAGGUCAAGCCUUCUUCUCCACUUGCGAAAGGGAGAAGGCGACAGCGCCGGUGAGCGACAACAGUGAGUAGUGGAGCAGUCGAGCCCCUACGGGCACGCGGGAUUCGCAGGAGAGCGUGUGUGCAGUCACGCACAUGCAAACGGAGUGUUGGGGAGCUCGAGCACGAGCAUGGCUUGGCUCCGGCCAUGGCAUGGCACGGCAAGGCGAGCGAGCGGUAGGCAGGGAGUGCGGCAUGUGUGUGUGUGCGUGACCUAGGGCGUGGCUGAGUGCAGCUAGGGGAUCCAUAAUGGGGUGCUUGAGCUGUUGUUGACAACAAGAACACCACAGAAAAAAUACUGCACUUUAGCAAGAGCAGGGCCGCGACAGUGGCACGACGAGGAGAAAGACUACGGUCAACUAGAGGGCACGAGAAAAGGCUGGGACGAAAAGGGAAUUACCUAGCUCACCACAUGAAGAAGCACUAAGCUUGGUGGGGCUUCGAGGCGCAGAAGAAGAUGUAGGAGACAGGUUGGGGUAGUCGAUCCAGAGGCCGUAGACGUGCGUGCGUGGUGGCAGGGGACGAAUAGAAACUUGGCGGUCUUUUCCACGGCAGCCGAGUUAGUCGGAGGCGCAACGAGGGGCUAUCCCGAGCUCGAGCUCUUGCUCAGCUCGAGCAUGGCGGAUAGGGCGACAGCGUGGCAUGGGCUAGCCUUACCUGGUGGCGGCGAGGGAAGGAGAGGGGUGGAAGGGGUCGAGGGAGGAUGGAGCUAGGGCUAGGACAUGUUAUAUAGGAGAUAGGGACGUCGGACGGCCGUCAAAUCAUCGAGCUCGUCGACUUGGCCCCCUAGAUGCACGUCGUACAAAGGAAGAUGACUCUCUGUCGCUAGGGGGGCUUGGUGGGCUGAGAUGAACAGGUAAGUGCCCAGGUGGGCUGCGGCUGGAAGAGGCCUUGGCUGGGCUGAGGCUACUGUGAUGUAGGGUAAAACCCUAGUGGCCCGAUCUUUCACGGAAGGAGCGGAUCCCGCGAUGAACACAAAGAACACGAGGGGGAAAACGACGGGAAUCACGAGGGGAAACACGAGAGAACACUCAAACCAACAAGAAUGAUCACACAUCCGCUAGAUCCUCAAAACACAAAGAGAAAUACAAGAUCCAAAGUCAACAACGGACGAUACAAGAGGUAACCGGUUCUUCUCCGUGAGGAGGUCUUGAAUCCACAAGGGGAUCUUCCCGUGAGAGGUCUUGAAUCCAAGGUGGAUCUUCUCCGUAGAGGGGCGGCGGUCUCUCUCGUGGAGUAGAUCCGAUAUGGAUGAGCAAUGCUCUAUCUCUAAAAUGAGCUAAACCAAUGCUAACCCUAACUAGGAGGAGGGGGAGUAGUAUAUAUAGUCUAACCCACGAAGGGGUAAGUGGGAAAGAGGGAUACAUGGGCCUUUGGCCCGACUCUGCAUGCACGCAGUCGUCGGAUGUCCGGGCUGGGGGCCGAAUGUCCGGCUGUUCGCGAGACGCCGGAUGUCCGGGGAACGGGCCGGAUGUUCGGCCUGGCGGUGUUCGAAACUGUUCUUCUCUAGAUAGGCGUCGCCGGAUUUUCGGGGUUGGUCGCCAGAUGUCCGGGCGUUGCUGAGGUGCCAGAUGUCAGGGCUGGUGCCGGAUGUCCAGCCACUGAAGCUCUUGGCCUUCUAUUGGUGUAGAUCCUGGGCAGCUGCACAGGCGCCGGAUGUCCGGCCCUUGGCCCGGAUGUCCGGCCGUUGUAGCAUCAACAGCUCCGUCUUCUUCCGUCGUCGCUUCCAAGCUUCCCUCACAGAUGGUGUAGUUGUACCUUGGCGCUUGCACUCCUCCUCGUCGUCCGUAGUGUUCCGACAAUACCUAUGCAUGCACAAGAGUGGAGUGUCAAGUAGUAUACCAUCCUCGAAGGGGUCAAGUGAGCACGUGUAAAGGAGAUGAUUCACCUAUGGGUAUGUGAAGUAGAUGUCGCACAUGUCACUCUCCAAACAUACUCUUGACAUGGUGAUGUCCAUAGGAUGCUCCGCAUCAUCUCCCCUCCCUUGGGAAAGAUCCGACCUUGAAUCGAAAACCAAAUCACCAUGGGAAAGAGAUGGCUUCGUCGUGUAGAAGUGGACGUUCACCAAGUAGUUGUCAUCUUGAAGCUCGAAAUGGGCACUCUCCAAUGUCGCAUCGUCUUGUGAUUCCUUCAAAAGGAGUAAGGACAAAAAACACUUGGAAAAACAAAUGUGGUUAACGUUAGUGCAAAACCAAGCAUUCAAGAGGUUAUUCACCAAACAAGUGUCGGCAUCAUGCAAAGCAUAUGGUGUGACAAAGGAUUGUGACAUGGCAUAUAAGCACAUAAAUUGAGCACAAGAAAAGAUAUCAUGGGGACAAGCAUGUAAAUGUGAGGUAGUGAUGCAAAUAUGUUGGAUAAGUGAAUAAGCAUCUACCUCAAGAUCAUAUCAAACAUGUUCAAAGCGCUCAAUGAAAGGUCUAUGGUAGGCAUAGGAAUCAUUCACAACACCAAAAGAAAUGAAGUGUCUAAACACAUGGGUCAAGUGCAAGACAAUCCAAGCAUAAUGUGCAUAGGGUGUAGUGAAUAUAGUGUGGCACUCAACACAAAAGAAAGAGAAAUUGUUCAUCAUGCAUGAGGCAAUCAAUGAGGCAUGGCAUAUGUGAAGAAAUGACAUUGUUGCAACCAAACAUAUGAUAGGAGCAAGUAAUCCAAUAAUUGGAUGCAACACACAAGGAAUAUAUAUAUCAUGAUGCAUGUAACGGUGAAAAUGACAAGUCGAAGCAAGAUCUCUAACAUGUGUGCAAUCAAGUGGUCCAAGAUGAACAAUAAGUCUCAUGGUGCAAGCAACACAGGUAGUAUGAUCCAUCAUAUCCACGCUCAAGAAAGAUGUCACCUUGUAGGCGUGUCCUUGUGCGUCCUUCACAACGCGGAAGUACAAGAAAGUGCGACGUAGAAUUGUUGUGGUAGAAGGUGGUUCGCUCUCAAGAGCUCGGUGGUCAACUCAUGUGAAGUGGAAGUUGACACGAAGUCCAAGUAUCCUACACAUGCACACAACAAAAGAAAGAACGUAUGCGCAUGGUAGAUAAACACAUCAUCCAUCAUGAUGGUUCUGUUUUCUUGCACAUAACCAUUAGAAGCACAAGUGCAUGAAUAAUAUGAUGCAACAACGGCAAUAUUCAUGGCACUAGGUAUAUGGUGCAAAGAGGUAAGACAAGCAUGCUUCACAAAAAAUAUGUCAAAAUCUCCAAAAUAUGCGAGAAUGCUACGGGGGCAAUCUCAUUAGCAAGACUAAAAUCAUUGGUGCACUCGAUACAUGGGAAAUCAUCUAGCAUGUAGACGCAACACAUGGAGAUAUAUGACAAGAAGCAAUAACAAUCAUGAGCAAAGCAUGUAGAUGGUUGUCAUCAACCGCAUGAAAUGAGCAAGUAUGAAUCAUCGGUGAUGCAACAAGGCAAUCACUCAUAGUAAUCAAGUCAUGCAAGCUAGUAGUGCGAAGAUGCAACAUACCAAAGGAAAUCAUGGCAAUCAUGUCAUGUGAGAAAAUAAUAGGCAUGGACAAUGCACAUGACAUAUCACAAGCACGAACACAAAGCAAGAUCAUAGUAUAAUCAUAGGCAUGGCACAAAGCAGACAUGGCAAUAACAAGUGAUAUCUCCACCAAGCUUCCAUAUACACAUACAAGUAUGAGAAUCAAUCAUCAUGUGUAAUGCAAAGUAUGGGUCACGAAUGCAUGGCAAAGGCAUAGUAAUGAGCAUAUCAUGCAAAGUGAACAUGGCAAGAUGGGCAUAUAAUAUGUAAUGGACAAUAACCCAUAGCCAGGUGAGAGCCGAGGAGAAGAAAUGCACGUAGUCUUUGCGCGAAGAGAUCAGUGGGAAAGACAAUCCAUGGAAUCCCAAGUCAUCAUUGCUCUCUAGAGCUCAUUUUGUCAACUCAUGGGAUUGCGAGGUUGAUAAGAAUUCAUGGGUACCUACACAAAAGAGACACAAACGAAAGAGAUUGUGUGUGUGGUAAAUGUACACAUCAUCCAUCAUGAUGUGUAUGUGCACGUGAGAGUUAGCACAAGAUAAGCAUCGCUCAAAGAAAUUUGAUGCAUGGUAUAAGAACAUGUCAUCCAUCAUGAAAUAAUAGUUAUUGUGUAUAACACGAUGGGGACACAAAUUGAGAAUGCAAGUAUAUGGCACAUCAAUAGCAUGUUUAUUCAUGGGAAGCAUAUGGUGCACACAAGUAUUGGGAUCAUGCAAUGAAUGGGAUGAAUCAAAAUCUCCUAAAAUGUAUGAGGAAACUAUGGGGGUCUCCUCAUGAGCAAUAUUGGAAAGAUCACAUGGAGAAAAUGGACAACAUCCAAAACAAUGCAUAUCCGAAGGUAGGUGUUCAUGGCAUGGCAUAUGAGAUAAAUGAUGCAAAGGGAGCAUAUCAAUAUCAUCACAAGAAAAACAAAUGCCAAUAACCAUGGGCUGGUCAUCUAUGCCAUAAGUGCAAAUUGGGUUAAUCUUAAUGGCAUAUGCAUAGUCACUAUGAAGAAAUUGCAAAUAUGACAUGUGGUCGAUCUCAUGCAUGGCAUAUGACAAGUCAAGCGGAUUGGAAAACAUGAUGUGACCGACAGAAUUAGCACAAGAAAUCCUAUGUAACAUGGCAUCACAACUAAUAGACUCCACAUGGCAAUCAUCAUACUCAUCAUAAAUGGGUAAAUCAUCGCAUGGGGAAGUCACACUAGCGUGAAGCAUGGAAAUAGGUUGAUCAACAUCAUGCAAGAAAUCAACGUCAAGAAUGUCCACUAGUGGGACUAGAGCAUCACCUUCACCUAUGUUACCUUUGUUAUUCCACUCAAGUGGUGUAGGUGAGGUGGGAAAGACCAAAUGGUGGUCAUCUUCAUCUUGAUGGAACCAUGUGGGGGGUGCAUCAUAUUCCACCAUGGCCAUCAUCUUGUCCAAGGGUAGGACAAAGUCGUCAAGAAUCGGCGCGUCAUCAUAGAUGGGACCUAGCACCAAAUGAGAAGACACAAUAGAGGUAGAGGUCAAGUCAUUAGUGUUGAAAGCGGCCUCACAUGACCUAUUAACUAUCUCACUCUCUCUAUGUGGUGGUUCACUCACUCCCACAAAAUAGGUGCACUCAAUCUCACGUAUGGUGGAGUCACUUAUCUCACUCAAGUGGUGGGGGUUGUGGCUCUCCUCACAUGGGAAUUGGGGUAACACAUCAUAUAUGUGGCUAGUGGUGAAGUCACUCUCACUCUCAAUAUGGUGGCAAAAGUCACUCAAGUCAUCAUAUGUCGCCAUGGUCGAAGGGAAAAUCCCAUGCUCAACCAUCUCAUCGCCGUUGCCAUGGAUGAAGGCCAAAGAUGGCACAUCAUCACUCUCGCCUCCUAAGAUGGAAGCAUCAUCCUAUCUCAUCACCAUGUCGCUCGCCUCCAAAUCAUGUUCCUUGAUUGGCUCCAUAGUCGUAGUCGUCGCUGCACCGUCUUGCAAAAGAGUCAUGGAGGACUCGGCAUCAUCAAUGCCACAAAGAGGCAUGGCGGUGAAGUCGAACUUGGGAGCACCGUCUUGGAGCUCGUCGGGCUUGGACAUGUUGGUGGAACUAUCCUCAUGCUCGCCUUCUUGGAGCUUGGUCUUCGAGAAGUGUUCUUGGGUUGGAGAAGCCUUGGCCUUUAUGAGUUCUUGUUCCGCCUUGAGAGCACCAAUGUAGUUGUCGUCGAGGGACUUGUAGUUCUCGAGGAAGAUCGUCUUGGAGAUGUUGUUGUGCAAUCCCAUCAUGAAGUGGAACUUCAUCGAAAUGGGGUCGUCCAUGCCAGUUCGUCGCAAGGCUUUCUUCGUCUCCUUGAAGUACUCAUCGAUGGACUUGGAUCGUCGGGUGGUGUUCUCCAAUUGGCGUAGAAGUUGUUCCAUGUAGGUUGGAGGCACGAACUAUCGCCGCAGAGCUCUCUUCGUCUUGCACCAACUCAUGUCGUAGGUCUCCGAAGGUGCGUGAAGCCACCAUGUGGACACGUAGUCAUGGAAGUUCCUUGUGGCGCACUUCACUUGAUCUUCGGGACGAACUUGAUGUAGCUUGAGGUAGUCGUCCAUCAAACGCUCCCACUCGAGAUACUCCUCGGGUUGUAGAGUCCCAUAGAAAGGAAUCUCAUGGUCGAUGUCGAGGUCAUAGUAGCUCAUGGAAGUCAAGGACUUGAGCUUGGGGAGCUUCUCUUGAAGUGCUUGUGGGCGAAGAUGUCGUAUGUCCAUAUGCAAAGAUGCCUUCAAAUCGCUUGGCGAAGAUGCCAAGGGCGAUGGUGAAGUCGUUGAGCGGUUGUUGGUGUUGAGCUCUUGACCUUCACGUUCAUGGUGGUCAUGGUGUCGAUGCUGAUGUGACCUUGCCGGAUAUGGUAGCUCGGAGGCAUGUGCUCUUGAGUGUCUUCUCGAAGAUGAGGAAGACCGCUUGUAGGACUUGAUGAGGGCUUUGAUCUCCUCCAUUUGAGCUUGCAUCUUGGCGUCGGUGGAGUUUUGCAUGGCAUCGAACUCGUCGUUGUUGUUGUAGACCGAAGAUGAAAUGCCUUGCCUAUCCAUCACAAGACUCGAGCAAAUAUGAGUGGGAGAAAGAGAAGAACGAAUACCAAAUGUACCUUGACCGAAGUUGAAAGUGGAUCAAUGAUCACUCCAAUGUGGACAAGGAAAUAGCACAAUUGGUACCAAUUCUUGUCGGUUUCUCACACCUACACAAAUAAGGCUUAUGGUGGAGCUUGGUGAGGAUAGUGGCACAAAAAUUUGAUGUAAAAUGUUUGCAAGAGUCAAUAAUGUUGAAAGAGAUUCACAAAUUCGCAAGUGUAACAAGUAGACCAAUAGCAAUAUGUGGCACACGGGAACACACACACGGAUAGAUAAACAGGGUCGUGCAACCAAGGAUGAGCUCAAAAUGUGGAAUCCACGGAAAAUGCUCUUGUUGCACAACUCUAGAGAGACGCUAGCACGAUUGCUCAAUAGGCGGAUACGACACUUGUGCACAACCUAUAGGAGACAAAAAUGCAACGACUUCUAUCCCAAGUAUGCUAUGUAUACGAUGUUCCGGUGGUAUGAUCCAAGAUGAUCGGAUACGACAAUCUUAUGCAAUGUGGUAUGAUGCUAUGGCACUUGCUUACAAGCUCUUUUUUCACUCUUUUUUCUUUGCUUAAAAGCUUAUUCUUUUUUAUGGCCACUUUGCGAAAUGCACAAACCAAGAUAGCAAUUGUGUAUAUGUCGGAACAAUCUUGUGACACAAGGGAUGAUAUGAUACCAAUAUGAUAUGGUAUGUAUGCAAUGUAUGGUGUAGAUCACUAAUGUGCACAAGUAACAUUGCCGGCAAUACUCAAAUGGCUAGUCUCGAUAGGCAAGUAACGCAAAAUGGGCUAGGGGUUAACAAUGCAAUGGCAAGGGAAUAUACAAUGGAGGGAUACCAUGAUACCAAGAUGAUAUGGAGGUUACCGUCCUUGGCGAUGAUGAGUGCCGGUGAUCUUGAUGGAGAUACCAUCCCUAAGGAGCCGAAACACCAGGAAAUGGAAAAACCGCGAACUCAGAAUCUCAAAUGUCAAAUGUCAAAUGGUGGUAGCGGGAAAGCGGUGGUGGUUUUUGCGGAAGCCCAAUGGGAUUGCGGGAACACAAUGAUGGGUUUUGAGACGCAAUGCGGAAGUGGAGGGUAAGGUGGUGGACUAUACAUGGUGUCGUAGUUGGAAGCACGGUCCCUAAGUAGCCGAAACACCUUAGGAGACACAACUCACAACACAAACAAAAUUGGGUUAAGUUGGGGUGGUGGAAGUGUAUGGUGGGCAAGCCUAUGUGGGAGUUAUGGUGGUGGUGGUGGUUGAUGAAAAAUCAAUCAUCCCUAAGUAGCGUAAACACCUUAGGAGACUCAAAUCACAACUCACACAACCACUAAUUCUAUAAGGAACAAAAUUGGUUAGGUUGCGGAAGUCGGUGGUGGUUAUGCGGAGGUUGUGGUGGAAUCCCUAGGCAAAGAUGCCAAAGUUCCAAACAUUUUAUGGAGUCAAAUGGUUAUGGUAGUAUUUUUGUUGGAAGGGGGAUGUCAAGAGCUUUUCAACCAGCUAAAGAACGCGAAAAACGGACUCCGGAUGAAUUAGUUAUGGACAAAACGGUGAAAUGGGGGUGCUGAAAUGUACAGGGGCCGGACAUCCGGGGGUGGGGGGAGGAUAUCCGGGGUUGAUUGCCAGAACCGUGCGUGUUUUAUGCUCCAGGAGCCGGAUGUCCGGCUUGGGGCCCAGAUGUCCGGCUUGAGACCCGGAUGCCCGGCCCGACGAUUCCAGAUCUCGAUUGGGACAUCAAAACUCGAUUUGGGGGCGGAAAUAGAUGGACUUGGGGGCAAAAUUGAUGGGAUUUCGUGGAUGGAAAGUGGGGAAACUUGGGGAUAUGCUAGAUCCACUCAAAACCAAGCAAACCCAUGGAUUAAAAUCAACAAAACUUCGUCAAACCAACGAAUCACAAAAAAAAUUGGGGCUAUUUUUGGUGGGGAUUUUCAAAAUUGGGGAAGAACACAACAAAAUUAGGCUAGAAAAUUACGGGGGGAGGCUCCAAAAUCAUGAUCAAUGUGGCUCAUGAUACCAAGAUGAUGGUAUCAAGAGACAAGCUGGCUCUGAUCAAAGAUGAUGUAGGGUAGAACCCUAGUGGCCCGUUCUUUCACGAAAGGAGCGGAUCCCGCGAUGAACACGAAGAACACAAGGGGGGAAACGACGGGAAUCACGAGGGGAAACAGGAGAGAACACUCAAACCGACAAGAAUGAUCACACAUCCGCUAGAUCAUCGAAACACAAAGAGAGAUACAAGAUCCAAAGUCAACAACGGACGAUACAAGAGGUAACCGGUUCUUCUCCGUGAGGAGGUCUUGAAUCCACAAGGGGAUCUUCCCGUGAGGGGUCUUGAAUCCAAGGUGGAUCUUCUCCGUUGAGGGGCCGCGGUCUCUCUCGUGGAGUAGAUCCGAUAUGGAUGAGCAAUGCUCUAUCUCUAAAAUGAGCUAAACCAAUGCUAACCCUAACUAGGAGGAGGGUGAGUAGUAUAUAUAGUCUAAGCCACGAAGGGGUAAGUAGGAAAGACGGAUACAUGGGCCUUUGGCCCGACUCUGCGUGCACGCAGUCGUCGGAUGUCCGGGCUGGGGGCCGGAUGUCUGGCUGUUCGCGAGACGCCGGAUGUCUGGGGAACGGGCCGGAUGUCCGGCCUGGCGGUGGCCGAAUCUGUUCUUCUCUAGAUAGGCGUCGCCGGAUUUCCGGGGUUGGUCGCCAGAUGUCCGGGCGUUGCUGAGGCGCCAGAUGUCAGGGCUGGCGCCGGAUGUCCGGCCGCUAAAGCUCUUGGCCUUCUAUUGGUGCAGAUCCUGGGCGGCUGCACAGGCGCCGGAUGUCCGGCCGUUGUAGCAUCAACAGCUCUGUCUUCUUCCGUCGUCGCUUCCAGGCUUCCCUCGCGGAUGGUGUAGUUGUACCUUGGCGCUUGCACUCCUCCUCCUCGUCUGUAGUGUUCCGACAAUACCUAUGCAUGCACACGAGUGGAGUGUCAAGUAGUAUACCAUCCUCGAAGGGGUCAAGUGAGCACGUGUAAAGGAGAUGAUUCACCUUUGGGUAUGUGAAGUAGAUGUCGCACAUGUCACUCGCCAAACAUACUCUUGACAUGGUGAUGUCCAUAGGAUGCUCCGCAUAAUCUCCCCUCCCUUGGGAAAGAUCCGACCUCGAAUCGAAAACCAAAUCACCAUGGGAAAGAGAUGGCUUCGCCGUGUAGAAGUGGACGUUCACCAAGUAGUUGUCAUCUUGAAGCUCGAAAUGGGCACUCUCCAAUGUCGCAUCGUCUUGUGAUUCCUUCAAAAGGAGUAAGGACAACAAACACUUGGAAAAACAAAUGUGGUUAACAUUAGUGCAAAACCAAGCAUUCAAGAGGUUAUUCACCAAACAAGUGUCGGCAUCAUGCAAAGCAUAUGGUGUGACAAAGGAUUGUGACAUGGCAUAUAAGCACAUAAAUUGAGCACAAGUAAAGAUAUCAUGGGGACCAGCAUGUAAAUGUGAGGUAGUGAUGCAAAUAUGUUGGAUAAGUGAAUAAGCAUCUACCUCAAGAUCAUAUCAAACAUGGUCAAAGCGCUCAAUGAAAGGUCUAUGGUAGGCAUAGGAAUCAUUCACAACACCAAAAGAAAUGAAGUGUCUAAACACAUGGGUCAAGUGAAAGACAAUCCAAGCACAAUGUGCAUAGGGUGUAGUGAAUAUAGUGUGGCACUCAACACAAAAGAAAGAGAAAUUGUUCAUCAUGCGUGAGGCAAUCAAUGAGGCAUGGCAUAUGUGAAGAAAUGACAUUGUUGCAACCAAACAUAUGAUAGGAGCAAGUAAUCCAAGAAUUGGAUGCAACACACAAGGAAUAUAUAUAUCAUGAUGCAUGUAAUGGUGAAAAUGACAAGUCGAGGCAAGAUCUCUAACAUGUGUGCAAUCAAGUGGUCCAAGAUGAACAAUAAGUCUCAUGGUGCAAGCAACACAAGUAGUAUGAUCCGUCAUAUCCACGCUCAAGAAAGAUGUCACCUUGUAGGUGUGUCCUUGUGCGUCCUUCACAAUGCAGAAGUACAAGAAAGUGCGAUGUAGAAUUGUUGUGGUAGAAGGUGGUUCGCUCUCAAGAGCUCGGGUGGUCAACUCAUGUGAAGUGGAAGUUGACACGAAGUCCAAGUAUCCUACACAUGCACACAACAAAAGAAAGAACGUAUGCGCAUGGUAGAUAAACACAUCAUCCAUCAUAAUGGUUCUGUUUUCUUGCACAUAACCAUUAGAAGCACAAGUGCAUGAAUAAUAUGAUGCAACAACGGCAAUAUUCAUGGCAUUAGGUAUAUGGUGCAAAGAGGUAAGACAAGCAUGCUUCACAAAAAAUAUGUCAAAAUCUCCAAAAUAUGCGAGAAUGCUAUGGGGGCAAUCUCAUUAGCAAGACUAAAAUCAUUGGUGCACUCGAUACAUGGGAAAUCAUCUAGCAUGAUAGAUGCAACACAUGGAGAUAUAUGACAAUAAGCAAUAACAAUCAUGAGCAAAGCAUGUAGAUGGUUGUCAUCAACCGCAUGAAAUGAGCAAGUAUGAAUCAUCGAUGAUGCAACAAGGCAAUCACUCAUAGUAAUCAAGUCGUGCAAGCUAGUAGUGCGAAGAUGCAACAUACCAAAGGAAAUCAUGGCAAUCAUGUCAUGUGAGCAAAUAAUAGGCAUGGACAAUGCACAUGACAUAUCGCAAGCACGAACACAAAGAAAGAUCAUAGUAUAAUCAUAGGCAUGGGGCACAAAGCAGACAUGGCAAUAACAAGUGAUAUCUCCACUAAGCUUGCAUAUACACAUACAAGUAUGAGAAUCAAUCAUCAUGUGUAAUGCAAAGUACGGGUCACGAAUGCAUGGCAAAGGCAUAGUAAUGAGCAUAUCAUGCAAAGUGAACAUGGCAAGAUGGGCAUAAUAUGUAAUGGAUAAUAACCCAUAGCCAGGUGAGAGCCAAGGAGAAGAAAUGCACGAAGUCUUUGCACGAAGAGAACAGUGGGAAAGACAAUCCAUGGAAUCCCAAGUCGUCAUUGCUCUCUAGAGCUCAUUUUGUCAACUCAUGGGAUUGCGAGGUUGAUAAGAAUUCGUGGGUACCUACACAAAAGAGACACAAACGAAAGAGAUUGUGUGUGUGGUAAAUGUACACAUCAUCCAUCAUGAUGUGUAUGUGCACGUGAGAGUUAGCAUAAGAUAAGCAUCGCUCAAAGAAAUUUGAUGCAUGGUAAAAGAACAUGUCAUCCAUCAUGAAAUAAUAGUUAUUGUGUAUAACACGAUGGGGACACAAAUUGAGAAUGCAAGUAUAUGGCACUUCAAUAGCAUGUUUAUUCAUGGGAAACAUAUGGUGCACACAAGUAUUGGGAUCAUGCAAUGAAUGGGAUGAAUCAAAAUAUCCUAAAAUGUAUGAGGAAACUAUGGGGGUCUCCUCAUGAGAAAUAUUGGAAAGAUCACAUGGAGAAAAUGGACAACAUCCAAAACAUUGCAUAUCCGAAGCUAGGUGUUCAUGGCAUGGCAUAUGAGAUAAAUGAUACAAAGGGAGCAUAUCAAUAUCAUCACAAGAAAAACAAAUGCCAAUAACCAUGGGCUGGUCAUCUAUGCCAUAAGUGAAAAUUGGGUUAAUCUUAAUGGCAUAUCCAUAGUCACUAUGAAGAAAUUGCAAAUAUGACAUGUGGUCGAUCUCAUGCAUAGCAUAUGACAAGUCAAGCGGAUUGGCAAACAUGAUGUGACCGAGAGAAUUAGCACAAGAAAUCAUAUGUAACAUGGCAUCACAACUAAUAGACUCCACAAGGCAAUCAUCAUACUCAUCAUAAAUGGGUAAAUCAUCGCAUGGGGAAGUCACACUAGCAUGAAGCAUGGAAAUAGGUUGAUCAACAUCAUGCAAGCAAUCAACGUCAAGAAUGUCCACUAGUGGGACUAGAGCAUCACCUUCACCUAUGUUACCUUUGUCAUUCCACUCAAGUGGUGUAGGUGAGGUGGGAAAGACCAAAUGGUGGUCAUCUUCAUCUUGAUGGAACCAUGUGGGGGUGCAUCAUAUUCCACCAUGGCCAUCAUCUUGUCCAAGGGUAGGACGAAGUCGUCAAGAAUCGGCGUGUCAUCAUAGAUGGGACCUAGCACCAAAUGAGAAGACACAAUAGAGGUAGAGGUCAAGUCGUUAGUGUUGAAAGAGGCCUCACAUGACCUAUUAACUAUCUCACUCUCUCUAUGUGGUGGUUCACUCACUCCCACAAAAUAGGUGCACUCAAUCUCACGUAUGGUGGAGUCACUUAUCUCACUCAAGUGGUGGGGGUUGUGGCUCUCCUCACAUGGUAACUGGGGUAACACAUCAUAUAUGUGGCUAGUGGUGAAGUCACUCUCACUCUCAAUAUGGUGGCAAAAGUCACUCAAGUCAUCAUCGCCAUGGUCGAAGGGAAAAUCCCAUGCUCAACCAUCUCAUCGCCGUCGCCAUGGAUGAAGGCCAAAGAUGGCACAUCAUCACUCUCGCCUCCUAAGAUGGAAGCAUCAUCCUUGCUCAUCACCAUGUCGCUCACCUCCAAAGCAUGUUCCUUGAUUGGCUCCAUAGUCGUAGUCGUCGCUGCACCGUCUUGCAAAAGAGUCAUGGAGGACUCGGCAUCAUCAAUGCCACAAAGAGGCAUGGCGGUGAAGUCGAACUUGGGAGCACCAUCUUGGAGCUCGUCGGGCUUGGACAUGUUGGUGGAACUAUCCUCAUGCUCGCCUUCUUGGAGCUUGGUCUUCGAGAAGUGUUCUUGGGGUGGAGAAGCCUUGGCCUUUAUGAGUUCUUGUUCCGCCUUGAGAGCACCCAUGUAGUUGUCGUCGAGGGACUUGUAGUUCUCGAGGAAGAUCGUCUUGGAGAUUUGUUGUGAAAUCCCAUCAUGAAGUGGAACUUCAUCGAAAUGGGGUCAUCCAUGCCGGUUCGUCGCAAGGCUUUCUUCAUCUCCUUGAAGUACUCAUCGAUGGACUUGGAUCGUUGGGUGGUGUUCUCCAAUUGGCAUAGAAGUUGUUCCAUGUAGGUUGGAGGCACGAACUCUCGCCGCAAAGCUCUCUUCGUAUUGCACCAACUCAUGUCGUAGGUCUCCGAAGGUGCAUGAAGCCACCAUGUGGACACGUAGUCGUGGAAGUUCCUUGUGGCGCACUUCACUUGAUCUUUGGGAGGAACUUUAUGUAGCUUGAGGUAGUCGUCCAUCAAACGCUCCCACUCGAGAUACUCCUUGGGUUGUAGAGUCCCAUAGAAAGGAAUCUCAUGGUCGAUGUCAAGGUCAUAGUAGCUCAUGGAAGUCACGGACUUGAGCCUGGGGAGCUUCUCUUGAAGUGCUUGUGGGCGAAGAUGUUGUAUGUCCGUAUGCAAAGAUGCCUUGAAGUCGCUUGGCAAAGAUGCCAAGGGCGAUGGUGAAGUCGUUGAGCAGUUGUUGGUGUUGAUCUCUUGACCUUCACGUUGAUGGUGGUCAUGGUGUCGAUGCCGAUGUGACCUUGCCGGAUAUGGUAGCUCGGAGGCACGUGCUCUUGAGUGUCUUCUCGAAGAUGAGGAAGACCGCUUGUAGGACUUGAUGAGGGAUUUGAUAUCCUCCAUUUGAGCUUGCAUCUUGGCGUCGGUGGAGUUUUGCAUGGCAUCGAACUCGUCGUUGUUGUUGUAGACCGAAGAUGAAAUGCCUUGCCUAUCCAUCACAAGACUCGAGCAAAUAUGAGUGGGAGAAAGAGAAGAAUGAAUACCAAAUGUACCUUGACCGAAGUUGAAAGUGGAUCAAUGAUCACUCCAAUGUGGACAAGGAAAUAGCACAAUUGGUACCAAUUCUUGUCGGUUUCUCACACCUUCACAAAUAAGGCUUAUGGUGGAGCUUGGUGAGGAUAGUGGCACAAAAAUUUGAUGUAAAAUGUUUGCAAGAGUCAAUAAUGUUGAAAGAGAUUCACAAAUUCGCAAGUGUAACAAGUAGACCAAUAGCAAUAUGUGGCACACGGGAACACACACACAGAUAGAUAAACAGGGUCGUGCAACCAAGGAUGAGCUCAAAAUGUGGAAUCCACGGAAAAUGCUCUUGUUGCACAACUCUAGAAAGACGCUAGCACGAUUGCUCAAUAGGCGGAUACGACACUUGUGCACAACCUAUAGGAGACAAAAAUGCAACGACUUCUAUCCCAAGUAUGCUAUGUAUACGAUGUUCCAGUGGUAUGAUCCAAGAUGAUCGGAUACGACAAUCUUAUGCAAUGUGGUAUGAUGCUAUGGCACUUGCUUACAAGCUCUUUUUUCACUCUUUUUUCUUUGCUUAAAAGCUUAUUCUUUUUUUAUGGCCACUUUGCGAAAUGCACAAACCAAGAUAGCAAUUGUGUAUAUGCCGGAACAAUCUUGUGACACAAGGGAUGAUAUGAUACCAAUAUGAUAUGGUAUGUAUGCAAUGUAUGGUGUAGAUCACUAAUGUGCACAAGUAACAUUGCCGGCAAUACUCAAAUGGCUAGUCUCGAUAGGCAAGUAACGCAAAAUGGGCUAGGGGUUAACAAUGCAAUGGCAAGGGAAUAUACAAUGGAGGGAUACCAUGAUACCAAGAUGAUAUGGAGGUUACCGUCCUUGGCGAUGAUGAGUGCCGGUGAUCUUGAUGGAGAUACCAUCCCUAAGGAGCCGAAACACCAGGAAAUGGAAAAACCGCGAACUCAAAAUCUCAAAUGUCAAAUGUCAAAUGGUGGUAGCGGGAAAGCGGUGGUGGUUUUUGCGGAAGCCCAAUGGGAUUGCGGGAACACAAUGAUGGGUUUUGAGACGCAAUGCGGAAGUGGAGGGUAAGGUGGUGGACUAUACAUGGUGUCGUAGUUGGAAGCAUGGUCCCUAAGUAGCCGAAACACCUUAGGAGACACAACUCACAACACAAACAAAAUUAGGUUAAGUUGGGGUGGUGGAAGUGUAUGGUGGGCAAGCCUAUGUGGGAGUUAUGGUGGUGGUGGUGGUUGAUGAAAAAUCAAUCGUCCCUAAGUAGCCUAAACACCUUAGGAGACUCAAAUCACAACUCACACAACCACUAAUUCUGUAAGGAAGAAAAUUGGUUAGGUUGCGGAAGUCGGUGGUGGUUAUGCGGAGGUUGUGGUGGAAGCCCUAGUCAAAGAUGCCAAAGUUCCAAACAUUUUAUGGAGUCAAAUGGUUAUGGUAGUAUUUUUUUGGAAGGGGGAUGUCAAGAGCUUUUCAACGAGCUAAAGAACGCGAAAAACGGACUCCGGAUGAAUUAGUUAUGGACAAAACGGUGAAACAGGGGUGCUGAAAUGUACAGGGGCCGGACAUCCGGGGGUGGGGGCCGGAUAUCCGGGGUUGAUGUCUAGAACCGUGCGUGUUUUAUGCUCCAGGAGCCGGAUGUCCGGCUUGGGGCCCGGAUGUCCGGCUGAGACCCGGAUGCCCGGCCCGACGAUUCCAGAUCUCGAUUGGGACAUCAAAACUCGAUUUGGGGCCGGAAAUAGAUGGACUUGGGGGCAAAAUUGAUGGGAUUUCGUGGAUGGGAAGUGGGGAAACUUGGGGAUAUGCUAGAUCCACUCGAAACCAAGCAAACCCAUGGAUUAAAAUCAACAAAACUUCGUCAAACCAACGAAUCACAAAAAAAUUUGGGGCUAUUUUUGGUGGGGAUUUUCGAAAUUGGGGAAGAACACAACAAAAUUAGGCUAUAAAAUUACAAGGGGAGGCUCCGAAAUCGUGAUAAAUGUGGCUCAUGAUACCAAGAUGAUGGUAUCAAGAGACAAGCUGGCUCUGAUCGAAGAUGAUGUAGGGUAGAACCCUAGUGGCUCGAUCUUUCACGAAAGGAGUGGAUCCUGCGAUGAACACGAAGAACACGAGGGGGGAAACCAUGGGAAUCACGAGGGGAAACACGAGAGAACACUCAAACCGACAAGAAUUAUGACACAUACGCUAGAUCCUAGAAACACAAAGAGAGAUACAAGAUCCAAAGUCAAUAACGAACGAUACAAGAGGUAACCGGUUCUUCUCCGUGAGGAGAUCUUGAAUCCACAAGGGGAUCUUCCCGUGAGGGGUCUUGAAUCCAAGGUGGAUCUUCUUCGUUGAGGGGCCGCGGUCUCUCUCGUGGAGUAGAUCCGAUAUAGAUGAGCAAUGCUCUAUCUCUAAAAUGAGCUAAACCAAUGCUAACCCUAACUAGGAGGAGGGGGAGUAGUAUAUAUAGUCUAAGCCACGAAGGGGUAAGUGGGAAAGAGGGAUACAUGGGCCUUUGCCCCGACUCUGCGCGCAGGCAGUCAUCGGAUGUCUGGCUGUUCGCGACACGCCGGAUGUCGGGGGAACGGGCCGGAUGUCCGGCUUGGCGGUGGCCGAAUCUGUUCUUCUCUCGAUAGGCGUCGCCGGAUUUCCGGGGUUGGUCGCCACAUGUCCGGGCAUUGCUGAGACGCCAGAUGUCCGGGCUGGCACCGGAUGUCCGGCCGCUGAAGCUCUUGGCCUUCUGUUGGUGCAGAUCCUGGGCGGCUGUAUAGGCGCCGGAUGUCCGGCCCUUGGCCCGGAUGCCCGGCCGUUGUAGCAUCAACAGCUCCGUCUUCUUCCGUCGUCGCUUCCAGCCUUCCCUCGCGGAUGGUGUAGUUGUACCUUGGCGCUUGCACUCCUCCUCCUCGUCUGUAGUGUUCCGACAAUACCUAUGCAUGCACACGAGUGGAGUGUCAAGUAGUAUACCAUCCUCAAAGGGGUCAAGUGAGCAUGUGUAAAGGAGAUGAUUCACCUUUGGGUAUGUGAAGUAGAUGUCGCACAUGUCACUCGUCAAACAAUCUCUUGACAUGGUGAUGUCCAUAGGAUGCUCCGCAUCAUGCUGGCUGCUGCUACUGCGACUCUUUCUUUUCUAUAUUUCUUCAAUUAGAAAUUAAAAGAAAGGCACAGGGGCUAGGAGAGGGAUUUGAGAGAUGUGAGAAUAUCCUCAUGCUCCUAGAAAUGUGCACUAUUAUAAUAAAAUGGUUUUGGAAUUUUUAUAGAUAGAAAAAUAAAUCAAGUCUGAAUUUAGUUCAAACAUGAUGCAUUUUUAACCUAAUCAAAACAACUCCAAAAUGGAUGAAAUUUGAUAGAGAGGGUGUUGGCAUGGUGCAAGAUUUAUUGGCAAAUAUUGAACAAUAAUGGAGAAGGGGAAAAUGGCACUCGCAUCAAGAAAGGAAUAAGAAGGAAUGGGGAGGUGAUGAUGCAUGGGUCAAAUGCAUAGGCAAGCAACAUUACAAACAUAGUGCAUGGCACAACGAGAUGAAUACCACAAUGCACAUGAUGAGCAUGAAGAACGCAAAAUGACAAGAUGCACAAUACAAGAUAACAAUGAUGAGCACGACAAUGCAAUAAGUAAACAAACAAAGCAACACAAGAUGAAGCCAUAAAAGAUGGAACCCACAUGGAAUUAGAUCAUGACAAAGGUUGGAUAUAUUGCAAGAUGGGACCCAUCACUCUUGGUGUAUUACAACUGUGGACGGUGCGAACAUUGCAGUGGGCACCCCGAGCGCGGGCGGUGCGGUUGUUUCGCCCGCCGCUGCGGGAAUGGGUGGUGGAGGCACUGGAGACGGUCUCCUUCCACCACCCUCCAGCGAAGACAAAAACAAUGGCACAGGCAGUGCGAGCAUGCAGCUCCCGCCUCCCUAGUGCACCAGCGAGCACUCCGUCGGGGCAACACCGUCUGAUCGGGCGCGCGCCAUGAUCAUCCCGCUACCGCGACUCUAGCGGAGGCAAGGGAGACGAUAUAGAAGCACACACCAUGCCCAUCGCAAGUUGGGCAUGACGCGACGCCAAGCGGUGUUGUUGUACAUCCACAACAACGCCCGCACGAUAAGACGCCCAUCGAUCAAGGUGACGAUCUUUAGGUGCCACCUCCACCAUGCUAACCUGCCCUCACUCCCGCGGUACAGCGACAAGAUCGCAAUGGUGCUCCUACUGGCUCUACGAGUAGUCAAGCAACGUCGCGUUCUGCAUGAUCCAACAUGCCUUCGUCGGCCACGGAGGCAAUGGCGCGGGCGAAAAUGUUGUUGAACAUUCCUCAACCCCAGACAAGAUGGAUGAGUGGAGAGCCACCAUCCAAAGUUUGAUUAUAUUUGUGGAAGCGAACAAGGCCCAGUUAGCAGGGGCCUCACGGCACCCACAAAGAGCACUAGAAGCUCAGGCUGAUGGCCGUGUUGCAGGCAGUGCACCGACGGUGCAGUCACCUCCACAGCAACAACCCUGACAGUAGCAUCAGUAGUCACGCAGAACCCCAAUGAACUAUCGAGCCUGACGACGUGUCAAUGGCCUCCUCAGCUCCACGGACACAUCAAGAUCAACGGUAGGUGUUGCUAGAUAGACAAGCAAAAGAUGUGAAAGGAUCGAGAAGAUGUGUCUAGAGGGGGGGUGAAUAGACUCCUAACGAAGAAAAGUUGCAGUUUUUAUUUUCUUCAAGUUAAGGUAGAGUUUUAGCACAAGUUUAAACAUUCACAAUACAUUUCAAGCAAGCAUGACAAGAGUAUAUGAGCAGUGGAAAGUAAAGCAUGCAAGUUUCAAGAAAGUAAAGGGAUGGGAUUGGAGUGUGCAAACGCAAUUAGAGACACAGAGAUUUUUGGCGUGGUUCCGAUAGGUGGUCCUAUCAUACAUCCACGUUGAUGGAGACUUCAACCCACAAAGGGUAACGGUUGCGUGAGUCCACGGAGGGCUCCACCCACGAAGGGUCCACGAAGAAGUAACCUUGUCUAUCCCACCAUGGCCAUCGCCCACCAAGGACUUUCCUAACUAGGGUAGAUCUUCACGAAGUAGGUGAUCUCCUUGCCCGUACAAACUCCUUGGUUCAACUCCACAAUUUUGUCGGAGGCUCCCAAGUGACACCUAACCAAUCUAGGAGACACCACUCUCCAAAAGGUAAUAGACGGUGUGUUGAUGAUGAAUUCCUUGCUAUUGUGCUUCUAAUGAUAGUAUCCCCAACACUCAACUCUCUCUCACUGAUUUGGAUUUGUUGGAAAGAAGAUUUGAGUGGAAAGCAACUUGGAGAAGGCUAGAGAUCAAGAUUCAUAUGGUUGGAAUGAAAUAUCUUGGUCUCAACACAUGAGUAGGUGGUUCUCUCUCAGAAAAUGUAUGUUGGAAGUGUAGGCACGUUCUGAUGGCUCUCUCCAUGAAUGAAGAGUGGGUGGAGGGGUAUAUAUAGCCCCCACACAAAAUCUAACCGUUACACACAAAUCACCAAACUCAGUGGGACCGAAUCAGAAAACUCGGUUGGAUUGAUUUAGUUCAUAAUGUGACCGUUAGGCAUUUUGGUGGGACCGAUAUGAUCAACUCGGUGGGACCGAUGUGCUAGGGUUAGGGUAAAACCUCAUCUCAGUUUGACCGAUUACACAAACUCGGUGAGACUGAUUUUGGAAAUAAGCAAAACAGAGAGUUGGUCAAGCAAACUCAGUGGGACCGAUUGCAUAUCUCGGUGGGGCCAAAAUUAUUGCAAUAGGUACAGAGAGUUUGCAAGCCCAUCUCGGUGAGACCGAGAUCCCAUCGGUGAGACCGAAUUGAUUAGGAUUUGUGGUAGUGGCUAUGUAAAGUAAACUCGGUGGCGCUGGAUGGAUCAAAUCGGUGGGGCCGAGUUUGACUUUUGGUUUGGGACAUAUGUGGAUAUGAUUAAGUGGUUGAGGGCUUUGGAGCAUAUCACUAAGCACUUUGAGAAAGCAAGCCAUUUCCCCUUCUAAUAGUAUUGGCUUUCCUAUGGACUCAAUGUGAUCUUGGAUCACGAAAAGUAAAAUGUAGAGCCUUGAGCUUUUGAGCUUGAGCCAAUCCUUUGUCCUUAGCAUCUUGAAGGGGUUCCACAUCGUCUUGUCCACGCCACUCCAUAUGUUGAACUUAUCUGAAAUAUACUCGAUAAAAACAUUAGUACAACAAGAGAUAUGUUGACAUUAGUUACCAAAUCCACCCAGGGAGCACUUGUGCUUUCAAUCUCCCCCUUUUUGGUAAUUGAUGACAACAUACAGCAAAGCUUUAGAUAGAGAUAUACAAGAAUAGCAGGUAAAGCUCUGGAAAACAUGUAACAUGCAUAGGCUCCCCCUAAAUGUAUGCAAUCAUGUAACUAUGGAAUAUGAGAGCAUGUGAAUGCAUAGACAUGACAGAGCAAGCAAUGAGUUACAUGUAUCUUGGCUAUAUGCAUCAGAGCAAAUGAUGUGAAUAUAGGGAAUAUACCUUCAUGUUCAUGGGUCCUUCUUGCAAACAAUAUGUACAGUAGCAAGAAAUCAUCAUGCACAUGGGUGUGAUGCAUAUACUUACCUUGUGAUCUUGGGGUAGCUUUGGAAGAGAUGAACCUGAGUAAAAAAGGUUAGAUAACACAGAAACAUCUACUAAACAGAGCAAGAACAGCAAACCACAAGGGUACUGUAACACCCUCGAUGCGACUAUAUCUCCCACGUGUCGAGGCACGACUUAGAGGCAUAAUCGCAUUGAAGGCAUAUGUCGCAAGUUAGGCAAUCUUCACAACAUCCCAUGUAAUAUGAUAAUAAAAAGGGAGAUAACAUAGUUGGCUUACACUCGCCACGUCAGUCAAGUGCAUAAAUAACAUUACAUCGUCCAAACACUCAUGGCCCGACUACGGUGCCAAAAUAAAAGAGAACCCAACAUGCGACACGGUCACAAUCACCCCCAACUGGGCACCACUACUGAUCAUCGGGAAAGGAAACGUAGUAUCAUUGAGAGUCUUCGUCGAACUCCCACUUGAGCUCGUACGCGUCUCCUGGAGCAGAAUCAUCAGGCCCUGCAUCUGGUGUAAUAGAAAUCUGUGAGCCACAUGGACUCAGCAAUCUCGCACCCUCGCGAUCAAGACUAUUUAAGCUUAUAGGUAUGGCAAGGUAAAAUAUGAGUGGAGCUGCAGCAAGCGACUAGCAAGUGUGGUGGCUAACUUAUUCGCAAAAGAGAGCGAGAAGAGGAGGCAAAGCACGAGCGAGAAGCUAGAGAACAACCUGCGCAAACAUUACUCCAACACCGUGUCCACUUCCCGGACUCCGCCGAGAAGAGGCCAUCACGGUCACACACUCUGUUGAUUCAUUUUAAUUAAUUAAGGUUCAAGUUAUCUACAACCGGACAUUAACAAAUUACCAUCUGCCCAUAACCGCGGGCACGGCUUUUGAAAGUUCAAUCCCUGCAGGGGAGUCCCAACUUAGCCCAUGACAAGCUCUCACGGUCAACGAAGGAAUAAACCUCCUCCCAAGACGUUCCGCUCAGACUCGGUAUCUCGGUAAUUCAAGACACUUCGACAGGUUAAAACAAGACCAGCAACACCGCCCGAAUGUGCCGACAAAUCCCGAUAGGAGCUGCACAUAUCUCUUUCUCAGGGCACACUCGGAUUGUCCAAACUUCCGGUAGGCCAGCCUAGAGUUGCCCCUGGUAGCCACCGGCGGCUGACGGUUUGGACCAACACUCAGAGGAGCACUGGCCCGGGGGGGUUAAAAUAAUGAUGACCCUUGAGUCUACAGAACCCAAGGGAAAGAAAAGGCUAGGUGGCAAAUGGUAAAACCAAUGUUGGGCAUUGCUGGAAAAGCUUUAAUCAAGGCGAAAUACCAAGGGGUUCCCAUUAUAACCCAACCGCGUAAGGAACGCAAAAAUCCGGGAACAUAACACCGAUAUGACGGAAACUAGGGCGGCAAGAGUGGAACAAAACACUAGGCGAGAGGCCAAGCCUUCCACCCUUUACCAAGUAUAUAGAUGCAUUAAGAUAACAUGGCAAUAUAGUGAUAUCCCAACAAGUAAAUAAAAGAUGUUCCAACAAGGAACGGCCUCCAAUCUUCACCUGCAACUAGCAACCUAUAAGAGGGGCUGAGAAAAGCGGUAACAUAGCCAAUCAACGGUUUGCUAGGACAAUGGUGGGUUAGAGGUUUGACAUGGCAAUUUGGGAGGCUUUCAACCAAGUGGUAGGCAUCGUAGCAUUGGCAUAGCAAAAGAGCGAGCAAACUAGCAUAGCAAAGAUAGUAGUGAUUUCGAGGGUAUGAUCAUCUUGCCUACACAGUUGUCAGAGUUGACUGGAUCCUCAAAAGCAAACUCAACGGGCUCCUCGUUAGCGAACUCGUCUCCCGGCUCUACCCAAACAAGACAAACAAGCAACAAGGAUACAAUCAACCACGUGCAAGGAUCAAACAAGAUGAUGCAACGAUGAUAUGUUAUGCGGGAUGCGAUGCGGGAUGCAAAAUGCAAAAUAUGACAGGAAAUGCAUGAACCUGGCCUCAACUUGGAAUUCCAAGGGUGCCAAUGGAAAGAUGAGAUGAAAUCGCUUGAAAACGAUAUAAAGAACACCGGAAUCGGAGUUACGGUUUGGAAAUGGCAAGCGAUUCAAAAAUGACACCGGUCUGCGAUUUACAGCAAGUAGGCAUCUAAAUGCAAUGAGAUGAACAUGCUACAGCACCCAAACAUGACAACAAAAUACAUGGCAAGGAUGCACACAAGAUGCUUAACAAAAGUCUAGCACUGAGCUACGGCCAAUUUAUCCAUUAGGAGGUUCAAACAAGCAUGGCAAAAACGCAAAUGGUAAAACCGAUCUCAGACUUAGUGAAAUUAACACUUGUCUGGAAUUUCAGAUCAUAUAGCCCUCUUCGGAGCAACAAAACAACAUGCUACAGGACCUGAACAUGACAAGGAAAGACAUGGCAUGGAGCUACUCAACAAGCUUAACAAAAGUCCCUUAGUGACCUUGAGCCAAAAGGGAUCACAAAAUAUACUAACAAGCACACGAACAUAGCAAAAACAUAAUCAAUUUUCAGACUUAGUGAAAACUGGGACAUGCUGAAACAUAACUCACAAAGGCAUGUUUACGAGCUCGAUGCACUCACCACGGUGCAAGUCAUGGCAAGACAAGCAUACAUCCCUCAAGAAGGCACAAAAUACAAGCUAGACAUGGCAAGAACAAUGGCAUAGCAUGCACGGAUCAACUACAAUAACAUCGGCAAAAAUCGCAAACAAGUUGACGAUCUUCCCAGAUUUGCAACGAAGCAAAAGUAGAGCUCGAUUGACUCAAGCUAGGGUGCUCCAUAAUUACAAACAAUGACAUGGAUGGAUAAAGCACUACAAUAUUAACAAAACUCCCUUACUGAUCAUCCUCAAAAGAGGCACGAAUCACUAGGAAACAACAAGAACAUAUGGCAUCAUGAGAUAAACAAUUCCAGGACUUGGUGAAAUCACUAAGUCCCUGAAAACAGAAUUAGCAAGUGCACCUCUUCGCAAGCUUGCACAAGUCACCACACACAUCCUAAAAAUACAUGGGUUGCACCUCUGGAUAGAUGACAAAACCCUUAACAAAACACAUGAAGAACUCACGGGCAUAUCAUGCACACAUUAAUCAUGGCAAAAAUGACAAAAGUGCUAAACGGAGUAGCAGAUCUGACAAUUAACUCAAGUGGCCUUCUUCUAACAGCAUUUCGGGCAUCACGAUGAGUUCAAAUGAAAAUGAUGCAAUGGAAUGAAAUAAUGUACUCUCUGAGUUGAACAUUUUGAUAUGCUAUAUGCAUGAAUAGGAGCUACAGAUGCAAAGUUACGGGGCCUCGAACAGGAGCAUAUGGACUGAAAAUUUAGGGACUUGGAGAAAAUUAGGUCAACCCUGAAAUUUUCAGAUCUGGAUCGGGGCGGUGCGCGAACCGAGGUGGUUGGGCUCUCACCGGAGCUUCUCGCCGGAGGAGGAGGGAGGACCGGCCGGGGCUUGCCAGAGACGGGGAGGAGCGGGGCCGGCGCGGCGCGGGCGCGGUGCUCCUCGGCGGCGGGCUCCCGCGGUAGGGGCGGCGAGGCACGGUACGACAGGCGCGGCGNNNNNNNNNNNNNNNNNNNNNNNNNNNNNNNNNNNNNNNNNNNNNNNNNNNNNNNNNNNNNNNNNNNNNNNNNNNNNNNNNNNNNNNNNNNNNNNNNNNNNNNNNNNNNNNNNNNNNNNNNNNNNNNNNNNNNNNNNNNNNNNNNNNNNNNNNNNNNNNNNNNNNNNNNNNNNNNNNNNNNNNNNNNNNNNNNNNNNNNNNNNNNNNNNNNNNNNNNNNNNNNNNNNNNNNNNNNNNNNNNNNNNNNNNNNNNNNNNNNNNNNNNNNNNNNNNNNNNNNNNNNNNNNNNNNNNNNNNNNNNNNNNNNNNNNNNNNNNNNNNNNNNNNNNNNNNNNNNNNNNNNNNNNNNNNNNNNNNNNNNNNNNNNNNNNNNNNNNNNNNNNNNNNNNNNNGGGCGGCGGCGAUGGAUCUGGGCCCGCGCGGGCCUGCCUCGGGCCCCGCGGGCCGGCGCGGUGGGGAGGAGAGAGAGGAGGCGGCUGGGAUGAGGUGGCGGCGUCCGAUUGGGCCGGAGUGGUGGCGGGGAUGACGUGGCGAGCUCCGAUAGGCCGGAGUGAGGUGGCGGCGAGCGGUGGACACGUCCGGCGCGGCGUGGACACGUCCGGCGCGUGGAGCUGCAGUUUUUUAGGGUUUCGGGAAGGAAGAAGAUCCGAAAACGGAGGGGUGUAUAUAUAGGCAUAGAGGGAGCUAGGAGAGUCCAAAUGAGGUGCGGUUUUCGGCCACGCGAUCGUGAUCGAACGCUCUAGGACAUGGAGCAGAGUUUGGUGGGUUUUGGGCCAAAUUGGAGGGGUGUUGGGCUGCAACACACACGAGGCCUUUUCGGUCCCUCGGUUAACCGUUGGAGUAUCAAACGAAGUCCAAAUGAUACAGAACUUGACAGGCGGUCUACCGGUAGUAAACCAAGGCCGCUUGGCAAGUCUCUGUCCAAUCCGGAAAUGUUUAAUCCCCACACACGAAAGAAAGCUAGAAAUGACCACCGGAGGAGAACGAAGCGCCGGAAUGCAAAACGGACAACAGGGAAAAUGCUCGAAUGCAUGAGACGAACACGUAUGCAAAUGCAAUGCACAUAAUGACAUGAUAUGAGAUGCAUGACAACGACAACAACACACGGAGACAAAGACCCGAACCCGAGAAAAUAAAAUAACUUAACGCCGGAAAUGGCAAGAGUUGGAGUACAAAUAGGGAAAGUUACAUCCGGGGUGUUACAGGUACCAAGACUGGGAUGACAUGUAGGCAAUGAGUACUAGGUACUCCUAUUUGAUAUAGACAUGUCCCCAAGGAUAAAGAUAUGCAAUGAAUUCAAAGAUUUCCUUCCCUUAGAUGUCUUUCUCCCCCUGAAUCUUAUAUUUGAUAAUGGGAGAAUAUAGGGACAAGAAAAUCAGAGCAAAACAGAUCAGAGCACAGAAACAUAAGACAGAAGACAAACUAACAUGUCUUUCCCCUCUUAAAGACAUGUGAAUUCUCUCCUCUUGAAUACCAAGUAUAUGGGGUCUCUCUCUCUGUUUGAUGCGAUUAAGCAUUCUCCCACUUUGAAGUACUCUCCCCUUUUGAAGGGAAUAAGCUUUGUUGUGAUCUCUCUCCCCCCCUUUGACAUCAAUUUCCAAGAAGGGAUCUUCUGGAUUGUGAGUCAAAAUAGGUGAUGCGGAGCAUCCUAUGGACAUCACCAUGUCAAGAGCCACUUCAUCAAGUGACACGUGUGACAUCUACUUCAUGCUUACAAAGGUGAAUUGUCUCCUUUACACGUGUCCACUUGUACCCUUCGAGGAUGGUAUACUACUUGACCCCUCUCUCAUGUGCAUGCAUAGGUGUGACCGGAGCUACACGUUCUUUGAGGAGGAACCCAAUCGGAAGAGUACAACUACACCAUCCACGAGGAGAAUGCACGAAAGAAGGAAGCUCGCCGAGUCCAAGGAGAAGGACGGGAAGACCGUAAGGAAGACGGAGGCAAGAAGAUGGAAGAAGAAGCACGGUUCAGAGGACCCCGUGCGCAUGGCCCUUUCGGACCCCGUGCGCACGGCCUAUCCAGAGAGUUUCUGGAUACCCCGUGCGCACGGGCCCCAAAAGACCCCGUGCACACGGGACCUCCGUGCCCACGGGCCCCAAAAGACCCCAUGCACACGGGACCUCCGUGCCCACGGGGCUGACUUAGCCCGUGCGCACGGGCCUACCUGCGAGUUGGCCGGGAGAUGCCCCUUUUGCCCCUCCACUCGUCCCUCACCACCAACCACCUAUAUAUUUCAUCCCUAGGUUAUUUGUUGGGAUUAGCAAAGGAUACGACAUGAUCUAUGUGAGCUUUGGUCCUUGUACCACUCCUCCUCUUGAGAGAGAGAGAGAGACCUCUCCAUUGGAGAUCAAGACCUCCUAUGGAGAAGAUCCCUAGUGGAUAGAUCAAGACCUCCUAUGGAGAAGAUCCCUAGUGGAUAGAUCCCCAUCAUAGGAUCACCAAGACCUCAUUCCUCAUAGGAUUGGGAUGAACUAGUACCUUGUAUCUUUCCUUUGUUGUAUUUGAAUCAUUGUAUCUCUCUUUGUGUGAUUGGAUCUAGCAUAUGUGUGAUUGGAUCUAGCAUAUGUGUGAUUGGAUCUAGUCAAUUGAGUGUUUUCCCUCUUGUGUUCAUCUUAUUCUUGGGGAUUCCCCCUCCAAUUCGUGAAAGAUCUCCACUUAGGGUUCCACCCUACACCAUUUUGGUAUCAUGAGCCAUGGUUUCUCACGAAAUUGGAGCCCCCCCCUCUUUGUUUUCUAGCCUAGUUUUGUUGAUUUCGUCCUAAAUUCGAAAAUUCCCCACCAAAAAUAGCCCCAUUUUUUUGUGAUUUGUUGGUUUCGAUGAUGUUUUGUUGGAUUUGAUCCAUGAAUUUUUUUUGGUUUCAUGUGGAUCUAGCUUUCCCCCAUCUUUUCCCCACCAUCCAUCCCCAAAAUCUCCCUAAUUUUGCCCAAGAAAUCUCCAGACCCCGUGCACACGGCCCCCCGAAAACUCUCUGGACACCCCGUGACCACGUACCUUUACCGUGUGCACGGGACCCCGUGCCCACGGGCUCCUACCCCCGUGCGCACGACCCCCCAGGACAACCGCGAGUGCUUCACCGUUUUGCCCAUAACUUCAACAUCCGGAGUCCGAUUUUCGCGUUCUUUAGCUCGUUGAGUAGCUAUUGACAUCCCCCAUCCACCUAGAUAGGCUCCAACACCAUUUGACUCCAUCAAAAUUUUGACAUUUUGGCAUCUUUGCCUAGGCCUUCUGUAACACCGCGGAUGUAAUUUACCUUAUAUGUAUCCCAACUCUUGUCGUUUCCGGCGCUAAGUUAUUUUAUUUACCUCGGGUUCAGGUUUUUUUCUCCGUGUGUUGUUGCCUUUGUCAUGCAUCUCAUAUCAUGUCAUCAUGUGCAUUGCAUUUGCAUACGUGUUCGUCUCAUGCAUCCGAGCAUUUUCCCGGUUGUCCGUUUUGCAUUCCGGCGCUCCUAUCUCCUCCGGUGGUCCUUUCUACCUCUUUUCGUGCGUGGGGGUUAAACAUUUCCGGAUUGGACCGAGACUUGCCAAGCGGCCUUGGUUUACUACCGGUAGACCGCCUGUCAAGUUUCGUACCAUUUGGACUUCGUUUGAUACUUCAACGGUUAACCGAGGGACCGAGAAGGCCUCGUUUGUGUUGUAGCCCAACACCCUUCCAAUUUGGCCCAAAACCCACCAAAACCUCUCCCAUCGUCUAGAGCGUUCGAUCACGAUCGUGUGGCCGAAAACCGCACUCCAUUUGGAGCUUCCUAGCUCCCUCUAUGCCUAUAAAUAGAUCCCCUUCCGAAAUCAUGGGUCUUCUUCCCCCGAAACCCUAGAUAUCAUCUUCUGCCGCACCGGACAUGUCCGCUCCAUGCCGGACGCACCGCCGCUGCCGUCCGCGCCCAACCAGGGCAUGACACGUGGCAUCGCCUCCGUCCCCGCGCCGCCGGCCCGCCAGGCCCACGGCCNNNNNNNNNNNNNNNNNNNNNNNNNNNNNNNNNNNNNNNNNNNNNNNNNNNNNNNNNNNNNNNNNNNNNNNNNNNNNNNNNNNNNNNNNNNNNNNNNNNNNNNNNNNNNNNNNNNNNNNNNNNNNNNNNNNNNNNNNNNNNNNNNNNNNNNNNNNNNNNNNNNNNNNNNNNNNNNNNNNNNNNNNNNNNNNNNNNNNNNNNNNNNNNNNNNNNNNNNNNNNNNNNNNNNNNNNNNNNNNNNNNNNNNNNNNNNNNNNNNNNNNNNNNNNNNNNNNNNNNNNNNNNNNNNNNNNNNNNNNNNNNNNNNNNNNNNNNNNNNNNNNNNNNNNNNNNNNNNNNNNNNNNNNNNNNNNNNNNNNNNNNNNNNNNNNGCCGCCCCUCGCCGACCUCGCCGCCGCACCGCCGUGCUCUCUCCGGCGACCUCCCUCGCCCGGGCGGCCUCUCCUUCAUCCUCCCCGCCCACUCCGGCCGCCACCGCCCGGCUUCUCCGGCGAGCUCAAGAUCCAGCCUCGGUUCGCGUGCCCGCGAGGAACCCUAGAUCUGGAUUUGGGUUGACUUUCCCCCUGUCCUCUUAUUUUUUUCGCAAUCUUCAUCAUGUCGUAACUCCGCAUCCGUAGCUCCGAUUUGCGCGUGUAGUAUAUCAAAAUGUUCGUCUCAAAAAGUACAUCAUUUCAUCUCAUUGCAUCAUUUUCAUUUGAGCUUAUCUUGAUGCCCGAAAUGCUGUUGGAAGAGGGCUAUGUGAUAAACUUGUCAGAUCUGUUUCAUCAAAUAGCUAUUUGUCAUUUUUGCCAUGAUUAAUGUGUGCAUGAUAUGAUCCUGAGAUCUACAUGUGUUUUGUUAUAUGCCAUGCCAUCUUUACAAAGGUGCUUACUAUGUAUUUUUGUGAUAUUUGUGGUGACUAGCACAAGCUUGCAAAGUAGCGUAAUCGGUAAUGCUGAUUUCAGGGACUUAGAAUUUCACCAAGUCCUUGUCCUGAUUUUGUCGGUAUGCCAUAUGUUCAUGUUGUUUCCUAGUGAUCCGUGCCUCUUUUGAGGAUGAUCAGUAAGGAUGAUUUGUAAACAUUGUGGUGUUCUAUCCAUCCGUGUAUUUGUUUGCAUUUAUAGAGCACCCUAGAUUGAGUCAAUCGAGCUCUACUUUUGCUAUUUCGUGAAUCCUGGCAGAUUGUUGACUUGUUAGCGAUUUUGCCGAGGAUGCUGCUAUUGAUCCGUGCAUGCUAUGUUGCUGUCCUUUCCAUGUCUGGCUUCUAUGCCAUGUAUUCUUGUUGGGUGUAUGCUUAGUUUUUCAUGCCAUGCUCUGUAGUGAGUGCAUCGAGCUCGUAAACAUGCCUACAUGUUAACUGUUUUGCAUGCUCCAGUUUUUCACUAAGUCUGAGAUCUGUUUAUGUUUUUGCCAUGUUCACAUGCUUGCAAUUGUAUUUUUGAUCCCUUUUGGCUCAAGGUCACUAAGGGCCUUUUGUUAAGUGCUUUGAGUAGCUUCAUUCCAUGCCUUGAUUUGCCAUGUUAAGUUCCUGUAGCAUGUAGUUUCCAUGCUCUAAAGUGUGCUUCCUGAUGUUAAAUUCCAGACUUGUGUUAAUUUCACUAAGUCUGAAACCUGUUACCGUUUGCACUUUUGCCAUGCUUGUUUGAACCUGUUAAUGGAUGAAUUAGCCGUAGCUCAGUGUUCAUCUUUUGUCAAGCAUCAUGAGUGGAUCUCUGCCAUGUAUUUUGUUGUCAUGUUUGAGUGCUGUAGCAUAUUUAUCUUGAUGCAUUUAGUUGGUCACUUGCUGAUUAUCGCAGACCGCCAUAUUUGUUUUGCUUGCCAUUUCCAAACCGUGCAUCCGAUUUCGGUGAUCUUUAUAUCGAUUUCAACCGAAAUCACCUCACCUUUCCAGUGGCACUCUUGGAUUUCCAAGUUGAGGCCAUGUUCAAUCAUUCCUUGUCCAAUCUUGCAUAUGCAUCACAUACCGCAUCCUGCAUAUCAUACCAUGUUUGCAUCAUGUUGUUUGAGCAUUGCACGUGGUUGAUUGUGUUCAUUUUGCUUGUUUGUAUUGUUUGGGUAGAGCCGGGAGACGAGUUCGCGAACGAGGAGCCCGUUGAGUUUGCUUACGAGGAUCAAGUCAACUCUGACAACUUUGUAGGCAAGAUGAUCAUACCCUCGAAAUCACUUCUAUCUUUGCUUGCUAGAUGCUCGCUCUUUUUCUAUGCCUAUGCUACGAUGCCUACCACUUGCUUAUCAUGCCUCCCAAAUUGCCAUGUCAAACCUCUAACCCACCAUGUCCUAGCAAACCGUUGAUUGGCUAUGUUACCGCUUUGCUCAGCCCCUCUUAUAGCGUUGCUAGUUGCAGGUGAAGUUUGGAGAUCGUUCCUUGUUAGGAACAUUGUUUAUUGUUGGGAUAUCACCAUAUUAUCUUGUUUAUCUUAAUGCACCUAUAUACUUGGUAAAGGGUGGAAGGAUCAGCCUUUUGCCUAGUGUUUUGUUCCACUCUUGCCUCCCUAGUUUCCGUCAUAUCGGUGUUAUGUUUCCGGAUUUUGCGUUCCUUACGCGGUUGGGUUAUAAUGGGAACCCCUUGACAGUUCGCCUUGAAUAAAACUCCUCCGGCAAUGCCCAACCUUGGUUUUACCAUUUGCCACCUAGCCUCUUUUUCCCUUGGGUUUCCGGAGCCCGAGGGUCAUCUUUAUUUAAACCCCCCCGGGCCAGUGCUCCUCUGAGUGUUGGUCCACCUCGUCAGCCGCCGGUGGCCACCAGGGGCAACUCUGGGUUGUCCUACCGGAAGUUUGUACAAUCUGAGUGUGCCCUGAGAACGAGAUAUGGGCAGCUCCUAUCGGGAUUUGUCGGCACAUUCGGGCGGUGUUGCUGGACUUGUUUUACCAUUGUCGAGGAUGUCUUGUAAAACCAGGAUGCCGAGUCUGAUCGGAAUGUCUCGGGAGACGGAAUAUCCUUCGUUGACCGUGAGAGCUUGUGAUGGGCUAAGUUGGGACUCCCCUGCAGGGAUUUGAACUUUCGAAAGCCGUGCCCGCGGUUAUGGGCAGAUGGGAAUUUGUUAAUUUCCGGUUGUAGAUAACAUGAAACUUAACUUAAUUAAAAUGAAUCAACCCGCGUGUAACCGUGAUGGUCUCUUCUCGGCGGAGUCCGGGAAGUGAACACGGUGUUGGAGUAAUGCUUGUCGUAGGUUGCUAUAGGAUCACUUCUUGAUCAUAGUUCUUUGUUCGUGCUUUGCCUUCUCUUCUCGCUCUCUUUUGCGAACAGGAUAGCCACCAUAUAUGCUAGUCGCUUGCUGCAGCUCCACUUAUUACCUUGCCUUACCUAUAAGCUUAAAUAGUCUUGAUCGCGAGGGUGCGAGAUUGUCGAGUCCCCGUGACUCAUAGUUUACUUCCAAAACCAGAUGCAGGGACCGAUGAUACCGUUCCAGACGAUGCGCUUGAGCUCAAGUGGGAGUUCGAUGAAGACUCUCGUCGUUACUAUGUGUCUUUCCCAGAUGAUCAGUAGUGGUGCCCAGUUGGGGCGAUCGGGGACCGUGUCGCAUGUUGGGGUUGAUCUUUUAUUUUGGUACCGUAGUCAGACCAUGAGUGUAUUGGAUGAUUGUAAUGUUAUUCAUGUAUUUGUGUGAUGUGGUGAGUGUAAGCCAACUAUGUAUCCUUUCCCCUUUUAUUUAUUUACAUGGGUUGUUGUGAAGAUUACCUUACUUGCAACAUUGCUUUCAAUGCGGUUAUGCCUCUAAGUCGUGCUUCGACACGUAGGAGAUAUAGCCGCAUCGAGGGCGUUACUCCUUCCACCAUAUCAUCCGCAAAACCACCAUAACCUUCCGCAACCUAACCCAUUUUGCUCCAUUUAGCAUUUGUGGUUGUUUGAGUGGUGACUUGAGUCUCCUAAGGUGUUUCGGCUACUUAGGGACGGUUGCUUCUUCAUCAUCCAUGACCACCACUUCCACAUUGCCAUCUCCGCUACCACCAUUUGACUUUUGUCCGUGAGAUUUUGAGUUCGCGGUUUUUCUAUUUCCUAAGGUGUUUCGGCUACUUAGGGACGAGUCUCCAUCAUCUUGGUAUCUACAUCAAGAACACCGCCACUCACCAUCUUCAAGGACGGUAACCUCGACGACACCAUUGUACAUUCCCCCUUGCAAUUGCAUUGAUAGCCCCUAGCCCAUUUUGCGUCACUUGCCUAUCGAGAUAGCCAUUUGAGUAUUGCCGGCAACGUUACUUGUGCACAUUAGUGAUCUACACCUCCCAUUGCACACAUACCAUAUCAUAUUGGUAUCAUACCAUCUCGUGUGCCUCAAGUUUGUUCCCGCAUAUACACAAUCGCUAUCUUGGUUUGUACAUUUCGCAAAGUGGCCAUAUAAAAAAAGAAGAGAAAGAGCAAAGAGCUUGUAAGCAAUAGCCAUAGCAUCUUACCACAUUGCAUAUAAGAUUGUCAUAUCCGAUCAUCUUGGAUCAUCUUGAGAAGAACAACGGGAACAUCAUACACAUAGCAUACUUGGGAUAGAAAGCUCAUACAUUUUGCAUCUUAUAGGUUGUGCACAAGUGUCGUAUCCGCCUAUUGAGCAAUCGUGCUAGCGUCUCUCUUGAGUUGUGCAACACGAGCGUUUUCCGUGGGUUCCACAUUUUGUGCUCAUUCCUUGGUUGCACGACCCCAUUUAUCUAUCCGUGUGUUUGUUUCCGUGUGCCACAUAUUGCUAUUGGUCUACUUGUUUCACUUGCGAAUUUGUGGAUCUUUUCCAACAUUAUUGACUCUUGCUAACAUUUGCAUCAAAUUUUUGUGCCACUAUCCUCACUGAGCUCCACCAUAAGCCUUAUUUGUGUAGGUGUGAGAAUUGACAAGAUCUGGUACCAAUUGUGCUAUUUCCUUGAUACAUUAUUGAGUGAUCAUUGAUCCAUUUUCAACAUUGGAUACGGUACAUUGGUCUAGUUCUUUCCUUUCUUCCACUCAUAUUUGCACGAGUCUUGUGAUGGAUAGGCAAGGCAUUUCAUCUCCGGUCUUCGACAACAACGACGGCGUGAACAACUACAUCACCAAAGCAUCCAUCUUCGGACUACAACACGAAAUGCAAGGCGCACAAUCUACCUUGCGAGAACACCUCGAUAACCUCGCCAUUAACAUUCGCCACUCCGAAGCAAGGAAAAGGGACUACAUCGACAACAAGCUUUCCGCACAAAAGGAGGAGCAAGAUGCAAGGAUGGAGGAGAUUCGGACCUUGUUGAUCAACCGUUAUUCCCCUUCAUCAUCCUCAAGGUGGCGACGUUCAAGUCAGAAGUCUUCGGAGCGCAAAAAUGAUGCAAGAGCAAGGCGUCCACGUCCACAUCUCCAUGGCCACCACCAUCAUGUUCGUGAUCCACAUCGUCAUGAAGGGCAAGUCACCUCCAAGCAUCAUGUGCACGACAACGACGAACGACAUCUACUACGAGCUCAAGUACGACAACGACACCAUCAACAUGAAGAUGCUCGCCAAGAGCAAAUUCACAAGUCCCAACAAGCCCUACUUCAUGCCAAGUCCAAGCUUCAUGAGCAUAAGAGAAGACCGCGAGACGAGCACCACCAAGACGGAGCUACGGCUACAACAACCACUUCGGCAUCUUCGCCAAGUGCUAUCAAGGCAUCUUCGCCUUUGGACGUACGGUGAUGCGGAGCAUCCCACGACCAUCCCCAUGGAUGCCACCUCAACUAUCCAAGCUCCAAGUGGACCCAUGACAAGGGCUAGGGCACGUGCUAUUCAAUCCGAGGUGACAUCACUCCUACUUGAGUUUCCCCCUCUUCAAGUGAGACAUGGCUACUGCCUAAGUCCGAGAUACUAUGUGUCAUCAGGUACAAUGCUCAAGACUCGGAGCCGAGGACUGUAGAAGAAGAGACAGGCAUCAACACUCUGGACAGCCCGGAACCUCCGGCCAGAGCCCGAAACUUCCGGCCACCGGACCUUCCGGCCGACCCGGAGCUUACGGCCGCCGAUGACUUCAACCAGCCCAGGCGUGCCAACUCUCGGGUUAGCCCAGACGGGAGUACAAUUUCAUUUGGAUCUUCUUAAAAGUCAGAACUUGAUUAAGGACGAUUGGAAAGACGUUGAUCUUACUGAAUGGAAGAUCACAGAACAGUUACAAAAUCCAAUUCAAAAAGACAGUUCUUCUUGCGGUUUAUUUAUGGUCAAAUUUAUGGAAUAUUUCACCGGAUGUACACUAUCCUACCCAAUUACACAGGUAUAUAUCUUUUAUAUUUGGUAAAAGCAUGUUAAUUUUUAAAAUGUACUAAUAAUUGUUCGUUUUGCACAGGAAAUGAUUACUUCUUUUAGGUUUAAGUUAGCCAGCAUAAUAUUAUGUUGGAAAACAAACACUGCAUCAAUGACUACAAUCGUUGAAGAAAGUGACGAUGACAAUAAGGGAGGUCAUGAUGAUGUUCAAAUAUUGGAAAGUGUAGAUGAUAUUAAAAAAACAAAACAAAAAAUCCCAUUAUCUGUUGAAAAUAAAUAUAGAUCACUAAUAUCUAUUCUUUCUAAUAUGAGCAUGCAUGAGUUAACAGGUGCACUCUGUAACUUCAUUAAAUCAAUCAAAUACACCGAGAUUUUAGAGUAAGUCCUUUCACAUUGGUAGUGCAGUUGUACAAUAUCUUACUUAUUUUCUUAAUGGUUUAUUUACGGAAUUUUUACCACUAUCAGGAAAGUAUGGAUCCAAAGUUCAAAUCCAUAUCCAAUUAGCUUGUCUCUCGGAAAGCUACAAGGAAUGCUACAGGAUGAUUUACCCAUGGAUCGAGAUUGCUUUAAUUUGGUCAUACGGAAGAUUAUGUUUGAUGACAUCCAAACGGCACAAAAAACAAAACAAUUGAUAACAAAGCAUUAUGUUGACAUGAAAUUUUGGGUAUGUUUUUAUAUUCAUUAUUUUUUUUCUAUAUUCUAAUUUUUUAAUCACCUUUUUAACCAAUUAUGUUUGUGUUCUAGAUGACUACUGAUUUUGGACGACACCCAAAAUUCCGCAAAAAGUUAGACGUGGAGCAACUAGCAAAUUCUGUUCGCAGUUGGCCUGGUAUCAAAUAUAAUGUUUCAACAUGCAAAUCGGUAAGAACACUUCUAUAUACUUUAGACCACAAGAUUUUUAUUGCAUCUAAUAUGUAGCCUAUUUCAGAUUCAUAUUCCAAUACAAUCCAACUGUGAUUUCAUUCUAUUCACAUUGGACAAAGAUACCAGAACAGUCUACAUUUUGGACCCUACUCCUAUUAAUCCCUUGUACCAAUGCAACCCACUCGCAAAAUAUGUGGAAAAAAUUAUAUGGAUUGCCAAACACUUACCGAAAGCAAUGUCAAAAGCAUGCCCUGGAUGUAGAUGGAACGAAAAUAUUCUCCUAUGGCAUCAAAAAAUCCUAGAUGAUAUUCCAGUUUACAACAGGUAUUUUUUAAGAGAUGAGUACUGUAUACGGAGUACUUUUUGUUUUUAUUAUGUAUACAAUAUUAAUUACUAACAUAUGUAUUCUUAUAUACAAGGGAACUGUCCGGUUAUCUUGUUCCCAUGUUCAUGUCCACAUGGGAAGAUGAAAGACCACAUUUGCCAUUUUUAAAGGUAAAUAUCGCGACCGUACAGAUCAUAAAUAUUAUAAUUACAAAUUCGAUUCUAAUGUCAUUCGUUUACAAAAAAUUAUGGAUGUAUAGGAUGGAUAUGAUCUCAGAAAACUAAUUUUGGGCCAACUGCUAACAUUCAAGGACAAUGAAUGUGAAGAUAACAUGCCUGACGGUGUACUUGAAUUCAUCAGUUGUAUCAGGAAAAUCCAAUGUAAAACUGGUAUGUAAAAUAGUAUGAUUCGUAAGAUUACAUAAUAAAAAAUUAGUUUCACAAGAUUGAUUACUUAGUUGUGCUAACUCCAAUUUGCUCAAACGGGACGUGCGUGCUAUUUCUAAAAAAAGAAGCUUCUGUAUUGGCCAGCAUCCCCGGUGGUAGUUUUAGAUAUCCAGCAAAUGAAGGGCGUCUCAUAAUCCGAGCAGUUGGGUCAAUUACAUAUAGUUGGUUGUAAAUGACUUCCAGUUUCUAGCUUAUAACGGAAUCUAGACAUGUACUCUUUAACAAUAUUCUGUUCAUGAUGGUGGACAUAUGUAUUGGUUGAAAUUAUCAAGUUGAUUACUGGCAGUUGCGGUGCUCUUAUUAUUUUAUUUCCACAAAUAUGUUCCCCUCAAUCUUCCUGCUGGUUUGUCUGUGCUUCCGCUGGAUGAUGCUCUGUUUAGGCAUUGUGCAAAAUAAAUAUAAGUAAAAGAAGUGCCAGAUGAGAAUACUGUGAUCAUUGAACUUUUAUUUAAACCCCGCAAAGCUUGUUGCAAAUCAUCAAGCGUCUAAACUUUAUGUGAGUUGGUAUUUGCAAACUGAAUUUUCAGAUGAUUGGUGGCAAAUGAAAUGUGUUUGGAAAUGAUAACGUUUCUUGCUGCCUCAAGGUUCUACGGUUUUGCUAGGAAAGAACCACAUGCACAUUAAUAACUAUGGUACGCAAAUUCAUUGAAGGUAUCGAUAAACUCAUCCAGGUCGCGCGAGAGAAGAGAAUUAUUUGUUUAAUAUUCCCUCUGUAAAGAAAUAUAAGAGCGUUAGGAUCGGUAAAGUAGUAUAUUUCUUUACGGAGGGAGUACGCUACAUGCAUGAUGGUGCUCAAGAUGUGCCUCCAUGUAUGUGACAUGGCUUUAGCUUUAAGAUUAGCCAAGCUGUUUUUCUUUUCUUUCUGAAUGAUUGCCCAGGCAAGGGUAGGAGCUCGGCCAUUUCAUAUUGUAAUUCUUCUUAGAACUGUCUAGGUAAUUUUAACAAUGAAUGUAUUUAUUGAAAGCUAUAUGCAUGGCUUUAACUCUUCGGUGAGGUAUUCCGUUAAAUCAAAUGGAACCCUCUUCGAUUAAUUUUCACUGUCACGUGGUCUUCGACAAUGGGAUCCUCUCUCUCCCUUUAUUACUCCCAUCAAGAUAUGUAGAAGAGGCCCGGGCAUCUCACAUCUUUUAUUUGUAGAUGAUACUAUGUGGAAACAGAUUACUAGAUCGCACGUGUAAGAGGAAAACAAUCUAAUAUAAAGUACAGUACGUACUACCCAGCUUACGACGCCCAGACAGAAAAAAGUAAAGCAACUUAGAACAAAUGUCAAAGCUUACUCAGUUUGGACGCCCAGACAGAAAAAGGUAAAUUUAUAACAAAUCUCAAAACAUACCACAACCUACUGGAUUGGACGUGGAAGAGAAAAAUACAAUCAGAAGCAUACACCAACUUGGACUCGGACAUGGAAAACAUACACCAACUUGGACUCGGACAUGGAACCAAUCGCGAACCAUACACCAACUCGGACUGGCAAAGGUUCUAUACUAAUAUAAAUACCCAGCUCUCAGAGAUUGAACGCCCAGAGAAAAAAGUGCCACCAGCUUAGUACACGCCAAGCAAUCUCCAAGCUACAGCGCCAACCAAAACAAAGGAGCCGUCAAGUAUGUUCCUUGUCUCCAGUUUUCGUUCUUCCCAAUGAAUUCUUGAAUCUCACACAUGGUAUUUGAUACUCAUCAGUCCUA